rnacentral:lncRNA from 1 species
CAUAGUACAAUACGUUCAUAGAUAGGAUGUCAUAGAUUACACAUCUUGGUUUACAGAUCCACUCAAACUCAAACAUAAUUACAUUACAUCAGACUUUUAUUCCCACCAUCUUGGUUGGUAAAAGCACACACAAACCAAAUAGAAACACAUGAACACUUAAUUAAGCAGAGAAUAACAGCUUCUGCAAUCUGCGUAUCGCAGCUUGAUAGUCUGAUUAGUUCUUUCCUUGAGAAAUGAAAAUGAGAUCACUUUGAGACAUCCAAUGGCAUGCUUCACUUUGGCCAGGAGAAGUUUUCAAUAUCUUCAAGGCCACAUGAUCAGGGGACCAGCCUGAAGUAUCCAUAUGACAUACCACCGUGACUGUAUUAACUGGAACUUUGGUCCUAGGUUCAACAACAUCUACUGCAUAGACUUCAAUAUUGGACAGCAAAUGGCAGAAAUAUGUUGCAAAAGGAAGAAAUAAUUGAUGACAUGCCACAGUUUUUCCAUAUUUAAGCUUUUCCACGCGUCCAACCAUCAAUUCUUUUCUAGAACCCUCUGUGUUUUUCGAUGCCAAUGCCACCAAAUUCUUGUCACCUAUGGCAGUUUUUGAAAAUUCAAUCAUUUCCUCAAGGGAUUUUGCACAGCUCUGAGGCUCUUCCUUAAGAGCAGGAGUAUUGCAAUAAAUAAGGGUGUAUUGAAUGGCAUCUUUUGUUUGCGGGCUUUCAAAGGAUUGAGGAAAUAAUUUUCGUAGGUCAUUUUCCGUAACAGAGAUCUUUGAUGCCGUUUGAGAAGGAAGAAAUGACUGUUGGGGCAAUUGGUUUUCCAAGCUUGAGAGAUGCACCAUGUUUCCUUGUUUGAGAAGUGAGAGUCUGAAGAAAGAAAAAGGAUCAACAUGUAGGACAACAUUUGGGCUAAUUCUGCCAUAGCCGUAAUUAUUCUUGUCCAAGAAACUAUCAACACGUGCUUUGGAUAAACAAGCUAGGUUUGCAAGAGAGCAAAGAUUUGCAUCAAAUGGAAGAUUUUUCUCGGACGCUAAUGAAGUGAAAUGUUCAGCUUGUUCCUUGCUCAGUGGAGAUAGUUUGGACAGAAGAUUUCCAGGCAUGGUGCCUUGGACAUUUUCUGACCAAUAUUUGAGCUGAUUCAAUGCAGUGAAUGAAGAAGAUGAAAUGUGUGCAGCAAAAUGGGACGUAGGAAACGUGAGGGCAAUGACAAAGAGAACGAUAGCAAACGUUGAAGAGGCCAUUGGUUUCAUCGACACUAAUAUUGAGCUAAUUUUCUUCAGUGGAUGAAGUGCUGAUGACUUUGCUAGUGCAGCUUCUAAUUUAUACUAGUGCUCGAGCCUGGACACAGGGCCUCACCUGCCCAUUUCAGGAUAAAAUGGUUACUCUAAAUUUUUUUUACAUCUUGUUUUAGUUGGUAUAUAUCUUUACUUCAAUUUAUUUACAUCCCACUCCAACUUAUUUGUACCUUAGUCUAAACCGGUUGGAAAUGGAACUUGUGAGGCCUCAUCCCCCACUCUAGCCUUGUGUUUGCUCCAGCUAUAAUCUCUAAAGGGAAACCGUUCAAAAUGUUCCUUAUAUUUUGUCAUAUAAAUUUUUUCCUUCUUGUUGUCCCUAAAAAUUAUCAAUCCUCAAUCAUUAUUGUCCCUAAAUAAGUAGAAUCUAAUCCAUACCAUGUUCAUUUUUCUCCAUAAAAAAGUGGAAUAUGACCCAAUCCAUAUUUAUUUUUGCCACAAAAAAAUGGGAUCUACCCUUUUUGGACAUAAAAAAUAACUGUAUAUAGGUCACAUGGUGAUUUUAAACUAGUCAGAUAUUUAGGUUGGAACUAAAUUUUGCUAAUUUGAAUUUUUAAGUGAUUUAAUUUGAAGUUUAUAUUUUAAAAGUGAAGAACGAAAAAAUUUAUUUGAUAAAAUGUGUGGCAUGUUUUGAAUGAUUUUCUCAUCUUCACAUGUAUAUAUUGUACAAUUAAUCCAAAACAAAACUCCAAAUGUACCUGUGUUUACUAAUCCAGAAAAAAAGAGACAAAAUUGAAAAAUAAAUUUAUUUGAAUAGACAAUUUGCAACUUGUUCCACGUUCGCAUUUGAAUGGGUUAAAUACACUAAUCAUACAUCCACGUUAGACAAUUUGCGGUUGUCCCAUUUUAUGCUCUCAGCUUGCGGUCCAUAACCUGAGAUAUGUGGUAGUUAAAAAGACAAUAUUUGUAAUCUCGAAAGUGACGGACAAUACAGUCCCGCACAUUUAGUGCGUCUUGUAGGUAUAUAUGGACAACCGCAGCAAGGAAUUACAUCUCCAAAUACGAAAAUUUCAUGAAAUGAGAUGUAGGUGUGUGUAUAUGUAUAUAGGUAUAUAAAUAUGUAUGUAAGUUUGGUUUAUAAAAUAUUAGUCAAUACUAAUCGUUCAAAAUGACCAACAAAUUUCUUAAUAAAAAAACAUUGAUAUCCUUGGGGAUACUUUUUUAUCCAAUAAAGCAGCUGAAAAUUGUGUAAAAAAUGCAUGCUUCCUAUAAACAAGAUUGGAAAAGAAAACGAAAAUGAAUAAGUCACAUGCUAUGAAAGUCAGUUGAAAAGGAAAAGAUUGGCUCGUGUAGCCAAAAAUUCAUAAGCAUUGCAGUUACCAGCAACACGUAUUUCCGAUUUUCAGAUGUCCACGAUUUGUAUAAGGGUUCUAGUCUGUUGCAUUUGCAUCCCACAUACAUUGAUAACUCCAUUUGAUUUGAAGAGGAACACCUUGCGCAAAAGAAAGAUGUUGCAGAAAUUUGAGACAUGAAAAAAAAUUUAGAGACUAGCAUUGAAACUUUUCCAUUAAGGAAAUAGAAAGUUUAAGAGCUAUCAAUUGCUACAGCUAAAAUAAAAUAAGAAUGAGACAGAGAAAUAGGUUUUGAAACACACUGUGUGAAAAAUGGAUUUAAAAUGUGGUCAAUUGUUUGUACUAGUAGCAAAGGGUAAUUCCAACAGUCCCAAACGUAGGGGCAAGUGUAGGCAUUUAACAAAAGAAAAUUCUAUAUUAAGUGAUAUACAAUAAUACAAUAAUCACAAUUUAAAAGAUGGCGUACCUCAUGAUAUCUAAGAGUUCUCAUAUUUAAAUUUGAUAAAUGGGAACGUCAUGCAAGUUGUUCUUAUAGCAUGCAAGUGUUUUUGGAGUAAAUCGAUUUUAGAAAAGUUUAGAACAGUACUAAGAAAAGUUGCUUUCUAUAAUUGGUUAUCAGUUUUAACAGCAUUGAUUUGGUUUAGUUACUAUUACACUAUAAUGUCUUAGGGAAACAAUUAUCUGUUCACAAAAAGAUAUUAAAGUGCUACAAUUAACGAACUCUUUAAUAGGCUUUGUUGAUUAAUUCUAGAAUUAGAUGAUUGUAAAAAACAAUUAGACUAUUAACAUCGAACUUUUAUUUUUUUUCUUCUAAGAACAAUAGGAAGGAAUAGCCUUACAUUCUUUGACAAAAAGAAAGAAAGUAAAAAUCCCUAGCUACAUUAUUUGAGUUCUCAAGUACUACUGAUUAUGGAUGGAGAAAGAUUGCUCAAAAUUGCUGUCCUUUUGAAAUUCAUGAAAUUAUUAAUCAAUUGGCAACUUUGGUUGACUGGUCUUUUAUUGGGCAAUUUUUUGACAGAAGUUUGUCGGAGAAUAUCCUCUCCUUCAAUUUAAAAGAAGAAAAUUUUGAAGUAAUUCCUCCUACACUAGCCAAAAAUCUUUUCUAUGUUCUUCAGCUUGGGCUGGAUAGUGACCUGAUCGAGUUUAGGUAUUAAGAGCCAAUGAGUUCGAUCGAUUAGUUCGGGAUCUAGCUGAAUGAUGUCAUAAUGAUGCCAUAAAUAUAUUUUAAUUAUCUAUAAAGUAAAAAUUAUAUAUAAAUUACACAUUAGCUUGACAUAUUUGGUGAGUUUAUAACAAAUAUGAAGAACUCAUUCAAAUAGUUGUACAAAUUUAGGCUGGAAAUAUAAUUUGAUAAGUAUUUGUGGUUUAAUAUAUAAUUUUUUUGAAACAAUUCAGUGUCAAUUCUUGAACUUAAAGUCCAAAUACACAUUGAUGAGCCUAAAACUUUUUAAUAGGACAAUUCUUCAACAAAAUUGAGGUUUGUAUGUAAAAAUACAAAAGUUAGAGUUGCGUAGAGUAAUUAUAAAAGAAGUUUGGGAGUAUAUUUAUGAUUAUAAAAAAUGGAGGGUCAAAACAAAAUACUAGAAAAGUUUUAUAUUUAAUUGGCAAUUUCUUCUCCACCAUGCAUCUUCAUCAGCCAGGAAUCGGGAGGUUUCAACCUUCAUCUGCAUUCCCCUUUUUUUUGGUUUCUUUUUGUAAUGAUUUCAUUGUUUUUUUGUCCCUUUUCUUCAACUGGGUAAGAAUCUUCCCCUUAUUCUUUAUUUUCGUUCUCUCCUGUUUUCUUCUUUUUCUAUUUAGAUCUAUAAAUCUUUGAGAGAUGACAAUGAUAGAUUUAUAGAUCUAUUUUCUCUUUUCCUUUUUUCUUCUCUUGCAGUAAUUGAAACUUUUUAUUAUGAUUUGUCAAAUAUCUUACCACCUUUUUUUGGAGAGAUAAAAUUAGGCUUUAGAAAUGAAGAAAAUUUUUGGAAAAAAAUCACAAAUCAGCAAUGAAGAAAUUCAGGUAAAAUGAGGUUUUUCCCGAUUUUAUUGAUUCCCAGUUUAACACUCGAUUUUUUAAGGUGACUUGGACCGAAUGCUUGAUCGGUCUUGGUUUGCCCGGUCAGACUGAUUAGUCUAAUCCAAAUUUUAAAACAUAGGAUUUAAAAGGACAUAUUUGACUUGGGGAUCUAGCAGCAGAGCAUUUGAGACUGAAAAUAUAUAUGGAUGUUAAACAAGGGCGGCAAUGGAAAGAUAGUCUAAUGCUAUACCAAAGCAAGGAAACAAAAAGAAAAAGGAUUAAAAGUAAAAUUAGUUGUGACCAAAUAAAUGUAGCCAACUUGAACAUGGUAUAAAAGCAAUUGAGCAAAUGCCUUGUUCAAUUCAAGAUAAUUGAGGUACAAAAUCUAGAUUAACACAGCAAAUUAGGUUGCAGAAUGUUGGGUGUGGGCCAGCUCAUUUGUGAGCCAAACUAGAAAAUCAAAUAUUUUUAGGUUUAAGUCAAAAAUUUGACUUAAAUAAAAAAGGCGAGCAGCCGCAUGAAGUAUGAUUCUUCGGUCCUUGUGCGAGAAAAAAGAUUUCAGCCGCCGCUCUUGCUGGCUUGGUGAAGAAGGAAAAGAGAAAAAUAACUGGGAGAUCUUGAUUGGAAGGUGAUUCGAAUCCCGAUUGAAAUAAAAUUUUACAUACGCGAUCCUCUCAUCAAUCUCUACUCAUCUACUGGUCCAGAUUUUAGAUUUCCUCUUCGUUUGGUGACACCUUUCUAAACUCACUUCUUUGAUAGUUGUAGUUUUUGGGGGUGAUUUUGUAGUAAUUUCGUUUGAUUGGUAUUGGUGAUAUUAUUGUCAACCGAAUAUUUUGGGUAGACCUGUGUAUUCCUAUUGUUGUGAUAGUGAAGAUUUUUGACUGGACUAGAUCCCGUGGUUUUUCCCAAUUUGGAUUUUUCACGUAAAAAUCUUGGUGUCAUGUGCCUUUUAUUUUUCUUGCAUUUUAUUAUCACUACUGGUAUUAUUACUUGGUGAUUUGAUUUAUUCCUAUUUUUAACCGGUACAUAGAGAAAGAGAAAUUUGUCUUGGAUUAACUCUGAUAUUGUGUGUCUAUACCCAUACCUCUUUCCCAACAAAUGGUAUAUUAGACAAUCUUCACAUUUUGCACUUUCAUAAAGCAAUUACACCACAACUAUUCAGUUUUAGAUCGACAACUUUGUAUGCUACAGUUCCUUAGGCUGUCAACCACGUAAAAGAUGUCUUUCCGCAUCAUAUUGAAUGCGUUAGUUACUUUGUUUAGCAAAUUUAUAAUUAUUGAGAUGCAUGAAAUACUUUUUUUUCUGCAAGAAGAAUGGUUAAAUUCUCAAUUACAAUGAAAACAGAUAAUAUAGUAAUCCCACCAAUAUUGUUUCUUUAAACAUUUUGUUGUAAUACUCUCAACCUUUUGCUUUUCUGGUAAUAUACUUUCUUUUCAUUUCCUUUCCUUCAAUUCAAAAGGUCACUAAAUUUUUUUCCUCAAAUGGCGCCUAAAUUACUUUAAAAGCAAAGAUAACUAGUGAGAUGCCAAAAAUUUCCAAUCAAUUAUAUGCUUUACUUUGAAACUUACCGGUAGUUCCACUUGUUUUAAAUUUGUAUUAUUUAGGUAGGUUAAAAAUCGAACCAAACUAUUCGAUAUUUGAAAUAAGUUUGGUUCAGUAAAAACUUGUUCUAACUUGAUUUAUGAAUUAAUCAAACAAAGUUUGAACAUCAUUUUGUGUUCAAUUAACUUUUAAACUCUAUUUAAUCCUGGUACAAUUAGCAUAAAACUUGAUUUUAUAAGUAAAAAAUUCAAGCUAUUUGAGCUCAACUCAAAUCUGGCUUGAUUAAAGUCAACAUUAAAUAUAAUUUCAAAUUUGCUAAAAUAAUUAAACAAAAUUGAACGCUAACUUGUCCUCAAUCUUACUAUUGUCCUUAAAUGCAGCCAUGCUGCAAAAUACCUAUGCAUUAUUAGUUGGCCACUUACUUCGACAUCUUCUUAUCCUCAACUUCUUUUGCCUUUCUUUCCUUUUUUGUCUUCUUUUGUUUUUAUGUUACAGUACGGUACACCUACAAAAUUAUUUUGCUACCCACUUUACCCCGCUAUACAACACGGAUGAAGGUUACUAAAUACAAAUUAGGGACAUGAGACUUAUGAAAUAGAGGCCGUAGAAAACAAAUGGGAGAACAAGAAAUCUAUAUUCUUUCUGUCAACUUGCAAUACUCAAUCUCCUUCAACUUCAAUUUCCUUCAAAGUUUCUUUUAAUUUUUUCUUGGUGCUUUAAACAUGACACAUUUCCUACUACCUUUUCUUUAAAAAAAAAAAAAAAAAAAAAACAUUGGCACGUGAAGUUGGCAAUUGGCACUUAUCAUACAAGUGGCUCCGGAUGUGCGGUAUCGUUUGUUUCUUUUGUUUCCUGGGGAUGAGUUUUUGGACUUGGACCACUCAUAAAUAAAGUUGUUUCCUCCUGUGCGGUAUUUCUUGUCAUGGUUGCUCUUACAAUACAGCCAGCCAAUGAAAGUGAAUGUGACAGAGAGAUAUACGCACGGAGACAAAGACAAGGCUGCUCGUGUCUCAUCGUACGAUCCAAUAAUUUGGGAAUUCGAAAAAUCUAAAACCAAAGGAGAAAACAAAUGUAAAUGUGUAAAUUUACAAGUAACCAGUAUUGGUGUAAUCAAUGCAUAAAUGUGUACAUUACAACUGAUAACAUGCAUAAACAAGAUAAACUCACAUUUAACGAGACUUGACUCAACGGUUAUGAUUGUUGAAUCUCAACCUUGAUUUUCUAGACGAACAUCUCGCUGUACAAAUUAUUUAAAUUGCUAUUUUUAAAAUUUUUGUAAAAAAAUAUAUUAUAGUGAUUUGAUAUAUGUGAAAUAAAAGGGUGAUUGAAAAAUUUAUUUAUAAAAAAUCUAAAAAAUUAUCUAUAGAAAAUAGUAAUGGAAGCAAAGGUUUUUGAAUUAUUGGAGCACCCCUAAAUUAGGAAGGACGAAAAUUCAUUAUCACAUCAUAGGACCAGCUAGUCUAUUAUUCUACAAGGUGAGAUAAUUAUGAAAUUGACAUGAAGAAAUACUUCCCACACGAGUCAUGAAUCGAUCAGAUGUGGGACUGGUGGCGGCCGCCAUCUCAAAAAUUAUCAUACGACAAGACGUGUUUCAACACCAUAAGUUGCUUUCGAAGAAUAUUAAAAAUAAUGUUCUGCACAAUAUUUGGACAAGGUCACAAGAAUGGCUCAAAUCACUGAAUCAAAAAAUCCUUUAGCUGCUCAGCUUGAGUUUCACUAAAUAUUUUGAAUUGCAGAGACCUAGUCAAAAAUCGAGUUUGAUCAUGAAAAACAAGGAAAAAAUAGAAAAGUUUUUCAUUUUUUGGUGAACCAUUUUCUUUUUUCUAUUUUGUUAAAGUUUUCCAUAAAAUAUGUUUACCAUAGUUUGAUGGGUUAGAUGCAAAACUUAGCUCUUAAUUAUAACAAAUUUUGCACUUUACUCCUUAAAAUUAUCUUAUUUUGACUUUACUCCACUAUUAGUCAACUCAAACAUUAUAUACCCAUAACCUGAAAAAAACAUUCAUCCUGAGGGUUAAUGACAGUAAAUCCCCUCAAGGUAUUGCAUGUUUUAUACUUUACUCUAUAAAGUCAUCUUUUCUCAAUUUGUAGGUUUGUCCCAAGACCAUUAGUUAACUCCAAUAUUCUGUAACACCCAAGAAAAAACAAUAGCUAAGAGACAUUUAUAUCCUUGACAGGAUAGUGAACUGAAUAAUAUUUUAUGGAUAUGAGUCUAGUUAAAUUUCAUCUCGUAAUUACACUUUUUUAAGACAGGGGGAAAUUUCUCGAUCAUUUUAUGCCUUAAGGAGGAAAAAUAAACAAAAUAUUAUUUAAAAAUAAAAUAUGAAAACUGAAAAUAUUACUAAAUUUGUAAAACCCGCUUAAAAACUGUCAAUCUCUCUUUUCAAAUGUGCAUAUAGGUUUGCUUUUCAUUUAAUGGCUACAUUUUUGCUUUGCAUAAAAAAUAUACACUUUUCGUUGUUAGUAACACUACAAAGGGGCAAAAACAUGAUGGAUUUGGCAUUCCAAAGCUUUAUUGUCACUUGUGCUCAGAGCGCACCCGACGUGUGUACAAUCAAAAAAUAUAUAAUAUUAAUAGUCAUAUAUUUUAAAUAAAAUUUUUAUUACUAAAGCAAAUUUUAAUCUUUUAAAUAUUUUUCAUAAAAUAAUUUUAUAUUGGUAGUUAUGUUGAAUACAUAUACUUAAAAGUAAAAAUAGUCAUGGGUGGUUAUAGAUAGUUAAAGUAAAAGUAAUUUUUAUAAGGGCAAAAAAGAAAGUUCAUAAAGUGACGAUAAAAGUUAACCCUAAUUUUAACCCCAAAUCUCUUUGUCAAGCUUUACAUAUAACUAGUGCCAAAGGCACACCCACAUGUAUGCAAUUUAAGAAUAAAUUAAUUUUUAUGAAAUUUUCUUUAAUGAAUUGAUAGUUAGUAUUUUGGUAGUUAUGUCAAUUGGUAGUUAUCUUGGUAAUUAAACUUUUUUUCAUAAUAAAAAGUUUGGAUGUUUAAAUUUUAAACAUAUUGGUAGUUGCAACAAAAAUUAUGUUGGUUAUAUAUAAUUGGAUAGUUAGGAUAAAAUUUAAUUUUGUGAGGAUAAAAAUGGAAGUUUAAAAAGUGACAAAAGGUAUUUACCCCACCCUUUCAUUUCCUAGAGUAAGUAAGGGUAAAUUUGAAAACACACAAAACUAACACCAAGUUAACUACCUACACAUGUUUUAUUAUUUUAAAGAUAUAGAUUUUGUAAUGCUAAAAGGCACUUUUCUCAAACUUCAACGGUUUACUACAGAGGCAUUUUUUUUACAAGUGCUCAAUACACACCCAAUGUGUGUGCAAUCAAAAAAUACAUAAUUUUUAUGGUCAUAUAUUUUAAAUAAAGUUUUUAUUACUGAAGCAAACUUUAAUCUUCUAAAUGAUUUUCAUAAAAUAAUUUUAUAUUGGUAGUUAUAAUGUUUAGGGGUAGUUAUGUUGAAAACAUAUAUUUAAAUAGUUGAAAGUAAAAAUAAUCAUGAGUAGAUAUAGGUAGUUAAAGUUAAAGUAGUUUUUAUAAGGGUGAAAAAGGAAGUUCAUAAAGUGAUCAUAAAUGUUAAUCCCAAAGUUAACCACAAACCCUUUCCUUAGACUUUAUAUGUAGUAUAGAUAUUGGUGAAUUUAACUAAUGAGGGAACAAAGUGAUAAAAAGAUAAUAAAAUUUGGAAUUCUAUGGGGGAAUUCUUAUAAAUAACCCGAGUUUGAUACUAAAAAAAUUAAUGCCUUGUUUAGAAAGAGAUUUUUUAUCAAAAAAUCUAUACGUUUUUCAUAAACACAUUUUUUAAUCACCUUUUUACCUCACAUAUAUGAAAUCGCUACAGUUUAUUUUUUACAAAAAUUUCAAAAAAUUGCAAUCCAAACAUAACCUAAACUUUUAUAGUGCGCCCAUGGAUAAUUAGGAAACUGUGAUGAUCUAAUAAAAGUUUUCCAGGGUUAAAAGUAAUAAGCCCCCAAAACUUUUGGGAUGCUUUGCACUACAGUCUCUAACGUUGAUUUUGUGCCAUUUAGUACUUUUGUUUUUUUAAAUGAGAUGUCUUAAAUUCAAAACUUCAUACUUACAAUUCCUUCCACCUCACCACUUAACCAUACCCUCCACCCCAAACUCCAAUUUUAGUACUUGUGUUAGUCAACCUCAACAUUUGCCGUUAAAUGGUACUAAUUUCUAAAAUUACCCUGAUUUCUAUGACAAAAAUACCUGUUGUCCUAAAUACAAUAAAAAGAUCUCCACAAAACCCUGCAAUCCUUUUGUUUAAUAUAAAAAAGUUUAAAAAAAAAACCGCAAGCAUUUUGACAGUGCCAAUACAACAAAACCACAAUCUUCCUUUAAUUAACUUAAAUGCAGCGAAGUAUUUCUUCCAAUCUUCUACUCCAUAGUCUUUUUUUUUUUUUUUUUGGAUUAACCGUAGGAGAGCGAAGUACUUUUGUCCUUUUUCUCCUUUUUAUCAAUCUCACAGCUGACAAAACAAAAAUUUUCAAAUAUAUCUAAACUAGCAGUUCCGUCUCUCACUUAUCUUUUUGCUUUCAACAGGUUUUGUACCUAAACAUUAUGUUUUUUUUUUCCCGCAAAAUUAUGUGCUAAGUACAUUCAUUUCCAGAAUAGACAAUUAGAAACAGCAAUGCUAUUAUUCAUGUUCAACUCGUUUGAAUUUGGAAAAGGUUUAAUCACAGAAUAAACAAAUAAAACUCGAAAACAAGAUUGAUUUGGAACCAACACACAAAUUUGGGUGCAAGCGGAUUGAAUAUGUUAUUGAACCCCACAAAAAAUUAUAUUGUUGCCCCACUUUGCCCCCUUAUUCUCCUUACCAGUAUUGCAACUAGAGGUGUUAAAAUGGAUGAUUUGGACGGGUUUGGAUUGGCAAAAAUGGAUAAUAGGUAUAAGUAAGUCAACCCAUUUAUACCUAUUUAAUUAAAUGGGUAUAAAUAGGCAAGCCAAAAAUGAAUUGGAUAACCCAAUUACUCAUUUAUAACCCAUUUAUUUUAAUUUUUUAUAAACUCAUUUAAAUUCAUUUUGCAAACUAGGUUAUCAAUUUAUACCACCCUUUACACCCAUCAUUAGUUUUAAAUAUUUACUUAUAAUGCUCAAUAAGCCUAUUUACCAAAUUUUUUUCCAUCCGUACUCUAUGUCGUAAAAUUACAUGCUAUUUAAUAAUUGAACAAUCAGAAUAUAAAAAUUUGAACUAAGUACUAUAAAAGUUAAACAUAAAAAUUUAAUCCAAAAAUUUUAAACUCCUAGCAUUUUUUUCAUGUGUAAAUUUAAAAUUUCAUUUUGAAAAAGUAGGAAAAGAGGCUAAAACUUGUCAUAAAUUGGUAACACUAAAGAGUAAGUUAACAAACUAAGAGAAAAAAAAAUGAUAAGAUAAAACCAACCAAUGAUAAUAAUAAUGAAACAAAAAUAGUUAACAUCAUAACAAAAUGAAGAAUCUGAAAAAAAAAAUGGGUGGGAGAAGAGAGAAUGCUUGGGGGAAGAUAAUUCUAAAUGGAUUAAUUGGAUUUGAUGGGUUAUCAAUAAUACCCAUUUAUUUAAAUGGGUAUUAUUGGAUAAUCCAUUUAUACCCAUAUGCAAAAACUUAAGAUACCCAUAUCCAUAUAUUCAUGGGCGGGUAUGGGUAAAUUUAGUUAAAUGGAUUCAUUUGCCACCUAUAAUUGCAACCAAUGCAAGUAAAAAUUGCGAUACUUGUUUACUACAAAAUAAGGACGUGAAUUUAUCAAAUAGAAAGUGGAGAGAAAAAAAAGGGCAAAAUACACUUAACUCUCUUGUGAUUUAUUGAUUUUUUACAUAACCUCCCUAUAGUUUCAAAUACUAUAUAUAACCCCCUCAUAAUUUGCAUUAAAGUUUCAAAGUGACAAAAGUGAUUAUUUGCAAUGAAACCCAUGAAAAUAUCGAAAUUGCCUUUGUUUAAAACCUAAAAUGACUGAACUGAUCAAAAAAUAUAAAUAUAAUAUGCAUGACACUCUAACAUCGUAUAGUUUUAUAUUUUACUAUAUAGUCCCCUUAUAGUUUAGUGUUUUACCAUAUAAUCCCCUUAUAAUUUUUAAAAUAUAUACAUAAUCUUUUAUGGUUAUAAAUAAUUUUUAACUUUACAUAAGAGUAUUUUUAACAUUCUAGUUGACUCCAUUAUGGAAUACAAAUUCAGUUAUUUUAAGACUUUAAUUCAAAUCAUGAGAGGGGUAUGUGUAUCUUUUGAAACUAUAGGAGAAUUAUGUGAAAAAAUAUUAAACCAUAGGGGGUAAAGUGUAUUUUUCCAAAAAAAAAAAAGGAAAAACAAGGAGUGAGACCAUUUUCUCAUUUUAUAUGUGCACUUUAGUAAAAUAGUUAAUCAUUUUUCUUCUUUUAAAUUGUAAAACUCAACCUCUUUUAAUUUAAAAUUUCAUUCGAAUGUUAUUUUAAUUUUGAUCUUAGUUCUUCAAAAUUGGCAUAUUAAUUUCCUACAAUUUUUGUAAGGAAAAAAAAAGCAUAAAACAUGGCACUUGAAGUUGGUUGUCGGCACUUAUAGCUUGUAUCAUUUGUUUGCUGGGUACAAGUUAUUGGACUUAGACAACUCAUGGAUAAUUAAGUUGAUUUCACCAGUGGGGUUUAUGGUGGCUUAUCUCCUUCUUAUCAUGUUUGUUCCGACGAUGCAGCCGGCCAAAGAAAUAGGAUGAGAAAGAGAAAUGGGCGCAUGGAGACGAAGGGCCGGCGGCUCCUUUUGAUAUAUCAUCGGUCCCAAUUGUUUGGGAAAUCUAAAAGCGAAGGAGAAAACAAAUGCAUGCAAUUAUGCGAAUCGGAAGAGAUCUGAAUUUUUUUGGAUCAAUUCAAGAACUCUCUAUAUUAGAAAGGGCAAUAAUGCAAUGUCACAUCCACAGGACCAGCUGGUCGUUUGUCAAUUAUUUUACAGUGGGAAAUUAUGAAAUUCGCAUAGGGAAAUACUUUCCUGCUCAUGAGCCGAUGAAACAGUGGAGUGGCGGCAGCCGCCGCCCUUCGAAAAUUUAAGUUUGUUUUUGGAUUGUAAUUUUUUUUAAAAAAAAUUCCUACGUUUUUUGUGGAUAUAUUUUUCAAUCACUUUUUUAUUUUACAUAUAUUAAAUCGCUACAGUAUUUCUUUUACAAAAAAUCCAGAAAAAUGCAAUUCAAACAAAGCUUAAAAUUUUAUUUAUAUCAGAUUUUUUUUUGUAAAACAUUAUAAUUUUAUUAAAUUUUGUAUUAAUGGCAAAAGUUACAUCAUCUGAAAAGUGGAUACUAUAGAUAUGAAAAACAGAUAAAAAUUACACUGUAAAAUUCUAAAAAAUAGUUUAAAAAAUGAGAUAAAAUAAUUGUAACCUCACGAAUAUCUAUGCAUGCUUGUGAUCGUCAAAUCUAUUGAUUAAUUUUUUCAAUUCUGAAUAUUAUGGUGAGAUUUACCAAAUAAACUCAAGAAAUUCCAAAUUUGAUAAAUAAAAUCUAAAAAAAAAGAGUUAGAUCGAAUAAAAGAAAAUAAAAAAAACUACCUAAAGCAUUCAUUAGAAAUCUCUAGGAAAGAAGAAAACUCUCACUAGGUAACACUAAGAGAGGAAAAAAUUCUCACUAGAAAAUUGUAAGAAAUUUUAUUUGUACAAAUGAAAAAAAACUAUAGAUAAAGCUCCUCCUAUGGAGAAAGAUUGAAAAAAUGUGAUUUCUCACCCGAAAGAAUUGAAUGAAGUUUUGGUUAGAGAAUUUUCCUAAAGAGAAACUAAUUCUCUCUUUCUUCUCUCAAGAAUUGGUGGGAGGUUUUUUUUAUGUCUUAUACAGUUCUUUCUUAUUUAUAUCAGAAUUAAGAGAAUGGAAAGUGAUAAUUUGGAGAAAAAAAUUUGAUCAAAGCCUUGAUAAUUGUAAGGUCCAAUUAAUAUUCUAGAUCUUGGCCAUAUUAGCUCGAGCUAAUCUAGGUCAUCCAUCUCUUUUCUAAAGAAAAUUUAUAUUUUUUUUUUGUUGUAAAAGUUAAUGGCCAGAUUUGGACCACAUCAGCAAAACUUGAUUUGAACCAUUAAUUGUACGUAUGCCAGGCAAUCGUGCAUUCUCCUAAAAGUAGCCAAUUGCCAUGGAAGGUUGUAAAUGACCAUCUUAAUCCCUGAAUUAAGAAACAGUCAUCCCAUAAAUCCUCUUCCUCCUUCCACAUUCGAAGACCGCCACCGCAGCUUACUCCACCCUUCAUUCACAAACCCAGUCAACAAUUUUUGCCUACAUAUCAAUCUUGAUUACCUUGCUAUAUCCCCUUACUCUUCCCUUCACGCUAUCUUCUUCCCAUAUUGAAGAAGCAAAACCAUGAUGAAAUAUUGUUUUGGGACAGGAAUAUGUCCAAAAGGGUGAUUUUAGGGCUAUCAAUGGGUCCGGACCCAAAUCUGAUCCAAUAUGCUCGUUUGUUCGAACCUGACCAAAUCCAAAUUAUAUGCAUUCUAAAUGGAUCGGGUAUGGAAUGACAUGUUCCGAUUCAUUCGGAUCCGAUCCAAUUAAUUGGACAUAUAUAAGUAAUAAUUAUAAUAUUCAUUAUAAAUUGUUACUAACCCACAUGUUUUCUCUUUGAAAAAAAAAGGAGGUACUCUAAGAACCAAAUAAUCUUUGGAAUUUUUCUCAUUGUGUAGUUACUAUUUUAUUAACAAAAUUUGUGUAAAAAUAGAAUUCAAAAAUUAUCAAAAAUUUUGUUAUACUAAAUUGAUUUUAUGGAUUGGAUAUAUCCGAAAUAGAUUUGAAUCCAACAGAAACUGGAUCCAGAAAUACAUAUUAAGACUUCAUUAGGUAAAUGGAUUGGGAUCCAAAAUAAUUAUUACCUGUCGGAUUUGUGUUAGCAGUUAUCAAUUUUACCCAGAAUCAACCCGAUGAGUUCUUAUUUUGUUUCUUUUUGGGCAAAGCUCAUACUAAUGGAGAGGGAUGCCAGUCCCAAAUUUAUUACUAAUAGAGAAAGGAAGGGCCAGGCAUUAAUCUAAACUCUAAUACAAGAAAAAGAAGCUAAUGAAAUGGAAAAAGGAGUACUACUCCCGUGCCGAUCUUAAUCUAAUGUUUGGCAAACUAAUACUAUCAACAGAAAUAAUAGCUUUUACUGUGAAGCAUGGUUCAAAGUCUCGGCCGACUCGUCACCGUCUCAGACCCUUCGAUACGUCACUGUGAACGGUUGAAACGGUCGAGUUACACUGAAUCACUCCGAGUCAUCCUAAGUCAACUCGAUUUUUUAUUAUUUUUACUAAUUUUUUAAUUAAUUUUGUUUACCAUAUUUUUUAUAAAUUUUAGAAUAUUAAAUAUUUCAAAAAUUCGCGUCUCACCGAGACUGCAUGCCAAGAUCGAUGUAGAACGGUCUAGGCCGCGACCGCGACUUUGAACCAUGCAGUGAAGGCAAUUCCGACGUAGAAGUGUAAAUCUGCUGCCGAGAGAGAGUUAAAGAAACAAGAAAGUAAACUGAAAAACUUGCUCCACCAUAAAUGUGAUGAACAAAAACCCGAUAACACCUUGAAGCAAAUGACGAAUUUGAACUAGGGCACUACACAUUGGCCAAUUAGCUAAAGCAUUGGUUGAUAAAGGUGCACAGGUAGCUUAGCAUCCACCUGUACCAGUACAUCAUCAGUAGUGCAUUAUUUUCUACCAGCAAAAAAUUUGCCUUGUCAAAUUCUUCAUAAAAUACAAAGACAAUCCUAUCAAUAUUAUGAUGCUAAAUGAGAAAUUUUGGGUUCGAGUCCUUCCAUCUAAAUUAUUUUAAAAAAAGCAAAAAAAAAAAUCCAUGAUGGUCUUGUAGAAGACUCUCUCGAGAUGAAGUUAACCUUUUAGUACUGGUAAUGGUAUUGAGUUUAUAAUGCUUUUCCAUGGUGGAAACCAUCAGACAGCCAUUACCGAUGUCCUCAUGGAAGUUUCUAGCCUAAAAAACUUUGCAGUAUAAGUAUUCUAAUCACUUAUUACAUAAAAUCCUAUCACCAAGGAACGUGCUCCUAACACAGCAAGACAAUUAUCAACCUUCAAAAUAAUCUUAAAAGCGAGCGAAGAGAUUCUUUGAAAAUGUGUUUCGUUCUUUCCACACCAUGAAAACCACAAAGCUAAUAUAGGUAAAAUACAUCUAAUGUGAUCAAGAGGUGCUUUAUCUAGAGACAAAUUAACAAGAAGACAUCAGCAAAGAAGAGAUACAUGUAUGAGGCUAGAAGGGAAUUCUGAAAACUGGGAAGUAAUGCCCGGCAAACUUGAACUGGAAUCGAGCCUUCUGUUAAAGUAUGCGGCAAAGAUGUUGUAAAAACUUGAUAUUUCAAAAGAUUUUUCGUUUGUUUCGGACUAGAGCUUUAUCUGAUAAUAUUUCAUCAGAUAUGGUUGUUUCUAUUUUGAUGGAGAAGUUUUCAAAGAUAAGGUUUUGACUAAAAGGCAAGUUCAAGUGCUAGAUAGGAAGUUAAGCUUCGGAUGGCCUUUUUUCAAAUGACUUGACCUUUUCCAAACUUAUCACCACAGAGGAUAGACCUCUGACUACUUCAAAAGAUAAAGUCUGGCACGAAGCAAGCCUAUUCUCACGGAAAAUUAGCUUUCAAAAUUCUAUCUUCUUCCGUCCCGUGAAGCUUAUAAAUAGAACCAGUUGCCAGGCUCAUUUCGCACUGCAAAAACGAAGUCUACACUUUAAAACACUCUCUACCUCCUCCUUUGUCUAUCCUUCACAACAUUCUUGCUUUUCUGCUGGGUUAGAAACAAGAUUUUUUUUGCUGGUUCUAUGUCCCUCUCACAAAGUAGAGGAAAACUUGUUUAAUUCUGGGGAAACGUUUCAAUACCCUGAAAUAGUUUCUUAGGACAGUGCUUUCUAGCACGACUCAAGUAUCCACGUGUUGACAUUGUUCGGGCCGCUUUAUCCAACAAUCUAAGAAACUAUGGCAUCUAACAAUGUUAGCACCCCACAGCCUUCAUCAGCAACUGUUGCAGUGGCACUACCAUUCGCCAAGCUCUUUCCGGAUGUAUCCAAAAUUGAAAUUUUCGCCAAUGAAAAUUUUAAAAGAUGGCAAGAACGUGUGCACUCUCUACUUGACAUCCAUGGAGUAGCUUAUGCGCUCACUGAAUCUCAACCUUCUGCAACUGCGGAUGCCAAGAGUCAAGAAGCAUGGCAAUAUGCCAAUAAGGUAUGUCGACACACUAUCCUUCAAACACUCUCUAAUGAAUUAUUUGACGUCUACUAUAGCAGCAAAGAAGCCAAGGCAAUUUGGGAAGCCUUGGUAACAAAGUUUACUGCCGAAGAUGCAACCAAGCAAAAAUUCGUCGUAGGAAAAUACAACCAAUGGCAAAUGACUGAUGACAAGGAAAUGAAAAUUCAAAUCACCGAAUAUCAAAUGCUGCUAGAGGACUUGAAAAAUGAAGACAUCAAUCUUCCUGAGAAAUUCGCUGCAAGCAUGCUGAUUGAAAAACUACCAGAGUCAUGGGCCGACUAUAAAAACAACUUGAAACACAAGGAGAAAAAUUAUACCAUGGAUGAGCUCGUGAAGCACAUCCUCAUUGAAGAUUCAAACAAAAGGGAGUUAAGAGCUACCAAGGCAAAGGAGACGGCUUUCAAAGCCAAUCUGGUACAAGGUAAUAAUAAAAGGUACGCCAAUAAAUCCCAGAAUUACAAGCCCAAAAAUUUUAAUUUCAAGCCUAACAAUCCCAACUUUAAGAAAAGGAAAGGCAAUUGAUUUUAUUGUGGAAAACCAGGACAUCAUGCAUUACAAUGCAGACAUAAUAAAGGUGACAGAGCAAAUGGUAAUCUUCCUAAGGUGCACUUAACCGAAGGAGAUGAUAUAAUUGCUGCUGUCAUCUCUCAAGUGAACAUUGCAGCCAAUGUCAAAGAGUGGGUGGUAGACUCUGGGGCUACUCGGCACAUAUGUGCAAAUUGAGAAGCAUUUUCCUCCUAUACUCCUAUAGGGGAUGAUGAGGAAGUUGUCUACCUUGGUGACUCACGAACUGCUAAUGUUCUGGGUAAGGGCAAAAUAUUCUUGAAACUCACUUCAGGAAAAACUUUGGCUCUCAAUGAUGUACUGCAUGUGCCCAACAUUCGGGCAAAUCUGGUUUCCGUAGGAUUGCUAGGAAAAGUUGGAGUGAAAGUGUCAUUUGAAUUUGGAAAGAUCAUAAUGACCAAAAAUAAUGUAUUUGUGGGCAAGGGCUAUUGUAAUCAGGGACUCUUUGUACUUAACAUUGCCAAUGUGAUCAAUGAGAAUGCUUCUUCUUCUGCUUAUAUUAUUGAUUCAAUUUCUUUAUGGCAUGCAAGAUUAGGACAUGUUAAUAUGAGUUAUAUAAAGAAAAUGCAAUCUUGUGGCCUGAUUUCUGGUGUUAAUGAUAAAAUGGAUAAAUGUGAGAUAUGUGCAGAAACUAAAAUGACAAAGAAGACUUGUAUAACUGUUCAAAGAGAAACUGAACUAUUAAAUUUAAUCCACACAGAUUUAGGUGAUUUAAAACAAACUAUGACUAGAGGAGGAAAAAGAUAUUAUGUCACUUUUAUCGAUGACUACUCUAGAUAUACUAAACUUUACUUACUUAGAAAUAAAGAUGAUACUCAUAAUGCCUUUUUAUCUUAUAAGUCUGAGGUAGAAAAUCAACUUAAUAAGAAGAUAAAAAGAAUUAGGUCUGAUAGAGGAGGCAAAUAUUUAGCCCUAGAUAAAUUUUGUGAACAUGAAGGCAUAAUACACGAAACAACACCUCCUUAUUCGCCAGAAUCUAAUGGAGUAGCUGAAAGGAAAAAUAGAACAUUAAAAGAAAUGAUGAAUUCUAUGUUAGUUAGUUCUCAUGCUCCUGAUAAUUUAUGAGGAGAAUCUAUUUUAUCUGCAUGUCAUUUACAAAAUAGGAUACCUCAUAAGAAAACUGGCAAAACUCCUUAUGAGUUAUGGAAAAGUUAUAAACCAAAUUUGAAAUAUUUAAAAGUAUGGGGAUGUCUUGCUAAAGUAUUGUUGCCUGAACCUAAGAAAAGAAAAUUAGGUUCUAAAACUUCUGACUGUAUGUUUAUUGGAUAUGCUGAACAUAGUGCUGCAUACAGAUUUCUUGUUUUAAAAAGUGAUACGCUUGAUUGUAAUACAAUUAUUGAGACAAAGAAUGCUGAAUUCUUUGAACAUAUUUUUCCAUUGUCGAGUAAAAUUUCUCAUGCACCUGUUGAAAUAAAUAGAGAAAUAAUUCCGAAUGAGGAAUUAAGAAGGAGUAAAAGGCCAAGAAAAGAAUUUUCUUAUGGAAAUGAUGUUCAAACUUUUCUUGUUGAUAAUGAUUCUUUAACAUACUCCGAUGCUAUUUCUUCCCCUGAUUGUAAAGUUUGGAAAUAAGCAAUUAAAUCUGAAAUUGAUUCUAUCUUGUCAAAUAAAACUUGGAUUUUGGUGGACUUACCUCCUGGUGCAAAACCUAUUGGUUGCAAAUGAAUUUUUAAAAGAAAAUAUAACUCUGAUGGCUCUAUAGAAAAGUACAAAGCUCGUUUAGUAGCAAAAGGAUUUUCUCAAAAACAAAAUAUUGACUAUUUUGAUACAUUUGCACCAGUAACAAGAAUUGCGUCUAUUCGAGUUUUAUUUGCUUUAGCUUCUAUCCAUAAACUUGUUAUUCAUCAAAUGGAUGUCAAAACAGCAUUUCUAAAUGGUGAUUUAGAGGAAGAAAUUUAUAUGUUUCAACCUGAGGGGUGUAUUGUAUCUGGACAAGAAAAUAAGGUUUGUAAACUAAUUAAAUCUCUUUAUGGCCUAAAACAAGCUCCUAAACAAUGGCAUGAGAAAUUUGAUCAAGUAUUGAUAAAAGAUGAAUUCUUGUCUGUAGAAGUGGAUAAAUGUGUGUAUGUCAAAAUUAUAAAUGAUCAAUAUGUGAUAAUCAGCUUAUAUGUGGAUGACAUGCUUAUAUUUGGUACUAGUCUAGAUAUUGUAAAUAAUACUAAAUAUUUUUUGUCCUCUAAUUUUGAUAUGAAAGACUUGGGUGAAGCCAAAAUGAUAUUGGGUGUUAAAAUCAUAAGGAGAGGUGAUGGUAUAAUGUUGUCACAAGAACAUUAUACAGAGAGACUUCUUAGGAAGUUUGAAAAUUAUGAUGUGACACCUGUGAGUACUCCUUAUGACGCUAACAUUCAAUUGAGGAAAAAUAAUGGCGACCCAAUUGCUCAGUCUAAAUAUGCUCAGAUCAUUGGGAGUCUGAUGCAUCUGAUGAAUUUCACUAGACCGGAUAUAGCUUAUGCUGUAUGUAGACUGAGUAGAUAUACUCAUAAUCCCAAUCGUGAGCAUUGGUUUGCAUUAGUCAGACUAAUGAAAUAUUUGAGAGGUACCAUGAAUUUUGGUAUACUAUAUAGUGGAUUUCCCACUGUAUUAGAGGGUUACAGUGAUGCUAACUGGAUCUCUGAUCCAAAUGAUACAAAAUCCACUAGUGGUUAUGUGUUCACCCUUGGUGGUGGUGCGGUAGCAUGGAAAUCAGCCAGACAGACAAUUAUUGCUCGGUCAACUAGGGAAUCGGAGUUCAUAGCUCUGGAGUUAACUGGCUCUGAGGCAGAUUGGUUAAGAAAUUUCUUAGUCAAUAUUCCUCCUAUUAAGGAUCUGUUGUCUCCUGUGUCUAUACACUGUGACUGUCAAGCGGCUAUUGCUAUUGCAAAAAUAAAUCUUAUAAUUGUAAAAGUCGACACAUGAGAUUAAGACAUGAUGUCGUAAAGCAGCUGCUUAGAGAUGGAAUUAUUUCCAUUGAUUUUGUGAAGUCAGAGUUGAAUUUGGCCGAUCUUCUGACUAAACCUGUAGGAAGAAAAUUAAUUCUUCAAACUACAAGGGAGAUGGGACUUAGGCUAACGGUUGUCAAUAGAGAUGGUAACCCAACCUAUGUGAUUAGUGAUCCCAUGAAAUAGGUUCAUAUGGGUAAUAACAAGUCGAUAUUGACUGUAAAAGCACUUGAAAUUUAAGUCCCUUCAAAAUUAAGUGCUUUGACUGCCAAUAAUUGUGAGGCUGAGUUUAAUACUCUUAAUGAAUUUAUAUUCCUUCAGGAAGGUGUAUUUAGGGCAGUAUACACUUGAUAAAUUCACCUAUAUGUGAGUGGAGUGGGGCCGCUCCUAUAAGAUUUUUUGGCCGAAUCUUUAGAGCUCUCAUGAACAACCAGGCGGGCGCACGACCUAAAUGCGCGAAACUGCAUUGAACAGCAAAAUUAUGGGUUAUAAUGUGAUUGAUAAGAUCUCUGUCAUACAAUAAGAAUUAUUGGUUCAUAGAAAGAUAUGUUUUCACCAAUAAUUCUGUAAGACAUAUUUUAUCAAUUUAAGUUUGGUUCAUAGUCCAAAAGACACCAAACUCAUUACAUUGAGCUCAGACAAAUCCAGCAGAUGUUUAUACUCUUUUGUCCAAAAUCUUUUGAAAUAGGUGGGAGAUUGUUGUAAAAACUUGAUAUUUCAAAAGAUUUUUCGUUUGUUUCGGACUAGAGCUUUAUCUGAUAAUAUUUCAUCAGAUAUGGUUGUUUCUAUUUUGAUGGAGAAGUUUUCAAAGAUAAGGUUUUGACUAAAAGGCAAGUUCAAGUGCUAGAUAGGAAGUUAAGCUUCGGAUGGCCUUUUUUCAAAUGACUUGACCUUUUCCAAACUUAUCACCACAGAGGAUAGACCUCUGACUACUUCAAAAGAUAAAGUCUAGACGAAACAAUCCUAUUCUCACGGAAAAUUAGCUUUCAAAAUUCUAUCUUCUUCCGUCCCGUGAAGCUUAUAAAUAGAACCAGUUGCCAGGCUCAUUUCGCACUGCAAAAACGAAGUCUACACUUUAAAACACUCUUUACCUCCUCCUUUGUCUAUCCUUCACAACAUUCUUGCUUUUCUGCUAGGUUAGAAACAAGAUUUUUUUUGCUGGUUCUACGUCCCUCUCACAAAGUAGAGGAAGACUUGUUUAAUCCUGGGGAAACGUUUCAAUACCCUGAAAUAGUUUCUUAGGACAGUGCUUUCUAGCACGACUCAAGUAUCCACGUGUUGACAUUGUUCGGACCGCUUUAUCCAACAAAAGAUUCAAUCGAAUAGCUACUAGCCAAAUUAUCUGAACAAGAAGAGCAUUAUUUGGAAACCAAAAUAAUACCAUGGACAUGAAUAUCCUCAUCUCAACGGCUAGAGGGAAUUCCAUGUGAUCUUCAAAACAAUGGAAGAAUUCUUCUUCUUUCUCACCUCCCCCCUCCCAAGCCGAAGCUAGAGUAAAACAACCAAAGGUAAAUAGCUGCCACACCAACAUAUCUUCUUGAUUUGAUCAAACCCUUAACUUCAAAAUUGCAGCCACUAUACGAAGAGGAAGCCGGUCAUUCAGCCGAGCAACAUUCCAAUCGAAAUUCAUAAGAAAAACUCAGCUACUAGACAAUAUGGUGGAUAAUCCAUAUCACAAACAACAGCAGAGGGUUCAUCCAAGACCCAUCUAUCAAACCAAAAAUCUAUCAUUCUCUACUCUACGCACCAAUCGAUAUUCACUUCAGCAACUCCUUUAAUGUAAAACAAAUGUUUUCAAACAACUUAACCCACGCAAGAUUGAACUUGCGUUGGAUGAAGAGCAUGAAGAUAUUUCCGCUACGUAAACUUUGCUUAAACUGUUUUUUUUUUCUAAAAUUCUAUCGUAGCUUAAUACUGAAAGCAUGGAUCUAAUCCCUUGACUUUCUCUACUAGAAAACGUAAGUUUUCCCAAGAAGACCAGUGAAUAUGCCUCGAAUUAUCUUUAACAUCUGACAGAAAGCUAUUAUACGUACAUUCAAUAGUUCUAACCACCACUUUUGGAGGAGAUAGCACUUGCAACAAGUACAUAAGAAUUUAAGAAGGGACAUGUUUCAGUAUAAUUAUUUUCCCACUAGCUGAUAAGAAUUUAGAAUGCCAACCAGAAUUCUCCCUCUGAUUUUCGAUACAAUGCUUCAAACAUUACUCUCUUUGAUCUACUCUCAUAUAAAGAAACUACCAAAUAGGAAAAGGGGAGACAUUGAAGUUGAAAUCCCAAAUAGAACAUACCAUACACAUCUAGCAGUCAAGAUCUUAUCGGAACAAAUAAAUAAGCUAUUUGCAACCUUGAUCCACUGAUCAGAUUAGUAGUGAGAAAGAAAGUACUUUAUCGCCUUCAAACACCUCUUCAAGCAAUGUGUAAAAAUGAUUGUAUCAUUAGCAAAAGCAAGAUGCAAAACUUGACCUCCUGAUAAUGUAAAAAACAUCCUCCUCCCAUUUUCAAAUAAAUCAAUCAAUCCAUGACCAAGAUAUUCAGCAGCUAUCACAAAUAAAGUUGGUGAUAAUGGAUCUCCUUGACGACGAACACCACGAAAGGACUUUAAGAAUCCCACAACUCCACUAUUUAAACUAAAUGAAAACCAAUUGUUGGAGACAAUGCGAAACACAAGAUCAUUCUUGUAUUCGCUAAACCAGAAAUCUCAAUAUUUGCAUAAUGAGAGACCAAUUCGCCUAAUCAUAUGCUUUCUCUUAACACAUUCAGUUCCUGGAGUUUCUUAUCAAUCUCAGCCACAAGCUCUUGAGCUAACAACAUGAAAUCAUUAAUUCGUCUUCCCAGAAGAAAUCCCGUCUGCAAUGGGGACAGAAAGAUAAUUUAUGGGAGAAUUGUUGGGUUUGUGAGUCCAACCCAUUUGUUGGGCCAAGUCACAAUUAGAGCCCAAAGCCCAUGGUCAUUUGGUUUCCGAGUCAAUAUUUGACUUGAGAUUAUAGGAAGUGACUAGUCAAUUAACUAAAACUUGAAGUCGCACAAAAGGGAAUAAAUAUCAACCUAUGAGAUUAAUUGCAACGUUAUUAAACUCGAACGGGAUAGCGACUUGGCUAAACUAUUGAAUCAAGGGUCAACUAGUCGGAUCGGUUGGACCGCUUUUAAAAACCCGCUCAUGUCAACAUGUCGUCAUAGUUAUUUUAUUUUUUUUUAUAAAUUAUAGAAAUAUAGAAAUUAACUUCUUAGUUAUAUUCGAUCAAUCAUAGAAAAUGUUCCAAAAAUAUUAGACUUGCAAUCAAAUAUACACCUAAUAAUUAUAUAUAAAAAUGUAAAUUCAUGGCUAAAAUAUGUCCAUUCUCCAAAACUACUUGAAAAACUAAAUUAAAACAAAUUAAUGCAAGUUGGAAUCACUGAUGCUAAAAUGAUAAGAUCAUAUGGAUGAAAACAUUUUGAUUUAGAGAUCAUUCAGGAAAGGGAAUGAUUUUUGUAUUUACACUAAGUGGAUGGCGUUUUCUUAUUCCUAUUAAUAAAUAAGACUCAAAUUAUGUUUGGGAAAAAGAAGCAAGAAAAGUUUGAAAAUUAGGUCAAUCAGUUGAACCGGGUCACUGGUUUAGUCAAUUUUUGACGGUUUUGACCAAAGCGAUUUUGUACUACAAACUAGCUCGGAAAGAUGGUCGAUUCAUAGUCGGACAGGUUGUCAGGACAGAAGAAAUAAGCUAAAUUUAAGAAUACUUUGUAACGGUGACGUUUGGGGAAUAAUUGUAGUGCAGCGAUGACGUUUUGUGAAAUGUUAGUAAUAAAAAGGGAUAAGUGGAACGGUGUCGUAUGAAAGGCUGAGUUAGUUAGAACAGUCACGUGGGUUGUGACAGAAAUUGGGUAGCGGUAGUUAAUUCAUCCUAUUUGUACACGUUUGAUUGGCUAAAGAGGCAUCAGAGAAUAACAAUUGCAUUUUCCCUCUUUUCCUACUUUCUCUUUCUACUCCCCUUACUCUCUGCAACUUCUUUUCAAUCUUCUCUCUCACGAAGCUCUUCUGAGCUUCUCUCCUUUCUCCAAUUCAGGGAUAUGGUCGUAGGAGCCUGACAAGUGAUAUCAGAGCUUGUCGAAUCCUUGGAAUUGAACAGCAAUGGCGGAGAGUACCAGAUUCAAGACUCUGGAAGAACAGAUCAAGAAAUAAGAUUCCAAGCUCCAGGAGGUAAUAGAAAGUCUGUAGGCUUCGCACCACCAACAACAGCAGCUUCGCGAGGAGCUGCGAACAGAACUCGAGGAGAACAACCAGAAAAUGGAAGGUCUGGUAAUAAGAUUGAAACAAGAGUUCAGCGCCUUCAUGAAGAUGAUGCUGGAAAGAGAGAAACUGAAUUAUGAACCAGGAAGAACCCUGAGUGAUCAACCACCUCUGCUGCCAACACCACCGCCUAGUCAGAGGCUGCAAGUUGGACUCGAAGGUAUCAAGAUUGGGAGGAGAGAAACAAACAAGGCACUGAUUCCAAAUCCCCCAAAAAUUGACUUGCCUCUAUUCGCUGGGGAAAGUCCAAGGGAAUGGAUCAGGAAGUGCAACAAGUAUUGCAUAAACUACCAAAUUCCUAAGGAACAGAAGGUAAAGGUGAUCGAGAUGUACUUGGAAGGGAAGGCGGGCAGGUGGUUCCAGGGAGUUAAGGCGGAGAAACCUGAAAUCACGUGGCCAAUGUUUGAAGAAUUAUUGGGCAAAAGGUUCGAUAACAAGGCAGGUAAGGAUAUUGUGGAGGAAUUUAACAAAUUGCACCAGACAGGGAAGGUGGAGGAGUAUCAGGAAAGGUUUGAGGAGCUCAAGGUCCUCAUGACAAUGAAGAAUCCGCAUCUGAGUGAAGAAUAUUUUGUAUCCAGCUUUAUCAGUGGAUUGAAAGAUGAAAUCAAGACUAUGAUCAAAAUGUUGAGGCCUACCUCUCUGUCCGAGACUUUUGAAUUAGCAGUAUUGCAGGAGAAUGCACUGAACCUUGUGAGGGCCUCAAAAUUUAUUAUUUUAAUAAGAAUAUUAUUAUUACUAUUUCAUUUAUUUAUUUUAUUGUUUUAUUUAUUUUAUAUAUAUAUUUUUUGAAAAGUUAAAUAAUAAAUGUGAAUACAAUUAUAUUAUGUAUUUAUAUAAAAUUACAUGAUCUUUAUGUGCAUAGUUCGCAUUUUCAUAAUUAAAUUAUUUUCAUUCGAACAAAAUUCCAAUGUUUGACUGACUAGUGCUAAGUUCAGUUUUUAAGCCGUGUCGAGGAAUUUAACUUUGGUGAAAGAUUAGUCUAUGAGUAGCUUUAAAAGAAUUAUAAAUGAGAUAGAACUAAGAUAGAUAAGAAAAGUGUAGUGGACAAAUUUAAGUGGAACAUAAGCAUUGGUCAAAGUUGGACAAUUUCCGCUAAAACUAAGUUUUAAUCUUGCCAUUGUUUCUUCCAUUUAAUUUCCUCCAAUUCACUUCAAUUUCUUUUCCUUUCUUCCUUAUUAUAGUCGAGAAUCCCCCUCCCUCAUUAGCCAAGAUAAUCACUUUCAUUCCCACUAAAUUUACUCUUAAGACAUUAAUAUGUAAGAGGGGACAUGAUCCUUAAAAUAGGGCUUUAAGUCCUAUCCUUCUCUUCCCAAUAUAAUGCUCCCAAUUUUUCAAACAUUUCAUUCCUUUUCUUCUUCCCUUAUCAGCCGACCACCCUCACACACUCUCUCCCUCUUUCUAGCCAAAGCUCUAUCUUCUUCUUCCUCAACUCAAACUCCAUGACCAACCAACUUCUAGCUUCACUCCAUCUCCUAUUUUUUUUUCUUGUUGUUCUAGCCGAGAGAAUGAGAGGGAGAAACCGAGAGGAGCUCUUUGUGGUGGCUGGCCAGAUUCUUGGAGAAGGAAAGAGAUCUCUUCGUGGUGAAGAUUGGACAUCCUAGCCUUGGGAAAAUCAGCUAGAACCUGAGGUAGUUCUCUAACCCAAAAGCUAGAGCUUUCAUGUUAUCUCUUGAAGAGUGAAUCUUGAAACUUCAUUGGGUUGAAUUCUUGUUGGAUUUGGUUAAUGUACGGGUUCUUGGGAUUCCCACAAAUGUAUGAUCUUGGUUGCUAGCAUGAUUUUUGAUUGGUAUAUGUGUGAAUAUUUGGAGUUGUGGCUUGAACUUUGGAAGGGAAGAACCUUAACAGAAAUCGGGAGAAAGAGGGGGAGAGAGAGAGAGGGGGGACCAAAAUGGUUUCUGUUUUCUCUAUUUUUCUUGGCUGUGUUUUCACAAAUUUAAAGAUUGAUUUGGGAGCUAAAAAUUUAAGCUUUAAGCUGUCAUUUUCUCUUACAAAAAAAAAAAAAAAACCCCUUCAAAUGGCGUUGCAAAAUGGUUCCAAAAGAAGGUUUCAAACCUGGAAAUUUCAAAUGAGAGUACGGUCCGAAAUUUCUGUGAUUAUUCGAAAAUGUUUGGGGCUCAAUUAGCCUUAGCACAUAACAUGAAAGUUGUAGAGAAUUGAGUUUAAAUUAUGCCUGUAAAGUUUCAGCUCAAUCGGAGCUGGGUAUCCUGUGAAAUGACAAAAUUGCCCCUGCUACCCUGUUUCUAUCAGAAAUGAUAAUCAGCCUCUGUAAUUGGUUAGUUUGACCGGGAAUAUUACUGAAUUGGUUGUCAAUGUCUUCUUAAGAAUUGUAGCCUUGUAUCUUAGCUUUGAAAUGGCUUUGGAAUCACCUGAAUCGGAGUUGUGUGUGCUGAGUUAAGAUUAACUGAAUCAGGACUAUCAGUAAUUGUGUCAGUGAGAAUUGAACCAAGAAACUUGGGCUAUUUCGGUAAAUUUGAUCUAGUUAGGGUGAGAACUGGGUUGAGAUGUCUUCACAAGAAUGGUAGAUCUAUGUCUUAGCUUCGAAACGGUAUAUUUUUUGUUUCAAUCCGAUAAGUGUAGCUCGAGUUGUGCUUAAAUUCCUAAAAGGAUUUGGUAAAUGGAUUUACGAACUGUACUUUCUUAUUAGGUGAGUGUGUACGUUAUCACACUCGCCAAAGGACAUGUGACUUUUCACUAUUUGAGUGACCUAUUUACCAAUGUGUUUAUGUGGUCAAUGUGGUUACUGGACGCUUGGUUUGAGGUGAUUAUUGUGAUUAUUGUGGCUGAACCCCUUGAGCAUUUGUUCGGGGUGACUAGCUUGAGGAUUUUAAUUGCUUUCUUGUUUUUGGCUUGAUGAUAGGUAGAGGUCUGGAGGUAUAUUGAGCUUUAGAUGCAUAUAUGUGAUAAAUCUUGCUUUAUUACAUGUUUGGCUUGUUAAUUAUUGCCAGAUAUUCCUUUAUUUGGAUAGAUGAACUUGUGUGUGUUUAAGUAUAGCAAGAGGAAAAAUUUUUGUUUUGAAUCUUUCAUGUUGGCCGAAAUUUUUGGGACAAAAUUUCAGAUUUUUGGAGCUUUUAUUUGAGUUAAAGUUGUGCCAAAAUAAUGGAUUCUAAGUGUAUUUGGGUUGAUUAAACCGAUUGGCUCUUCAAAGGAAAAAAAAGGAGUGAACUUGCUAAAGUGAAAACUGGAAAUCUGCUUUCUGGAACAACAGACCAGUUUCGGAAAAAAAAGUUAUAUUUUCAUGUAUACCACUCCAAAUCGAGUCCCAUUUGUUUUUUUUUUUUGAAACUAGACACAUAAGGUUACAAAUCAUGUAAAUUUCAGGGGCUAACUCAUUUUCUGUGAUUUUUGGUGUUUUUUUAAAGUCCGUUGGAAAAACGGAAUUUUACCUGCCCUGCAUUUUACUGUAGCAGUCUAUUGACGGAAACACUGGGCAAAAUUCGUAUGGAAUGUCAUCAAGGUGUCUUCUACAAAGUUUUAGCCCUUUCAAUUAGGUUUCCAACGGUAUCAACUAUGCAAAUUUUGGACUCGUAAAUAUUAAGUUACGAUUUUCUAAAGAUUUCUACCAUAAACCUCCAGUUUCCUGAUUUUUACAAUAAACAUGAAAACGACUUGAUAUUUUUGCUUGGCCUUGAAUAUGCACGUGAAUGAUCGUGAUUAUACAUGUCUCAGGUGAAUACGAGAACUCCGAAGAACCCGUUUAGCCGCUUAACUUUUUCUCUCUCAUGACUUUUGGUGAGUGUCAAAUGCAUGUUAAGUGUUUAAAUGAAAUGUUUCUCGUACUUGCUAGUUCAUGAGGGUAGAGUGUACUUUACCGCCCUUGUCCUCUAUUUCAUGAAAUUGCUUGCUUGAUAAGUGAUAAGUGUUACAUGUGAAUGUAAAUGAAAGUGUUUUCCGUGAGCAUUGAGCAGCAGAAUGUAUCACACCCUUUUAGGGUUGGAGGUACCGCUCAUCCCGUCUCAAUGCUAUGACCAAAUCUUGUCGAUUGGAGAUUCGUCUCAUCGACCCAAAAGUGAAUGGGGGGGGGAUGCCCCAACCCAUUGGCUAGCCUUGUAACUCGAGCCGGCAAGGGCUUGGUCGAGAAACUUGGUGAACCUUAGGCAGUGUUAUAACUUGAUCCAAAUAAGAUGUCUUGCUAGGUAUCCUUGUUAAGUGAUACCACCUACAAGCUUGUUUGGUUACGGAUCCAAGAGGGUGUCAUGGUGGCUGGAGGUAGUAAGUGGAGUUCUACAUGGAUAACUGUAAAAGUUGACGGAGGGUCAACUACCUGAGCUUGGAUAGCGCGUGGAUUAGCUCCUGAGAGCUCUCGUAUCCUUUUAAUUGUGAUUAAAUUCCUUACUUGCUAAAUGUUUCGAAGUUACUUGUUACUCAAGUUAUUGCUUUAUAUUGUGUCUUUGCUCGCAUGCUUGCAUGUUUUUCCCUUGGCCUCAUUGAGCGUCAGCUCACCCCAAUUUGUUUUCCUUAACAGGUUUGGAAGUGGAAGUUCUGAGGCUUAAUUAGUGACAAUCCCUUUGGGUAGAACUAGUCGUUAUCUUUAAUUCUGGGACUCCAUAGUGUAAAACUUAUGAUUAUUUUGGGCUUUCGGUAUUGUAAAAGUACAUUGAAAAUCUUGGAUGUAAUAUAGAAGCAUGAAUUGUUCUUUUAUAUUUUAGAGUACAUGAAUGUUUUAGUGGAGUAUUUCAUGUGAUAUUGGAGUUUAAUUUGUAAUUUACUUGAAGAUUGUAGUGAGUCCCGGCGAGAGUUGGGCAGGCGGUCUGCCGAACCCUUUGGUUCGCCUUAGGGGGAGGUGGGGUCGUCAUAGUUGGUAUCAGAGCUCUAGGUUUCAGAUCUCUGUAGUGUAUCCUAAGUUCUAAAAGUUGAGGAUGCCACACAGUGGGAUUCGGGUUCGUUUGAAUGUUAAGUGAAAAAGUGAAGUAGUGAGCAAUUGUGGUUUCGAUGGUUAUUAAGAUUCAAUAAUUGAGGAUUAUUGUGCUAGACUAGCAAGAGAGAAGAAGAUUGUAAGAGAUUAAACACUAUUUAAAAGAUAGUAAGUAAAUUUCUUGAAUAAUGGCAUUUGCUAGGAGGCGUUCUUGAUUUAAGGACUUAUGGGGAAAUAAAUGAUUAAUUUGUUUGGGAUAACCUUUAGUGCUUGAUCGUUGCCACUAGAUAUAUUUUAGAGUUGAUAUACCUUGUUCUUGCCUUGGGAACAUGACUGCAAUUAUGUCUUGGAAUUUGGAAGGCCUACCUUUUGUAGUACCUAGUUAAGUAUGUGGUGACUCGUGCUUGUUAAAGGAUAGAUAUUAUGAUGGAAUGCGGAACUUUAAUUGAAAAGAUAGUUGAUGUAGCUCUAAUGUUCAAAAUGAGGUUGGCCUUACCUAAGGGAAUUAAGCCCCCUCGCUCAGUUGCAAGCUAGACUAUGGAGCACGACCUUUUAUACCUUUUGUUUAUGAUAGUUGGGGUGAUGCUUGUGCUUUGGCCUGUAUAUUUUGUUAAGCAUGAUAUUUGUUCCCUUUUGAAGUAUUUGAAUGCUAUAAAUUCUAUACCUGAUCAUGUUGACUUGUUAAUUUGUUUGGUAGUACACAUGCAAAGUUUUAUUUUCAUUAUCGACUCAUGCAAUGACAUGCUCUCAUUUUGGUUGAUUGUUCUCCCUCUUGUAUGACCUUGUUCAUAAAAAAAAAAUUUGAUUUGUAUGUCAUCUGAUCUAUUGACUGUUCCUGUGAAAAUAUGAAGUGUGCUUUGAUUGCUUUUCAAGUUUUAAAUUCCAUUUUUCCUUCAUUGGACAUAUUUAGAUUUAUAUAUUUAUAUAUUUAUUCAUUUACUAGAGUUAUCCAUCUAUUAGUUAUUUAUUUAUUUAUUAUUUUUGGUCCUCCGUAAGAAUUAGAAAUAAAGGGUAGAAAGGAUCGAGACUGUGGGCCAGAGGGGCCAGGCAAACCCCAAAGCGUGGAAGAUAAUUGGGAAAUAAAGUUGAGGGUUAGUGAAUGAUGACAAAGAGAUAACUAGUGGAGUAUAUAUUGAAUUAUUAUAAUUAAAGAAAAAAAAAAGAGUAACUGCAAGGAGGUAAACUAGUGGAUAAGAUAAGCUGUUAUUAAGAAGUUUCAUUUAGUGCGAGUGUGACAAAAUUUAUGGUAAACUUUGGAGAUCUAAGACUUGUUAUAAUUAGGGUUGGAGUUUUGGAUGAGAUAGGUGUUUGAACUCAUUAGAUUUACAAGUUUAUGGUUAAAUUCAAUGAUUCCCGGUUAAUUGAGCUUGGGUUAUGGAAGAUAUUCCUUGGACUUUGAUUACUAGGCUAGAUGCCUCGGGAAUUCUCUAUGCUUCAUAGUGUAAAAUUGUGGUGAAUCUUGGCGGAUAAGAUAAGAGAGCUUGAUAUAUGUUGAUUAUUGGAUAUUGUGGUUAAUUCAUGAGAUUGAUGAAUUAUAAUAGGAAAGUGAUGAUAGGAUCGGUGAAAAUUUUUGGUAGUAUCUCUGCUGGCCGAACAUGUUUAGUUACCUUUAGCCCUGUUUUCUUACAAAUCAUUGGCAAAAUUUUGCUUAAUAUUUUAAACGUUGAUUCUUGAAAAUGAAAUUUGAAGUUGAAAGGAAAUAAUUUUUAAACCUGGUUUUGCUAAAAAUUUUUCCAAAAAGGAACACCGUACAGUUUUAAAAUUUGUGAUGCAUUGGUGUAAUAUAUAUAUAUAUAUAUACACAUAUAUACAUAUACAUAUAUCAUAAAAAAAAUCCAAAAUUUAGUUUCGUUUAUUAGAUUUAAAAGUUGACAAUGGCUCUUUUCACCGUGUAAAAUUUUCAAAUUUUCUUAAAUUCUAUGAGCAUCGGAAAUUUUCCUACGAUAAAUGAAAUGUCAAAUCCAUUCUUGCUUUUCCUAUUUGUUAAAGCUGUAGUUUAAGGUCAAGAUCCAUUUAUUUACAAAUUUAAUCUUGAAAGGAUGCCUUUUGGGACAAAUGUAGAACUUUUGAAUGGUAUAGGACUGGUGAUUUUUGGAUUUAUGGAACUUAAAAAUACAGACAAUUUUAGUUUGAAAUAAAAGUGUCCUUUUAAACCUUACGACCUUAAAUAUGAAAAUAUUGAUCCGAUUUGAACUUGAAAAGAGACACGAGAAAAAGUUAAGAUUAACUCGUCAAAGGAUAUUAAUGGUUCGAAACCGUUAAAAGAGUUAUACAGAUAAUAGAAGGAGAGAUUGAUAGAUAGUUUUGUAUAAUCCAAUGGGAUCCUAGUACUUGAUCUAAGUCGAAACCGAACGAGGAGAUGAGAUCUAUUGGUAUUUUGAUGGAUUGACCUAGUUGAGUAACUAGUAAGGUUCUCCCUUGUGAACUUAAUGAUUACUUUACAUAUAUCUUGUGAUUGGCCCUAUAGGCAUGUUUUAAACUUGUACGAAUAUUUGAACUUCCAAGUUUUGUAUUCAUUAUUUGUGGUGUGACCUGGAUGGAAUGAAAGUCCUUUCAAUUUUUGCUUAACCAUUACUGUGUAUAUAUCCAAUUACUUGUUGUUCCUUUUUACAAAAAAAAAAAUAUUUAUACAAAUGUAUAUACUCUGAACUCGCAUAAAAAUUGAAAAUCAGGCAGAGUUUGGGUUUGGACCUUUUCUUAGAAAUAAGAAUGAAUAUUGGUCGUGAAUUGGAGAGUAAAUAGUUAAGUUUUAUGUGGCAUAAAAGCUAAUUCUCAGAUUAGGUGUGAAGAGUAGAGGCGUUGGACCGAAGUUUAAGUAAAUAUGAACCUGCAUGUCUGCUUAUUUUCUUAAAAGCAUUUUAUUCUCAAAAGUGAUUUGUGGGGUUAAAUGAUUUUUCUUGAUCAAACGUCCAAAUAACAAAUGUUAAACUUCUUACCAAAAGUCGAAUGCAUUUAGAAAUUUUGACUAUCAAGAUCAGAACCAAUUUCUUUUCUUCUUGUCUUCCAUUCGAAUAGCCAUUUUAUUUAUAUAUAUAUAGACCACAAUUUUUCCAAAUGUGUAUUUGAUAUCCUGUUAUUAGUUUGGUUACGAAAGGUACGUGAAAAAGCUUUCCUCGAACAAAUAAGAUUUUCAGUUGGCCGUUUUGGGACAAAAGAAACUGGAUCAUUUCUAAAAUUGUUAAUUUUGAAAAUCGAAUACUAGUAAAUAAUUUUGGACAAUUUGAGUACAACCAUUUGGUGAGUGAAACCUUUUAUAGAAAAUAUAUCUUUGUACUCGAGUUUUGAACUACAUGAUUGAGUCAUUUGAUUUAGUCGAGAAAAAACAAAGUAAAUUUCGAGGACGAAAUUAUUUUAAGGAGGGAAGGAUAUGAGGGCCUCAAAAUUUAUUAUUUUAAUAUUAUUAUUAUUAUUACUAUUUCAUUUAUUUAUUUUAUUGUUUUAUUUAUUUUAUAUAUAUAUUUUUUGAAAAGUUAAAUAAUAAAUGUGAAAAUAACUAUAUUAUGUAUUUAUAUAAAAUUACAUGAUCUUUAUGUGCAUAGUUCACAUUUUCAUAAUUAAAUGAUUUUCAUUCGAACAAAAUUCAAAUGUUUGACCGACUAGUGCUAAGUUUAGUUUUUGAGCCGUGUCGAGGAAUUUAACUUUGGUGAAAGAUUAGUCUAUGAGUAGCUUUUAAAGAAUUAUAAAUGAGAUAGAACUAAGAUAGAUAAGAAAAGUGUAGUGGACAAAUUUAAGUGGAACAUAAGCAUUGGUCAAAGUUGGACAAUUUCCGCUAAAACUAAGUUUUAAUCUUGCCAUUGUUUCUUCCAUUUAAUUUCCUCCAAUUCACUUCAAUUUCUUUUCCUUUCUUCCUUAUUAUAGUCGAGAAUCCCCCUCCCUCAUUAGCCAAGAUAAUCACUUUCAUCCCCACUAAAUUUACUCUUAAGACAUUAAUAUGUAAGAUGGGACAUGAUCCUUAAAAUAGGGCUUUAAGUCCUAUCCUUCUCUUCCCAAUAUAAUGCUAUCAAUUUUUCAAACCUUUAAUUCCUUUUCUUCUUCCCUUAUCAGCCGACCACCCUCACACACUCUCUCCCUCUUUCCAGCCAAAGCUCUAUCUUCUUCUUCCUCAACUCAAACUCCAUGACCAACCAACUUCUAGCUUCACUCCAUCUCCUUUUUUUUUUUUUGUUGUUCUAGCCGAGAGAAUGAGAGGGAGAAACCGAGAGGAGCUCUUUGUGGUGGCUGGCCAGAUUCUUGGAGAAGGAAAGAGAUCUCUUCGUGGUGAAGAUUGGACAUCCUAGCCUUGGGAAAAUCAGUUAGAACCUGAGGUAGUUCUCUAACCCAAAAGCUAGAGCUUUCAUGUUAUCUCUUGAAGAGUGAAUCUUGAAACUUCAUUGGGUUGAAUUCUUGUUGGAUUUGGUUAAUGUACGGGCUCUUGGGAUUCCCACAAAUGGAUGAUCUUUGUUGCUAGCAUGAUUUUUGAUUGGUAUAUGUGUGAAUAUUUGGAGUUGUGGCUUGAACUUUGGAAGGGAAGAACCUUAACAGAAAUCGGGAGAAAGAGGGGGAGAGAGAGAGAGGGGGGACCAAAAUGGUUUCUGUUUUCUCUAUUUUUCUUGGCUGUGUUUUCACAAAUUUAAAGAUUGAUUUGGGAGCUAAAAAUUUAAGCUUUAAGCUGUCAUUUUCUCUUACAAAAAAAAAAAAAAAACCCCUUCAAAUGGCGUUGCAAAAUGGUUCCAAAAGAAGGUUUCAAACCUGGAAAUUUCAAAUGAGAGUACGGUCCGAAAUUUCUGUGAUUAUUCGAAAAUGUUUGGGGCUCAAUUAGCCUUAGCACAUAACAUGAAAGUUGUAGAGAAUUGAGUUUAAAUUAUGCCUGUAAAGUUUCAGCUCAAUCGGAGCUGGGUAUCCUGUGAAAUGACAAAAUUGCCCCUGCUACCCUGUUUCUAUCAGAAAUGAUAAUCAGCCUCUGUAAUUGGUUAGUUUGACCGGGAAUAUUACUGAAUUGGUUGUCAAUGUCUUCUUAAGAAUUGUAGCCUUGUAUCUUAGCUUUGAAAUGGCUUUGGAAUCACCUGAAUCGGAGUUGUGUGUGCUGAGUUAAGAUUAACUGAAUCAGGACUAUCAGUAAUUGUGUCAGUGAGAAUUGAACCAAGAAACUUGGGCUAUUUCGGUAAAUUUGAUCUAGUUAGGGUGAGAACUGGGUUGAGAUGUCUUCACAAGAAUGGUAGAUCUAUGUCUUAGCUUCGAAACGGUAUAUUUUUUGUUUCAAUCCGAUAAGUGUAGCUCGAGUUGUGCUUAAAUUCCUAAAAGGAUUUGGUAAAUGGAUUUACGAACUGUACUUUCUUAUUAGGUGAGUGUGUACGUUAUCACACUCGCCAAAGGACAUGUGACUUUUCACUAUUUGAGUGACCUAUUUACGAAUGUGUUUAUGUGGUCAAUGUGGUUACUGGACGCUUGGUUUGAGGUGAUUAUUGUGAUUAUUGUGGCUGAACCCCUUGAGCAUUUGUUCGGGGUGACUAGCUUGAGGAUUUUAAUUGCUUUCUUGUUUUUGGCUUGAUGAUAGGUAGAGGUCUGGAGGUAUAUUGAGCUUUAGAUGCAUAUAUGUGAUAAAUCUUGCUUUAUUACAUGUUUGGCUUGUUAAUUAUUGCCAGAUAUUCCUUAAUUUGGAUAGAUGAACUUGUGUGUGUUUAAGUAUAGCAAGAGGAAAAAUUUUUGUUUUGAAUCUUUCAUGUUGGCCGAAAUUUUUGGGACAAAAUUUCAGAUUUUUGGAGCUUUUAUUUGAGUUAAAGUUGUGCCAAAAUAAUGGAUUUUAAGUGUAUUUGGGUUGAUUAAACCGAUUGGCUCUUCAAAGGAAAAAAAAGGAGUGAACUUGCUAAAGUGAAAACUGGAAAUCUGCUUUCUGGAAUAUCAGACCAGUUUCGGAAAAAAAAAAGUUAUAUUUUCAUGUAUACCACUCCAAAUCGAGUCCCAUCUGUUUUUUUUUUUAAACUAGACACAUAAGGUUACAAACCAUGUAAAUUUCAGGAGCUAACUCAUUUUCUGUGAUUUUUGGUGUUUUUUUAAAGUUCGUUGGAAAAAUGGAAUUUUACCUGCCCUGCAUUUUACUGUAGCAGUCUAUUGACGGAAACACUGGGCAAAAUCCGUAUGGAAUCUCAUCAAGGUGUCUUCUACAAAGUUUUAGUCCUUUCAAUUAGGUUUCCAACGGUAUCAACUAUGCAAAUUUUGGACUCGUAAAUAUUAAGUUACGAUUUUCUAAAGAUUUCUACCAUAAACCUCCAGUUUCCUGAUUUUUACAAUAAACAUGAAAACGACUUGAUAUUUUUGCUUGGCCUUGAAUAUGCACGUGAAUGAUCGUGAUUAUACAUGUCUCAGGUGAAUACGAGGACUCCGAAGAACCCGUUUAGCCGCUUAACUUUUUCUCUCUCAUGACUUUUGGUGAGUGUCAAGUGCAUGUUAAGUGUUUAAAUGAAAUGUUUCUCGUACUUGCUAGUUAAUGAGGGUAGGGUGUACUUUACCGCCCUUGUCCUCUCUUUCAUGAAAUUACUUGCUUGAUAAGUGAUAAGUUUUAUAUGUGAAUGUAAAUGAAAGUGUUUUCCGUGAGCAUUGAGCGGCAGAAUGUAUCACGCCCUUUUAGGGUGGGAGGUACCGCUCAUCCCAUCUCAAUGCUAUGACCAAAUCUUGUCGAUUGGAGCUUCGUCUCAUCGACCCAAAAGUGAAUGGGGGGGGGGACGCCCCAACCCAUUGGCUAGCCUUGUAACUCGAGCCGGCAAGGGUUUGGUCGAGAAACUUGGUGAACCUUGGGCAGUGUUAUAGCUUGAUCCAAAUAAGGGGUCUUGCUAGGUAUACUUGUUAAGUGAUACCACCUACAUGCUUGUUUGGUUACGGAUCCAAGAGGGUGUCAUGGUGGCUGGAGGUAGUAAGUGGAGUUCUACAUGGAUAACUGUGAAAGUUGACGGAGGGUCAACUACCUGAGCUUGGAUCGCGCGUGGAUUAGCUCCUGAGAGCUCCCGUAUCUUUUUAAUUGUGAUUAAAUUCCUUACUUGCUAAAUGUUUCGAAUUUACUUGUUACUCAAGUUAUUGCUUUAUAUUGUGUCUUUGCUCGCAUGCUUGCAUGUUUUUCCCUUGGCCUCCCUGAGCGUUUACUCACCCCAAUUUGUUUUCCUUAACAGGUUUGGAAGUGGAAGUUCUGAGGCUUAAUUAGUGACAAUCCCUUUGGGUAGAACUAGUCGUUAUCUUUAAUUCUGGGACUCCAUAGUAUAAAACUUAUGAUUAUUUUGGGCUUUCGGUAUUGUAAAAGUACAUUGAAAAUCUUGGAUGUAAUAUUUAAGCAUGAAUCGUUCUUUUAUAUUUUAGAGUACAUGAAUGUUUUAGUGGAGUAUUUCAUGUGAUAUUGGAGUUUAAUUUGUUAUUUACUUGAAGAUUGUAGUGAGUCCCGGCGAGAGUUGGGCAGGCGGUCUGUCGAACCCUUUGGUUCGCCUUAGGGGGAGGUGGGGUCGUCACAAACUUACAGUCCAGAAAUUCUAAGGAAAAUGUAAGGACUACCUCAGAGAACAGGUUUGGAAUCUCUAAAAGUUCAUCUCAGCAGUUGAACCACAUUUCACACUACAAAGUAUCCCCUAUUAGUUCAUUCAGAAAUACUCAUUUCAAAGGUAGACCUGUUUCAACUACUGAAGCAGAACCUAGAAGAAUUUCAGCACAAGAAAUACAAUAUAGAAGGAACCAUGGCCUAUGCUUCAAGUGUGGAGAGAAGUUUGGGCAGGGACAUCAAUGCAAACUGGGCCAUCUGAACUUCCUGAUCAAUGAUGAGGGAGAAGAAUCUGAAUUCGAAGAUGCACUGGGAGAGCAGGAUGAAACCACAGGGAAUCCAGGGCAGAUCAUGGAGAUGUCCUUACACACACUGUCCGAGGCACUUAAACGAAAAACAAUCACACUGGUAGGAAGACUAGAUGGGGAAGAGAUGCUGAUACUGGUAGACACAGGCAGUUCUGAUAGUUACAUAAGCAGUGAGAAGGUAAUUGCCUUUGAUAUUCCUUAUAAAUUAGUCAAUCCUUUUUCUGUGGUUUUUGGGAAUGGGGCUUGUGUAACCAGCAAGGCCAUAUGUCCUAAGGUGGUAUGGGGAAUUAAUCAGCAUAGGUUCUGUUAUGACCUCAAAGUGAUGGAUCUAAGUGGAUGGGACAUAGUGCUUGGGGUGGACUGGAUGACUCAGUUCAGCCCUAUCACUUUUGAUUUCCACAAGCUGACUAUCUUCUUGCAAGAUCAAGGGGAAGCAGUGCACUUGCAUGGCCAAGCUGAAGACUGUGACUUAGAUCUAAUCAGAGGAGGCGACCUGAGGACAUUCAUUGAAUACAAGAGACAGUUGUGCAUGUCCAUGAGAUUGGGACAGGGUGAUCUGAUGCAGGGAAAUGACAUUCCUGCAGGAGUCCAGGGCAUCAUUGAAGAAUUUACAGAUGUGUUUGUAGCACCCUCUGAGUUACCACCAGCAAGAAGUAUAGAUCAUGAGAUACCACUAAAACCUGAGGUUCAACCCUUCAAGAUGAAGCCGUACAGAUACCCUCACUCCCAAAAGAGGGAAAUUGAACAACAGGUUAAGGAUAUGUUGCAGCAUGGAAUCAUAGUGCACAGUAACAAUCCUUUUGCCUCCCCAGUUCUGCUUGUCAAGAAGAAGGAAGGGACCUGGCAUUUUUGUGUAGACUACAGGAGACUGAACGAGAUGACCAUCAAGGACAGGUACCCCAUACCUAAUGUAGACGAACUGAUCAAUGAGCUAGCAGGAUCCAAAUACAAAUCAAAGUUGGACCUCACUUCAGGCUACCACCAAAUCAGGGUCAAGCCUAAGGAUACAUACAAAACUGCAUUUCAAACACACUGUGGCCACUAUGAGUUCUUGGUAAUGCCUUUUGUGUUAAGAAACGCUCCAGCCACAUUUCAGUCCCUCAUGAAUCAGAUAUUCCAGCCUUACCUGAGAAAAUUUGUUCUAGUUUUUUUUGAUGAUAUCCUAAUCUAUAGUCCUACAUUAGAGCUACACCAGCAACAUCUGAGGAUAGUCUUGACAGUAUUGAGGGAACAUAAGUUGUUUGUAAAACGUUCCAAGUGCUCGUUUGCACAGUCAACAGUGGACUACCUUCGUCACACUAUCAGAGAGAGUGAUUCAAGAAUAACCACACAAUGAAACGUAAUUUACCACAAACUUCAGAUACCAAAAGUAAUCAUGAAAUGCUUCAUGAUCCAAUCAACGCGAGAAUAAGUAAUUUUGACAGAAUAAUUAUUGACUUUCUUCAUCUCUUUAGUAUUAUUUAUUUUUCCAAUUUAUUGUUUAGAACAAAAAAAAAUAAGUCAAUUCAAGAUAUGAACAUAUGAAAGGCUCAACAGCUGGAUAAUACUCAUUAACGACAGAGGCUAUUAAUCCAAAAGGACUAAAAUGGAGUAAACUUUAUAUUCCAAAAGGCAUUUAUGGUGGGGGAAAAAGAUAGAAUCUAAUAUGGCAUUAUACGUCCUUUCAAACCUUAAUAACGAUUACAAAUAAUUCAUAAAGACGCCAAGACUUUUGAAAGGAUUUAGAUUUCGUUGCAAUUUAGCCUUUACUCAUGAAAGGGAUGGUUGGAUAGGAAUUCUGUAGCAUGCCGGUAGCAGCCAUCCAAAAAGAACUAGUCCAUUUGUGCACAAAAUAAAGUGAAUAUAAUGUGUGUGUGUGUGUGUAUUAAAAAGUAAUCAAUUGGGUUAGAUUUGAUGAUUUGUGAUUACAGUGUAAUCUUUUAUAUAUAUUUUGUAACUCUAUUAAAUCUAAUAUUUUUCAAAUCAAAUAUAUCUGUGACAUAUUCAAUGUAUUUUUUGACAUUGGUGCAGAUUACUUUGUUAAACAAAUCGUGCUGGAUGAUGUAAUGGCUGCUUCAGCAAGAAAUGAAGAGGGAGUUAGCAGAAAGGGAAAGAUGGGAGAGAGACUUGAGAGGGAAGAUAGAAAAUGCGGAAAAUGAGAGAACUGAAUUUGUUGUAUCUGAUAGCAUGCCCCUCACGUCUUACCUUUAGGCUUAUUCAUACAGGAUUCAUCCUCUAGAUCCUUCCAUGCCUUAGCUAUAACAGAAUGCUUAACAGAACGAUCACGCAUGCAUGCAUGCAGUGCAGUAACUAACUAGCCAACUAACUCUCUGAUAUGCUAACUGACUUCCAGAAAUGGAAACCAUGGCCACUACAUUAUUAGCUAUAAAUAACUAGGGAAUAUCUAAAAUAUCUAGAGGAAAUAUCCAGAAUAUCUAGGAUCAUUACAAUACCUCCCCCUCAAGAAUCCUAGUCACUAGGAUUGAGUUGGAAAUCUGGAAAUUGUGAUUGUAUCACUGUGAUAUCCUCCCAAGUUGAGUCUUCAGUGCCUAGGUUCAACCAUUUGAUCAACACUUGAGUUACCUUGUGUCUUUUCCUCAUGAUUUCACGAGUAGCAAUAACACUUUCAAGGGCAAUUUUAACCUGUCCAUCCGUAGUAGUCAAAGGUAGUUCUUGAGUAACUACAUGAUUCUUGGCUGAGGGCUUGAGUAAGGAGACAUGGAAGGUAGGGUGAAUCAAGGAGCCAGCAGGUAAUUCCAACCUAUAGGCUGCAUUUCCCACCUUCUAAAGAACUUUGUAGGGUCCAUAAUAUUUUGAAGACAAUUUCAGAUUCUUUUUGACUGCCACAGACGAUUGUCUAUAAGGUUGCAGUUUCAAAUAGACCCAAUCUCCCACUUGGAAACUCCUUUCACUCCUGUCCUUGUCCGCAAACUGUUUCAUUCGAUUUUGUGCUUUGAUUAAAUUCCCCUUCAGCAGCUCGUUCCAUUUUCUUCUGUCCCCUAGCCAUUGCUCCACAGCCGCUACUGGAGUCCCCAAGGCAUUGAUGCCUAGUUGAGAUGGUGGAUAUCCAUACAGAGCCUCGAAGGGAGUCAUUUUUAAGGCUGUGUGAUGGUUGGUGUUGUACCACCAUUCAGCAGCAGCUAGCAAGGACUUCCAUUUAUGGGGUUGCUGGAAACACAGGCACCUCAAAUUUGUCUCCACACAUCUGUUCAACCUUUUUGUCUGUCCAUCUGUUUGGGGAUGGUAAGCAAUAGAGUAGUGCAGCUCCGUGCCUAACUUCCCAAACAACUCCUGCCAGAACAAGCUGGUAAAUAGCCUAUCCCUAUCAGAUACAAUGCUCAGGGGUAAUCCAUGUAGCUUAUAGAUGUUUUCAAAAUACAUGUUAGCCACCGACUGUGCAGUAUACUUCGAUGGUAAUGCUAGGAGGUGAAAGUACUUGGUGAACCUAUCAAUGACAACUAGCAUUCCCUCAUACCCCUGAGAUUUAGGUAACCCCUCAAUGAAAUCCAUUGAAAUAUGCUGCCAUGCUUGUUCAGGAAUAGGUAGAGAUUGUAGCAGUCCUGGUGUCUUGCAAUUUUCUACCUUGCUCCUCUUGCAAACAUCACACUGUUGUACCCAUUGUUCUACUUCUCUUUUCAUUCCUGGCCAGAAGAAUGGUCCCUUUAAUCUUUGGUAGGUCCCCAGGUUGCCUGAAUGACCCCCAAUGAGAGAGUCAUGAAAGCAGGCUAUCAGUUUCUGUCUCAAGUUCCCUGAGGAACCAACGUACAUCCUGCCUUUAUACCUGAGUAAAUUCCCAGCAAAAGAAUAAUUUGGGAGAGAAUCAGGUGAAGUAGUCAGGCCUUCAGUCAACUUAGUCAUAGAACCAUCCCCUUGGUAACUCUCUAGGACUUCAGACAGCCAUGCCGGUUUCAUGACUGAGAUGCUAUGUGUAAAGCUGUCCUCUUCAUAGCAUCUUCUAGACAGUGCAUCAGCCACCAGGUUUUCAUUUCCUUUCUUGUACUAUAUUUCAUAAUCUAGGCCCAAUAACUUAGUGAGCCAUUUCUAUUGUAGGGGAGUAGUUAUCUUCUGUUCCAAUAGGUACUUUAAGCUCUGGUGAUCUGUCUUGAUGAUGAAGUGGCUUCCCAACAGGUAAUGCCUCCACUUGGACACAGCUGUAAUAAGGGACAACAACUCUUUUUCGUAUAUGGACAGUCCCAAAUUCUUAGGUCCCAGAGCUUGACUGAGAUAGGCAAUAGGCCUCUCUUGUUGCAUUAGGACUGCACCAAUAGCCUUCUGACUAGCAUAUGUUUCUAGAGAAAAAGGUAAAGAAAAGUUAGGAAGUGUUAGGACUGGUGUGCUACUCAUCAGCUACUUCAGUUUUUGAAAGGCUAGCUCAGCUUGUUCAUUCCAGUGGAAGUUUUCUUUCUUCAAUAACUCAGUGAGUGGUUUGGCAAUGAGUCCAUAUCCCCUCACAAACCUCCUGUAGUACCCUGUGAGUCCCAAAAAUCCUCUCAAUGCCUUUAGUGAUGUAGGGGUAGGCCAUUCUACCAUGCUCUUGAUUUUUGAGGGAUCUGCCUGCAUUCCAUCUCCACUGAUAAUAUGCCCCAAAUAUUCUAGUUGAGACUGUCCAAAGAUGCAUUUGGAAAGCUUGGCAAAUAGGGAGUGAGCUUUGAGUGUUUCUAGGAAAGUUUUGAGGUGCAAAAGGUGAGUGUCUGGAUCUGAACUGUAUAUGAGGAUGUCAUCAAAGAAAACUAACACAAACUUCCUCAGGUAAGGUUCAAAAACAUGGUUCAUCAGGCUUUGAAAUGUUACAGGUGCAUUGGUAAGACCAAAUGGCAUAACAGUGAACUCAUACAAUCCUAGGUAAGUUUUGAAGGCAGAUUUUGGGAUGUUAGUCUGGAGCAUUCUGAUCUGAUGGUAUCCAGCCCUUAAAUCAAUCUUGGAGAAGAUCUUAGCUCCAAACAGUUCAUCGAGUAAAUCAUCAAUGAUAGGUAUUGAAAAUUUAUCUUUGAUAGUCAGGUCAUUUAGUUGUCUGUAAUCAACACAAAAUCUCCAAGUUCCAUCUUUUUUUAACUAAUAGAACUGGAGAGGCAAACGGGCUAUGGCUAAACUGAAUAAUGCCACUACUGAGCAUGUCCUUCACUUGCCUUUCUAUUUCAUUUUUUUGGUUGUGAGGGUACCUAUAAGAUGCUAGCUUGAAUGGUUUGGCAUUUGGCACUAAGGGAAUUUGAUGGUCAUAGUUUUUGGAAGGGGGAAGGGAUUGUGGUUCUCCAAAUACAUCUUUGUAGUCUUCAAGUAAAGCACUUAGGGACUGUUGAAAACCAAUGUCUAGAUGAGUUACAGUGUUUACCUGAGUUCCCUUCAUUUUCAGUCUGCACGCGUGUUUCCAGAUUCUGGUGCUCAACCCCUCCUUCUCAGUACUAUUACUAGGAAGUUUGAGAACAGUCUCCUUAGACUCUCCAUGUAACAAGAUCCUCUCCCCUUUCUCAUCAAAGGACAUGUUCGGCUGCCUAAAGUCAAAGGUGAUGGGGCUGUGUGCAGCCAUCCAGUCUACUCCUAUAAUCACAUCAUAUGGCUCCAAGUUAAUGACAAACAUAUCAUGAGUGAACUGUUUACCUUGCAUUUCCCUGCUCAUAUUCGGAAUCAUCUUGUGACAAGUCAAGUGCUCCCCAUUAGCCAUCCUGACCCUGAAAGGCUUGAUAGAUUGGACCAGUUCUGGAUAGAGUUGUGCCACUGCCCCUUUGAUAAAAUUGAGUGCUUCCCCCAUCCACCAGGAUUGAUAGUGGAGUUUCUUUGAUCCUCCCCUGUAGCUUGAUGGUGUUGUAAGUCAUCUUCCCAGUCAGCGCAUGUAUCUCCAUUUCUACCCCCUUGGCCGACUGUGCUCCUUGGUACUCGAUCAUCUCCCCUUCUACCAGAUCCUCAGGACUAUCUUCUACUGCUACAAUCAGGUGGAUUUCCUUUUGCUUGCAUUGGUGGCCUGGUCCGAACUUUUCCCCACACCUAUAGCAAAGAUGGUGCUCCCUCCUGUACUGCAGCUCUACUGGUGUGAUUUUCUUGAAGUUCUGAGGAGUCUGUUUCUUUACAACAUUGGCAAUAAUAGGUUUGGUAUGUGGAAUGGUGUACUGCGCAACAGACUGUGGAGUAUUCCCCAAAGAGAGGGAUUUCGGAUGAUGUUUGUGCUUCUUGUGGUAGGCUUCAAAGGCAUUCUCUUGCAACCUGGCCAACUCAAAUGCUUUGGAUAAUGUCUUGGGGUCAUGAGUCUUCACCAUUGAUCUCAAUUCAUCUAGUAGUCUACUCAAAAAACAUGAAAUGUAAUAGUUUUCUGGAAGGUGUGGGGCUCGAAUCAUUACCUCUGAUAGUAGUUCCUCAAAUUUUUCUUGGUAGGCUAGGACUGUGGAGGAGAGUUGUAACUUAUUGAAUUCCUCCAUUGGAUCCAUUUGUCCCAAUGUUCCAAACCGCUUGCACAACUCUCCAGAGAACUCCAUCCAAUCCAUCUUGUUACCCCUAGUAGACUUGAAUCCCUGAUACCACACUUCAGCUUUACCUUCUAAAUGGAAUUCUGUCAGCUCCAUCCAUUGCUCCAUAGGAAUAUGCAGAAGCUGGAAAUACUUCUGAAGUUUUCUGAUCUACUUCCUAGGAUUGUUUCCUCUGAACACUGGUAUUUCCAGCUUAGGUGCACUAGCGUAGAAUGAACUUCUGACAUUCCUCUCUCCUUGCUCUCGAGUCACCAUAUCUGAGCUCCUGGAGUGACUUCCCUCUGGCGAUCCCAAUAUUCCUUUCUCAGGAUUUCCUCGGUUCAAACUGGAGAGCUGUUGAGAAAUGGCUACCAUGAAUGCAUCUAACUUAUUGUUCAGCUCCAUGCUUACUGCAUCCAACCUUUCCUCCAUGAUCUGUUUGUUUGCGGCCAUGGAUUCCAAAAUUCCUUGGAGUCUGCUGUCUUGCUUGCGUAGCUGUUCCUCCAUGGUCUUCAUUCGAGUUUCAUCUGCCAUUGUUAUAUUGAUUUCAGCUUCUUAGUCCAAGGACCGGAAGCUCUGAUACCACUUGUAAUGGCUGCUUCAGCAAGAAAUGAAGAGGGAGUUAGCAGAAAGGGAAAGAGGGGAGAGAGACUUGAGAGGGAAGAUAGAAAAUGCAGAAAAUGAGAGAACUGAAUUUGUUGUAUCUGAUAGCAUGCCCCUCACGUCUUACCUUUAGGCUUAUUUAUACAGGAUUCAUCCUCUAGAUCCUUCCAUUCCUUAGAUAUAACAGAAUGCUUAACAGAACGAUCACGCAUUCAUGCAUGCAGUGCAGUAACUAACUAGCCAACUAACUCUCUGAUAUGCUAACUAAUUAACUUCCAGAAAUGGAAACCAUGCCCACUACAUUAUUAGCUGUAAAUAACUAGGGAAUAUCUAAAAUAUCUAGAGGAAAUAUCUAGAAUAUCUAGGAUCAUUACAGAUGAUUUCUAACUAGUUUAUUAAUAAUAUUGACUUCUUUUUUAUAAAAAAAAAAGUAAUCAAGGAAAAAUGGGGAAUCUAACAGUCUAAUGCUUGCUUGCUUCUUUUUAUUGUUUGAAGUGAUUUUGGUGUCUUGCUAGUUUGUAAUUGAUUCAAGGUGGAUAGAAAGAAAUUGUUCAGAAAUGUGAAAUAGGGUAAGUAUCCCAGUUUGGUUUUGGAUUUUGAAAGUUAUAAAAACGAAAAUGAUGUCAGUGAUCCUCUUCAAUUUUUUAUCACCAACCAAAGCAAUGAUUUUUAAGAAUAAAAAUAACAUUUGAAAUCAAAUCACAAUCUUUAAAGAGAGGAAAUAGAUGGUUGAGGGCGAAAUGGCCAUGGUGAUGAAUUGACAUCAUGGAAAUCAAACUGUGCUUAGUAACGCCAAAACGUCACCAUAACUCACAAAUGAGUGACUAAUGUGAUGCCACAUUAAGGCUUCAAUCUACUAUUACAAGUUUUACUAUGGACUAAAUUGUGUGGUAAAUUUAGUACUACUAAUAUUAAGUUUAUGUUUAAAACAAGUAAAUUUCAAUAAUUUAGGUAACUUACUCUUUAAAUAACAAAUUUUACUAAAAUUUUAACAAAAAUUGCCACUUUUUCUUCGAAACUUACCAUUUUCUAUAUAAAACUUGCUAAUUUUUCAAGUAAAACAUAUGAUUUUAUUAGCAAAUCAUACCACUUUUUUUAGUAAAAUUCACUAAAUGGUAAGUUUUCAAAAAAAAACUUACCAUUUUUAAUGCAAAUCUUACUACUUUUUUCAAGCAAAAUGUAUGAUUUUAUUAACAAAUGUUACCAUAAUUUUCGUAAAGUUUACUAAAUCAUUAACAAAUCUUACCAUCUUUCAAGCAAAACUUAUCAUUUUCUAUACAAAACUUACUACUUUUUGGAGGCAGAACUUAUGACUUGAUUAUUAAAUCUUACCUUUAUUUAGGAAUAAUUUUGGAAACCUCCCCUGAGCUUUAUGCUAAUAUCACAUAACACUUCUAAAUUUUAAAAAUAUCACUAGCCUUCCCUUGAGUCAUAUUUUUUUGUAAGAAUUUGACCCCUAUAUCAAAAAUAAAUACUCCUAACAUAAUUUUUUAAAGGAAAAUAGAUAUAUUUUUCUUCUAGUUUUACACUUUUGUGUUGUCUUAUUUUUUAAUUUUCUGCCAAAUUGAUUUUAAGAUAAGAUUUGAAUGAGAAAGACUUAAAAUGAUUUUUUUUAAGGGGAGAAGGUGUUAAGUGCUAAAGCAAUUGCCAGAAUAGCGAUUUUUUUAUUUUUGGUUUAUCCUAGAUUUUUUCCUAAAUAGUUAUUAGAAUAACAAAGAAAUUAAAUUUAAUAUAAGAUUGGUAUAGGAAGAUCAAAGAAGGCAGAGAAGACAGAUAUUUGAAUACAAAACUAAUGGUUUUAGUAGGCAUUUCUAUGAAUUCAGAUUUAUUAUCUUCUAAUUUUUGUGGCAUAAAUAAUUAUUUGAAUAACAAUUAAAAUUUGAGAUAAGGUUGCCAUAGGAAGCUUGGGAGGGGGAGAAGGGUAUUAAAGGCAAAAAAUGAUUAUUUUAGUAGACUUUUCUUAAUAAUUUCCUUUUGUUCAAAUUUUUUUGCACAAGUAAUUGUUAAAAUAGUAAAGUUAAAUUAAUAAAUGCUUGGCAUAAUACUACAAAAUAAAGGGGUGUUUAAGUGAAAAUAGUAAUUGAUAGAGCAAUGUUUGGGCAUCUUAUGCGCUGUUAUGUGGUCAUAAUUUUGGCUACUUAUUAUGCUAAGUAUUGAGGUUUUGUUCAUGUUUGAUAUUUGUGUAAAUUGUAGGCAGUUGGUGUCAAAAAGUGAUCUCUGAAGGUGAAUUUCCAGAAGACUUUUAUUUCAGGGCGUGCCCACGCCAAAAACUGUUCAAGAGACGCCUCAAAGUCGGACCAUGGGACUAACUAACUAACUAAACUCAUCCUUAUUCCUGCGGGAUGCGGUUGGAAGUGCGUCAAAACAAAAAGGCAGCAAUUUCCAGUGGAUUUGGUAACAACCAAUAAGGAGGAUGCGGGGAAUUGGGGAAAUAUUUGGAAAAGCUACUAUUUUCUCGUGGGCCAAGAAGGGUGUAACAGACAAGUAGUUUUAGUCUUGCAGAUAGCUUUUUAGUUUCUUACGUUUUCUUUGGAGGGCUAUCUUCUGGGAACUGGCAAAAAGCCAGAUUCAUGUGGGAUUAGGAAAUUAUCUUUAGUUUUGUUAUCCCUUGGUAGAGGAUUUGCUCUCUGUUUUGUUAUUACAAUUUUCUUUAGACCUUUGCUUUACUUUUUCCGAAUGGACACAAAACAAAAAAAGAAGCAAGACAUUUUCUUUUGUUUCUUCAUCACUUCAUCUUUCCCAACUCUCUUGUGAUUGUGUGGAUGGAAUCAAUCAAAUCCCGCGAGAUUGAUAUGAUGAGGAGCGGUUAGGUUUCUCUUCUACCCAAAGGUCGACGCGAAGGCACGGUCCAUAACAUCUGUGAGAUUUAAUCGAACUUUCACUAGUUCUUCCAGUCCGUUACUAUUCGUGUGUUUCCUGGAUUAACUGUUUAUGAUUAUUUUAUUAAUUGAGUAUCAACGGCAGGACAUUUAAUUUAAUCUAAUAGCCUACUGUCACGUUAACUAAAUUGAAUCCGUAAUUAUUCGUUUAGUUGAUAACUAGUGACAACCAUCAUAAUUGGCUUUAUGUUAGGGAAACGUAAGAUCUAGUUUAAAUAAACCCUCUUAGCGUGUUUAUUGGUUAGGGUUGGGUUUUUCUAGUUUUAAUGCAACCGGAUAAUUAAAUUUAUUGGUUAGGGUUGGGUUUUUCUAGUUUUAAUGCAACCGGAUAAUUAAAUUCCUACGAUCGUACCUAAAGCUGUUUUCUAGUUAGAGAAACAGUCAACGGUCGUACCUUGGCUGUCGAAAAAGUAAGGAAGAACUGGCUGUCAGAGCUUGUUGAUAGCUAUAACUAACCUAGUGACGAAUGAAUGAAAUAUCUUUGUAUCGAUGAUCAUUUAAUUGGACCGCGCCUAAAAAGUUGAUCCUUUGGGUAGAAUUUUACUAAUUGCUAUUUUUAGUGAAUUGUACUUGGUGAGUUAGCUUUUGAAUUUUGUUUAUUCUAUUUUCUUUUUCAGUCCAUUAAAUAUUCCCCAAUUUUGUUCUAUUGACUUGGAAAGAAACAAGUUCCUACCCGUUCCCUGUGAAAUCGACCGUACUUGCCAUUGUAUGCAAAUUUAAUAUUUUUGUAGACAAAUCUUGUAUAUCGAAUCAAGCAUACUCUUUGGGGAGACAGGGUGAAUAUAGUAACCCAUUGCACAUCUAGAGUCACUGCUCCAGUACUUAGAUUUGUUCUAUAAUUAAUUAUGGUAGUAAUUAGGACUUUUUAGUAAUUAUUAUUGCACAGGUUCGACACCUGUCAAUUUUUGGCGGCAUUGCUGGGAAGAAAGUGUCGACAAACUGGUGAACAUGGGAUUCUGGCUUACAAGGCAUGCCCACGCCUUGCAAGACGCCCUUUCAAAAAAAAAAAGAAAGACAAAAAGAGAGAGAAAAGAGUUUCGACACUUGCGCAGUAGGUAUAGCAAAUGGAAAUGCCUUGCUUGUGGAAUUUCUCCAGUAAAGCGUUGAGGUUAUGUAGUAGAUAUCGGACAUUCUCUUGACAUAGUGCACCCUCUCUUUACCUCCUUAUCCCGCCUUUCACCCAAGCCCUAUUACAACCCUAUUAAAGUCCCUUUGAUUUAUGUAUUGAGUUCACUUUUGAGUGGUGGAGAUGUGAUAAAUGUGCAAGCCUAUGGUAAUGUCAUUCCGUGGUGUUGAUUUGAGCGUUCCUGGUAUCUAUACAUUUUCUUGAAAGUGAUGAGUAUUACUACUCAUACUCUUUGGAUAACUACCUAUCCAGUGUGCUCUAACUUUGGCGACAUUGUCAGGAAUGCAGGAUGCUUGUGUUAGUGUAGAUCACCGCAUAGUAGUUCCUUUCGUGAUUGAACUUCUGAGCUUCAAAAUGCUUGAGGACAAGCAUUGCCUAGGUGUGGGGGGAUUUGAUAGAGCAAUGUUUGGGCAUCUUAUGUGCUGUUAUGUGGUCAUAAUUUUGGCUAUUUAUUAUGCUAAGUACUGAGGUUUUGCUCAUAUUUGAUAUUUGUGUAAAUUGUAGGUGGUUGGUGUCAAAAAGUGAUCUCUGAAGGCGAAUUUCCAGAAGACUUUUUAUUUCAGGGCGUGCCCACGCCAGAAACUAUUGAAGAGACGCCUCAAAGUCGGACCGCGGGACUAACUAACUAACUAAACUCAUCCUUAUUCCUGCGGGAUGCGGUUGGAAGUGCGUCAAAACAAAAAGACAGUAAUUUCCAGUGGAUUUGGUAACAACCAAUAAGGAGGAUGUGGGGAAUUGGGGAAAUCUUUGGAAAAGCAGCUAUUUUCUCGUGGGCCAACGAGGGUGUAAAAGACAAGUAGUUUUAGUCUUGCAGAUAGCCUUUUAGUUUCUUACGUUUUCUUUGGAGGGCUAUCUUCGAGGAACUGGCAAAAAAGCCAGAUUCACGUGGAAUUGGGAGAUUAGCUUUAGUUUUGUUAUCCCUUGGUAGAGGAUUUGCUCUCUGUUUUGUUUUUACGAUUUUCUUUAGACCUUUGCUUUAUUUUUUUUGAACGGACAUGAAACAAAAAAAGAAGCAAGACUUUUUUUUUGUUUCUUCGUCACUUCAUCUUUCCCAACUUUCUUGUGAUUGUGUGGAUGGAAUCAAUCAAAUCCCGCGAGAUUGAUAUGAUGAGGAGCGGCUACAUUUCUCCUCUACCCAAAGUCGACGCGAAGGCGCGGUUUAUAACAUCUGUGAGAUCUAAUCGAACUUUCACUAGUUCUUCCAAUCCGUUACUAUUCGUGCAUUUUCUGGAUUAACUGUUUAUGGUUAUUUUAUUAAUUGAGUAUCAACGGUUGGAUAUUUAGUUUAAUCUAAUAGCCUACUGUCACGUUAACUAAAUUGAAUCCGUAAUUGUUCGUUUAGUUGAUAACUAGUGACAACUAUCAUAAUUGGCUUUAUGUUGGGGAAACGUAAGAUCUAGUUUAAAUAAACACUCUUAGCCUGUUUAUUGGUUAGGGUUGAAUUUUUCUAGUUUUAAUGCAACCGGAUAAUUAAAUUCCUACGGUCAUCCCUGAGGUUGUUUUCUAGUUAGAGAAGUGGUCAACGGUCGUACCUUGGUUGUCGAAAAAGUAAAGAAAAACUGGCUGUCAGAGCUUGUUGAUAGCUAUAACUAACCUAGUGACGAAUGAAUGAAAUAUCUUUGCAUCGAUGAUUAUUUAAUUGGACCGUGUCUGAAAAGUUGAUCCUUUGGAUAGAAUUUUACUAAUUGCUAUUUUUAGUUAAUUGUACUUGGUGAGUUAGCUUUUGAAUUUUUGUUUAUUCUAUUUUCAUUUUCAUUCCAUAAAUAUCCCCCAAUUUUGUUCUAUUGACUUGGAAAGAAACAACUUCCUACCCAUUCCCUGUGGAAUCGACCUUACUUGCCGUUGUAUGCAAAUUUAACACUUUUGUAGACAAAUCUAGUAUAUCGGAUCAAGCACACUCUUUGGAGACAGGGUGAAUAUAGUAACCCAUUGCACAUCUAGAGUCACUACUCCAGUACUUAGAUUUGUUCUAUAAUCAAUUAUAGUGGCAAUUAGGACUUUUUAGUAAUUAUUAUUGUACAGGCUCGACACCUGUCAAUUUUUUGCGUCGUUGCCGGGGAACGGUGUUUUGGUUAAUUUUGUUUCUUUUCAAGUUAUUUUCUUUGGAUUUGUCUGGCACUUUUCUAGUUUAUGCCUCGUUUUUCUCGUACAUGUGAAUUGAUUUUCGACCUGGAAGUAAAGAAGAUUGCGCGCCGAACUAGGAAAGAAACUAAACAGCUCAGAGAGGAGCAAUCUAGCAUUGCAUCUCAGAUGCUGGAUCCAGAGGUUGAGUCAACAGAUUCGAGUGGUGAUAAUUCAAGUGACUCAGGCCAAGAGGACAUCCCUAUGGCGAAUCCAAGAACACUAAAGGAGUUGGCUGCUCCGGAAUUGACCCAGCAGCUUUUGUGCAUUACAUUUCCAACUCUAGCUGAGAAUACCUCCUUCGAACUGAAGUCAGAGUUAAUUCAUCUCUUACCCUCAUUCCAUGGCCUCUUGAGUGAGGAACCCCAUAAACACAUCCAGGAGUUCGAUGUGGUAUGUUCUAGUAUGAAACCUCCAGGGAUUACUGAAGAGCAGAUCAAACUUAGAGCAUUCCCUUUCUCCCUCAAGGAUGUAGCGAAGGAUUGGUUAUACUACCUACCUGCAGGUAGUAUCAUAACAUGGGCCCAACUGAAAAAGAAGUUUUUGAAAAAAUUCUUCCCGGCAUCCCGGGCUGCAAGUUUGAGAAAAGAGAUAUGCAGCAUUAAGCAGUAUCCCAGGGAAUCCCUAUAUGACUAUUGGAAAAGGUUCAAUAAGUUGUGUACUAGAUGCCCACAGCAACAAAUUAGUGAACAACUAUUGAUCCAAUACUUCUAUGAGAGACUUCAGUCAUCUGAUAGAAAUAUUAUUGAUGCUGCAAGUAGGGGAGCACUGGCAAAUAAGACACCGAGAGAAGCAUUGCUGCUUAUUGAAGCAAUGGCAGAAAAUUCUCAACAGUUUGUGUUAUUCUUGGUUUUGAUGAUCACAAAAGUUCGUUGAAAUGUUUAUACAGACCAAGAAAGUGAACACUUUGAUCAGGCCUGAUGGAACAAAGUAAGCAUAUGUUCGAUUAACUCCAGACUACGAUGCUUUGGAUGUGGCAAACAAGAUUGGAAUAAUAUAAACAAAUUUAGUCAUUGUUUUGUUCCGAUCAAAGAUACUGUCUUUUAAGUAUGACAAUUUUGUUAGUCUUGGUUCCUUGAAAUGUUUUAUCUAACUUUCUUCAAAUAUAAGUGUUGUUGCCUAUCAAAGAAUCAGGUACGAAUAUGUCGUGAGCAAAAACAGGACACUCAUGUCGGACGGCCGAAAGGAAUCUGUCGGACGUCCGAAGGGAUGAAGAACAUCAGGAAGGAGUUUCUGUCGGACGCACAUCGAUCGUGUCGGACGUCCUAAAAAUUCCACAAAGCUUUGAUGACUCUCUGCCAAGACACUGUCGGACGCUCGCAAGGAAGCAUCGGACGUCCUGAAGGAUCGGACGCAUGCUUCGGACGAACAUCAAUAUCAUUGGACGUCCUAAAAAUUCCUCGAAGAUUUGAUAACUCUCUGGACGACGUUCGAACACUGAAGCUCGGACGAUAAAAUUCCAUCGAACGUCCGAACUUCAAUUUGGCUGUUUUUCGGACGAUUGGUUCGGACGAUAAUUUGAUCGUCGGACGUCCGAAAGCCCCAACGGCUAGCUGACUCUUCAUCUGCCUUCUAUCCGUUGGAAGCUUUAAUGAAGCCCAUUUCUGUUCCCCUUUAAAAACAAACUGUUCUGAACGAAGUAAGAACUUUUGCACACUUGGUCUACAAGAUCUCAAGAGAUAUUUUAGCUAGAAAAUAGUCUCCAAAGUUAGAUUUGUUCUCUAAGUGGUGUGAACUUCUGGUGAGCUUUUCUCUUGUGGUUGAAAGUUUCAUUAGUGUAGCUUUGUUGAGGGUUAUCUGAGUGUUUGUAAAACUUCUUAGCUUGACUAAGUGAGGUUUAGGGCAAGGAGGAAGUGCUCCCUCCAUUGUACAUCUAGUUGAUCAUAUUUCAUCAAAGAGAAGUUGCUCAACCUUGUGAUUGGUCUUCAAGUUUAAGGAAAGCUUGGUAGACAAUCGGUUUGAUUUCCUAUUUUACUUUUUGUUUAAUAAAAUUCUCAUUGCUUAUAUAUACUUAUUUUUCUGAUCAAUAUUGCUAUUGUCUUCUAAUCUACUUGGUUGAUCUUUACUAGAAAAGAAGGUAAAUUUUUAUUAAAGAAAAAGUGCAUAAAUUUGGUUAAGGUUUUAAUCAACCCAAUUCACCCCCCCUCUUGGUUGUCUUUGGGACUUACAAUUGGUAUCAGAGCUUGGUCUCCUUGAGAUUAAGCUCUAACGGCUUGGAGUAAAGAUGACAACCAGUCAUGCUAUGUUUGUUGAGGGGCAAUCUGUUACUAGGCCUCCCAUGUUCAGUGGCUCCAACUAUGUUAGCUGGAAAGAACGGAUGAUUAUCUUUUUGUAAUCUAUUGAUAUUGAACUAUGGUUUAUUGUGAGUGAAGGACCGCAUGAAGCUAACUUUCUUGAUGCAGAUACAGGGUUGCUUCGGCCAAAAAUGAGAGCUGAAAUGAAUGCUCAAGAUAGGACUAACCUCACAUUGAAUGCCAAGGCCAUGAAUGUUCUUUAUAGUGCCCUAGAUUCAAAUGAAUCAAUUAGAGUAAAAGGCUGCAAAUCGGCCAAAGAAAUGUGGGAUAAACUAAGAGAAAUCCAUGAGGGUGGUGACAACGUGAAAGAACAGAAAAAGGCUAUCUUGGUCACAAAAUAUGAAUCAUUUAGAAUUGAACCUCUUGAGGAUAUUGACAAAAUGUAUUGCAGGUUCACUGACUUGAUCAAAGAUCUCGAGGUGUUGGGCAAAGAGUACACCUUGGGAGAGAAGAACAGGAAAAUUCUCAAUGCGUUGGGCAAAGAAUGGGAAAAUAAAGUGACUGCAAUAGAGGAGGCUAAGGAUUUAAGUUCUGUGGCUAUUGAAUCUAUCAUUAACUCACUAACCUCUUAUGAGUUGAAACUGAAAUCUAAAGUGCAGGAGGAAGAGGAAGCUAGAGCAAAGAGAAACAUUGCUCUAAAGACUACUCAAGGUGAAGAUGAUACAGCUCACUUGGAUGAUGAAGACUCGGAUGGUGAUGAUAAUGAUCUUGCUCUCAUCACCAGAGGUUUCAAGAGAAUCUUGAAUAAAAGAAAGUUUAGAAGGGGAGGACCUAGCAAUCAAUUCCAGAAUCAGCCAUCUAUCGCAAAGUACAAAGGAAAACAGGAUUUCAACAAGAAACAGUUGGACAAAUGCUUCGAAUGUGGACAGCUUGGACACUAUGCAAAUGAAUGCCCCAUGAAGAAGAUGAAAGAUGGAAAAGCUGAUCGGAAGCCAAGAUUCAACAACUUUCAGAUUACUUGGAAUGAAUGCAACUCCGAAGGGGAAGUAGAAGAAGAAGAAGAAUCAGCUCAAAUGGCCUUCAUGGCUAUUGGAAAUAAUGAGGUAACUUCCACACAUUCUCAAUCUGAAAGUGAUGAUGAUGAAGAUGAUGAUCUUGAAUCCUUUGUUGAAAAACUGCAUAAUGCCUUGAAGGAAUCUUAUGAUAAAAACAAGCAGUUAAAACAGAAAAUGGCUUUUCUCAUUCAAGAAAAUGCAAGUCUUUUUCAACAAAAUAAACAACUAAAGACUGACAAUGAAAGUCUUGUAAGAGCCGGAUGUAAUGUUCAAAAUGAGCUUGAUAGAAAGACAAAUAUUUGUGAAAUGCUGAAGGAAAGACAUGGUGAUUUGAAAAAAAGAAUGGACAACUUGGAUGAGACUUUGAAAGCAAGAAAGCAGGAGUUUAUCAAAAGGAACAUGUCAUCUACACAUCCUACUACUUUUCAAAGAACAUUUGCACACAACAAAAAUGCACAUGGUUUCACAACAUAUAGAAGAGGUGGAUUGAGAUAUGUCAAACCAGUACAUGUUAAGGACUCUUCCAUUAUGUGUGGUUUUUGUUGUCAAAGAGGGCAUUUGAAAGGUGAUUGCUAUGUGAAAAGAAAUCUGAACAAAGGGAUGAAAUGCAUGUGGUUAGUUAGAUACAAUGCUAACUAUUGCGGACCCAAAAAUUAAAAUGGGUACCAAACACUUUCUCUUUUCAGGAAAAAUGCUCAAACAAGUCCAAAUGGUUUAUUGAUAGCGGUUGCUCAAGGCAUAUGACCGGUGAUCCCUCUUUGUUCAUAAAGCUGAAAUCAAAGUCAAGUGGAAAAGUGACAUUUGGUGAUGAUGUGAAAGCUAAGACAAUUGGAAUAGGUGAUGUUGGUAAGGAUGGUGAUACUUUUGUCCAUAAUGUGCUCUUAGUUGAUAACUUAAGUUAUAACUUGCUUAGUGUUAGUCAAUUGUGUGAUAAAGACUUGAAUGUGUUGUUUAAAAAACAUGAAUGCAUUGUGCUUGAUUCCAAAUAUAAUAUUGUGUUCAAAGGUAAGAGAUUCAACGACAUAUAUAUUGUGGUUCUUGAUAAAAUUGAUUCUUCUAGCUUAAAAUGUCUUAAAGCUUCAAAUGAAGAUCCUUGGUUGUGGCAUAGAAGACUUUGUCAUUUUAACAUGAAUUUACUAAAGGAAAUUUCGAAAAAGGAGUUGGUUAGAGGCUUGCCAAAAAUCAGUUUUGAUAAGGACAAAAUAUGUGAUGCAUGUCAAUUUGGGAAGCAAACAAAAAAUUCCUUUAAACCUAAGAUGUGUGUAUCUACUUCUAAACCUUUGGAACUCUUGCAUCUUGAUUUAUUUGGUCCCACUCAAAUUACUAGCUUGGGAGGUAAAAGAUAUUGUUUUGUAAUUGUUGAUGAUUAUUCUAGAUACACUUGGGUGAUAUUUCUUGCUCAUAAAGAUGAUGCCUUCAAGAAUUUUACUUCAUUGUUUGCUAAAAUGCAAAAUCUGCUUGGGUUAAAAAUUGUUAGGAUUAGAAGUGAUAAUGGGACGGAAUUCAAGUAUUGUGGUUUUCCAGAAUUUUGUGAUCAUAAUGGUAUAACACAUGAGUUCUCUAUUGCAAGGACUCCACAGCAAAAUGGUGUUGUAGAAAGGAAAAACAGGACUCUUCAAGAGGCUGCUAGAACUAUGUUGAAUGAAUGUAGGUUGCCUAAAUAUCUUUGGGCUGAAGCGGUAAACACUGCAUGUUAUGUGAUGAAUAGAAUACUCUUGAGACCUAUUUUAAAGAAAACUCCUUAUGAGCUGAUUUUUGAUAAGAAACCUACGGUUGGUUAUUUCAAAGUAUUUGGUUGUAAAUGCUUUAUUUUGAAUCUAAAGGAACAUCUUGGUAAGUUUGAUAAAAAAUCUGAUGUAGGAAUAUUUUUGGGGUAUUGUGAGAAUAAAAGACGAUAUAGAGUUUUUAAUAGAAGGACUCUUGUGAUUGAAGAAGCUAUACAUAUAACAUUUGAUGAAACCAAUGAUGAUAAUUCCAAAAGUUCGUGUGAGGAUGAUGAUGUAGGUGUUCGAGAAGCAAUGAAAAACCUAUCAAUUGGAAAUGAAGGAAGCUCUAAACCAGCAGCAACUGAAAUGGAAAAUGAAGUUCAUAAUGAUCAAGAAGAGGAAGAUGAAGACAAAAAUGAUGAUCCACUCAAAGAUCUUCCCAAGGCUUGGAAAUUCAGCCAAAAUCAUCCAAAAGAGCUUAUAAUUGGUGAUCCAUCCGAGAAGGUAAACACUAGUUCCUCAUCUAGAAAAUUGAUUGACAAUUUUGCUUUAGUUUCUCUUUUUGAACCCAAAAAUAUCAAUGAUGCUUUAAAGGAUGAAAACUGGAUUUUGGCAAUGCAAGAGGAACUUAAUCAAUUUGAGAGAAAUGAAGUUUGGACACUUGUUAAUAGACCUCAAAAUCAACCUAUCAUUGGCACAAAGUGGAUUUUUAGAAAUAAGUUGGAUGAUAAAGGUGUUGUUGUAAGAAAUAAAGCCAGAUUAGUUGCUAAAGGAUAUGCACAAGAAGAAGGAAUUGAUUUUGAUGAAACAUUUGCUCCCGUAGCAAGAUUAGAAUCUAUUAGAAUGCUUCUUGCUUUUGCAUGCUUUAAAGGCUUCAAAUUGUUUCAAAUGGAUGUUAAAAGUGCUUUUUUAAAUGGUUUUAUUGAUCAAGAAGUAUAUGUGGAUCAACCCCCCGGUUUUGAAAAUACAAAAUUUCCAAGUCAUGUGUUUAAACUAUCUAAAGCUUUAUAUGGUCUAAAACAGGCUCCAAGAGCUUGGUAUGAAAGACUAAGUGGUUUUUUGAUUGAAAAUGGUUUCAAAAGGGGUGUUGUGGACACCACACUUUUUACUAAGCAAGUGUUGAAUGACCUUCUUAUUGUGCAAAUAUAUGUUGAUGAUAUUAUUUUUGGUGCUACUAAUGAGUAUCUAUGUAAGGAGUUUUCCACCACUAUGCAAAGUGAAUUUGAAAUGAGUAUGAUGGGAGAAUUAAAUUUCUUCCUUGGACUUCAAAUACAUCAAGCUCUUGAGGGAAUUUUUAUAAAUCAAGCAAAAUAUACCAAGGAAUUGUUGAAAAGGUUUGGCAUGGAGGACUCAAAGCAAGUUGGAACUCCAAUGUGCACUUCUACAAAGCUUGACAAAGAUGAAGAAGGUAAUCAUGUGGAUGAAAAGCAUUAUAGAGGUAUGAUCGGAAGCCUACUCUAUUUAACCGCAAGUAGACCUGAUAUUAUGUUUGCUGUUUGCUUGUGUGCUAGAUUUCAAUCUUGUCCAAAAGAAUCACAUUUGAAUGCUGUAAAAAGGAUUUUUAGGUAUUUGAAAGGUACAUUAGACUAUGGUCUUUGGUAUGCUAGAUCUAAUGAGUUUGCACUAUAUGCUUAUUCGGAUGCUGAUUUUGGAGGUUGUCGUGUGGAUAGAAAGAGUACUAGUGGAACUUGUCAUUUUCUUGGAAAUUGUUUAGUCUCUUGGUUUAGCAAGAAACAAUGUGCAAUCUCUUUGUCUACAACCGAAGCGGAAUAUAUUGCCGCUAGUGCAUGUUGUGCUCAACAUUUAUGGAUGAAGCACACCUUGAAUGAUUUUUGAUUGUUGUAUGACUGCAUGCCUGUAUUCUGUGAUAAUACUAGUACUAUAAAUUUGACCAAAAAUCCUAUUCAUCAUUCUACGACAAAGCACAUAGAUAUAAAGCAUCACUUUAUUCGUGAUCUUGUUCAAAAAGGUGAAAUAUGUGUAAAUUAUGUUUGUUCUAAAGAUCAAUUUACGGAUAUUUUUACAAAAGCUUUGCCAUUAGAUCAGUUCAUUCAUCUAAGAUCAAAAUUAGGAAUAAUCGAAAAAUCAUCUUAAUUUUUGGGUCUUCGGACGUCCGAAAGAAGAUGAACGGACGUCCGAUGAUGUUCUUCAGCCAUUUUCCAGAUUGCGCCUGUUCGGACGCAGCUGUCGGACGCACAACGUCGUUCGGCCGUCCGACAGUGCAACGGAUCAAUUUUUUAAAUAACUUUCUUUCUCAUUUGCUUCAGACUCUUCCUAUUCUAUUUCCUCUCGGACGAAAACUCUCUCUUCCCUCACUCUCAAAUUCGUACCAUUUUGAAGCUCUCAUUCUCAAAUUGACUCAAACAAAACUUUUUCUGACUGAUUGCGAUUCAUUUCUCCUGAUCAUUUUCCCGAAUCGCAUAACAUUUCACAAAUUCCCAAAUUUCCUUCAAAACCCUACUUUCUCAUAACCGCUCUGCCAAAUCUUGUUUAAGGCCUUUUUGUCCCAAAAUUUCUGUGCAAAUCACUUCCCUACCACUGUGUGCAUCAUUUGCAUUCUUCAUUCCACACAUUUCACACAAUGGUGAAUCUGAGAGGAGGAAAGGUUACUGCCGGACGCAAGCAUCCACUCAGGGAUGAGGAUGAGGAUCUUCCUACGGUCAAACGUUCAUCCAAACGCUUCAAGAGAGGAGCCAUAAAGGGUCAAAUGUCACGGCCUACUCCUCAACCCACCUCUCAGCCUGAAUCUGGACAGGGAACCUCUGCUCAACCGCCUCCAAAAUCAGCCCCUCCCCCUACAUUCUUUGAUGAUACAGCAAGAGACAAACACUCCUUGAUAUCCCAGAAAGGUGUCAUCCCUCAACGUACUGUAAACCCUUCUGAAUUUCGUCUCAUAGGUUUAGAAACCAUUCUGAAGUUAUUUGCUUUUCAGAAAUGGUCGCAUAUCAUUUCUAUGCCAAAUGUUUACUAUCCUGAAAUGCUGCAUCAAUUUUUUGCUAAUCUUAGAAAAGGGUCUGACCAAACUGAAAUCUUUUCCAGGGUUAAUGGGGUAGACUUAAUCUUUGACUCUGAAAUUGUGAAUUCCAUUUUAAAUACUACCAUUGAACGUGGGUGCAAGGAUAAAAUUACAAAUUUCUUUUCCUAUGAAGAGCACCCUAAUGCUGAUAAUCAUUUUGAUGGGGCUAAAAUGAUGACCUAUUUUAAAAGAAGUUUUUCCUCCCCUGCUGAUGCUAAACUGAAUGAUCUUGCCCCUGUGAAUUUAAUUGCUUUUUCUAUCAUUUCAAACCUGCUUGUGCCUACUGAUGGCCAUAGAACUGAUGCAAACAAAAUGGAGUUGUACCUCUUUUAUUAUUUUCGAGAAAAAAUUUGGAUUGAUUUUGGUUUUGUCAUGUGCAAGUUUUUACUUCGCUAUACCACUGACUCUCGCAGAAAACUAUCCUAUGGAAAGUUUCUUCAAAAGAUUUUUGAGUUUUUCAAAGUUCCAAUUUUAGGUGUUUGUCCCAAAGAAGCAUCUUCUUAUGCCUUUACCAAAGGAUACUUUGAAAGGAAAAAUCUUGUUUUUAAAGAUAAUAUGUGGUCUUAUAAAGAGGCAUCGUCCAGUGAACGUAGGUCUAAGGCUGCACAUGAUCCUUCAUCUAUUCCACUCACUCCCAUUCAUCCUAGGAAAUCUGCCACUAAGGCAUCUUCCUCCUCCAAUGAUGGAGUGAUUGAGCUUCUUCAUGAACUCAAACAGCAUGUUCUUCUUCUAGAACAUGGCCUAAUGCUCACCAUGUCCUCUGAGCAACAAACUGCCUUUCUAGACAAAAAGAACCAUCUCUUUCCCCCACCUGUGGUUGAGGAAGUGUCCCAUGACAAAGAGCCACACCCCACUGAUCCAAGCUCAUCAAUUCCAGACCCUGGUUCAUCAACUCCUGUGACUCCUCAUGGUCCUUCCACAGCAGAUAAAGGCAAGGAACCAGUUGAAGUGGAUGCUGAAGCUGAUGAAGAAACUGAAGAGGAGGACCUCUCCCAAUAUCAGCUCUCUCGAAGAACUCCUGGAUCCACACAGUUCACUACUUAGGACAUUUGCAUUCUGUUUGUCUAUUUUAUGUGUUUGUAAUGGUCAACAUUUGUAACCUUCUUUUAAUGUUUCUCUUGUUGGUACUGUAUGUUUAUGUUAAGUAUUUUGAAUGAUGACUGUGUUUAUGGAUGUUUAAGUAUUUUGGUGCAAUGAAUUUGGUUUUCAUUGAUGAAUGUGUUUGUGGAUGUGUUGAUGUGAUUGGUUGCCCUUUUGUGAUGACAAAAAGGGGGAGAGGACUGGAUUGAUGAUUGAUGAUUGGUGUUGAGGACUGGAUUGAUUGAUGAUUGAUGAUUGGUAUUGAUUGAUGAUUGAUGAUUGGUGAUGUUGGAUAUGUUGGAUUGAUUGUUUAAAUUUGGAUUGGCUGAUAUGCUUAAUUGUCAUAUUUUUAGAAAAUUGUUUAACUCGGAUGGGCAGCCAAGUGAGGGGGAGCUUUUUCAAAAUUUUCAAAAUUUUAUGAUUCACUAAAUAAGGGGGAGUUCGUGAGAAAGGGGGAGCUUAUAAUGCAAUCAUCAAAUUUCAUUUCAAACUUUUGUUUUGUCAUCAUCAAAAAGGGGGAGAAUGUUAUUCUUGAUUUUGAUGAUCACAAAAGUUCGUUGAAAUGUUUAUACAGACCAAGAAAGUGAACACUUUGAUCAGGCCUGAUGGAACAAAGUAAGCAUAUGUUCGAUUAACUCCAGACUACGAUGCUUUGGAUGUGGCAAACAAGAUUGGAAUAAUAUAAACAAAUUUAGUCAUUGUUUUGUUCCGAUCAAAGAUACUGUCUUUUAAGUAUGACAAUUUUGUUAGUCUUGGUUCCUUGAAAUGUUUUAUCUAACUUUCUUCAAAUAUAAGUGUUGUUGCCUAUCAAAGAAUCAGGUACGAAUAUGUCGUGAGAAAAAACAGGACACUCAUGUCGGACGGCCGAAAGGAAUCUGUCGGACGUCCGAAGGGAUGAAGAACAUCAGGAAGGAGUUUCUGUCGGACGCACAUCGAUCGUGUCGGACGUCCUAAAAAUUCCACAAAGCUUUGAUGACUCUCUGCCAAGACACUGUCGGACGCUCGCAAGGAAGCAUCGGACGUCCUGAAGGAUCGGACGCAUGCUUCGGACGAACAUCAAUAUCAUCGGACGUCCUAAAAAUUCCUCGAAGAUUUCAUAACUCUCUGGACGACGUUCGGACACUGAAGCUCGGACGAUAAAAUUCCAUCGGACGUCCGAACUUCAAUUUGGCUGUUUUUCGGACGAUUGGUUCGGACGAUAAUUUGAUCGUCGGACGUCCGAAAGCCCCAACGGCUAGCUGACUCUUCAUCUGCCUUCUAUCCGUUGGAAGCUUUAAUGAAGCCCAUUUCUGUUCCCCUUUAAAAACAAACUGUUCUGAACGAAGUAAGAACUUUUGCACACUUGGUCUACAAGAUCUCAAGAGAUAUUUUAGCUAGAAAAUAGUCUCCAAAGUUAGAUUUGUUCUCUAAGUGGUGUGAACUUCUGGUGAGCUUUUCUCUUGUGGUUGAAAGUUUCAUUAGUGUAGCUUUGUUGAGGGUUAUCUGAGUGUUUGUAAAACUUCUUAGCUUGACUAAGUGAGGCUUAGGGCAAGGAGGAAGUGCUCCCUCCAUUGUACAUCUAGUUGAUCAUAUUUCAUCAAAGAGAAGUUGCUCAACCUUGUGAUUGGUCUUCAAGUUUGAGGAAAGCUUGGUAGACAAUCGGUUUGAUUUCCUAUUUUACUUUUUGUUUAAUAAAAUUCUCAUUUCUUAUAUAUACUUGUUUUUCUGAUCAAUAUUGCUAUUGUCUUCUAAUCUACUUGGUUGAUCUUUACUAGAAAAGAAGGUAAAUUUUUAUUAAAGAAAAAGUGCAUAAAUUUGGUUAAGGUUUUAAUCAACCCAAUUCACCCCCCCUCUUGGUUGUCUUUGGGACUUACAGUUUGGCUCCCGCGAGAGUAACCCUACCCAUAGGGUUAACGAGGUAAAGACGUCGUCCAUUCAGCAGCAGCUAUCGGAGUUAACAUCUUUUGCUCAGCAGUUAGCUGUGGGGAAUAUGCAUCAAGCAAAGGUCUGUGGAAUUUGCACAAACAUGGGCCACCCCACUGACUUAUGCCCUAUUUUGCUAGAGGAUGGGGCUGAACUAGUAAACAUGGUUGGGGGCGUGCCCACGCCCCGUAGGUAGUACGAUCUAUACUCGAACACGUACAAUUCGAGUUGGAGAGACCACCCCAACUUCAACUAUGGGAACAGGCCACAGAAGUCAUUCUCAAAUCGUCCAGCAACCAUGGCAACCAAAGCUUCAACCUUCGUCCUCCAAUUCAGGAGGCUCUUUGGAGGAUAUUGUCAAGAGCCUGGCCACGAGUACUACUCAGCUCCAGCAAGAAACUAGAUCCUUGGUCACGAGUACUGCUCAAUUCCAUCAGGAAACUAGAUUAGGCAUGAAAAAUCUGGAGACUCAAAUAAGUCGUAUGGCAACUGCAAUUAAUCGGUUAGAGUCUCAAGUUUUUGAAAAAUUGCCAUCGCAACCCGAGGUAAAUUCCAAGAAUGUAAGUGCCUUGACAUUGAGGAAUGGCAAGGAAGUGGAGGGGCUUAAGGCCACGAACCUAAAGAGUAAAAGUGAAGAAGAGAUCGAAAAGGAGAUUGAAGAAGAAGGACGCAUUCGUGGAGACCCUAAGGUAACUCUUACUCCAUCAAUUCCCAUUGAAUCUAAUUUACCUCCUUUUCCAUACAGGUUGGAAAAGACAAAGAAGGCGGAGAUGGAAAAAGAAAUCCUAGACGUAUUCUGAAAAGUAGAGAUCAACAUUCCCUUGUUGGAUGCAGUUAAGCAGGUACCAAAGUACGCAAAUUUUUUUAAGAAUUUGUGCACCUAUAAGAGGAAGUUGAGACGGGACAAAAGAGCAGCAGUGGGAGAAAAUGUAUCAGCUAUACUCCAAAGAAAACUCCCACCCAAGUGUGGAGAUCCAGGUAUGUUCAUGAUCCCAUGCAAAAUAGGAAAUACACCGAUUAGAAAAAUAAUGUUGGAUUUAGGGGCAUCAAUCAACGUAAUGCCAAGCACCAUUUAUGUUUCUUUAAAUCUUGGGCCACUAAAAGAAACAGCCAUCAUAAUCCAACUAACUGACCGCACCAAUGCUUAUCCAGAGAGGCUAGUUGAGGAUGUCUUGGUUCAGGUAAAUGAGUUAGUUUUUCCAACAGAUUUUUAUAUCUUAGGUAUGGGAGAUGAAAAAUUGUUAAAUCCGUCACCUAUUUUGUUAGGUAGGCCAUUUCUUAGCACUGCUAGGACUACAAUAAAUGUGAAUGAGAGUACUUUAUCAAUGGAGUUUGAUGGCGAAAUUAUAAAUUUCAAUAUUUUUGAGGUGAUGAAGUAUCCGGAGGAAUCUAACUCAGUCUUUGCAUUGAGUGUUAUUGAACCUAUUGUAUAGGAAACUUUCGAAUUAGACUGUGAAGACGCAUUGGAAGUGGCCUUUAUCAAGCAUCUUGAAAUGGAUGUAACUCUUAAUGUGGACAUGAGGGAUGAGUUGCACCAUACAGUUGAAGCAUUACAUUCACUUCCAACCAUUCCUUCGAGGUAUGAGCUUACCUCUCUUUUUGUGCCAAAAACUCAGACAAAGUUGUUGCCUUCAGUUGCACAGGCACCGGAGUUAGAGCUUAAGACUCUCCCGAAACAUUUAAAGUACGCAUUCCUGAGAGACUAAGAGACGCUUCCGGUGAACAUUUCUGCACACUUAUCUCCAAGUCAAGAGAGCAAACUGGUGCGAACCCUUAGGGAUCAUAAGGAAGCGAUUGGGUGGAGUAUAGCAGAUAUCAAAGGAAUAACUCCGUUCUUAUGCAUGCACCAGAUACGGCUCGAAGAUGAUGCGAAACCGGUAAAACAGGCGCAGCGGAAAUUGAAUUCGCUAAUGAUGGAAGUAGUGAAAAAGGAGAUACUUAAAGUCCUGGAAAUAGGAAUUAUCUUUGCUAUCUUGGACAGUCCUUGGGUGAGUCCCGUUCAAAUAGUCCCAAAAAAAAUAGGAGUGACUGUAGAGGAAAACCAGGAGGGUGAGAUGGUUCCAGUCAGGAAAGCUACAGGUUGGCGCCAGUGCAUUGACUACCGGAGACUAAACGCUGUGAUGAAAAAGAACCAUUUUUGAUGUGAAACCCCGGUCUAGACAACCAAAACACCAUGGCUUAGGCAGCGGAAAUUUGACCCAACUAAUCCCUAGAAGUCACGAACAAUUUUGAUAUUAUCUCAACCCGUAACUACUCGAAUUAACGAACCAAAUUGGAGGUAGUAGAACGCCACAAUCAAGGAGAUACUCGAUUGAUAAGUUCGGGUGAAUAACUUGAGAAGAUUCUCAAGUAUUCAAAGGCAACUCUCUUGCCAAAGAGAAAGUGAAAACUCACUAAUUGUAUUUAAUAGCCAAAAACUCGUCCCAAAACAAAGAGGAAGUGAGGCAAUUUAUAGCCCUUACAAGCAUUAACCCUAAUCCAAAAGUUGACCAAACUACCCUACAUACUUAAGAAAGAUUUUGGGCCUUACUUACUAACAAAUGGGCCGCAAUUAAACUAUCUUAAUUACCUAGAUUUUUAAAACAAGAAAUAACCAAAAUCAACGAGAAAAAUCAAAUAAUCCUACUAAACUCAAGCAUUCGUGCAAUCAACUAGUCUUCACUUGAAUCUUCCAAUUCCCCGUGUGCUUGAAUGGGCCUUGGUCUUUAUAUUCUCAUCAUUCCCCUCCUCUUAAAAGCAAUUUGCCCACAAAUUGAAGCACGAAUGGUGACAAGACGAGUUACAUGCCUUCGACUCAAUCUUGUUAUGAUGGCUACAGAUGGCAUCCAAUGCAAAACCCAUGUGCUAAGUUGGAAAAUAACCCUCGUCGAACCUUGAAUCUCACAGACCAUCUUCAAUGUAUGCUCAACUUUAUUGUUUGUGGUCAUGAGAUAAGGGUCCUCAAAGUGGUAUGAAGUGUAUCCCGUGAAAUCGAACUCCGGCUCGAACACACUUGCAAGGUACCAAGGCGGAUUUGGUGAUGUUGGAGCUUCAUGUGGACUAAGAGCAAGACGAAAAGCAUAAUGGUCAUUGAGGUACUUGUUCUUUAAACGAACCCUUGGUACACAACCAUUCCUAAAAUAUGGAGUGUUCCCUUCAAGAUGAGCUCGAAUCAACUCCCCUUUGGUGUGGACUGAUUUAAGUUGACAUUGUUCCAUGAAUGGAUACCAAGGGGGUUUAACUCUUGGAGUACCAACUCCAUGGAGGCUUGCAACGUCUACAAUUGAUUUUGGAAUGGAACACACCAAGAUCAGCUCAACUUGCCUUUGCUUGAUCUGUAUAAAAGAAGAAACACUAAACAAAGCAAAGGUAAGUUUGUUAAGAAAAUAAUAGGCCUUCACCGGGUUGCUCAAGAUCAGCCCACUUUCUCUUCUUUCUUCCUUUUUACCACCAAUCUCAUUAGAUUUUUCCAUCUCUUUUCCUAGUUCAACAGCUGACCCUUUUAUCUCAUUACUUUCAACUUCCUCGGGUUUUACCUCUGCAGGCACAAUUCCCUCAUCUAGCUUUUUCUCCAUUCUAUAACGCUCAAACUCACUUUUCAUGCAUGCUAGAUCAAUACAAAGUUGGUCAUAAGUAAGUGAUACAAGUGCAAGACGACGACUAUUAAAUAAGAAGGAAUACUUAUUAGUAUGUCCAUCAAUUUUAACUUCUCGCCUCGACAUCCAUGCUUUGCCCAACAACACAUGUGUCACUUGAAUUGGGACUACAUCACACAACACCUCAUCCACAUAUUUGCUGAUUUGAAUAGGUACAAGUGUGUGCUUAGUAACCCAAACAUCCCUAUGAGUGCUCGUCAACUUGUAAGGUUGAAGAUGAUCAAUGGUUGGAAGAUUUAAUUUCUCAACCAUGAUAGCACUUGCAAGAUUGACUUCACAACUACCAUCAAUGGCCAAGCUACAAAUUUUAUCUUUGACACCGCAACGAGUAUAAAACCAACCAAGCAACUGAGAUUUGACGAGGUCCAAUUGCUCAUCUACACCACGUAAUGCCACUUCUUUGACUCCCUUAGGAUCAGGAAGACAAUGUUGUGGGCUAGCUUUUAUGUGUCUUAUACUCGCCAUGACGUAUGAGGGAACCUGCAAAAAGUUAGCAACGAAACCGAAGAUAUUGCCUUUCACGCUCCCUUACGUGUAUCCACUCGCACUCGUGUAUAUGGAUGUCACUCUAAUGGACUUACCAAAUACCUUUACCUGUUGGGUUAGGUAGUUGAGAAAUGCUGCUCAAGUCCAACAACCGUUACCAACCUUUCCACAAGUGUAAUCACAAGAAUGUAGGAGAAAAUGUAUGAAAGUGUUCCUAGAAUCUAGGAAGAGAAUAUAGGAGAGUUUCAUAAAGUGGAUGAGAGAAUAUAGGAAAGGUCCUAAAAAUGGAUGAGAGAAUUUUAGGAGAGUUUCCUAAAAAAUGGAUGAGAGAAUUUAGGAAAGUUUCCAAAAAAAUGGAUGAGAGAGUUUAGGAAAAUUUCCUAAAAAGGUAGGAGAGAGAGUGUCCAAGUGAGUACAAAGAGUUAUCCAAGUGCUUUACUUAGUUUCCUAAUUGAUUUUGGAAACAAGUUAGUUUUUGGAAACCUUUUGAAAAUCCUCUUCCUCUUGAACAACUUUUGGUAACCUUCUUGAAACAACUUUUGGUAACCUUCUUGAAACAACUUUUGGUAACUUCCAAAUUCUACUCCAAGAAAGAUUGCACAAAUCAGAUUUGGUUCUCUAUUCAAAACAAUUCGGUUGCCCCUUUCUUUCCUUGCCUUUUUUUUUUUCUCUUGCCAACCAAUUCCUCUUUUCUUUCUUCUUUUUUUUUGUCUUUUUUUGACUACAACUAUCAACCACGACACAAAACAAGGAAGUCCACAAAUAAUAACAACCAAGAACUCCAAGAUCUUUCAAGAACGUUCAAGGAAGUUGUCAGGAACUUCAGAAAUUUCAAGAUUGUGGUCAAGAAUUCAAGAAGCUCAAGAUUAUUGUAAGUUCUCUUCACGAUUCACAAAAUUCCAACAAUUUUUGCCAAAAUUCAGAUUUGAAAACCAAGUAAACAAGUUGGAUAACACAAACAACAAGGCUGGACAGAUUUGUAUUCGGAUGAACAGAACCCUAUGAACAGUAUCAGUGAACAGUGUCGGUGAACAGUAACGAUGAACAGUAAUAUUUUUUUUUUUUUUUUGGUUCUGAACAAACGAACAGAUUGGGAUAAACACAUAUGACUCGAAAUAAACGAAAACAAAAAAAAAGAUAUAACCUGGUGGUUGUCAACUAGCUCUGGUACCAACUGAUGUGAAACCCCGAUCUAGACAACCAAAACACCAUGGCUUAGGCAGCGAAAAUUUGACCCAACUAAUCCCUAGAAGUCACGAACAAUUUUGAUAUUAUCUCAACCCGUAACUACUCGAAUUAACGAACCAAAUUGGAGGUAGUAGAACGCCACAAUCAAGGAGAUACUCGAUUGAUAAGUUCGGGUGAAUAACUUGAGAAGAUUCUCAAGUAUUCAAAGGCAACUCUCUUGCCAAAGAGAAAGUGAAAACUCACUAAUUGUAUUUAAUAGCCAAAAACUCGUCCCAAAACAAAGAGGAAGUGAGGCUAUUUAUAGCCCUUACAAGCAUUAACCCUAAUCCAAAAGUUGACCAAACUACCCUACAUACUCAAGAAAGAUUUUGGGCCUUACUUACUAACAAAUGGGCCGCAAUUAAACUAUCUUAAUUACCUAGAUUUUUAAAACGAGAAAUAACCAAAAUCAACGAGGAAAAUCAAAUAAUCCUACUAAACUCAAGCAUUCGUGCAAUCAACUAGUCUUCACUUGAAUCUUUCAAUUCCCCGUGUGCUUGAAUGGGCAUUGGUCUUUAUAUUCUCAUCAAUUUUCCUCUCCCUUUUAUUGACCAGAUGAUAGAAAGAUUGGCUGGUCGUGUUUACUAUUAUUUUUUGGAUAAUUUUUCAGGGUACUUCAGAUCUCGAUAGCACCGGAGGACCAGGAAAAGACCACAUUCACCUGCCCAUUUGGUACUUUUGCGUACCGUAGGAUGCCUUUCGAUCUUUGCAAUGCUCCAACAACUUUUCAAAGGUACAUGGUAAGUAUUUUCUCCGAAUAUGUAAAAAGAUUAUUGAUGUGUUCAUGAAUGAUUUUAGUGUAUACGGGGAUAGCUUUGAUGAAUGUUUCGAUAAUUUAGCUGUAAUUUUGAAAAUGUGCAUAGAGACGAACUUAGUUCUUAAUUGGAAAAAAUGCGCUUUAUGGUAGAGUAUGGUAUUGUCUUAGGGCACGUUGUGUCGGCUAAGGGAAUAGAGGUAGAUAAAGCAAAAAUAGAUCUAAUUUCUACUUUGCCUUACCCUGUAUGUGUACGGGAAGUACGUUUCUUUUUGGGCCAUACAGGAUUUUAUAGGAGGUUCAUCAAGGAUUUCUCAAAGAUUGGAGCACCCCUAUUCGAGUUGCUGCAAAAGGACGUGACAUUCGAUUUCACCAAUGAAUAUAAGGUGGCUUUUGAUAAAUUAAAGGAGUCGUUGACAUCGCCGCCCGUCAUUCAACCCCCAGAUUGGAGCCUACCGUUUGAAAUAAUGUGCGAUGCGAGUGAUUAUGAGGUAGAAGCAGUGUUGGGCCAAAGGAUUGGCAAGGUGGCGCAUGCAAUUUACUAUGCGUCGAAAGCAUUGAGUGGAGCUCAACUUAACUACUCCACGACGGAGAAAGAAUUACUAGCCGUUGUUUUUGCACUAGAAAAAUUUAGGUCAUAUUUAUUAGGUGCAUGUAGACACCAAAAAUUUCAUCGAUUCAGUUUUAGCUUUAUUCAUUCAAUUUUGACUUCCUUUGAUUCAAUUUUUAGUUUUAUUAUUAUUAUUUAUUCUUGUCUCAUAUUUAUUAUUUUUAAUUGAUUGGAGGUUGCAAAUGGUAAUUGAUGUUCAUUCUUAUUUUAAAUGCAUUAAAAUUCAUCAUUUUCUUUUUAAAGCAAUUUUACACUAAAUUUUAGGAAAAUCCCGAAUAAAGAUCCAUUUUAUCUUUUUAAAAUUUGAUUUUUUCUUGCUAAGGCAUUUUGCAAGGUAAUUUUUAAAAAUUAAGCAUGUUAAACAAGUGUGUCAAUUGCAUGUUGAACAAGUGUGCAAAUAAGCAUUAGACAAGUGGUUGAGGAAUGGUAGGACAAGUGUAUAGGGGGUAGCUGUCAAGGACACUUGGGGGGUUUUUUGGGGGGCAUCGGAAAAAAAAGGAAGAAAAAACCCUCGAAGAGGCUUGAAAACAGGGGGAAGAGAAAAGAGCUAAAAACAGGGAGGGGGCUUCGGAGGAAAGGGGAGAGGAAAAACGAAAUCGAAAAAGGAGGGGAGAGUAGGGAAAAAUCUGGGGAGAGUCUGUGGGCUAAGAAAAACAGCGGAGAGAUAGCGGAAAAAAAGGAGAAAAAGAACGGCUGAGGGGAAGGCUAAAAAUCUGAAAAGAGAAGAAGGCUUCGGCUGGGAGAAGCUGGAGUGGAAAAAAUAGAAAAAGGGAGAACGGCUGCGGUUGAGGGCCGAGAGAGUGGAGAGCCGAGGAGGAAAAAUCAGAAAAGGAGGAGAAAAAUCAAGGGCGGCGGAUGAAGGGAAAAGCUGGGAAAAUUAGAAACAGAGAAAGAGAGGAUAGCAGCGGACAAAGAGCUUGCGACUGAGGAAGCAGAGCAGCUGGAACUGCCGUUCGCGGGAAGCUGUUGCCGCCCUCUUCCGUCACGCGCGACGCCAGCUUCAUCGCUUCUUCCAUCAUAGUUCAAGCUCCGCCCUCUGCCGGCACAAACAAGUGGCCAACCGCCCGCCCAAGCAACCAAAUCCGAGAUCAGCACCCGCAAAAUUUUACCAAGAAACAAACGGUAAGCCACCAUCAUCCUUCAAAUUUCAGUUUUCAUGUAAGUUUUCGAAGCGUGUUUUAUUUUUCACGUUGUGGCUUGUAGCCAUUUCUCUGUUGAAUUAUUCACUAAUUGGAAGUAUGUAUGCUUUGAAUGUCGAUUGGACUGGAGUUUUCUUGCAUUUGAUGAAAUUUUGGGUGCUGAUUCAUGUCAAUUGAGCGAGAAAUUGGUGAAGUUUUUUAAUGGCUGUUUGUUGUUCGACAGAAUGCUUCAAUGAAAGUUCGGCCUGAAGAAUGGAUUAAUUUCUGAUUUAUAUACGUUCGACUGUUUCAUGCUUGUCAAAAUAAUUGAUUCGAAUGGGUUUGUUUGGGCGUCCGUUUGUUUUGGCAAUCUGCUCCGCUUCUCGUUUGUUUGGUGUUCCUCUUGUAUGGAUUUAAAUUCAUGACAUAAAAUGGCGUGCGAGGGGAUUCAUGUGAGAGUCAUUUGUUUUGCUUUUGUUUUGUUUUGUUGAUUGGAGUCCGAAGUUGAAUUUUCUGGUUGCAAAGAGGAAUGAAAUAGCAGCGAACGUUGAGCCAAUUUGGGAAGAAGAGGAUUGCUUGAUUAAAUUCAUGAUUCCAGUCCCUCAAUUUCCCUUUCCAUUAUGAUUUAACCCCAGAAUUUUAGGACUUCAUAAUUUUUCCUCCAACACCUUCAUAAGUCCUUCAAUUAGGUCCCUGCUCUUGUUGCAUUUUAACCCCUCAGCUUCCCCUUGUUCUGAUAUGACCCGAAAAGUGGAAAAAGUGCGUUUGUUUCUCCCUUCUAGAUUUAAAUCAUCUUCUAAUAAGCAUGAAUAGUCCUUUUACUAGAUUAAUUCUUGUUUGUAGGUUCUAAUUGUGGUUCAAUAAUUUAUUUUGAUUUUAUCAUGUUGGGUUUAAUGAAACAAGUGCCUUGGGCUAAGAGGUUAUUUUUGUUUGGGUUUAAGAAAGUCGUUUUAGUUUAUUUUGUUUGGUUUUUUGGUUCGGGCUAGAGGGUCAAGGCCCAUCUAUUUGGUUGGCUAAUUUUUGGGCCAGGAUAUUAUACUAGCCCACUUGUUUUCCUUGGACUUUCGAUUGGGCCAAGUUAUCUUGGCCCAAGAAAGGUGAAGAUGGCCCAUUCCCUUUUUGUUUUGGAUUUUCGGUUGGGCUUGUAAGGCUUUGGCCCAAACAAAUAAAGGAAAUGGCCCAAUGGCUUGGUCCAUUAAGAAACCAGAAAACGAUUUUGCAAAUCAGUCCCUGAAUUUCUCCCUAAUUGUAUUGUGGCCCUGGACAUUUUCAACUUCUUUCAAUUCGGUCCUUGCUUUAAUUGCAAAUAGGUCCCUGAACUUUAUUUUUCUUUAAUUUUGACCUCCAAACUUUGUCAAUCUUUGCAAUCAGGUCCUUUCUUCUCUUGACUUCUUAAAUGUGAAUUGUCGACAUGAUUUAAUUGAUUCAAAUUCAUGCUUAUUUUUUAUCCUUUGUGAUUAUUUGCCAAAUAAAUUGGUACCUUGACCUUUUUAUUGUUUUGAAGCUAAUAUCUCAUUUACUCGAUUUCCGUUGCGAGGGAGGUAACUUCUAUAUUUUUGAGUUUAUUUUUUCCUACGUGCUCCUACGUGUUAUGUGAAUAUGCCUGUCUACUUUGCUUUCUUUGCCUUUCUUUAAUUCUUUUCAUUUUUUUUUACUUACUUUUGCUUUUUAUUUAAGUUAUUCAUUAUGGGGUAUGUGUACACCUCUUGGCUUGUAAUAGUUAGGGAUUUAAUUAUUUUAUUCUUUUCCCCCUUUUAGAUUGUAGUGGGGUCUCCCUAAUGUAAUAGAUAGGGUUUGGAGGAGCAUUCAAUGAAGACCUAUCGAAGACUUGUGCCUAGCUAGCAAAUGUAAUAGUUAGGGCUUUAAUUGUCUCAUGUGCCUUGCAUGCUUAGUUGCUACGUGUUAAUUUGCUUUGCUAGGGCCUUGCAUCUAGUCGAGCAUGCAAAAUGUUAUGUGCUAUGUGUUUAUAAGUGUUUGGCAUGUCUACUCGCUUUCCAUAGCCUGAAUAAAUGUGAUGGAUGAAUGUACGUCACCACACUAGUCCAAUGCUAGUUGUGGCUCAUUAUUUCAUUAGGAAUUCAUAGAAAGGGCUAGUCCAACGCUAGACCCAAUAGGAUUUUUCCUUUGUUUUUCAUUAAUGCAUUAUUUGCCUGUUCACUACAUAUCAUGCAUUUUUCCUUAGUUUUAUCAUCUGGCAUGCUCCUCGAUUCCCCUUUCCCCUCACUUUAGGAUUUUUGCAUUUCAUGCUAGUUAUAGGGUUCAUUUGCCUGAAGAGUCCCCUUCUGAUAAGGGAAACGAGCGAGUGUGGCUACUCGAUAGCCUUAGCACGCUAGUUUCGCCUUCUAAUCAAAGGGAAGAUUAAGUCACAAAGUUAGGACUCCCCGUUCCCGUCUUGAUGCAUUCCUAUAGGAUUCAUGCAUUCUAUUCAUUCACUAUCACAUACACUUACUUUAUAUUCUAACCCUUUUUCCACAUUCUCACUUCACACUACUUUUACACGUUUUCAUUUAACUACUCACACUCUAUGCCAUAUCACUCGCACACAUGCACUUUAUAUUAUUUUCACAUUAUCAUUCUUUACUCACCUUACCUUGUAAAUACAUUUGCACACCUCCACUUUUCUCACUUCACAUAAACUUACAUUUUCACAUGACAUGCACCCCAUUCAUUUUUACGUCAUUUAGGAUUACGUGUGACCUCUCCAAAGGAUCAUUAUUGGGCUUCACAAUUAAUGUGAUUGGCACCACUCAACCUUUGAAGAGAAAUUUCCCCCAAUACCCCUAGGUCUAGGGUUUUGCAUUCAUAUAGACAUAUCCAACACGCGAUACAUACCUUGGGUAGAAAAAUUAGGAAAAAUUGGUUUAAGUCACGCAACUAGCCUUGGCUAGGUCGAAGGGGUGCCUUGGAUUUUUUAUCCUUGCCUUCCCCUUCGUCAAAUGUGACCCCCGAUCCCUCUUUUUGGUUACGUAGACCCAAAAGUUCUUUAAAAGGGUUUAUUUACUUUUUUUAUUCAAAAACAAAAAACCAUUUUUUGGGUGACUUGGUACACCCUAACCCUAUACCAAGUGGCGACUCCAUUUUUGAUACAAAAAACCCUUUUUGAACUUUAUAUGGCCAAACCGUCGCAUUAUCAAGUCCCAUGGCCUUUUACUUUUCAUUUACACACGUUCACAUUCCAUUACACCACUCACAUCUCACACCACACACACACCACAACUCAUCAUCUUCGAAAAGUGGGGCGCGACAGUUGGCGACUCCACUGGGGAAGCUCCUAAGUGGGUCCGAGCAUUUGACUUAGCCAUUCGUUUCCUUUUUCUACCCUUUUUAUGCAUUGCACUUGGAUAUUAGGGUUGCAUUUUUUUUAUUUUAGGCCUUUUUGCCUCGUGCGCGUAUCCAACUAUUCCCUCACUCACGUACGUGUGAUUGGUUGAUUGGAUGUAUGUUUACUUGUUUAUCUCGCGCUUGCAUUGCAUUUGGGAGGGGGCGUGUCACCUUUAGAGCCUCACGUUGGUUCUCAACCCCUUCCCUCAAAAUAGGGGAGCACUUCAUACGUGCACGUUUACUUGCUUUUAUCCCAUUUUAUUUUGUUUUUCGUGGGCGUUUCCCACACCGCCUUGUAGGAUUAGGAUCGAUUGCCUUGGGUAGGCGGCUGGUGUGCUCUGCGCCCAUAACGCUACCUAAGGGAUCACUCGAGCCACCGAUCAAAGGCCUUGGGAGUGAUGACCCUUUGCCUUUAGGUCUGAAGGCUUGGGAGCCGAAGCUUUAUCGAGUCUAGGCAUUAAUGAACCAAACCUCAUGCAUCCAUGUUAGCAUUUGCCUAGGGUAGAGUCAGCCUCACCCUUUUUAAGCACAAUUAGGCACGAGGGAAGGGGUUCCACCCCUUUUUAUUGGCUUUUAUUGUAUUUCUUUUUCUUAAUUGCUCCCAAUAUGUUAUGUGUAUUACCAAUUGCACUAACCAUUCUUUUGUUUUCUUGGCUUGCAUUCAUAUGCCCUAGCAAUAAGAGGCCCUUUUGGCACUCUUUUAGUGACCUAUCCACUAGAUAACUCACAUGUUUAAAUUUCAGUCAUUAUACUUAAUAAAUACAUUUCAUUUUAGACCUUUUUUCCCCCGAUGCAUUAUUUAUGUCCCUUAGGUCAUAUUUGUCACAUAUUUACAUCGCUUUAAUAAAUGACAUCAUGCAUAAACCCUAGAAAGGGAAUGCCAUUUAGGGGAUCCCGUGUCAGGAAUAAGCCACCUUGUGUCUCGGAUACUUAAUCCAGUGAGACUUGCACGUUUACAUUUUGUACCAUCCAAAGGGGGUAGUGCACAAGGUAAGGUAGGAUCCGAUCAUUUUCAUAGAGUGAUCUUUGGGAUAUGAGCAUCUAAUAAUCACUUUUUGGCCAUUUUAUCAAAAAUUGGUAAAAAUUCCUUGCGUGAAGGACAGUAAUUUGAAGAAAUUCACAAAUGAUUCCUUCUAUUGAGACGAUAAAUAAAUUGAGGCCAAAAUUUGAUUUUUAGAAGCUCAUAGACUAAUGCAUCUCAAUCAUUUUGAAAUCACCAAUGGCCGGACAAUUCAACCAAUCCAUUUUACCCAUUCAUUCAAUAAAUCAUCAAUUCAUUUGAUCAAUUUACCCUUUUUAGGGUCAUCCGGUCGAUUUUGAAUAAAUCGUCAAUUCAUUUGACCAAUUUACCCUUUUUAGGGUCACCUGGUCGAUUUUCAAUAAAUCAUCAAUUCAUUUGAUCAAUUUACCCUUUUUAGGGUCACCUGGUCGAUUUUGAAUAAAUCGUCAAUUCAUUUGACCAAUUUACCCUUUUUAGGGUCAUCCGGUCGAUUUUGAAUAAAUCAUCAAUUCAUUUGACCGAUUUACCCUUUUUAGGAUCGUUCGGCCGAUUUUUGAACAAGUCACUAAUUCAAUUUCAUUCAUUUGGCCAAUUUACCUUUUUUUAGGGCAACCGAGCCGUUUUUUGACCUGUUUCCCUUCUAGGGUAAUCCGGUCGAUUUUCAAUAAAUUGUCAAUUUCAUUUGACCAAUUAGGAUUUCAAUGUCGAAUUCCAAAUUGGGAAAUCUAGUCAAUUUUGAAGAAAACCGUCCAUUGCAUCCAAUCACUUGAUCAAUUAGGGUUUUUGACCCGUAAUUCACUGAGAAAUUUUAUCAACGAAUUCCAAUCUCUUCGAUAGGAGUUCGUCAAGGUCAAACCCAUGCGUUUUGCAAAUCAAAGGUGAUCAAUCUAUUCGGACGUUGUCCUCAUUUUGACAAAUCUCUUGCCACUCCAAUGGCCAAAUUUUUCAAAUUAUUUUUCACUCAAUGAGUUGAUCAGAUCCGUCAGGUAUGGUAUAGUGCUUCCCUAGAGGAUUGCAUUUUCAUGCUAGGCCUACCCUUGGCAUAAAAAGGGUUCCCCCAUAGGACAUGCAUACCGAUUUUUUUUUAUUCUUACUUACUGACUCUGGGUAUUUUUCUUUUUGUUUUCCCCUCCCCCUGCAUUUAUAAAAAUGUUUCAAUAAGGCGAGAAUAUUCUUCUAUAUCUGAUAAUUUUGAUCCAAUAAAGCUUGAAGAUUACAAGUAUUACUUGAUUUUUAGGUAGACAUUGCCGCGAAAGCAUAAAGGGGAAAUUCUAUUUAUUUGAUUUGUUAAUACAUUUUGUUCCAAAAGAAAAGGAGACAAAAAGUGUAUGUGUUGAGCUCUUUACGAGUUUCUCUCUUCUCAUUUGUAUCAUAAUUGAUUGAGCAAUUUUGUUUCAAACUUUUUCAACAAUAAAAUUUUUUGGAUAAUUUUUGUUUUGUGUAUAUUUAUGUACAUUUCAUUCUUUAUUCUUACUCAUUGGAGAUUUCAUGAUGAUUUUUGAGAAAUAAGACCCAAUUUGAGAUUUUUCAACCUAUAGCCUGAAUUUCACAAGUGUGUGCUUCCUAAAAUCCUUACACUCGAUUGGUGUUCCAACCUGUACAAUAAGAGUGCUCAGAAAGAAAGAGAGUGAACGGUCACUCAAAAGGCCCUAUGAGAUACCUUUCUCCUUCACUUAAUUCCAAAAUAAAAUCAGUCACAUUGAUUGAUAAAUUGUAAAUUGGGGUAACUUUUGCUUGAAAAUGUUCAAGGCGUCUAAUCUGGUUCAAUCACAUCUAAGUGAAAGCAAAAAUGUGCAUUAUUCUUAUUUGUUUGGAAAAUUUGGAAUGAUACUUCAAGCAUUCGUUUCAUUACCUGUACAGAUUUUUAUCAUUUGCUCUCCCAUUUGAGCUUCUAAAAGAAUAAUUUCGUUUCAAAUAAGGGUCUUAAUGAUCACUACCCGUCAUUGAAAAAUUUUCAAAUAUCAAAAGAAGAAUGGGUUUUCAAUGACCAUUUCGCUACUUCGGUUGUCAUGAGGUAUAAGAAUGAUACUUUGGCCGUCAGUUCUACAAUCUAAACACUGAUCAUCCCUUGCAUCCUCGUUUGAGCUAAAUUGGUGGUUCUUUUCGAGUGCACAUAUGAUCGCACCCCACAUUGGGGAAGGAGAUUGGGAAAUUUUGAAAAAAGGGAAAAGAAAAGGGGAAAAGCAAAAAAUGCUAGAAUAAGGAGGGAACCGCAAAUUUGGGGAAUUUGAUUCCACUUGGGUUCCAAUUUUGAAAAAAAAAAAGAAAAGAAAAAGAAGAAAACAAGUUCUAUCCGGUGGAUCACUUAUGUUUCAUAGACAUGAAUGAGCAAGGGUCUUCCUCAGUCAGUUAAUUCAGAUACAUGCCAAAAAUUUCCCAUUAAUGAAAAUUUCUUUUCAGAGUUAAUGUAAGGAACGGAAUACAAGUCAGGCCAUCUUCUUUUCCGAUCAAGCAUCUAUCCCUAGUUAUCCCUUUUGAGCAUUCAGAAUGAAAUACUUCGUUUGGCAACCCCUGAGAAUCGCAAACCCCACACUGGGGCAAGUUGGUUUGAAAAAGGAAAAUUUCAAGAAGCGGAAAAGUGAAAAGCCACAAAAUCAAAAGGCAAAGGAAGAAAAGAGAACCUCAGUUCAAAAAUAAACUGGGGCAAAUUUUGUGAAAGUUCGAAAAAAUGGCCGAAGGCCGAAAAAUCAAAAGAAAGAAAAUAAAAGUGAAAAAGCCUCAAUUGAGCAAAAACUGGGGCAAAUUCUGAUUUUACCCUAAAAUAGGGUUGACGCAACAAUGCGAUUUCAGAUUCUUCAAACCACUUUUGAAAUCCGCUUUCAAGCCUUAACUUUUCUAAGCACCCCACCUGACCCCAUUACAAAAGCCAAAAGUCCUGACUUCUGUUCUUUGCAAUGGCCCUGUCAAGAAAAUUUCUGAUGCCGGAAAAUUUUAGCUGUAUUGCUGAAUUGCUUGAGUAUGAGGUUGGCGCUACUCAUGUGAAAACCCAUCAGCUCGAGGGAAAAGAAAAGAGGCAAAAAGCAAAGCAAGAAAAGUAAAUGCAAGGAAAAUGCAAAAAGACUUGACGCUGAAGUCCCUGGGGAAUGAUGAGAAAAUCCAAACAAAGUCUGAAAUCUUUUGAGUUCAAAUAGGGGCAAUUUUGGAAAAAUGUGAUCUUCGGUGCAAUGUCCUUGAAAGUUUUAUUCUUUAGCUAUCGUUUUUCAAGCCAAAUUACAAGCUAAGAAAGUCCAUCGUUGACUUAUUCCUUCAUGACAAUCCAAAGUGAGGAUCAUACUCAUAAGAAAUUCAUCAAAUCAUUUGUGAUCAUAAGGGUAUAACCCGUUUCCACAUGUUUAGCUAUCACUUCUGUCCAUACGUUACAAGCCUAGAAAGCUGGUAUGUUGACUAAGUUUUCUUGAAAAAUAAGGGUGACAAACUCUUUGCUUUCACUAAGAUGUGACAUUGAAUGGAUUACAUACAAUUGGGGCACAAAAAUGAGACAGAUUCUGACCUCUCAUUUUCCUUCAGCCACUUCCAAAUCAAAAAUAAAGUCACUUGAUUGGUCCUGAAAAAUGAGCCAACCAGAAGUGGUGACCCGUUACCCUAAACACCAAUGCUAAAAGUGAGGAAGAAAUCUUCUUGAAUUUGGUGUUACUUCGAGGAAUUCAUCAUGAAAUUUCUGCAUGAGUUUCAAACUUGACGUUUAAAGUUUCUUCACAUUGUUGUAUAUGUGCACUCUUUUCUAAAUUUUAGAAAGUGCGGUUUUUCUUUGUUCAAAUCAAUGGGAAAUCAUCUGAACAAAUUUUUGCAAUUAAGGGAGCCCACACUGGGGCAAAAAUUUUAUUUGUGAGAUUUCAUGAAAUAAGCCCAUACUGGGGCAAAUUUUUUGUAAUACAUUUGAGAUUUGUGUCCAAAAAUCAAAUAAUAACAUUUUUCGAAACAAUCCCGCUGCUCUUUUCCUGGAAUUUAAGUGCAUGUCAUACUUUGAUGAACCCCUUGUACAGGUAUUCAUGAUUCAAAAUGACGAAAGGCAUCCAGUAAGGCGGAAGGCCGAUACUGCAAAGAGAAGCAAGAAGAAGGAGGAAAAAUGGACACUACACUUGGGGCAAAUUAUUUUUUUAAAAUUUUUGAAAAAAGGGAAAAAAGAAGGAAAAAAGAAAAAAAGAGAAAAAACCAAAAAUCAAAUCAAAAAGUCAAAAAUCAAGUUCAAAUUCUUGUUUCUUGAAAAAUCAAAUUUGAUUUCUUGUGGGCGAAGCUCCAAUGCACGCCGCGCAUCAUUCUGUUCCCCCCUUCUCUUGACAUUCCAAAUCAAGUUGGGCCUGGAUUUCGUGCCACCAACAUCAUUUUAUCACGUUGGGCCUGGACUUGGUGCCGCCAACAUCACUUUAUCACGUUGGGCCUGGACUUGGUGCCGCCAACAUCACUUUAUCACGUUGGGCCUGGACUUGGUGCCGCCAACAUCACUUUAUCACGUUGGGCCUGGACUUGGUGCCGCCAACUUCACUUUAUCACGUUGGGCCUGGACUUGGUGCCGCCAACAUCACUUUAUCACGUUGGGCUUGGUUUUCGUGCCACCAACUUCGCUUUGUCACGUUGGGCUUGGAUUUAGUGCCACCAACAUUACAAAAGUCACAUUGGACCGGGUUUUAUCCCGCCAAUCUCGGCAGGACCGGGUCUAAUCCCGCUGACCGCUUACAGGACCGGGUCUAAUCCCGCUGACAGGCAGGACCGGGUCUAAUCCCGCUGACCGCUUACUUCGGCAGGACCGGGUCUAAUCCCGCUGACCGCUCACCUCGGCAGGACCGGGUCUAAUCCCGCUGACCGCUCACCUCGGCAGGACCGGGUCUAAUCCCGCUGACCGCUCACCUCGGCAGGACCGGGUUUUAUCCCGCUGACCGUCCACACCCCGUCGGCCUCAGAUGUUAUCCCACCGACCAAUUCAUCACACUGGGGCAAAUUUUUUAGAUAAUUUUUCAAACAAGUCCUAUACAGUUCUCUAUUUAAUUUUCUGUUCGGGUCUAUCCCAUGGGUCUGUCCCAUCUACAUUUUUAUCCGAGUCUAUCGCAUUUACAUUCCUGUCCGGGUCUAUCCCGUUUACAAUUCUGUUCAGGCCAGUCCCAUGUUUGAAAUUCCUUGUUUAGGUCAGCCCUCCGAAUAGGGGCAACCGAAUGGUACAGGUAAGCAUUUGGUGUCUACUUCUUUGUCUCAAGUUUUUUCAAAACUCAGACAAAGAGGGGCAAACUGUAGACACCAAAAAUUUCAUCGAUUCAGUUUUAGCUUUAUUCAUUCAAUUUUGACUUCCUUUGAUUCAAUUUUUAGUUUUAUUAUUAUUAUUUAUUCUUGUCUCAUAUUUAUUAUUUUUAAUUGAUUGGAGGUUGCAAAUGGUAAUUGAUGUUCAUUCUUAUUUUAAAUGCAUUAAAAUUCAUCAUUUUCUUUUUAAAGCAAUUUUACACUAAAUUUUAGGAAAAUCCCGAAUAAAGAUCCAUUUUAUCUUUUUAAAAUUUGAUUUUUUCUUGCUAAGGCAUUUUGCAAGGUAAUUUUUAAAAAUUAAGCAUGUUAAACAAGUGUGUCAAUUGCAUGUUGAACAAGUGUGCAAAUAAGCAUUAGACAAGUGGUUGAGGAAUGGUAGGACAAGUGUAUAGGGGGUAGCUGUCAAGGACACUUGGGGGGUUUUUUGGGGGGCAUCGGAAAAAAAAGGAAGAAAAAACCCUCGAAGAGGCUUGAAAACAGGGGGAAGAGAAAAGAGCUAAAAACAGGGAGGGGGCUUCGGAGGAAAGGGGAGAGGAAAAACGAAAUCGAAAAAGGAGGGGAGAGUAGGGAAAAAUCUGGGGAGAGUCUGUGGGCUAAGAAAAACAGCGGAGAGAUAGCGGAAAAAAAGGAGAAAAAGAACGGCUGAGGGGAAGGCUAAAAAUCUGAAAAGAGAAGAAGGCUUCGGCUGGGAGAAGCUGGAGUGGAAAAAAUAGAAAAAGGGAGAACGGCUGCGGUUGAGGGCCGAGAGAGUGGAGAGCCGAGGAGGAAAAAUCAGAAAAGGAGGAGAAAAAUCAAGGGCGGCGGAUGAAGGGAAAAGCUGGGAAAAUUAGAAACAGAGAAAGAGAGGAUAGCAGCGGACAAAGAGCUUGCGACUGAGGAAGCAGAGCAGCUGGAACUGCCGUUCGCGGGAAGCUGUUGCCGCCCUCUUCCGUCACGCGCGACGCCAGCUUCAUCGCUUCUUCCAUCAUAGUUCAAGCUCCGCCCUCUGCCGGCACAAACAAGUGGCCAACCGCCCGCCCAAGCAACCAAAUCCGAGAUCAGCACCCGCAAAAUUUUACCAAGAAACAAACGGUAAGCCACCAUCAUCCUUCAAAUUUCAGUUUUCAUGUAAGUUUUCGAAGCGUGUUUUAUUUUUCACGUUGUGGCUUGUAGCCAUUUCUCUGUUGAAUUAUUCACUAAUUGGAAGUAUGUAUGCUUUGAAUGUCGAUUGGACUGGAGUUUUCUUGCAUUUGAUGAAAUUUUGGGUGCUGAUUCAUGUCAAUUGGGCGAGAAAUUGGUGAAGUUUUUUAAUGGCUGUUUGUUGUUCGACAGAAUGCUUCAAUGAAAGUUCGGCCUGAAGAAUGGAUUAAUUUCUGAUUUAUAUACGUUCGACUGUUUCAUGCUUGUCAAAAUAAUUGAUUCGAAUGGGUUUGUUUGGGCGUCCGUUUGUUUUGGCAAUCUGCUCCGCUUCUCGUUUGUUUGGUGUUCCUCUUGUAUGGAUUUAAAUUCAUGACAUAAAAUGGCGUGCGAGGGGAUUCAUGUGAGAGUCAUUUGUUUUGCUUUUGUUUUGUUUUGUUGAUUGGAGUCCGAAGUUGAAUUUUCUGGUUGCAAAGAGGAAUGAAAUAGCAGCGAACGUUGAGCCAAUUUGGGAAGAAGAGGAUUGCUUGAUUAAAUUCAUGAUUCCAGUCCCUCAAUUUCCCUUUCCAUUAUGAUUUAACCCCAGAAUUUUAGGACUUCAUAAUUUUUCCUCCAACACCUUCAUAAGUCCUUCAAUUAGGUCCCUGCUCUUGUUGCAUUUUAACCCCUCAGCUUCCCCUUGUUCUGAUAUGACCCGAAAAGUGGAAAAAGUGCGUUUGUUUCUCCCUUCUAGAUUUAAAUCAUCUUCUAAUAAGCAUGAAUAGUCCUUUUACUAGAUUAAUUCUUGUUUGUAGGUUCUAAUUGUGGUUCAAUAAUUUAUUUUGAUUUUAUCAUGUUGGGUUUAAUGAAACAAGUGCCUUGGGCUAAGAGGUUAUUUUUGUUUGGGUUUAAGAAAGUCGUUUUAGUUUAUUUUGUUUGGUUUUUUGGUUCGGGCUAGAGGGUCAAGGCCCAUCUAUUUGGUUGGCUAAUUUUUGGGCCAGGAUAUUAUACUAGCCCACUUGUUUUCCUUGGACUUUCGAUUGGGCCAAGUUAUCUUGGCCCAAGAAAGGUGAAGAUGGCCCAUUCCCUUUUUGUUUUGGAUUUUCGGUUGGGCUUGUAAGGCUUUGGCCCAAACAAAUAAAGGAAAUGGCCCAAUGGCUUGGUCCAUUAAGAAACCAGAAAACGAUUUUGCAAAUCAGUCCCUGAAUUUCUCCCUAAUUGUAUUGUGGCCCUGGACAUUUUCAACUUCUUUCAAUUCGGUCCUUGCUUUAAUUGCAAAUAGGUCCCUGAACUUUAUUUUUCUUUAAUUUUGACCUCCAAACUUUGUCAAUCUUUGCAAUCAGGUCCUUUCUUCUCUUGACUUCUUAAAUGUGAAUUGUCGACAUGAUUUAAUUGAUUCAAAUUCAUGCUUAUUUUUUAUCCUUUGUGAUUAUUUGCCAAAUAAAUUGGUACCUUGACCUUUUUAUUGUUUUGAAGCUAAUAUCUCAUUUACUCGAUUUCCGUUGCGAGGGAGGUAACUUCUAUAUUUUUGAGUUUAUUUUUUCCUACGUGCUCCUACGUGUUAUGUGAAUAUGCCUGUCUACUUUGCUUUCUUUGCCUUUCUUUAAUUCUUUUCAUUUUUUUUUACUUACUUUUGCUUUUUAUUUAAGUUAUUCAUUAUGGGGUAUGUGUACACCUCUUGGCUUGUAAUAGUUAGGGAUUUAAUUAUUUUAUUCUUUUCCCCCUUUUAGAUUGUAGUGGGGUCUCCCUAAUGUAAUAGAUAGGGUUUGGAGGAGCAUUCAAUGAAGACCUAUCGAAGACUUGUGCCUAGCUAGCAAAUGUAAUAGUUAGGGCUUUAAUUGUCUCAUGUGCCUUGCAUGCUUAGUUGCUACGUGUUAAUUUGCUUUGCUAGGGCCUUGCAUCUAGUCGAGCAUGCAAAAUGUUAUGUGCUAUGUGUUUAUAAGUGUUUGGCAUGUCUACUCGCUUUCCAUAGCCUGAAUAAAUGUGAUGGAUGAAUGUACGUCACCACACUAGUCCAAUGCUAGUUGUGGCUCAUUAUUUCAUUAGGAAUUCAUAGAAAGGGCUAGUCCAACGCUAGACCCAAUAGGAUUUUUCCUUUGUUUUUCAUUAAUGCAUUAUUUGCCUGUUCACUACAUAUCAUGCAUUUUUCCUUAGUUUUAUCAUCUGGCAUGCUCCUCGAUUCCCCUUUCCCCUCACUUUAGGAUUUUUGCAUUUCAUGCUAGUUAUAGGGUUCAUUUGCCUGAAGAGUCCCCUUCUGAUAAGGGAAACGAGCGAGUGUGGCUACUCGAUAGCCUUAGCACGCUAGUUUCGCCUUCUAAUCAAAGGGAAGAUUAAGUCACAAAGUUAGGACUCCCCGUUCCCGUCUUGAUGCAUUCCUAUAGGAUUCAUGCAUUCUAUUCAUUCACUAUCACAUACACUUACUUUAUAUUCUAACCCUUUUUCCACAUUCUCACUUCACACUACUUUUACACGUUUUCAUUUAACUACUCACACUCUAUGCCAUAUCACUCGCACACAUGCACUUUAUAUUAUUUUCACAUUAUCAUUCUUUACUCACCUUACCUUGUAAAUACAUUUGCACACCUCCACUUUUCUCACUUCACAUAAACUUACAUUUUCACAUGACAUGCACCCCAUUCAUUUUUACGUCAUUUAGGAUUACGUGUGACCUCUCCAAAGGAUCAUUAUUGGGCUUCACAAUUAAUGUGAUUGGCACCACUCAACCUUUGAAGAGAAAUUUCCCCCAAUACCCCUAGGUCUAGGGUUUUGCAUUCAUAUAGACAUAUCCAACACGCGAUACAUACCUUGGGUAGAAAAAUUAGGAAAAAUUGGUUUAAGUCACGCAACUAGCCUUGGCUAGGUCGAAGGGGUGCCUUGGAUUUUUUAUCCUUGCCUUCCCCUUCGUCAAAUGUGACCCCCGAUCCCUCUUUUUGGUUACGUAGACCCAAAAGUUCUUUAAAAGGGUUUAUUUACUUUUUUUAUUCAAAAACAAAAAACCAUUUUUUGGGUGACUUGGUACACCCUAACCCUAUACCAAGUGGCGACUCCAUUUUUGAUACAAAAAACCCUUUUUGAACUUUAUAUGGCCAAACCGUCGCAUUAUCAAGUCCCAUGGCCUUUUACUUUUCAUUUACACACGUUCACAUUCCAUUACACCACUCACAUCUCACACCACACACACACCACAACUCAUCAUCUUCGAAAAGUGGGGCGCGACAGUUGGCGACUCCACUGGGGAAGCUCCUAAGUGGGUCCGAGCAUUUGACUUAGCCAUUCGUUUCCUUUUUCUACCCUUUUUAUGCAUUGCACUUGGAUAUUAGGGUUGCAUUUUUUUUAUUUUAGGCCUUUUUGCCUCGUGCGCGUAUCCAACUAUUCCCUCACUCACGUACGUGUGAUUGGUUGAUUGGAUGUAUGUUUACUUGUUUAUCUCGCGCUUGCAUUGCAUUUGGGAGGGGGCGUGUCACCUUUAGAGCCUCACGUUGGUUCUCAACCCCUUCCCUCAAAAUAGGGGAGCACUUCAUACGUGCACGUUUACUUGCUUUUAUCCCAUUUUAUUUUGUUUUUCGUGGGCGUUUCCCACACCGCCUUGUAGGAUUAGGAUCGAUUGCCUUGGGUAGGCGGCUGGUGUGCUCUGCGCCCAUAACGCUACCUAAGGGAUCACUCGAGCCACCGAUCAAAGGCCUUGGGAGUGAUGACCCUUUGCCUUUAGGUCUGAAGGCUUGGGAGCCGAAGCUUUAUCGAGUCUAGGCAUUAAUGAACCAAACCUCAUGCAUCCAUGUUAGCAUUUGCCUAGGGUAGAGUCAGCCUCACCCUUUUUAAGCACAAUUAGGCACGAGGGAAGGGGUUCCACCCCUUUUUAUUGGCUUUUAUUGUAUUUCUUUUUCUUAAUUGCUCCCAAUAUGUUAUGUGUAUUACCAAUUGCACUAACCAUUCUUUUGUUUUCUUGGCUUGCAUUCAUAUGCCCUAGCAAUAAGAGGCCCUUUUGGCACUCUUUUAGUGACCUAUCCACUAGAUAACUCACAUGUUUAAAUUUCAGUCAUUAUACUUAAUAAAUACAUUUCAUUUUAGACCUUUUUUCCCCCGAUGCAUUAUUUAUGUCCCUUAGGUCAUAUUUGUCACAUAUUUACAUCGCUUUAAUAAAUGACAUCAUGCAUAAACCCUAGAAAGGGAAUGCCAUUUAGGGGAUCCCGUGUCAGGAAUAAGCCACCUUGUGUCUCGGAUACUUAAUCCAGUGAGACUUGCACGUUUACAUUUUGUACCAUCCAAAGGGGGUAGUGCACAAAGUAAGGUAGGAUCCGAUCAUUUUCAUAGAGUGAUCUUUGGGAUAUGAGCAUCUAAUAAUCACUUUUUGGCCAUUUUAUCAAAAAUUGGUAAAAAUUCCUUGCGUGAAGGACAGUAAUUUGAAGAAAUUCACAAAUGAUUCCUUCUAUUGAGACGAUAAAUAAAUUGAGGCCAAAAUUUGAUUUUUAGAAGCUCAUAGACUAAUGCAUCUCAAUCAUUUUGAAAUCACCAAUGGCCGGACAAUUCAACCAAUCCAUUUUACCCAUUCAUUCAAUAAAUCAUCAAUUCAUUUGAUCAAUUUACCCUUUUUAGGGUCAUCCGGUCGAUUUUGAAUAAAUCGUCAAUUCAUUUGACCAAUUUACCCUUUUUAGGGUCACCUGGUCGAUUUUCAAUAAAUCAUCAAUUCAUUUGAUCAAUUUACCCUUUUUAGGGUCACCUGGUCGAUUUUGAAUAAAUCGUCAAUUCAUUUGACCAAUUUACCCUUUUUAGGGUCAUCCGGUCGAUUUUGAAUAAAUCAUCAAUUCAUUUGACCGAUUUACCCUUUUUAGGAUCGUUCGGCCGAUUUUUGAACAAGUCACUAAUUCAAUUUCAUUCAUUUGGCCAAUUUACCUUUUUUUAGGGCAACCGAGCCGUUUUUUGACCUGUUUCCCUUCUAGGGUAAUCCGGUCGAUUUUCAAUAAAUUGUCAAUUUCAUUUGACCAAUUAGGAUUUCAAUGUCGAAUUCCAAAUUGGGAAAUCUAGUCAAUUUUGAAGAAAACCGUCCAUUGCAUCCAAUCACUUGAUCAAUUAGGGUUUUUGACCCGUAAUUCACUGAGAAAUUUUAUCAACGAAUUCCAAUCUCUUCGAUAGGAGUUCGUCAAGGUCAAACCCAUGCGUUUUGCAAAUCAAAGGUGAUCAAUCUAUUCGGACGUUGUCCUCAUUUUGACAAAUCUCUUGCCACUCCAAUGGCCAAAUUUUUCAAAUUAUUUUUCACUCAAUGAGUUGAUCAGAUCCGUCAGGUAUGGUAUAGUGCUUCCCUAGAGGAUUGCAUUUUCAUGCUAGGCCUACCCUUGGCAUAAAAAGGGUUCCCCCAUAGGACAUGCAUACCGAUUUUUUUUUAUUCUUACUUACUGACUCUGGGUAUUUUUCUUUUUGUUUUCCCCUCCCCCUGCAUUUAUAAAAAUGUUUCAAUAAGGCGAGAAUAUUCUUCUAUAUCUGAUAAUUUUGAUCCAAUAAAGCUUGAAGAUUACAAGUAUUACUUGAUUUUUAGGUAGACAUUGCCGCGAAAGCAUAAAGGGGAAAUUCUAUUUAUUUGAUUUGUUAAUACAUUUUGUUCCAAAAGAAAAGGAGACAAAAAGUGUAUGUGUUGAGCUCUUUACGAGUUUCUCUCUUCUCAUUUGUAUCAUAAUUGAUUGAGCAAUUUUGUUUCAAACUUUUUCAACAAUAAAAUUUUUUGGAUAAUUUUUGUUUUGUGUAUAUUUAUGUACAUUUCAUUCUUUAUUCUUACUCAUUGGAGAUUUCAUGAUGAUUUUUGAGAAAUAAGACCCAAUUUGAGAUUUUUCAACCUAUAGCCUGAAUUUCACAAGUGUGUGCUUCCUAAAAUCCUUACACUCGAUUGGUGUUCCAACCUGUACAAUAAGAGUGCUCAGAAAGAAAGAGAGUGAACGGUCACUCAAAAGGCCCUAUGAGAUACCUUUCUCCUUCACUUAAUUCCAAAAUAAAAUCAGUCACAUUGAUUGAUAAAUUGUAAAUUGGGGUAACUUUUGCUUGAAAAUGUUCAAGGCGUCUAAUCUGGUUCAAUCACAUCUAAGUGAAAGCAAAAAUGUGCAUUAUUCUUAUUUGUUUGGAAAAUUUGGAAUGAUACUUCAAGCAUUCGUUUCAUUACCUGUACAGAUUUUUAUCAUUUGCUCUCCCAUUUGAGCUUCUAAAAGAAUAAUUUCGUUUCAAAUAAGGGUCUUAAUGAUCACUACCCGUCAUUGAAAAAUUUUCAAAUAUCAAAAGAAGAAUGGGUUUUCAAUGACCAUUUCGCUACUUCGGUUGUCAUGAGGUAUAAGAAUGAUACUUUGGCCGUCAGUUCUACAAUCUAAACACUGAUCAUCCCUUGCAUCCUCGUUUGAGCUAAAUUGGUGGUUCUUUUCGAGUGCACAUAUGAUCGCACCCCACAUUGGGGAAGGAGAUUGGGAAAUUUUGAAAAAAGGGAAAAGAAAAGGGGAAAAGCAAAAAAUGCUAGAAUAAGGAGGGAACCGCAAAUUUGGGGAAUUUGAUUCCACUUGGGUUCCAAUUUUGAAAAAAAAAAAGAAAAGAAAAAGAAGAAAACAAGUUCUAUCCGGUGGAUCACUUAUGUUUCAUAGACAUGAAUGAGCAAGGGUCUUCCUCAGUCAGUUAAUUCAGAUACAUGCCAAAAAUUUCCCAUUAAUGAAAAUUUCUUUUCAGAGUUAAUGUAAGGAACGGAAUACAAGUCAGGCCAUCUUCUUUUCCGAUCAAGCAUCUAUCCCUAGUUAUCCCUUUUGAGCAUUCAGAAUGAAAUACUUCGUUUGGCAACCCCUGAGAAUCGCAAACCCCACACUGGGGCAAGUUGGUUUGAAAAAGGAAAAUUUCAAGAAGCGGAAAAGUGAAAAGCCACAAAAUCAAAAGGCAAAGGAAGAAAAGAGAACCUCAGUUCAAAAAUAAACUGGGGCAAAUUUUGUGAAAGUUCGAAAAAAUGGCCGAAGGCCGAAAAAUCAAAAGAAAGAAAAUAAAAGUGAAAAAGCCUCAAUUGAGCAAAAACUGGGGCAAAUUCUGAUUUUACCCUAAAAUAGGGUUGACGCAACAAUGCGAUUUCAGAUUCUUCAAACCACUUUUGAAAUCCGCUUUCAAGCCUUAACUUUUCUAAGCACCCCACCUGACCCCAUUACAAAAGCCAAAAGUCCUGACUUCUGUUCUUUGCAAUGGCCCUGUCAAGAAAAUUUCUGAUGCCGGAAAAUUUUAGCUGUAUUGCUGAAUUGCUUGAGUAUGAGGUUGGCGCUACUCAUGUGAAAACCCAUCAGCUCGAGGGAAAAGAAAAGAGGCAAAAAGCAAAGCAAGAAAAGUAAAUGCAAGGAAAAUGCAAAAAGACUUGACGCUGAAGUCCCUGGGGAAUGAUGAGAAAAUCCAAACAAAGUCUGAAAUCUUUUGAGUUCAAAUAGGGGCAAUUUUGGAAAAAUGUGAUCUUCGGUGCAAUGUCCUUGAAAGUUUUAUUCUUUAGCUAUCGUUUUUCAAGCCAAAUUACAAGCUAAGAAAGUCCAUCGUUGACUUAUUCCUUCAUGACAAUCCAAAGUGAGGAUCAUACUCAUAAGAAAUUCAUCAAAUCAUUUGUGAUCAUAAGGGUAUAACCCGUUUCCACAUGUUUAGCUAUCACUUCUGUCCAUACGUUACAAGCCUAGAAAGCUGGUAUGUUGACUAAGUUUUCUUGAAAAAUAAGGGUGACAAACUCUUUGCUUUCACUAAGAUGUGACAUUGAAUGGAUUACAUACAAUUGGGGCACAAAAAUGAGACAGAUUCUGACCUCUCAUUUUCCUUCAGCCACUUCCAAAUCAAAAAUAAAGUCACUUGAUUGGUCCUGAAAAAUGAGCCAACCAGAAGUGGUGACCCGUUACCCUAAACACCAAUGCUAAAAGUGAGGAAGAAAUCUUCUUGAAUUUGGUGUUACUUCGAGGAAUUCAUCAUGAAAUUUCUGCAUGAGUUUCAAACUUGACGUUUAAAGUUUCUUCACAUUGUUGUAUAUGUGCACUCUUUUCUAAAUUUUAGAAAGUGCGGUUUUUCUUUGUUCAAAUCAAUGGGAAAUCAUCUGAACAAAUUUUUGCAAUUAAGGGAGCCCACACUGGGGCAAAAAUUUUAUUUGUGAGAUUUCAUGAAAUAAGCCCAUACUGGGGCAAAUUUUUUGUAAUACAUUUGAGAUUUGUGUCCAAAAAUCAAAUAAUAACAUUUUUCGAAACAAUCCCGCUGCUCUUUUCCUGGAAUUUAAGUGCAUGUCAUACUUUGAUGAACCCCUUGUACAGGUAUUCAUGAUUCAAAAUGACGAAAGGCAUCCAGUAAGGCGGAAGGCCGAUACUGCAAAGAGAAGCAAGAAGAAGGAGGAAAAAUGGACACUACACUUGGGGCAAAUUAUUUUUUUAAAAUUUUUGAAAAAAGGGAAAAAAGAAGGAAAAAAGAAAAAAAGAGAAAAAACCAAAAAUCAAAUCAAAAAGUCAAAAAUCAAGUUCAAAUUCUUGUUUCUUGAAAAAUCAAAUUUGAUUUCUUGUGGGCGAAGCUCCAAUGCACGCCGCGCAUCAUUCUGUUCCCCCCUUCUCUUGACAUUCCAAAUCAAGUUGGGCCUGGAUUUCGUGCCACCAACAUCAUUUUAUCACGUUGGGCCUGGACUUGGUGCCGCCAACAUCACUUUAUCACGUUGGGCCUGGACUUGGUGCCGCCAACAUCACUUUAUCACGUUGGGCCUGGACUUGGUGCCGCCAACUUCACUUUAUCACGUUGGGCCUGGAUUUGGUGCCGCCAACAUCACUUUAUCACGUUGGGCCUGGACUUGGUGCCGCCAACUUCACUUUAUCACGUUGGGCCUGGACUUGGUGCCGCCAACAUCACUUUAUCACGUUGGGCUUGGUUUUCGUGCCACCAACUUCGCUUUGUCACGUUGGGCUUGGAUUUAGUGCCACCAACAUUACAAAAGUCACAUUGGGACCGGGUUUUAUCCCGCCAAUCUCGGCAGGACCGGGUCUAAUCCCGCUGACCGCUUACUUCGGCAGGACCGGGUCUAAUCCCGCUGACCGCUUACUUCGGCAGGACCGGGUCUAAUCCCGCUGACCGCUCACCUCGGCAGGACCGGGUCUAAUCCCGCUGACCGCUUACUUCGGCAGGACCGGGUCUAAUCCCGCUGACCGCUCACCUCGGCAGGACCGGGUUUUAUCCCGCUGACCGUCCACACCCCGUCGGCCUCAGAUGUUAUCCCACCGACCAAUUCAUCACACUGGGGCAAAUUUUUUAGAUAAUUUUUCAAACAAGUCCUAUACAGUUCUCUAUUUAAUUUUCUGUUCGGGUCUAUCCCAUGGGUCUGUCCCAUCUACAUUUUUAUCCGAGUCUAUCGCAUUUACAUUCCUGUCCGGGUCUAUCCCGUUUACAAUUCUGUUCAGGCCAGUCCCAUGUUUGAAAUUCCUUGUUUAGGUCAGCCCUCCGAAUAGGGGCAACCGAAUGGUACAGGUAAGCAUUUGGUGUCUACUUCUUUGUCUCAAGUUUUUUCAAAACUCAGACAAAGAGGGGCAAACUGUAGACACCAAAAAUUUCAUCGAUUCAGUUUUAGCUUUAUUCAUUCAAUUUUGACUUCCUUUGAUUCAAUUUUUAGUUUUAUUAUUAUUAUUUAUUCUUGUCUCAUAUUUAUUAUUUUUAAUUGAUUGGAGGUUGCAAAUGGUAAUUGAUGUUCAUUCUUAUUUUAAAUGCAUUAAAAUUCAUCAUUUUCUUUUUAAAGCAAUUUUACACUAAAUUUUAGGAAAAUCCCGAAUAAAGAUCCAUUUUAUCUUUUUAAAAUUUGAUUUUUUCUUGCUAAGGCAUUUUGCAAGGUAAUUUUUAAAAAUUAAGCAUGUUAAACAAGUGUGUCAAUUGCAUGUUGAACAAGUGUGCAAAUAAGCAUUAGACAAGUGGUUGAGGAAUGGUAGGACAAGUGUAUAGGGGGUAGCUGUCAAGGACACUUGGGGGGUUUUUUGGGGGGCAUCGGAAAAAAAAGGAAGAAAAAACCCUCGAAGAGGCUUGAAAACAGGGGGAAGAGAAAAGAGCUAAAAACAGGGAGGGGGCUUCGGAGGAAAGGGGAGAGGAAAAACGAAAUCGAAAAAGGAGGGGAGAGUAGGGAAAAAUCUGGGGAGAGUCUGUGGGCUAAGAAAAACAGCGGAGAGAUAGCGGAAAAAAAGGAGAAAAAGAACGGCUGAGGGGAAGGCUAAAAAUCUGAAAAGAGAAGAAGGCUUCGGCUGGGAGAAGCUGGAGUGGAAAAAAUAGAAAAAGGGAGAACGGCUGCGGUUGAGGGCCGAGAGAGUGGAGAGCCGAGGAGGAAAAAUCAGAAAAGGAGGAGAAAAAUCAAGGGCGGCGGAUGAAGGGAAAAGCUGGGAAAAUUAGAAACAGAGAAAGAGAGGAUAGCAGCGGACAAAGAGCUUGCGACUGAGGAAGCAGAGCAGCUGGAACUGCCGUUCGCGGGAAGCUGUUGCCGCCCUCUUCCGUCACGCGCGACGCCAGCUUCAUCGCUUCUUCCAUCAUAGUUCAAGCUCCGCCCUCUGCCGGCACAAACAAGUGGCCAACCGCCCGCCCAAGCAACCAAAUCCGAGAUCAGCACCCGCAAAAUUUUACCAAGAAACAAACGGUAAGCCACCAUCAUCCUUCAAAUUUCAGUUUUCAUGUAAGUUUUCGAAGCGUGUUUUAUUUUUCACGUUGUGGCUUGUAGCCAUUUCUCUGUUGAAUUAUUCACUAAUUGGAAGUAUGUAUGCUUUGAAUGUCGAUUGGACUGGAGUUUUCUUGCAUUUGAUGAAAUUUUGGGUGCUGAUUCAUGUCAAUUGAGCGAGAAAUUGGUGAAGUUUUUUAAUGGCUGUUUGUUGUUCGACAGAAUGCUUCAAUGAAAGUUCGGCCUGAAGAAUGGAUUAAUUUCUGAUUUAUAUACGUUCGACUGUUUCAUGCUUGUCAAAAUAAUUGAUUCGAAUGGGUUUGUUUGGGCGUCCGUUUGUUUUGGCAAUCUGCUCCGCUUCUCGUUUGUUUGGUGUUCCUCUUGUAUGGAUUUAAAUUCAUGACAUAAAAUGGCGUGCGAGGGGAUUCAUGUGAGAGUCAUUUGUUUUGCUUUUGUUUUGUUUUGUUGAUUGGAGUCCGAAGUUGAAUUUUCUGGUUGCAAAGAGGAAUGAAAUAGCAGCGAACGUUGAGCCAAUUUGGGAAGAAGAGGAUUGCUUGAUUAAAUUCAUGAUUCCAGUCCCUCAAUUUCCCUUUCCAUUAUGAUUUAACCCCAGAAUUUUAGGACUUCAUAAUUUUUCCUCCAACACCUUCAUAAGUCCUUCAAUUAGGUCCCUGCUCUUGUUGCAUUUUAACCCCUCAGCUUCCCCUUGUUCUGAUAUGACCCGAAAAGUGGAAAAAGUGCGUUUGUUUCUCCCUUCUAGAUUUAAAUCAUCUUCUAAUAAGCAUGAAUAGUCCUUUUACUAGAUUAAUUCUUGUUUGUAGGUUCUAAUUGUGGUUCAAUAAUUUAUUUUGAUUUUAUCAUGUUGGGUUUAAUGAAACAAGUGCCUUGGGCUAAGAGGUUAUUUUUGUUUGGGUUUAAGAAAGUCGUUUUAGUUUAUUUUGUUUGGUUUUUUGGUUCGGGCUAGAGGGUCAAGGCCCAUCUAUUUGGUUGGCUAAUUUUUGGGCCAGGAUAUUAUACUAGCCCACUUGUUUUCCUUGGACUUUCGAUUGGGCCAAGUUAUCUUGGCCCAAGAAAGGUGAAGAUGGCCCAUUCCCUUUUUGUUUUGGAUUUUCGGUUGGGCUUGUAAGGCUUUGGCCCAAACAAAUAAAGGAAAUGGCCCAAUGGCUUGGUCCAUUAAGAAACCAGAAAACGAUUUUGCAAAUCAGUCCCUGAAUUUCUCCCUAAUUGUAUUGUGGCCCUGGACAUUUUCAACUUCUUUCAAUUCGGUCCUUGCUUUAAUUGCAAAUAGGUCCCUGAACUUUAUUUUUCUUUAAUUUUGACCUCCAAACUUUGUCAAUCUUUGCAAUCAGGUCCUUUCUUCUCUUGACUUCUUAAAUGUGAAUUGUCGACAUGAUUUAAUUGAUUCAAAUUCAUGCUUAUUUUUUAUCCUUUGUGAUUAUUUGCCAAAUAAAUUGGUACCUUGACCUUUUUAUUGUUUUGAAGCUAAUAUCUCAUUUACUCGAUUUCCGUUGCGAGGGAGGUAACUUCUAUAUUUUUGAGUUUAUUUUUUCCUACGUGCUCCUACGUGUUAUGUGAAUAUGCCUGUCUACUUUGCUUUCUUUGCCUUUCUUUAAUUCUUUUCAUUUUUUUUUACUUACUUUUGCUUUUUAUUUAAGUUAUUCAUUAUGGGGUAUGUGUACACCUCUUGGCUUGUAAUAGUUAGGGAUUUAAUUAUUUUAUUCUUUUCCCCCUUUUAGAUUGUAGUGGGGUCUCCCUAAUGUAAUAGAUAGGGUUUGGAGGAGCAUUCAAUGAAGACCUAUCGAAGACUUGUGCCUAGCUAGCAAAUGUAAUAGUUAGGGCUUUAAUUGUCUCAUGUGCCUUGCAUGCUUAGUUGCUACGUGUUAAUUUGCUUUGCUAGGGCCUUGCAUCUAGUCGAGCAUGCAAAAUGUUAUGUGCUAUGUGUUUAUAAGUGUUUGGCAUGUCUACUCGCUUUCCAUAGCCUGAAUAAAUGUGAUGGAUGAAUGUACGUCACCACACUAGUCCAAUGCUAGUUGUGGCUCAUUAUUUCAUUAGGAAUUCAUAGAAAGGGCUAGUCCAACGCUAGACCCAAUAGGAUUUUUCCUUUGUUUUUCAUUAAUGCAUUAUUUGCCUGUUCACUACAUAUCAUGCAUUUUUCCUUAGUUUUAUCAUCUGGCAUGCUCCUCGAUUCCCCUUUCCCCUCACUUUAGGAUUUUUGCAUUUCAUGCUAGUUAUAGGGUUCAUUUGCCUGAAGAGUCCCCUUCUGAUAAGGGAAACGAGCGAGUGUGGCUACUCGAUAGCCUUAGCACGCUAGUUUCGCCUUCUAAUCAAAGGGAAGAUUAAGUCACAAAGUUAGGACUCCCCGUUCCCGUCUUGAUGCAUUCCUAUAGGAUUCAUGCAUUCUAUUCAUUCACUAUCACAUACACUUACUUUAUAUUCUAACCCUUUUUCCACAUUCUCACUUCACACUACUUUUACACGUUUUCAUUUAACUACUCACACUCUAUGCCAUAUCACUCGCACACAUGCACUUUAUAUUAUUUUCACAUUAUCAUUCUUUACUCACCUUACCUUGUAAAUACAUUUGCACACCUCCACUUUUCUCACUUCACAUAAACUUACAUUUUCACAUGACAUGCACCCCAUUCAUUUUUACGUCAUUUAGGAUUACGUGUGACCUCUCCAAAGGAUCAUUAUUGGGCUUCACAAUUAAUGUGAUUGGCACCACUCAACCUUUGAAGAGAAAUUUCCCCCAAUACCCCUAGGUCUAGGGUUUUGCAUUCAUAUAGACAUAUCCAACACGCGAUACAUACCUUGGGUAGAAAAAUUAGGAAAAAUUGGUUUAAGUCACGCAACUAGCCUUGGCUAGGUCGAAGGGGUGCCUUGGAUUUUUUAUCCUUGCCUUCCCCUUCGUCAAAUGUGACCCCCGAUCCCUCUUUUUGGUUACGUAGACCCAAAAGUUCUUUAAAAGGGUUUAUUUACUUUUUUUAUUCAAAAACAAAAAACCAUUUUUUGGGUGACUUGGUACACCCUAACCCUAUACCAAGUGGCGACUCCAUUUUUGAUACAAAAAACCCUUUUUGAACUUUAUAUGGCCAAACCGUCGCAUUAUCAAGUCCCAUGGCCUUUUACUUUUCAUUUACACACGUUCACAUUCCAUUACACCACUCACAUCUCACACCACACACACACCACAACUCAUCAUCUUCGAAAAGUGGGGCGCGACAGUGCAAAAAUAAUUAUUUUCUCUGAUCAUGCAGCCUUGAGGUACUUGUUAGUGAAGAAGGAUGCAAAACCAAGGCUCAUAAGGUGGGUUUUACUUCUGUAAGAGUUCAAUUUAGAGAUUAAGGAUAAGAGUGGGGCCGAGAACUUGAUGGCUGAUUAUUUGAGGCGUUUUCUUACGAAUAAGGAAGAUCUGUCAUUGAGAGAAUUGUUUUUCGAGGAGCAGUUACUAGCCAUUAAUUCGUCAGUACCUUGGUAUACUGAUGUUGUCAAUUUUUUGGUAACAAAUCAAUUACCUGCAGAUUGACCAAAGGCUAAGAGAGAUAAAUUGAGAAGUGAUGCCAAAUACUAUAUUUGGGAUGGCCCUUACCUGUGGAGGCAAUGCUCGGAUCAAGUGAUAAGAAGGUGUGUAAGUGCAGGUGAGUUCCAUUCUAUUUUAACUUUUUGUCAUUCAUUUGUACGUGGAGGGCACUUUAGACCAAAGCGAACAGCUCGUAAGGUGUUGGAGAGUGGUUUUUAUUGGCUUACUCUGUUUAAGGAUGCAUAUUUAUUUUGUAAAUCUUGUGAUAGGUGUCAAAGGGUGGGGAAUAUUUUUCGUAGAGACCAAAUGAUUCAAACUCGCAUGUUGUUUGUUGAAAUUUUUUAUGUCUGUGGUAUAGAUUUCAUGGGUCCCUUUCCCUCGUCUUUUGGUUUCUUAUACAUUUUACUUUGCUGUCGAUUAUAUUUCUAAAUGGAUGGAGGCAAAGGUCACCCGGACUAAUGAUUCGAGAGUGGUUGCAGAAUUUAUAAAGUCUAACAUUUUUUGUCCGCUUUGGAAUGCCUAGAGCUGUAGUUAGUGACAGGAGCACUCAUUUUUGCAAUAAAACGAUCGUUGCCUUGUUCCGUAAAUAUGGCGUACUCCACCAAAUAUCCACACCCUAUCAUCCGCAGACGAAUGGUUAGGCCGAAGUGUCGAAUAGGGAGAUUAAGUCAAUUUUGGAGAAGAUGGGGUGGCCUGAUAGAAAGGAUUGGAACUUGAAGUUGGAAGAUGCUCUAUGGGCUUACCGCACCGUGUAUAAAAUACCAAUUGGAACGUCCCCAUACAGAUUAGUCUUCGGGAAGCCGUGCCACCUCCCAAUAGAAUUUGAACACAAGAAAUUUUGGGCAAUUGAGCGGUGCAACAUGGACCUUGUGGAUGCCGGGGGACAUAGAAAGCUCCAAUUACAAGAGUUGGAAGAAUUAAGGAAUGAAGUCUAUGAGAACGCAACAAUUUAUAAAGAGAAGAGCAAAGUCUUUCACGACUAACAAGUCUCAAGGAAGUCAUUUGUAGUAAGGCAAAACGUCCCCCUAUAUCACUCGAGAUUUAAGUUUUUUUCCGGUAAGUUGCGUUCGCGUUGGAUUGGUUCAUUUGUCAUUUCUAAUAUUUUUCAUUAUGGUGCAGUGGAAAUCCAAAGUUUGAAAAUUGAGAAGAAGUUUGUGGUAUAUGGUCAACAUUUUAAACCCUAUUAUGAGAGGUUUAAUAGUGAGCAAGUGGAUGUCAUAUAUGUUGAUGAUCCAAAUUGUGUGGCUUAACUAGCUAUUACUGUGUCUAGCCAAAAACAUUAAAGAAAGACGCUACUUGGAAGGCAAUCCAAGGAUUUCAAUUGUGUUUUAUUUCAUAUUUGUGUAUUCAAGAUCAGUGGAUUUAGGUUCCUAUUGACAAACAAUCUGUAUUGUACGUCAUGGGUGUUUCUGUGCAGUUUUAUUCUAGGUUGGGGGCACAAAUUUGUGGGCAAGAGACUUCAUGUUACAAGGCGUGCUCGCGCCUUGUAUUCACCGCACAUGGACAUUUGUAAAAUUUGGUGAACAGAGGACUUACACCCCCAAGGCAUGCCCACGCCGCACAGCAGAUCGUGUCGAACAUAUUACAAUGGGAUGGGCAGACAGAGUCAAACGUGACCAGGACCUUCUCUAACCCCACUUUUCUACUUUUCUCUUUUCUUGUCUUGACUGGUCUUUUCAUUUUUUUUUGUCUUAGCCUCCCCUAGUUUUCUCCCAUCUUUGCUGAAAUCUCAGAGGCCACCGCCACUGCACACCUGCUCCGUUGAUGCCGCUGUCUCCACUAUCUGCGGUCAAGCUCCGGCCGCCAUCAUGCACGCUGUCCGGGCGCACAUCGGCAUCGCCAUAUGCGCCUCGCCGACGCUGCUCAUGCACGUCUCAUGCCGCACGCCAACGCCUCCGUACUUCCCUUCCUCGCCGUAGCGCGCCACCACCGUAGGCGCCAUCAGCUCUACCUAGGGCGCCACACCAAUCAUCGACCGCUCGCGCCCCGCGAUAUCUCACUGUUCCCCGCCGUCGCGACUGCUGCCCUCCGCCAUCGUCGUCAUUGAGGCUCCACUUCUUCCUCUCUGUGCACCACCAACGCUUGCUCCUUCCACGCCACCGCGCCGACCGCCGACUCACCCCUGACGCCCUUGCAGUCGUACCGACCGUCGCUUCCACCGGGGUCCCCUCCAGCAUGACAAAGUGGUACCCCUAAUUCAUUUCUUGCCAUUACUGCUUAAAAUCUGAAAUUGUUUCUAUGCGAUAUUACUCUAUUGUUUGAGCUGAGCUUGCUGAACCUCUGAGACUUUCAUAUGUGUUCUUUGCUUCGCGGUUGAAUUGCUGUGAUUGGUUGUUGGUGUUGGUGUAGAAUUGUUGUGGGGUGCUGAGGUUGUUGUUGUUUAUUUUGCUUUCGAAUUGGUUGUCGAGGGUUUGAUAGGUGAAGCACGUGGCGCAGUAUCAAUUCUGGUUUAAUGUUGAGUGCAUUGUUGACCAGUUAUUUUAGGAAUCUGUUUGUCUUUUUGCCUUGUUGUUGUGGUGGUGGGGUAAUUAUAUUUUUCUUUGCUAUUGGACUGUUGACUGUUGAGUGACACCUAUUGACUGUGGUCCCCUGUCCCCAUUUGGUGGUUGCUUCACUGUUUCUGUGCUUAUUCGUAUUUGUCCUGUGGCCUCCAAAUGCCUUCGAAAAAGCGCGUGUUCAGACACCCACUUCAUCUGGUCCAUCUAAGUCCCAACCUCGUAAGAGGCGAGCCCAAUUCAACCCCCCACUCGAUCCCGUUUAGGUCUCUCUAAAAGUACUAUAUCUCCUGGGACAUGGGGGGAACCUACCACUAACCUUACACAGGAACAAAAGGACCGAUUGACUAGCUUGAUGCCACGUCCUUUUGCUCCGUGUAAAUGUUUCCAUGCCCCAACCCUGGAUCAUUUGCAAAUUGCACGAGAAGUUGAACAGUUGUUCUCAGCAAUUGGUUGGCAGUGGUAUCUGGUCAUCGACUAUCCUACAUUUGAGGAGCUAUGUUAUGAAUUCUACUCCACUUUUGAGUUCAAUAAAAAUGAAUUCAUCACUUUGGAUGAGCGGGGGUGAUUACAUUUAGAUUAAGGGGUACCCCACAAGAUUUGUCCAUUAAUGACUUUAAUCUGAUUUUGGGGUUUUUCAGUGAAGAGACCCUUUCCUCCGGGACGUAUAUCAACAGUGCGUGUGAUUAUACCAGACCCUUUGCUAGUGAAUAUAUUGACAUAUGGAGGGAGUAGUUCACGGACCCUCAACUCUAUGAUCCGAGUCAGUCCAAGGCCUCUCAUCUUAAGAAUCCGAUCUUGAAGGUUAUCCACAGGUUCUUGGCCUACAAUUUCUCGGGUCAGAAGAACUCUUCCGGCACCCUUGCCAAGGUUGAAUUCUAUUUUCUUUGGUGUAUGCGCAACAAAGUACAUGUCGACUUUGGGUGUUGGGUGACCACUCAAAUGCAAUCCGUCAUUCAAAAGCGACAUAAGUAGGUGAUUAUGGAUUCGCUCAUUACUCACUUGGCCGUUCGGUUGGGAUUGCUUGACCUCGACAAAGAACACAAGUUCGCUCUAACUUGCGAGAUUGAGCCAUUGGAUUUGCGUAGCUUAGAAAGGAUGGGGGUUAUUUUCAAAGUAGGAGAUGUAUAUCAGAUGACGCUUCCUGGCGAUGGCAGGCUACAACCCCGGGUUCCUCCUACUAUUCCCCCUACUGGUUCACCAACCCGCACAGAUCAAGUGGGUCCGUCCUCCUACCAUGCUCCCCCUGCUUGGGAUUUCCAAUACCGUGCCCUCCAAGAUUCUAUUCGUGAACUAGGCGAGCUAGUUGUGGGACUGGAUGGCCGUCUUGCAGCGUUGCAAGUUUUUUCCCGUAUUCAGACAAAGAAUCAGGCAGCUUUCUUUGCUUAGAUUGGAUUCUAGCUGCCUCAUCCUCCUCCCCCUUAGUGUUUCGCUGCGUCGUCUCGGCUGUCAGGGAAGUUUCACCCCUUUACACUUACACACUAUUUAUUUUUGCUACAUUGAAGACAAUGUCGAUUUUAGGUGUGGGAGGGAUGGUUUCUAUUAUUUCUUUUUUGCUUGAAAAGAGAAAAAAAAGAAAUAAAAAAAAGAAAAAGAAAGAGAGGAAAAAAUGAAACAAAAAAAAAAGUAUAGUUAGUUGACUUCUUUAGUUCUAUAUUUGUUAAUUGCUAGAGCAUGUUGCUAUGAUGGAUUGCACAAUCAAGGUGCACGUGUAUGUAUCAUUUAUGCUAACUAUGUACUCUACUUUUCCUAGCCAAUGUAGCUGAGUGAUGAAUAUGCUGGACUUGACCCAUUCUUGAAACUUUUGGGAGUUUUUGAGCAGUGCACGAGCACAUUACUCUCGUUUGCUUCGUUUGUGUUGUUGAGUGGGUAUCACACAUGGUAUUAACAUUCUAGAACUUGCUAUUUUAUACAUGUCAAAGCCACAUCUUGUUGAACUGGAUGCAUUUGAAAUGAUAAAGGCAUUUAGGAUUUAACUUUCUUUAAUUUUCUACAAACCAUACCUUCAUCUUGUCUCCCAAUAGUGAAUCAAUUUGAGCUUUUAUUCUUCUCCUUUGUUUGUUAGCCGUGUUUGAUAACCCAGGACUUUUUUUUUUGACUUUCUUGUCCAACCUUGUGUCGUUAAGAGAUGUCUGAAUUUCAUUGUUUGUGCAAGGCAAAUAAAUUUAGGGUCGCAAGUGUUGUUAGAAUAGAAGUUGUAUGGUGUUGGUUCUGUGCAUCUGAGAUCGAAAAGAAAAAGAAAAAAAAGACGAGAAAAAGAGAAAAAAGAAGGAAAAAAAUGUCUACAAACUGGUGAGCAUGGGAUUCUGCUUACAGGGCGUGCCAUGCCUUGCAAGACGCCCUUUCAAAAAAAAACAGAAAGAGAGAGAAAAGAGUUUCGACACUUGCGCAGUUGGUAUAGCAAAUGGAAAUGCCUUGCUUGUGGAAGUUCUCCAGUAAAGCGUUGAGGUUAUGUAGUGGAUAUCGGACAUUAUCUUGACACAGUGCACCCUAUCUUUACCUUCUUAUCCCGCUUUGUUGGCCUAAUCAGCAACAUCCCUCAGAUUCCGGCUCGAAGGGACUAACCGCCCAACUCGUGGCACCCAGGGGUGCAGCCCCUCAUGCUGGCCAAGCGUGGUACGAUGCUUUUCGCUGCUAUUGUGGUUAAGGAAAUAAAGUUACAUCUUCACUAACAGCUAUAGCUUUUGGUGCAAUGGUAAGCGCUUGAUCCUGACAAGUGGUAUCGGAGCGAGGUCGCAGGUUCGAGUCUCCCUGGUUAUUGUUGGGGGAGGAAAUGUUGGCCUAAUCAGCAACAUUCCUCAGAUCCCGGCUCGAAGGGACAGCCCGUGGCACCCAGGGAUACAGUCCCUCAUGCUGGCCGAGCGUGGUACGGUGCUUUGCGCUGCCAUUGUGGUUAAGGAAAUAAAGUUGCGCUUUCACUAAUAGCUAUAACUUUUGGUGCAAUGGUAAGCGCUUGAUCCUGACACGCUUUUCAUCCAAGCCCCAUUACAACCCUAUUAAAGUCCCUUUGAUUUAUGUAUUGAGUUCAUUUUUGAAUGGUAGAGAUGUGAUAAAUGUGCAAGCCUAUGGUAAUGUCAUUCCGUGGUGUUGAUUUGAGCGUUCCUGGUAUCUAUACAUUUUCUUGAAAGUGAUGAGUAUUACUGCUCAUACUCUUUGGAUAACUACCUGUCCGGUGUGCUCUAACUUUGGCGACAUUGUCAGGAAUGCAGGAUGCUUGUGUUAGUGUAGAUCACCGCAUAGUAGUUGCUAUUGUGAUUGAACUUCUGAUCUUCGAAAUGCUUGAGAACAAGCAUUGCCUAGGUGUGGAGGGAUUUGAUAGAGCAAUGUUUGGGCAUCUUAUGUGCUGUUAUGUGGUCAUAAUUUUGGCUACUUAUUAUGCUAAAUAUUGAAAUUUUGCUCAUAUUUGAUAUUUGUGUAAAUUAUAGGCGGUUGGUGUCAAAAAGUGUCUCUGAAGGUGAAUUUCCACAAGACUUUUUAUUUCAGGGUGUGCCCACGCCAGAAACUGUAGAAGAGACGCCUCAAAGUCAGACCGCGGGACUAACUAACUAACUAAACUCAUCCUUAUUCCUGCGGGAUGCGGUUGGAAGUGCGUCAAAACAAAAAGACGGCAAUUUCCAGCGAAUUUGUGAUAGGGUAUUAAUUGUUAGUAAUUUUAUUGUUAAUUUUUUCCUUUGUCCUUACCAAAUAUUGUUUUAAAUUGUUAAUAUAUACUUGUAUUUGGUAUUUGGACCUAUCUACAGGAAGUGGAACUAAAAAGUGCUAAAAAGGGGGGACCUUUUGGAGAGAAUUGCUCCACACGUGGGAGACUUCAAAAAGCUUCACGAACCUGGCCCACAGGAUACUAAGCAACGGACUUCCUUUUCUUUUUGCUGAUAAAGAGUUGCUGACUAGGAGUCUUCCUAUCAAAAGGAAACGAAAAAAGUGGAAUUCGGAGAGCUUUCUUUUUGUACCUUUUCUUUCAAUUCGGCAGGGACAACGUAGGGAGCAUUAGUCAUUGUUUAAGAGACAGUUUAGUUUUCUUUCUUUUCUUUUUCAUGCGUAAGUCUUGUUCGAUAAAAGUCUCGACUGGAGAAAUAUCGUUUAUUUCUUGAUUAUCUAGUGAAAAACGUGAUGCCUUUGCAAUUAAUUAAUUUGCGUGGAGAUUUACUGAUGCGGCGUGGUUAAGUUUUUCAUCUAGUCAAGGAUCAAUGCGACAAUGCAAUCCCUAAUAUCCGUGAGAUCGAAUUAAUUUUCAUGCAUUCCUUAAUUUGUUAAUAUUUGCACGUUGUCUGCUUGAAUUUUCAUGGGAUUAUUUUGUUAAUUGAAUGUCAAGGGCCCGAUGUUCAAUGCGACUUAUUAAUCUCCUGUCAAAUUAGUUAAUUAAAUCUGUAAUUAUUUAAAUUGAUUGAUAUCAGUGGCAACUAACGUUUUUAUACACUAGGGGAGCGUUCAAUCUGUUUCAAAUAACUCUCGUAGCAUGUUAUUGAUUAGGGUUAGACUUUUCUAGUUUUUAAUGCAAUUAGAGAAUUAAAUCCUAUGAUCAUACCUAGGAGUGUUUCCGGGUUAGGGGUAAUCAACGGUCGUACCUUGGUUGUCAAUAAAUUAAGGAAAAGCUGGUCGUCAGAACUUAUUGGCGACUAUAACUAACCUGUUAAUAAAAUUAAGUAAGCCUCCCUUGCAUCAAUAAUCGGAUGAAUGGACUGUGUCGGUGAAGUUGUAUCCUUGGCUCGAACUUGUCUAUUAUUUAUUUAAUUCCUAUCUACAUUCGUGUUAGUUAAUCGUUUACUUUUGGUUGAAUUGCUUAAUUAUUUUUAGUUUCAUUCCGAUAAAAUCCCCCAUUGUUAACUUGAACUUUAGUAAGAAACGAAUUACUCCCAAUCUCUGAGAAUACGACCCUACUUGCCCUGUUUUCAAAGCAAUAAUUAUUUGUGAAUAAGCAAUCCCAUUCUGGUAUAUCGGGUCAAGCAAACUUUUUGGAAACAGGGUGAAUCAAGUAACCUAUUGCACACCUAGAGUCCCUACUCCAGUACUUAGAAUUGGAUUUUGAUUACUCCGAUUGGCAACUAGGUUUAUUUUUAUUAUUGCGCAGGUUCGGCCCUUGUCAAUUUUUGGCGCCGUUGCCGGGGACUGGCAUUAAUUAUUUGUUUCUUUUUAAGUUCAAUUUUGUUCUAAUUUUCUGAUAUUUUUCUAGUUUAUGCCUCGUUCUUCUUGGACAGACGAAUUAAUUUUUGACCCUGAAGUAGAGAAGACCGCGCGUAAAAAGAGCAAAGAGACAAGACAGCUUAGAGAGGAGUUGUCCAGUGUUGCACCUGAGGGACUUGAUCCAAAGGUUGAGUCAACAAAUUCGCAUGGUGAUAAUUCGAGUGAUUCAGACCAAGAGGAAGUCACCAUGGCGAAUGCACGAACAUUAAGGGGGUUAGCUGCCCCAAAUUUAAAUCAACAACCCUUAUGCAUUACUUUUCCGCAUUUAAAUGAUAACACAUCUUUCGAGUUAAAAUCUGGCCUGAUUCAUCUUUUACCAUCUUUUCAUGACUUACCAGGUGAGGAGCCCUACAAGCACUUGCAAGAGUUCAAUGUCGUUUGCAACAGUAUGAAGCCCUCGGAAAUUACAGAAGAGUAGAUAAAAAUGAGGGUCUUUCCCUUCUCUUUGAAGGACUCCGAGAAAAAUUGAAUGUACUACCUACAACCAGGUAGUAUCACCACGUGGGACCAGCUGAAAAAAAAAUUCUUGGACAAAUACUUUUCGGCGUCUCGAGCUGCAAGUCUAAGGAAGGAGAUAUGCGGUAUCAAACAACACCCAGGCGAGUCUCUCUAUGAGUACUGUGAGAGGUUUAAGAAGCUGUGCAUCAAAUGCCCUGAGCAUUAGAUAAGUGAGCAACUGCUCAUCCAAUAUUUCUAUGAGGGGCUACUCUUCAGGGACAGAAGUAUAAUCGAUAUUGCAAGUGGAGGGGCAUUGGUGAACAAGAUUCCUCGAGAAGCAUGGGAGUUGAUUAAAGGGAUGGCUGAGAAUUCACAGCAGUUUGGUUCAAGAGAGGACAUCCCGACGCGUAGGGUGAAUGAGGUAGAAACAUCCUCUAUCCAACAAUAGCUCUUCGAAUUGACAUCUUUUGUACUACAACUAGCUGUGAAAAAUGCUCCACAAGCCAAAGUAUGUGGAGUAUGCACUGCUUUGGGUCAUUUUAUGGAGAUGUGUCCACUAGUUCAAGAAGAAAGUGCAGAGCAAGUGAACAUGACUGGUCACGCGCCCGCGCCAAGAAGGCCAUAUAACCCGUGUUCGAAUACGUACAAUCCGGGUUGGAGAGAUCACCCUAACUUUAGUUAUAGAGGAAAUAGGCAGUCCAAUUUUGCACCAAAUAGAGAGCAAGGGCAUCAACAGCAGUACCAGUCUCGCCCACCACCACCCCCUUCGAACUCAAGUCCGUCCAUGAAAGAGAUGAUGAAGCAAUAAAUUGCUAAUCAACAAAAGACGGAUUCAGAGUUGUAAAGUAUGAGAAAUCAAUUGGGACAGAUGCAAUCAUUGCAAAAUCAAAUAAAUCAAAUGGCCAUAACGAUCAACCGCCUGAAAUCCCAAGUUCAAGGGAAGUUGCCAUUUCAACCUGAGUUGAAUCCGAAAAAUGUAAGUGCACUGACCUUGAGGAGUGGCAAGGAAGUCCAAGGAUCCGAACCGGUGAUUCUUAGGACAAGGACAAGGAACGAAUUGAGAAAGAGUUGGAAGAAGAGGGCAGAGACAACAAAGAUCCAAAGGUAACCUCGGACCAAUCAUUACAGUUAGAACUAAUCCACCUUCCUUUCCUAGCAGGUUGGAGAAACCAAAGAAGCAAUACAAAGAAAAAGAGGUCCUGAAGAUAUUUCGCAAGGUGGAGAUCAACAUUUCCCUACUGGACGCGAUUAAACAAGUACCCAGUUACGCAAAGUUUUUGAAGGACUUGUGUGUCAACCGAAGGCGGUUAAAAGGAGAUGAACGAGUUAUAGUGGGGGAGAACGUGUCAGCAAUUCUACAAAGGAAACUUCCCAUCGAAAUAUGGGGACCCAAGUAUGUUACUAUUCCCUGUAGGAUCGGUAAUACCUUGAUUGGAAAGGCCAUGUUAGACCUAGGAGUUUCGAUAAACGUCAUGCCAAAGUCCAUAUAUGCUUCUUUGAAUUUAGGUCCUUUAAAAGAAACGGGGAUAAUAAUUCAAUUAGCUGACCGAACUGCCCUGAUGGGUUGAUUGAAGAUUUUUUUAGUAAAAAUUAAUGAAUUGAUUUUUCAACUGAUUUUUAUGUGCUUGAUAUGGAUGAUAAAUACUCCCACGACCCCUUACCUUUAUUGUUAGGUAGACCCUUUUUUAGCACAGCCGAACCAAAAUUGAUGUUAACAAGGGUAUCUUGUCUAUGAAAUUUGAUGGUGAUAUUGUUCACUUUAACAUUUUUGAGACCAUGAAAUAUCCUUCAGAUUCAAAUGUCAGCUCUGUUUUCUCUGUAAAUGUUAUUGACCCUGCGGUACAGGAGGUUAUUGAAAUUGAAGGCAGGGAUGAGCUGGAAGUCGCCUUGACCAGGCACUUCGAGUCAGAGACGACCUCUGAGAUAGAGUUGAGUGAAGAGCUCAAAUGUGUGAUUGGAGCGUUGCAAUCAUUGUCAAUCACGAAAACAAGGUAUGGGCUUGCACCCAUUUUCACACCUGAACCUCACCAACGGUUACUUUCAUCUGUGGUGUAGGCACCUAUCUUGGAACUGAAACCCCUGCCGAAACAUCUAAAGUAUGCAUACUUGGGUGAAGGGGAGACUCUCCCAGUGAUCAUCUCUGCUAGUUUAUCGGAGGUCCAAGAAGACAAACUAAUUCGAGUUUUGAGGGAACAUAAGCAGGCGAUAGGAUGGACCAUCGCCGAUAUCAAGGGAAUUAGCCCCGCGGUAUGUAUGCAUCGCAUUCGACUCAAUGAGGGUUCUAAACCCGUGCGGCAGGCUCAGAGGAGACUAAAUUUCCUCAUGAUGAAGGUAGUGAAGAAAGAGAUCCUGAAACUGCUGGAUGUGGGGAUAAUAUUCGCAAUAUCAGACAGCCCUUAGGUAAGUCCAGUAUAGGUGGUUCCGAAAAAGGCAGGGGUGACGGUGGAAUCAAAUUAAGAGGGUGAGCUCAUGCCAGUUCGGAAGCCCACCGGAUGGCAACAGUGUAUCGACUAUCGGAAGUUAAACGUCGUCACAAAAAAGGAUCAUUUUUCCCUUCCUUUUAUUGAUCAGAUGGUAGAGCGAUUAGCAUGUCGAGCUUAAUAUUAUUUUUUGGAUGAAUUUUCAAGUUAUUUUCAGAUUGCUAUCGCACCCGAGGAGCAGGAGAAGACCACUUUCAUGUGCUCGUUUGGAACAUUUGCAUACAGGUGAAUGCCAUUUGGAUUGUGCAAUGCACCUACUACCUUCCAACGUUGCAUGGUAAGCAUUUUUUCGGAGUAUAUUGAGAAGAUUAUUGAGAUUUUCAUGGACAAUUUUAGUGUGUAUGGUGAGAGUUUUGAUAACUGUCUAGAUAACCUGAAACUAAUCUUAGUAAGGUGUAUAGAAACUAAUUUCGUGCUUAAUUGGAAAAAAUACCACUUUAUGAUCGAACACGGGAUAGUUUUGGGUCAUGUAGUGUCGUCUAGGGGUAUUGAGGUUGAUAAAGUGAAAAUAGACAUUAUAUCUACUUUACCUUACCCCAUGAGUGUGCGGAAAGUGCGUUUUUUUUGUCACGCAAGUUUCUAUAGAAGGUUCAUCACAGACUUCUCGAAAAUUAGAGCACCCUUGUUCCAACUUUUGCAAAAAGAGGUGCCCUUCGAAUUUGAUGAAGCGUGUAAGAGGGCAUUUGAUAGGUUGAAGGAGCUAUUGACCUCGUCAUCUAUUAUACAACCUCCUGAUUGGAACCUACCAUUCGAGAUCAUGUGCGACACCAGCGAUUAUGCAGUGGGCGCGGUGCUGGGUCAGAGAGUAGGAAAGACAGCCCAUGCUAUCUACUACGAGUAUCAAGCCUUGAACGGAGCUCAAUUGAACUGUUCAAUCACCGAAAAGGAGCUUUUGGCGGUUGUUUUUGCUUUAGAGAAAUUCUGGUCUUAUUUACUAGAUACCAAAGUUAUUGUCUUUUCAGACCAUGCAGCGUUGCGGUAUCUGUUGACCAAGAAAGAGGCAAAACAGUGACUGAUAAGGUGGAUAUUAUUGUUACAAGAGUUUGACCCAAAGAUCAGAGACAAGAAAGGGGCAAAAAAUCUGGUAGCAGAUGUAGACACCAAAUUUUUAGCCUUUCUUUUUCUUUUUAUUUUAUUUAUUUAAUUAGUUGAUUUUGUUUUAAUUUUUGCUAAGAAAAUUGUUUUACUAUUAUUAAUUAAUUCAUUGAAAAAAAGAAAAAGAAAAAGCUAUUCCAUGUGCAUGUGCUUGGCACGUGCGCCAUUUUCUUUUCUUUCAUGCAAAAAAUGCAAGCGGAAGGCGAAAAUAGGGACAGAAAUUUGCAGCUGCAUUUUUUUAAUCCCAGCCUCAUCUCAAAAAUGCCAUCCAAUGGCUCAAGUUUUCAGUAGAAACCCACCCUUCAUCCUCACCUUUGAGGUGAGGGUUUUAGGGACCUGGGGUUUCCUAUAAAAGAAAAAAGAGCAGCGGGGACAAAGGGUAAGAGGAGUCGGCAGCUGGGGCUGAGUAGAAACAACGGAGGAAAAAAGCAAAAAGGGGGGGUUCUUGGGGAGAGUAGUUGACGGCUGAAGGAAAGAGUGAAUGGAGAGUCUGAGGGCUAGAGAGAGUUUUGGAGAGGGUGACGGCCGAAAGAAAGAAACCAAGCGAGAGGAAACCAAGGAAAGGAGAAGCGACUUCAUCAAUGUAAAGGGCAUUUCGUGGGUCUUCGUUUCCAGAAACAACGUGUUUGUCCUGAGACUGGUAGAGAAACGAAUCAAGAGUCUGAGGAAGACACAAGGGAGGAUCGGGGAAUAAGCAAAGGAAAUCUGCAAAAUCUUGAAGAAGGCUUCGAAGCUGAGAGCGAGGGAAAGAGGACUGCUCGACGAGGUGGCAACUUCUGCAGCAAAAGUUCCCGAUCGCGUUCCUGGGAACCCGUAUGCGUUUCCGGGCAGAUCCCAAGGCCGCUCAACCAUGCUAGCAUUCUCAGGUAAAAAUGCCUCUUAUUUGGUGGAUUUUAACAUGUUUUUAUGAAAGAUAAAGCCAUCGGAUGUGAAUCUUUUUGUUUGCUAUUGGGUCAAGCUCUCGCUGGUUCUAUGAUUCUGCCAUUUUGCUCGUUUGCUAAGAUCUGAUUCAGUAGGAACCUAUGAGAUGAGUCUGAUUAAGAACAUGGGGUUUAGGGUUUUCUGUAGUGGUCACCUGAUGAAUCCAUGAGUUCUUUGCUCGAUGUUUAUGGUCAGUCUUUGUGUGCAUGAAUAAGCAAACCCAGAAAAGUGGCGUAAAGCUUCGGACAAGUCUGUUUUGAUGUUUCCUUGAUUGCUGCUUCUCCAUUUCUUGUUGUUUGUGUAAUAUUUGAUAUCGGGUUUCAGUGUUAAAUGGAGCAAAUGGUGAGUUUUGGUUGUUGGCUUGGAGAUUGAUCCAUCGGAUCCGAACAUUUGAUAAUAAAAAUGGUAGAAGGUUUUUUGAAUGCACCUGGUUCGAUGUUAGUUUUGUACUUGGGUUAUGUUAAUAAGGGUGAUUUGGAGAUUUAUGAGAGUUCUAGUUCACAAACAAAAUAAGUUUCAUUGAUUUCUUUUCAUAUAAUAUCAGCGUGGGUUGAGCUGCAAUUUUGCAGUAGAAAGUUGCGGCAGAAGAAGAAUGUUUUUUUCAUAUCAGGUUGCAUGAUCCUUUUGUAUGAGUGUCGGGUGCUUAAAUAUAAUGGUUUUAUGUUAGAAAACAGAGGGGGGAAUGUUUAAUAAUCCUGUUGCCUGGCUUCAGUUUGCAUUGCGCUUAUAGUUUGCGCAUAAGAAUGCUUGUUGCAGCGGUAUGGACGAAGUUCUGUUUUUUCCUUUUCCUGUUUCAAGUUCAAGUUUUGACUGUGGAAUAUGUGUGUUUUGUUGCUCAAUUUAAGUUGAAGUCUAGGUGAAAUGUUUUGGAUCAAGUCUGGAAUCCUUAUUUGAAAUGAAAGGGCAACAGCGUGCGUUUGUUCUUGAUUGCAGAAGCUUUAAGCUUCGGGAUUGUGCAUGGACUUGCAUGAAUAGCUUUCAAAAUUUGCACUUUGCUCCCCUUAGCUUCUAUCUAUGCUACAGAGGCCCAAUUAUGUUCUAAUUUCUUGCAAUUAGGUCCUAAAGUAAUUGCCAUUUGAACCAUUGCUUGACCUUUCCAUUACUUAUGGGCCUUUGAAGUUCCCAAAUAUUUUAAUUGGGCUUGAAUGAUUGGUUAAGGCUUGCUCUUGGGUCCUUAGUAGUUUUUUUCUAUUUUAGGAACUUGAUUGACAAUUUACCUUCCUUGCAAUUAUGCAUUAUUUGAUUACAUUCAAUUUGCAAUUGGGAAGGAUUAGGUGAUUUGUUGGUUUAACUUAUUUUGUGCUUUUGUUUAUAUGGUUAUUCGUGAUGCCUUGACUUUUUCUUUUAUUUUGGAGGGUAAAUAAGUAAUCUCACUCCAUUAGGGCCCCAAUUCAAGGAAGGUACACCCUAUCUCUUAUUUCUUACUUUAUUUGACUUUACGUGCCCUAUGUGACUUUACGUGUUUGAUUGCAUACCUCUUGAAUGUUUUUUUUAUUAUUUUAUUAUUUAUUUAUUUGUUUGCUUUAUUGACUUUAGUUUUGUAUAUCUAUUUUAGUUCAAUUUUGAUCAUUUGAAAGGCAAUUUAAUGUCAAAGUUGUAAUAACUAGGUUAUGAUUUUAUUUAUUUAUUUCUUUCCCCCUUAAAUUGUAGUAGGCGUUCCCUUUUGUAAUAGAUAGGGCUUGGGUGUGCCUACAUGCCUAUGUGUUUAAUUGCUUUCCCUAGGCUUCUGCAUCUAUAUAAGCAUGCUUAUGUGCUACGUGCUAUGUGAAACUAUGUGCUUUGCAUGUCUAUUUGCUUUAGUAUUAUAUCUGAUUAUGUGGAUGGAAUGCACGUUACCGUGACUAGUCCAAUGCUAGUCAUGAUCUUCCCCUCGAUCACUCACAAGUCCAAUGCUAGAUCCAAUAGGACUGUCCCUCACUAGUACAUACUUGCAUGCCUUCACUACAUCUUCAUUCAUUUUUUUCCCUUUUAGUUUUACAUUUUUGCAUGAUCCUUCACUCCCUUUCCCGCAUUUGAAACAUGAUUUUUAGGAUUUUGUAUUUCAUUCUAGUUAUUAGGGUCAUUUGCUUGAUUAGGUUAGGGAGUCACCCUUCUGGUAAGGGGAAUGGACGAGUGUGGCUACACAUAGCCUUAGCACGCUCAUUCUUUUUCUAAUCAAAAGGCAAAUCGUAAGUCACGAUUUAGGGUCUCCCCGUACACGUUUUGCUUGCAUUCCUCUAGGUCUCAUGCAUUUCAUUUUGCACACACACACACACUUUACACUCUCUCUCAUUUGCACACGUACACUUUACACUCUCUCUCAUUUGCACACGUACACUUUACACUCUCUCUCAUUUGCACACGUACACGUUACAUAUUCAUUUGCAUCCUUACACUUUAUACACUCCCUCAUUUGCACACAUGCACUUCUCACUAUCACUUUACACUCUUCCUCAUUUGCACACAUACACUUCACAUUAUCACUUUGCACACUACCACCUUACACUUUCUCACUACACACCCGUUCAUAUUGAUCACAUUUGCAUCCAUUCAUCUCACUCGAGCAUUCAUUUGCAUUUAUUCGUGGCCUCUUUGAGGGUUCACCAUUUGGCUAUCACAAUUCAUGUGAUUAGGACCAAUCGAGCCUCAAAAGAGACAUUUUGUUCCUUUCGAACCAAUAAUUAGAUUUAGGUUUGCAUUCACAUUAGACACAUCCAAAAUGCGAUACAUCUUUUGGGUAGAAAUUAGGAAACUUGUCACUAAAUCACGCAACUAGCUUAGGUUAGGGUAAAAGGGUGCCUUAGACUUCGUUUUUGCCUUCCCUUUUAUCAACCGUGACCCCCGAACUCAUCUCUUUGAUUUUCGUAGAUUAGGAGUCAUCUAAAAAGGUUUUUCACCUCAUUUUUCAAAAACUAUUUUUUGGGUGACUUGGUACACCCCAACUCAAUAACAAGUGGCGACUCCUAUUUUUCAUGUUAAAAACCCUUUUAGAUUAUCGUUUUGGCCAAACCGUCGCAUUUAAAAGUCCCAUGGCCUUUUCCUUUAAUUCUCAUAUUCACACACUUCACACACAAUACACAUUAUGACUUCAAAACAAACUUUCACUUUUUUCUUUAUAUUUUCUCAAAAAAUGGGGCGGGACAGCUUGGCGACUCCACUGGGGACUUCCUAAGUGGGUCCGAGCACUUGAUUUAGUUAUUCUUUUCCUUUUUUACCCUUUUCAUGUAUCGCAUUUGCGUGUUUAAGGUUGCAUUUUUUUUCUUUUUUAGGAGUUUUGCAUUCCGCGCGUAUCAACUCACUCCCUUACUCAUUUGCGUACAUUUGAUUUGAUGGAUGGAUGAUUUAUUUAUGUUAUCCCGCGCUUUGCAUUGCAUUUGGAUGGGGGGAUAUUACCCUAGAGCCUCGCGUUGGUUCUCGAUCCCUCCCCUCCAAAUGGAGCACUAGCAUACGUGCAUACGCUUUAUUUUUUAUCCCUCAUUUAUUUUUCUUUUUAGUGGCUUGUCACGCCACUCCACCCUACUAGGAUUAGACGACCCAUUUGGACGUGUGAUCGCGACACGAUGUGUGCGUAGCAUGAUCCAAGGGGUCACUCAAUCUUCCAUUUUAAACUUUGGAUUGAUAACCUUUAGUUUUUAGUCAAAGGUUGAGGAUUUUUGAUAGAUUCACUCAGAUAUGUAGCCGUGACACGAUGUGUGCGUAGCAGUGUCUGGAGAAUCGCUCGAGCCACCGACAAAGAACCUUGGGAUUGAUGACCUUUGGUUUCCAAGUCUGAAGGCUCGGGGACCUAAAACCUAUCGAGUCUAGAUGCAUUAGUGAGCCAAUACCGCAUGCAUCCAUGAUAGUUUACUUAGGGUAGAGCCUGCCUUACCCUAUUAGGAACACUAUUCACGAGGGGAGGGAUCCAACCCCUCUUUUCCUUUUAUUGCUUUAUCUCUUUGUAUUGCUUUGCUUCAAUGUGUUAUGUGUAUUUAUCUGAUUGAACUAACUUUUCUUGGUUUUUGUCUCUAUUGCAUUCAUAAAUCCUAGAAAAUAAGAGUUCUGGCAUGGUACUCUCUAGGAACUUACCCUAUUUGAUGUGACACGUUUAAAUUCAAUGCUUCGCAUUUGUAACAUGAAUACAUUUCAUUUUAGGCGUACCCCGGCAUACAAAAGGGGGUUCCUUUAGGUCACGUUUCAUUUGUAUACUGCAUAUUUAGUUGCUUUGAUAAAUUGACAUCAUGCAUGAACCAUAGAGGGAAUGCCAUUUAGGGGAUCCCACGUUAGGAAUAAACCGCCAUGUGUCUCGGAUAUACAAUCCAAUGAGACUUGCACGUCUAUAUUUCUUGUACCUUCCAAAGGAGUAGUGCACAAGGUAAGGUAGAAUCCGAUCUUUUUCCAUGAUUAUAGAACAAAUUUUGCACAUUAGAAUAUGAACAUCUAACAAUCAUUUUUUGGUCAUUUAUCUGGUAAAAAUCCCUUGCGUAAAAGGCAUUAAUUUGAAGAAAUUUACAAACGAUCCCUCAUUGUUCAGACGAUAAAUAUAUCGAGGCCAAAUCUUGAUUUUAGAAGACUCAUAGACUAAUGUAUCGCAAUGAUUUUUUUUUGAAACUACCAAUAGGUAGACAAUUCAAUAAAUCAUCAUUUUCAUUCAAUUCGUUUGAUCAAAUUAUCCAUCAAAUUCUUCCAAUCUAUUUGGUCAAUUCAUUCAUUUUAGGACAAUUCGGUCAAUUUUGAAUAAAUCAUCAUUUUCAUUCAUUCGACCAAUUUACCCUUUUUAGGGUGAUCUGACCAAUUUUGAAUAAAUCAUCAAUUCCAUUCAAUUCAUUGGAUCAGUUUAUCUAUUUUUAGGGUGAUCUAGUCAAUUUUGAAUAAAUCAUCAAUUUCAUCCUAUUCAUUUGACCCGCUUAUUCCGUUUAGGGUUUAACUCUAAGGUUCACUAAAUAAAUUAGUCGACACAUUGCAAUCCUUUCAAGAGUAGACUCUUUUACACAUCAUUUUAUGUGUUGAUCAAAACAAGCAAUCCAUUCGGACUUUGUCCUCAUUUUUAGGACAAAUGUCUCUUCUCACUCCAAUUGACCAAAUUUGUUAAAAUUAUUUUUUCACUCAAUAAGUUGAUCGGAUUCAUCAGGUAUUGUAUAGUGCCUACCCCAGAGAAUUGCAUUUUCAUGCUAUGCCUACCCUUGGCAUAAAAAGGGCACCCCCAUAGGACAUGCAUACCGAUUUUAUAGUCUUGCUUACUAACUCGGGGUAUUUUUCUUUUAUUUUCUCCCCUCCCCUGCAUUCAUAAAAAAUGUUUCAAUAAGGUGAAAAUAUUUUUUCUAUAUCUGAUAACGAUUUUAUCUAAUAAAUCUUGAAAAUUACAAUUAAUAUUUGAUUCUUGGAUAGACCCUACUAUUUGAAGAAUCUAUCUGGAGGCACAAGGCUAAAACACCUAAGAGACUUCAUAAUUGUUUGUCAAAGAAAAAAUUUUGUUUAUUUGAUUUGUUAAUACAUUUUGUUCCAAAAGAAAAGGAGACAAAAGUGUGUAUAUGUGGAGUUCUUUAGAAGUUUUUCUCUUCUCAUUUGCAUUAUGAUUGAACAAGAAAUUUUGUUUCAAACUUUUCCAAUAAUAAAGUUUUUUAUUUAGACAAUUAUUGUCUUGUAUAUAUAUUCAUCUAUAUUUCAUUCUUUAUUUUGCUCAUUGGAGAUUUCAUGAUGAAUUUUAAGAAAUGAGACUACAUUGAGAUUUUUUCAACCUCUAGCCUGAAAAUUCACAAGUGUAUGUUUUCUAAAAUCUUUGCAUACACUAGAUUGGUGAUCUGAACUAUACAAUAAGAGUGUUCAGAAUUAAAAAGAGGUCACUCAAAAGACCCAAUGGGAUACAUUUUUCUCCUUCACUGUACAAUUCAUAUUUUUGCCCAUUUCUAUUAGCCCCCCAAAAUCAGUCACAUUGAUUGAUAAAUUACAAAUUGGGGCAAUCUUUGCUUGAAAAUGCCCACUGUGUCUAAUUAGAUUCAAUCCACAUCUAAGUGAAAACAAAAAUGUACAUUAUUCUUAUUUGUUUUGAAAGUUUGGAAUGAUACUUCAAGCAUUCGUUUCUCUAUCUAUACAGAUUUUAUCAUUUGCUCUCUCAUUUGAGCCUUUAAAAGAAUAAUUUCGUUUCAAAUGAGAGCCCUAAUGAUCACUACCCCAUAUUGGAAGAUUUUUCAAAUAUCAAAAGGGAGUGGAUUCUCAAUGAGCAUUUCGUUACUUUGGUUGUCAUAAAACUUAAGAAUGAUGCUUUGGCCAUCGUUUCUACAAUCUAAACAUUAUUUAUCCCUUGCAUCCUCCUUUGAGCUAAAAUGGGUGGUUCUUUUUAAAAGCAUUUAUGAUCGUACCCCACACCGGGGAAGGAGAUUGGAGGAUUUUUCAAAAGAAGAAAAAAAGGAAGAAAAAGGAGGCAAAAAAUGCUAAAAUUCAAGAAGAAGAGAGGGAAUUGCAAAUUGGGAAAAUUUGAUUCUAUCUGGGAUUUAAUUUUGGAAAAGAAAGAGGAAGAGUUUUGUCCGGCGGAUCACUUAUGUUUCACAGAUAUGGAUGAACAGGAGUCUUUCUCAAUCAAUGAUGCGAGACGCGGAAGCAAAGACUGGAUUUCAGAGGUACACGUCGCGAUUGACGGAAUGGAACCCGACUUGGACCACUCAAGGACGGAUUCAACGGUAGAGGACGCCACAAUCAAGUGUGUGAGCUUGAUUGAUAAGUCAAUAAAACAGCCUAGGAACCACGCUCGGACAUUCAACUUAGCCUUCACAAGCUAAAGGAAUUUGCCACAACCAAUGGACGAAAUUCUGGAAUUUUAUUGAAUAAUAUCGGAAAACUGAAUGUAAAACAUGAUUUAAGGCUAUUUAUAGCCUUGACUAAACCCUAAUAAAGCUUGGAAAAUACAAAAGAAAAUUCGGCCAACCCAUUUCCUUCACUUGGCCGAAUAUUAACCCAACAACCUAUGGCCCGUAACUCAGCGUAGGUACUUAACUGCGGCCCAAUCAGCCGUUUGAAGCUUGACCACUUGCAUCCUCAACUGUAAGCAACACUUUAGUAGUCUCGCCCGGAUCUUCCAACUCAAUCCCUUCAAUGGGCGGUUUCUCUUGGGUUUGGACUGUGACGGCCCCACAUCUCCUUAAGGCGAACCAAAGGGUAUCCGCGGGACGCCUGCCCAACUCUCGCCAGGACUCAAGCAAUUCCAUUCCUCUUAAAACCAAACCGAACAUUUCGAAGAGAGUAACAUGAGUACAAAUAAUGCGGAAGCGUUCAACUUAACAAGUCACUUAACAUGUAACCAGUACAUCGGGUAAACAUAAUACGACUUAAAUUCUAAUUACACGUCAGGGCCCAAAUUUUACAUUUCAAUUCCAAAAGUACAGUCCAAACCAGGGCCUAGCCAAAAUAUAGAAGAAAUCCUAAACAAAAGUACAACGAAGGGUUUCUCCAUACUUCUCCGAGAUUCGGUCCUGUUAAGGAAAACAAAACUAUGGGGUGAGCUAAAUGCUCGUGAGGCCAAGAACACAUAUUCAAGCACAUUGUUCAAAUAGCAAUCCUAAAUUUAUUAAAUAAAACCGUGAUAUUUCAAUAAUCAACCAUUCGAGCAGGAAAAGUAAUCAGAAACAAUUCAAGGAUAUAGUAGCUCUCAGGAGUUAAGUUCCACUCGCUCUGCCGAUGUCAUUCGUAUACCUUCCCGCGAUGACCCUCCGUCAACCGGGUCGGUAUUUCCAUUUCCGUAGAUCACCACUUACUUCCCUCCGUCCACCGUACACCUCCAGGGCCCACAAGUCAUUUAUAAGGCGAUACUCCACGAGUAUGCCAAGCAAGACCUCUCAUUAGGUCAAGCUUAUAUAUCUCAUGGCUCGCCCAGGUUCCCGACCAAGCCCAUUGCCGGCUCGAGUCCAAGGUCGGCCUAUGAGUUUGGGCGUCCCCCAUUCAUUUGAAAGUCGAGGAGAUUCACUCCAACGACGUAUGUAGUUAUAACAUACCAUUGCAUUUCAUUCAUUCAUUCAAUACAUUUCAUUCAUUCAUUUGAAAUUAGAACGAGUGUGAUAAAAUACACACCCGCCCUUAUUUUUAAAAUCUCCAACAAUUACCACAAAUAAGCAAGUAUCAAGGAUUCACACACUUGACACUCACCGAGCAAUUCAAUAAGAAUUAUUUUCUGGAAGUUCAAGUGUCCACUGUAAGAUCCUCUUGAAGGUCUCCUUGUGCGCCUGGCAAUUAAUAGUGGAUAAUCACUCAAAUAUCAAAAUUAUCAAGGAAGAUUGUACACUAGUACAAUCUAAAGAAUAUUUCACAAAAAUGAACCUCAAUUACUCGUAAAUCGAGGUUCAACUUGCAUUUUAUUAAGUACAAUAUUAUUUGAGUUUUUAUCAUGAAAAUCGAGGGCAAAACGUUUGAAUAAUACUAAGAGAAUUAAGAGUUUUGGAAAAACUCCUUUGCCUUGAAAAUUGAAAAUUUUCAGUUUUAUUAUAAAUCUUUGAAAAUUCGUAUCUCUCUCGAUAUAAGUCCAAAAUUGGAAAACUUUAUCCCGUUGGAAACCUUUUGGAAAGUGUUAAAAGUUCGUAGAAGACACUUUUCCAUGAAUCUAAGUGGAAAGUACUUAAAAAUGAGCUUGAAAUCACUGUUCCAGAAUGUUCAGGAUUGAGUUAAGGUUGGUUUUUUUUGCUAACUUUGGAAAUUUGGCAGAAUUCACUCGUUGCAAGCUAGCCCUUGAAAUUUAUAACUCAAUUAGAGGUGUAAGUAAGGUUUAGGGCAGAACAAGCGGAUUGAGAAUUGGAGUUUCGAGCACCGAGAUACGGUAGCUCGAAGUUGGGAAAAUUCAAGUCUGGUGAACAAUUUCCAGAUUUGAGUUUCCAAAAAUUGGAACCUUAGCUAAGUGUCAAAACGAACUUGGAUUGGUAUAAACUUUUGUAGUAUGUUACUCCUAUAUGAAAGGUAUCUCUCUAUCAAAUUUCAGGAAAAAAUACCUUCGGAAAGAUAGUUAAUUAAUCAUCCAAAGUUCAGGAAAAUUUCUAAGGCAACCUGUCUUUUGACUUCAUUUCCCAAUUCAAAUCGUUUAAUCAACAAAGCUAUCCAACCAUGGUUCAUUUAUGAAAUAAAGGUCUAAGAUACAUCCAUGAUACCUUUGGUAGGUGUUUAGCAUCAAGAACUUCAAUUAAUAAGAUCACUCCCAGGUUUUGUCCCAAACCAGUCCAAGUAUUACGGUUUUUCCAAAACAGUGCAGUCCUCUUGUUUCGGUCACAACUCAGUCAAUUUAACUCAGAAUCGAGCAUGGUUUAUGUCGUUGAAAAAUACAUUCAUAGGGCUAUAAUAUCACAGAAGAAAUCAUUUCAAAAUUUGGUGCCCAACUAGUUCAAAAUUGGGCAUCAAUUUGCUGCCUUAUCACUUCAUUCCAGUUGAACAGAGCAACAGGACAGCGAUCUUAAAACGUUUGGUUCGGCUCACUCACAAAGAAUCAGAACGUGCAUUUUAUCUCAAAUUAAAGCCUGAAAUGUCUAGUUUCCAACGCCACCAACGGCACAUGAUUUCGACAUCCGAGGACGGAGUUAUGGCCGAAUCACCACCGCUGGUCAGAGCCAUACGUGAACAGUUUCCAGAUUUGCUAGUUUCACAAAAAAAAUUCGUUUGCCCAACCAAACCUCAUUAUUUUUCAAUGAAAUUUUUCACACAUCUAAUACGUCAUAUAAACAUCAAAUUCAAGCCAUUAGGUCAUUAAAAAUUGGCCUUAAAAUGGCCGAACAAGGCAGGGGCAAAAUCGGAAACUUUUGCUUCUUGCACCCAAUGAAGUUUCUAUCAAUUUCACACCAUUAAUCCAUCAUUUUAACCACUAAACCAACAAUAUAUCCACCAUCAAUCAUCAAAUCAGCAACAACCCAAGAGUGGGAGUUCAUAGAGCCCACUUUCACAUUUUUCCAACAAUAUCAAGUCAUCUACUUAUAUGCAAGUACUUAGAGAUGCAUAUCUACUACUAUAAAUCAAGUUUAAGGUGAUGGAUCAUGUUAUACCUUCUUAAUGUACUAGAACAGAAUUUUUGGCCCUUGAAAUGCUCCAAGAAAUCGUGAUUUCCAGCACCCUUUUUGCAGCUCAAAAUGAUCUCCUAGUGUUAAGCUAAGUGUGGUGCAAGUUUGGUUGAAUUUGGAGAUGUUUUGGUGGUGGUUUGAGUAAGCUUUGUGAAGUAAAAUGAAGAACAAUGAAGCUUAAGAGAGAGAGAGAGCUAGUCGGCAGUCUUGAGAAGGAAGAGAGAGAGAGUGAUCAGAUUUUUAAGCUUCCAAGAGAAGAUACUAACUUGUGGCUACAAAUCACCCAUUAGUCAACUCACAUUAGGGGGCAUUUGGCGCGAUUAGGGCUCGUUUUCACGCGCGUUUGGUUCACUAGUGCACUAAGUCUCUAAUGCACUUAUUUUCAUGUAAAUAUUAUUCACUCUUAAUUGUCCCGAAAUAAGGGUCUAAAGUCCCUCAAAUAAAGUCGCGCGUAUGAAAACGCGUACCGUCAAUUUUAACGCUAUAACGCGAAACCUCCGAGAAAUUCUUAUAACAACCGUGCUACUAACUAUCACUUGAGUAUUUAUUCAUAAGAUUACCUAUUUUAGGACCAUAGUACAAGUCUCCAAUAUUCCAAACUUAUUGUGCUCCCACGCGGUAAAAUCUCCGAGCACUGUUCACUAUUUUUACUAAACGCACUCCAGGAAAUUAAUUUUUGAGACGAGUCACUUUAAAAAUAUAACGAAGUUAUAUUAUCAUGUAUUUAGGUCUAAUAAGACUAGAAAAUAUUUCUCGUGGUAAAAAUCCAAUUAAAUAAUUUAUUAAGCCAUAAGUUAGGCUAAAAAAAAUAAUAGUUUUUACGAGUCCUCACAUGGACGGCAUAAACCAAGGCUUGAAGUGACUCCUUGAAUCUCUUAACUCGUGCUCGUGUCACUGGGCCUUGGGGCACCUUUACAGGGUCUACUUGAGCACCAUGGGCCUCGUCCGCAUCAAUCAAUUAAUUCAGAUACAUGCAAGAAAUUUCGCAUUAAUGAAAGUUUCCUUUCAGAGUUAUUGUAAGGAACGGAAUAAAAAGUUAGGCUCUCUUCUUUUCCAAUCAAACAUUCUAUCGCUAGUUAUCCCUUUCGAGCCUUCAAAAUAAAAUACUUCGUUUGGCAACCACUGAGGAUCGCAAACUCCACACUGGGGCAAGUUUGAGUUGCAAAGGGAAGGAAAGUUUCAAGAGGUGAAAAGUGAUAAAGUAACAAAAGAAAAAGAGAAAAUGAAACAAAAGAGAACCUCGGUUAAGCAUAAACUGGGACAAAUUUUGAAAAGUUCAAAAGAAUGGCAAAAGGCCAAGAAGAAAAUAGAGAGAAGAAAAUGAAAGAGAAAAGAGCCUCGGUCGAGAAUAAAUUGGGGCAGGUUUUGAUUUAACCCUAAAAAUAGGGUUGGCGCAACAAUGCGAUCUCAGAUCAUUUAAACCACUUUUGAAAUCCGCUUUCAAGUUUUAACUUUUCUAAGCACCCCACCAGACCCCAUUACAAAAGCCGAAAGUCCUGACUUCUGUUUUUUGCAAUAUCUCUGUCAAGAAAUUUUCUAAUUGGCAAGUGAUGCUCAUAUAUUGAUGCCAAGGAAUUUUUAAAUAUAUUUGAAUUGAUUAGGCGUGAGGUUGACACUGCUCUUCAUGUGAAAACCAGCAAGGGCACUUUUGAAAAAAAGAAGGAAAAAGGAAAAAGCAAGCGAAAUAAAUGCAAAAGAAAAAUGCAAAAAGAUUCGAUGCUGAAAGUCCCUGUUGAGUGAUUAUAAAGUCAAACAAAGGUCGAGAUUGGGGCGAUUUUUGGGAGGAAAUGCGAUCUUCAAUGCAAUGUCCUUAAAAUCUUAUUUAUUUAACUAUCGUUUUCAAGCCACAUUACAAGCUCAUAAAGUCCAUCGCUGACUUAUCUUUCAUGACAAUUCGAAGUGAGGAUUAUGCUUCUAAGGAAUCCAUUAAUCAUUCAGGAUUAUAAGGCAAUAACCGGUUUCCACAUGCUUAACUGUCAUUUCUACCCAUAUGUUACAAGUUUAUAAAGCUUAUAUGUUGACUAAGUUUUCUUAAAAAAUAAGGGUGACAAACUAUUUGUUUUCACUAAGAUGUGAUAUUGAAGGGAUUACAUACAAUUUGGGCACAAGAAUAAGACAAAUCCUGACCUCUAAUUCCCCUUAGCCCCCUCAAAAUAAAAAAUAAGAUCACUUGAUUGGUCCUGAAAGAUGAGCUAACAAAAAAGAGGUGACCCAUUACCCUAAGUCUCGAUGUUAAAGUGAGGAAGAAAUCUUCUGUAAUUUGAUAUUAUUUUGAGAAAUUCAUCAUGAAAUUUUUUGUAUGAGUUUAAGCAAGAUGUUUAAUUUUCUUCACAUUAUACGUUAGGAAACAUAGUUUCUUACUUUGUUCAAAUAAAUGGAGAGUCAUCGAAACAAAAUUUUUGCAAUUGAAAGGGCCCACACUGGGGUAAAUUUUUGUAAUGCAUUUGAGGAUUUCGUCCAAGAGUCAAAUAAGAUAUUUUUGAAUCAAUCAUACUGCUCUUUACAUGAGUAAUAGGUGCAUCAAUCAAAAAAAUAAUAAGAAAUUUAAGUGCAUGUUGUACUUUGGUAAGACCCCUAUACAGGUAUUCAUGGCUGAAAUUGAUGAAGAAACAUUUAGUGAUGUGGAAGGCCGAUACCGGAAAAAGAGAAGAAAGGAAAAGAAAAAGGGCUCUACACUGGGACAAAUUAUUUUUUGAAAAGAAUCUCUCAAUCAAAAAAAAAUCCCAAAAAAAAUCAAAAGAUCAAAAAUCCAAAAAAAAAAAAUCAAAAGAUCAAAAUUUUAAAAAAAAAUCAAUCAAACAAAAAAAAUAAAAAAUAAAAAAUCAAGUUUAAAUUCUUGUUUCUUGGAAAAUCAAAUUUAAUUUCUUGUUUCUUGAAAAGUCAAAUCUAAUUUCUUAUUGGUGAGUCUCAGCGUCCGCUGCGCACCCUUCUACCUCAUUUCUGGACAACCACAUUUAAUUCACUGACUUCUACCACCGUUAGCAUCGAGUCUAUCUCACUAACGUGUGCGUUUUUAUUCAACUACCGUUAGCAUCGAGUCUAUCUCACUAACGUGUGCAUUUUUAUUCAACCACUGUUAGAAUCGAGUCUAUCUCACUAUCGUGUGCGUUUUUAUUCUACCACCGUUAGCAUCGAGUCUAUCUCACUAACGUGUGUGUUUUUAUUCUACCAUCGUUAGCAUCGAGUCUAUCUCAUUAACGUGUGCGUUUUUAUUCAACCACCGUUAGUAUCGAGUCUAUCUCACUAACGUGUGCGUUUUUAUUCUACCACCGUUAGCAUCGAGUCUAUCUCACUAACAUGUGUGUUUUUAUUCUACCAUCGUUUGCAUCGAGUUUAUCUCACUAACGUGUGUGUUUUUAUUCAAAUACCGUUAGCAUCGAGUCUAUCUCACUAACGUGUGCGUUUUUAUUCUACCAUUGCUAGCAUCGAGUCUAUCUCAUUAACGUGUGCAUUUUUAUUCAACCACCGUUAGCAUCGAGUCUAUCUCACUAACGUGUGCAUUUUUAUUCUACCACCGUUAGUAUCGAGUCUAUCUCACUAACGUGUGUGUGUUUUUAUUCUAUCUUCGUUAGCAUUGGAUUCAUCCCACUAACGUUAUUCUAUCUCCGUUAGCAUUGGGUUCAUCCCACUAACGUGCCUUUCUAUUUUCGAUUUUUUCGGCAGGCUCGAGUGUUAUCAUACUGACCGACUAUCACGGCAGGUUUGGGUUUAUCCCACUAACCGAUUCUCAAGGCAGGCUCGGGUGUUAUUCCACUGACCGAUUAUCAAGAUUAUUAAGGCAGGUUCGGGUUUAAUCCCACUGACUGAUUAUCAAGGCAGACUCGGGUUUAAUCUCACUGAUCGAUUGUCAAGGCAUUUCAUUCAUCACUGCCACUAAACAUGGGUUAGUCCCACUAGUGAGCACUUCAUUCAUCAUUGCCAUUAAACACGGGUUAAUCCCACUAAUGUACAUUACAUCUUAUCGUUAGACAUGGGUCAGUCCCACUAACACUUCAUUUCACUUCACUUCACUUCAUCCCGUUGGGUUUGGAUUUUGUGCCACCAACCUCGGCAGGCUUGGGUUGUAUCCCACUGACCGAUGUCAUAGCAGCUUCGGGUCAGUCCCGUUUUAAAUUUCUUGUUCGGGUCAGUCACGUUUUAAAUUCCUCAUUCAGGUCAGUCCCGUUUUAAAUUUCUUGUUCAGGUCAGUCUCGUUUUAAAUUUCUUGUUCGGGUCAGUCCCGUUUUAAAUUUCUCGUUCGGGUCAGCUCCAUUUUAAAUUCCUUGUUCGGGUUAGUUCCGUUUUAAUUUUCUUGUUCGGGUCAGUCCCGUUUUAAAUUUCUCGUUCGGGUCAGUCUCGUUUUAAAUUAUUUGUUUGGGUCAGUCCCAUUUUAAAUUUCUUGUUCGGGUCAGUCCCGUUUUAAAUUCUUUGUCUGGGUCAGUCCCAUUUUCUAAUUUUUUGUUAAAGGGGUCAGUCCUCAUUUUGAAAGCGUCAGUCAUUCGAGUAGUUUGCAGCAGAAUAACCACAGGUGAGUAUUUGGUGUCUACGUCUUUGUCUCAAAUUUCUUCGAAACUCAGACAAAGAGGGGUAAACUGUAGACACCAAAUUUUUAGCCUUUCUUUUUCUUUUUAUUUUAUUUAUUUAAUUAGUUGAUUUUGUUUUAAUUUUUGCUAAGAAAAUUGUUUUACUAUUAUUAAUUAAUUCAUUGAAAAAAAAGAAAAAGAAAAACUGUUCCAUGCGCUCGUGCUUGGCACGUGCGCCAUUUUCUUUUCUUUCAUGCAAAAAAUGCAAGCGAAAGGCGAAAACAGGGACAUAAAUUUGCAACGGCAUUUUUUUAAUCCCAGCCUCAUCUCAAAAAUGCCAUCCAAUGGCUUAAGUUUUCGGUAGAAACCCACCCUUCAUCCUCACCUUUGAGGUGAGGGUUUUAGGGACCUGGGGUUUCCUAUAAAAGAAAAAAGAGCAGCGGGGACAAAGGGUAAGAGGAGUCGGCGGCUGGGGCUGAGUAGAAACAACGGAGGAAAAAAGCAAAAAAGGGGGGUUUUUGGGGAGAGUAGUUGACAGCUGAAGGAAAGAGUGAAGGGAGAGUUUGAGGGUUAGAGAGAGUUUUGGAGAGGGUGACGGCCGAAAGAAAGAAACCAAGCGAGAGGAAACCAAGGAAAGGAGAAGCGACUUCAUCAACGUAAAGGGCAUUUCGUGGGUCUUCGUUUCCAGAAACAACGUGUUUGUCCUGAGACUAGGAGAGAAACGAAUCAAGAGUCUGAGGAAGACACAAGGGAGGAUCGGGGAACAAGCAAAGGAAAUCUGCAAAAUCUUGAAGAAGGCUUCGAAGCUGAGAGCGAGGGAAAGAGGACUGCUCGACGAGGAGGCAACUUUUGCAGCAAAAGUUCCCGAUCGCGUUCCUGGGAACCCGUACGCGUUUCCGGGCAGAUCUCAAUGCCGCUCAACCGUGCUAGCAUUCUCAGGUAAAAAUACCUCUUAUUUGGUGGAUUUUAACAUGUUUUUAUGAAAGAUAAAGCCAUCGGAUGUGAAUCUUUUUGUUUGCUACUGGGUCAAGCUCUCGCUGGUUCUAUGAUUCUGCCAUUUUGCUCGUUUGCUAAGAUCUGAUUCAGUAGGAACCUAUGAGAUGAGUUUGAUUAAGAACAUGGGGUUUAGGGUUUUCUAUAGUGGUCACCUGAUGAAUCCAUGAGUUCUUUGCUCGAUGUUUAUGGUCAGUCUUUGUGUGAGUAUUGGAGCAGGGACUGAAACCCGAAUUGCCAUCUCAACCUGAAUUGAACCCGAAGAACGUAAGCGCGAUGAGUACUGGAGCAGGGACUCUAGGUGUGUAAUGAGUUACUUGAUUCAUCCUAUUCCCGAAGUGUUUGCUUGACCCGAUAUACCAGAAUGGGAUUGCUUAUUCGCAAGAAACUAUUGAUUUGUAAACAGGGCAAGUAGGGUCGCAUCCUCAGGGACUGGAAAAAAUUCGUUUCUUUUCAAAUCCACAAUAACAAGGGGAUGUUUUUGGUAUAAACGAUGACAAUCAAAGGAGUUUAAAUAAAGAUAAAUAGCUAACUAGGAAUUAAAUGACAAUUUACUAAAAUCAGAGUAAUAAUAAUUAAAGGUCUAGCCAAGAAAUAACUUCAGCAAUGGUUCACCUAAUUGAUCAUCGAUGCAAAUGCAAUUCCAGUUAUUUACUAAUAAAUAGGUUAUAACUGUCAAACAAGCAAUGACAGUCAACCCCUUCUUACUGUGUCGGUGACUAAGGUACGCCCGUUAAUCACUACUCUAAUUGAGAAAUAAUCCUAAGUACGCCCGUAAGAUUUAAUUUUCCAAUUGCCUUACGUAUUAAAGAAGCCCUAUUCUAACCAAAUAACACACUACCAGGGUUAUUUUAGAUUAGCCUGCGCAUUCCCCUGACACAAACCCAAUCAUGCCAGUUGUCACUAUUUUAGGGCAAUUAAACAAUUACGAUUUAAUGCUCUAAUUGACAAUAGGUUACUAAACUAAUUCAUUAUCUGGAUCCAAGACAAUCAAUUAAUUAAAUAACCAUAAGUACUACAAUCAGGGAAUAUGCAAAUACCAAUAAAUAAGAGGAAAAGAUAAAUUUAAAUCGAUCUCACAAUUUUUAGAUGAACCAAAACCUCCGUUGUUUCUUGACCAGAAAAGGGAAUUUAAUUCAUCCCGGAUAGGAAAGACCCACACAAAGUUGCAGCAAUAGUUGCGGCCAUUGUCUCCAAGAAUUGGGAAAAUUCAAUUCGUUCGAAUCAAUAAGAAAAGCAAGCUACAGAAAAUAAUUACUGGUCUUCACUUUGUCUUGACAUACGAAGAAGGAAAACUACUAAGAGCCCACAAGAAGAAAAGUCAAAAGCUAAAACUAAAAAGUAGUGCCCUCUUGUUUCUCUCUAUUCCUAUCUAAUGCCCCCUGCUUUGCAGCUGCCCCGCGGCAGAAAAAGAGAGAGUCCAGCCUUGUUCCGUCUCUUCCUUCUUCGGUAAGUACCAAAAGGGGAAAAGUUCCCCUUUUCCAAAAAUGCCACUGGGAUGAGGGCUGCUACUUGAACUCCUUUCCUAAUGACUAUCAAAUUGGCACUUGUUGUGGUAUUUUUGUUCUACUCCCUGUAAUAAAUGUAAAUUUUCAAAAGUGAGUAGAAUCUAACAAUUAAUCCACAUCAGGUCAAGUAAUAAGAGAAAUUAAUAAUAAAAGAAAUGAUAAAAUUGCGACCUAUCAAAAUGGGAUGGAUGUUUAGAUAGGAAUUCUGUAGAGGGCUGGUAGCAGCCAUCCAAAGAGAACAAGUCCAUUUGUGGACAAAAUAAAGUGAAUGGAGAAUAUAUAUAUAUAUAUAUACGCUACAUGAAUAUUCAACAUAUACAAAAAUGUGAUCAAGAAAAAUGAGGAAUCUGACAGCCUAAUGCUUACUUGCUGCUUUUUAUGGUUUAACUUUAAAGAGACUUUGGUGUCUUGGUAGUUCGUAAUUUGAUUCGAGGUUGAUAAAAAGAAAUUUUUCAGAAAACGUGAAAUAGGGUAAGUAUCCUAGUUUAUUUUAGGUAUUGAAAGUUAAUAAAAAUGGAAAUUAUGGCAGUAAUCCUCUUCAUUUUUCCCCACCAACCAAAGCAACGAUUUUUAAGAAUACAAACAAGAUUUUAAAAAAUAGUUGUGGAGAAAACUUUUAACAAGUUUAAAAUGCAAAGUGUCCAUCAUAAUGUAGAAGAGCACAAUAAUUAGAACUCCCACGUUGGCUAAGCAAAAAUAUAUGUUUGCUCUAAUAACAUAUUACAUAUUAAAUUAUUUUACUAUGAGGUAGGGUACAUUUUUUUUAUAGUUUAGCAAACUAGAACAAAAUUAUAAUAAUUUUAAAUUAAUAUAGUUGCGUGGUGAAAUAUCAUCUGCGGCAAUAUAUAUAUAUAUAUAUACACACACACAUGCGCACGCACACUACUUAUUCAGUUGAAAAAAAUACAAGAAUUUGACAAUAUUGGUUAAUCAAAGAGCACCUUUAGUGACAUGAGAAUGAAAAUUGCUCCUAGAAUAUCUUCCUGAACUUUGUCAUUGAACGAUUGCUCAAAGAGUCUGUAAGAAAUUUAAUUCAUUCUAAUUUUGUCAGUAUUUAAGAAAGUAAGGAUGAUUGAAUUUGACUGCCAUUGUUUUCGAAAGAAUGACUCCACUCAUUAAAGAAUCAAGCCAAAAUUGAGACAAGUAUGAACAAACAAGCAAUUAGUAAUUUAUAUUGUGGUAAUACAAGUUUAUACAAAAAAAAAAGUAGGCACAGUGUAUUUUUUCUGCACCUGUUGUCUAAUAAUAUUAUCACCUUCCAAACUUUGUGGGUUUGUAAAAUGCAUCAAUUAUGGAUCUUGGAGUAAAGAUAUUAAGUAUUAACUAAAUUAACUAAUUAUUGAACUUAUACUCAUGGAAUAAUAAUUUUUUUUUGUAAUGUGCUAAUCUCUAGAAUAUUUGACUUUUAAUAUCCAGGUCUCCCAAUGGUGUGGAAAUUAAGUUGUUCUUCAACAUGCAGCUUCGUGGGACUUCAAGCAUGCCAAGAGUUUCUGGGAAAGAAUAGGUCAAGAUAAGUGACUUGGAGGAAUCUUCAAAAUCAAUACACUUUGUUGAAAUUGAAACUCUUGGAAGUAGCUUGACUGCAUUCAUACCAAAAAGUAAUUUAACAUAAUACUUAUGGACUUUCUCCAUCUCUUUUGUCAUUUCUUUUUCGAAAUUUAUUGUUUAUAGGAAAAAGAAAAAGUCGAUUCAAGAUAUGAAUCUAUGAACAGUUCAACAAUCUAGAUAAUAUUACUCAUUAACGAGAGAGGUUAAUCUAAAAGGACUGAGAUUCGUAGACCAACUGGUCACUACUCAUUACUCAUUAAUAUUCUAAUGUUUGCUUGCUUCUUUUUCAUGGUUUAACUUUAAAGUGAUUUUGGUGUCUUGCUAGUUUGUAAUUUGAUUCAGUCCGGUUGAUAGAAAGAAAUUGCUCAGAAAAUGUGAAAUAGGUUAAAAUAUCCCAGUUUGGUUUGGAUAUUGAAAGUUAUAAAAAUGGAAAUUAUGGCGGUGAUCCUCUUCAUUUUUCCCCACCAAUCAAAGCAGUGAAUUUUUUAAGAAUACAGACAAGAUUUGAAAAAAUAGUUAUCUAUAAUAAUGUAGAAGGGCACAAUAAUUAGAACUCCUAUAUAUGUUGGCUAAGCAAAAAUAUAUUUUUGUUAUCAUAAGAUCUUACAUACGAAACGAUUGUACUAUCAGGCAGGGUAGAUUUUCUUUAUAGUUAGCAAACUGGAACAAAAUUAUAAUAAUCUUAUUUUAAUAAAAUUGCCAAAUGAAAUAUCAUUUGCAAUGACAAUGUAUAUAUUACUAGUUUAAUUGACAAAAUAUAAGGAUUUGACAAUGCUAAUUUGAUUAAUCAAAGAGCACUUUUAGAAGAUAUUACGUUUACACGUAAAACUUAAAAGCCAAUUUAUUUAUUUUUUUUUGCUUUUCUAAAUUUAAAUUCUUUUUGCACGUGCUUCCACUAUUAUCUUGCUCUACAUUUGAGAAGAACUUCUUACAACUUUCUUCAAAUAAAUACCUUUUCCAUACAAAUCCCGCGCCUUUAUAUAAACAAUUACGCUGGUUACAAAGUUUAUCAAGCAAUAAUGAAGAGGCCGAUAACAUUUUAUAGUACCUUACUUUUCUUCUUUCUUUUACAUCCUGAAGAAGUGAUCACUUUCACUUUCUUGGAAGAUCAUUUGUGCCAUCAUGAUGAGGCUCUUGCACUGCUUCAGUUUAAGGAAAUGCAUAGCACAUCAACUGAUGCUUCUCAUGAUUGCAAUUAUUUUGGUCAGUACUCAUAUCCAAAGACAACACAUUGGAAACCAGAUACAGAUUGUUGCAAUUGGGAUGGUGUCACAUGCGACAACAUCACCGGUCGUGUAAUUGGGCUAGAUCUGAGUUGUGGCCAGCUUCAGGGAGUCAUCCAUCCAUACGCUACCCUUUUCAAUCUUUUCCAUCUCCACAGUCCCAACCUUACUUUUAAUGAUUUCACCGGCUCACGGAUUUCAUAGUGAUUUGACUCGCUAAAAAGUUUGAUCCACCUCAAUCUCUCAAAUUCAAAUUUCCAAGGUGAGGUUGCUUCAGAAAAUAUCACACCUGUUCAACCUAAUUUCACUUGAUCUCUCUUUCAAUCUCUUGUGUAAUUCUAUGGGUUGCUCAUAUCCAAGAUAUGAAUUUAGUAAUUUUGAAGCGAUGCUUCAAAACAUAACCCAUUUAAGAGAGCUAUCACUUUCGUCAGUGAACAUCUCAUCCGAGUUAAGGGUGAAUUUUUCUUCAUCUUUGACAUAUCUAGAUCUCUCAUAUACUGGAAUAACAGGUAAUCUACUAGGCAAUGUUUUUCAUCUACCGAACAUGCAAGUUCUCUCGUUAGAUAGCAAUGAGAAUCUUACUGUUAGUUUAUCAAACUUGAACUGCAGCAUUUCUGAUUCUCUGAGGCAGUUGGACCUAUCGGCGACAAGUCUCUCUGCUGCACUGUCAGAUUCAAUUGGGUGCAUAAGGUCCUUAAAUUCUUUGGAUCUAGGAACUUGUCAAAUUUCUGGUGUCAUUCCUGAAUCAAUUGUCUUCGGAAGAUAACUAUCUUCUAGGGAAAAUUCUAGCUAAAUUUUCCUGUUCACAAAAGCUAAGUAGACUAUCACUUGGUCUUUUUAGAUCUCUCUAGUAAUCAACUAAGCGGUUCACUUCCUCCAACAAUUUUUACUAUUCUGACUCUAUCUUAUCUUGACCUUUCUUCAAACCAUUUUGCUGGGGUUGGGCAAGACGUAUUUGUGGACUUCAAUAAGCUUCAAAAGAACCCUCUUGAGAAUGAAGCCCCACGGAACACUAAAAACAAUGUGAGCAUUUCCUAUCCAGAUUUCUGGCACUUGGGAUUGUCUUCUUGCCAGAUAAAGGAAUUUCCUGAGUCGCAUAGAAAUUCAAAGAGCUUAAAAUUUCUGGACCUCUCAAAUAACAGGAUUCACGGCGAAAUUCCAAGCUGGUUCAUGUUGAAGAAAAGGGUUCAGAUUGGGAAAAACUUCAAGCGUAUAUUACUGAUUGCAAUAGUCUGCUGAUAUAGUUACAAGAAUUUGACAAAAAAGGGAAGAUACAAUUAUUCCUAAAAUCAUGUAAUGGAAAGCUAAAACUACUCCUACAAUCACGUCAUGACAAAAACUUAUAUGGUAACAAUAUAUACAGCUAUAUGAUUGAAUAUCUCAACACUCCCCCUCAAGUUGGAACAUGGAGAUUGCGAAUGCCCAACUUGCUCAACAAAUGGUGGAACUGAGCUUUCCCAAGUGCUUUGGUGAACAAGUCGCCAAUUUGAUCACAUGAGCGAACGUGAGCAGUCUGCAACUCGUUACUUAGUAUGCGAUCACGAAUGAAAUGGCAAUCAAUUUCAAUGUGCUUUGUACGUUCAUGAAAAACUGGAUUUGCAGCAAUGUGUAGAGCAGCUUGGUUGUCACAAAAGAGAGACAUGGGUGAUGCUAAUGAAACUUUCAAAUCUGCAAACAAAGAACGCAGCCAGAGGAGUUCACUAGUAGCAUUGGCCAUUGCCCUAUACUCUGCUUCAGCGGAUGAGCGGGAAACUGUAGUUUGCUUUUUGGACUUCCAAGAAACCGGGCUAUUACCGAGGAAAACGAUAUAACCACUAGUCGAUCGUCGAGAUGUUGGGCAGCUGGCCCAAUCUGAGUCACAAUAAGCAAUGAGUUGCAGCAAACUAGCAGAUGACAAGAAUAUACCUUGGCCUGGUGCCCUUUUGAGGUAGUGAAGGACUCGAUAAGCUGCAUCCAAGUGAGGAACACGUGGAUCUUGCAUAAAUUGAUUGAGAACUUGUACUGGAUAGCUAAUGUCAGGUCGAGUUAUCGUCAAAUAAAGUAGCCUUCCAAUGAGACGACGAUAUUGACCAGCAUCUUUAACUACUGCACCAACUCCCGCUGCCAAGUUGUGUCGUUGUUCCAUAGGAAAGUCAGCAGGACUUGCGUCGAGAUGACAAGUCUCUUCAAGGAGGUCUAGAGUGUAUUUUCGCUGGCUAAGUACAAUUCCUUCCUUAUUACGAGCCACCUCAAUACCAAGAAAAUAUUUGAGUUGCCCAAGAUCUUUGAUGCGAAAAGCUGAAUCAAGAUGAUGCUUCAUAUGAUUGAUGGUGGUUGAAUCAUUUCCAGCCACAAUAACAUCAUCUACAUACACUAACAAAGCAGUAAAGUGUGCUCCACUGGUGAAUGUAAAAUGUGAAUUAUCUGUAGCAGAUUGACUAAAACCAAUACUCUACAAGCAACUAGAAAAUGUUUGAAACCAAUUUCUAGAGGCUUGUUUAAGGCCAUAAAGGGACUUUCGAAGUCGACAAACCCGAUUGUCACCUGGUUUUGCAAAGCCUUGUGGUAUUUUCAUGUAUACCUCUUCACGUAGAUCUCCAUGCAGGAAGGCAUUAUUAAUGUCCAGCUGAUGUAAUUCCCAAUGUCGUACUGCAGCCACAACUAAUAGACAACGUAGAGUUGUAAGCUUUGCAACUGGAGCAAAAGUAUCAUGGUAAUCGAGUCCUUCAACCUGUGUAAAACCUUUAGCAACCAAACGUGCCUUAAACCGCUCAAUUGUGCCAUCAGACUUGUACUUGAUUUUGUACACCCACUUGGAAUCAAUGGCAUGCUUACCAGGUGGUAGAUGCUCUAAUGUCUAAGUUUGAUUCUCCUCCAGUGCCUUAAUUUCUUGCUGCAUAGCAAGUCUCCAACGAUGAUCCCUAACUGCUUGGGAAAAAAACUUUGGUUCGUCUAAUGAAGUGAUGGAGGCCAAAAAAGCUUUAUGGGCAUCAGUGAAAUGAGAAUAGGACAAGUUAUGAGAGAUAGGAUAAAUUGUACCUGAGUUUGCUGAUGGAGGGGACUCCCGAGAUGGUUCCAAGGAGGGUAACAACUUAUAAUCAAAACCAGAAAGCUUUGUGGAUACAUGCCUUACUCGAUGUGGACGCUGCAAGGAAGGAAUUAUAUUUCCACUAGGGCUGCCAGUAUCUGGUUGUAGUGUAGAAUUAUCUUUUUCAUGUUGGGUUUGUUGGGAAAAUGUAUGUUCAAUAGGAGAUGGUGUGGUGUCCAUCGAAGUGGAGUUUAUAGGAGGUGGAAUUGGGUCAGAUUGUGAGUAAUCAUGCUGAUCUAUAUGGGGUUGCACACUCCACAUUGAAGGUUUAGACUCGUUAUUUCAUUGAAAAGGAAAUUCUGUCUCAUAAAAUAUCACAUCCCGUGAUACAAAUACUUUUUCUCUUUCCAAAUCAUAGACUUUAUAGCCCUUUUGUCCAUGGGGAUAACCAAGAAAAAUACACCGAUAGGCUCUAGUAGAGAAUUUAUCUCGGUGUUUGUCAUGAUUAUGAGCAUAACAAAGUGAUCCAAACACCUUCAAAUGAUUGUAGUUGGGUUUACUUUUGAAAAGUACCUCAUAUGGGCUCUUGCCUUUGAGAGUGGGAGUGGGCAUCAAAUUGAUAAGAUGAACUGCUGUCAAAACACAUUCUCCCCAAAAUUUCAAAGGUAAAUGGGCUUGAAAACGCAAUGCUCGCGCAACCUCAAGAAUGUGGCGAUGUUUGCUCUCCACUCGCCCAUUUUGUUGUGGAGUAUCAACACAAGAGGUUUGAUAGUCAAUCCCUUGACUAGCAAAAAAAUCUCUCAUGGUCCUGAGACAAAUUCACUCCCAUUAUCACUUCUCACAACCUGUACUGGGUAACCAAAUUGAGUUUGUGUAGAUUGGCAGAACAUGGUUAGAAAAUCAUAGGCCUACAAUUUAUUUUUCAAAAGAAAGACCCAAGUACAUCGUGAAAAAUCAUCAAAAAUAGUUAAGAAAUAAUGAGCACCACUAAGUGAUAAGACAGAAUAUGCUCCCCAAAGAUCAACAUGAAUCAAAGCAAAAGGUUUAACACUUUUCUUAUUGCUGUUUGGAAAAGACAAUCUUGUUUGUUUGGCCCUAUGGCAUACAUCACAAAUGUGAUUAAAAUUGCUAGGAAAAGGAAUACUAGAAAUUAAUUUUAAUCGGCUAAAGGAAGGAUGACCCAAGCGCAUGUGCCACAAGGUAGCAUCAGAUUCAGUAACACUAAGACUUGCGAGCCCGUGGCCUCCUUCUAAUUGAUAAACCCCAUCUCGGAGCCUACCCACUCCAAUCAGCAUCCUCGUACACAGGUCCUGAAAAAAAACAAGAAUCAGGAAGAAAGGUUGCUGAGCAGUUUAAUUCCUUUGUAGCUUUGGCAAUAGAGAGGAGAUUGAACUUGAAACCAGGCACACAAAUAACAUUUUUCAAAUUGAUAUUUGGUGUUAGGUAGGCAUUACCAACGUGAGUUACAGGGAGACUAGAGCCAUUUGCGAUUCUCACAUUUGGAUAUGAAGAGAUGCAUUUAACAUUGUCAAGUAUACUUUUGUCUCCAACCAUAUGGUUAGAGGCACCAGUAUCCAAAAUCCAUGAGUUAUGGAAUGAAUUGCAUUUACCUGCAAAGUUGGCCAAGGCCUCAUUAUCAUGAUUUGGUGGUCCAAGGAUUUGCAUGAGUUUGUUGUACUGGUCCAUUGUCAAUCCAAGAGGUUGUUGUGACUGUGACUUCUCACUUGGGUUGAUAAAUUGGUGGUCAGUUGCUGCUAUGUUGCCAUAGAUUUGCAUCUGCCCUGAAUUGUUCUUGCCUCCACCACAAUUGCCACCUUUGCUUUGUUGAUUAUUCUUCCAAUUUGCUGGAUACCCUAUUAUCUCAAAGCAUUCUUCCUUGAGAUGUCCCAUUUUCUUGCAAUGUUCACACCUUUUACUUGAUCGACUUCUUGGGGCUUGACUCCUGGUAUUUUCGUUGCCCCUACGAUCAGUUUUUGCUGCAAAAGCCGCUCCUUCCAGGCUGUGUGAUGUUUGUUCAUUUACUUGUACAAAGGAUUGCUCUUCUUGUAAAGCCAAGGAAAACAGUUUACUGAGUGAAGGUGUAGGUUCCAUGGACAGCACAUUAGAUCUCAACCGAUCGAAAUUUCCAUUCAAUCCCAGUAGAAAUUGAAGGGCUUUUUCUUUUUCUCGGCGUAAUAAGUGAUCCUUGGCUGCCUCGCAUUUGCAAUAAGGCAAUGGAUCAUAGAUUUACAGUUCUUGCCAUAAGGUUUUGAACUUGGUAUAAUAUUGAGUUAAAGGCUGCCCAUCUCCUUGUAACAUGUUGGAAAAUUAUUUUUUUAUUUUAUAAAGUCGAGGUGCAUUACUUUGUCCAUACCUUUCACAAAUCUCAGUCCAAAUUUCUUGUGCCGUGCCGGUGUAGACAACGCUCUCUUGUAUGUCCUUGGCCAAGGAAUUCCUCAGCCAUGCUCUAACCAUUGCAUCAUUCUUCUUCCACCGUUGAAAGUCUGGUGACUUUAGAUCUGGCACUUCUAGACUGCCAUCAAUGAAACCACCCUUGCCUUUGGCAUAUAGGGCUGUUUCCAUGGUGCUUUUCCAUGCUGCAAAAUUUUCUCCUGCGAAUGGUGUGGAGACAAAUUGCAGCCCUGGAUGAUCUGAAGGUACAACACAUAGGGGGAGUCAUCAUAGAUUGUAACCUCUCCCCCUUUCGUUGAAUUCUCUGGAGUUGACAUAUUUUAUUGUCAACAAUUGUUAAGGCUCAACCUGCUCUGAUGCCAUGAAGAAAAGGGUUCAGAUUGGGAAAAACUUCAAGCGUAUAUUACUGAUUGCAAUAGUCUGCUGAUAUAGUUGCAAGAAUUUGACAAAAAAUGGAAGAUACAAUUAUUCCUAAAAUCAUGUAAUGGAAAGCUAAAACUACUCCUACAAUCACGUCAUGAUAGAAACAUAUAUGGUAACAAUAUAUACAGCUAUAUGAUUGAAUAUCUCAACACAUGUCCAAGACUUGGGAUAAUUUGCCCUACUUGAAUCUUUCGCAUAACUUUUUGACUGGUACCAUAGACCAACUACGGUGCAAACAUCUGUUGCAUCUAGAUAUGAGUUUCAACUCACUUCAGGGUCAAAUGCCUUCUUCUAUCUGUAACUCAACUUCUCUUUUCAUUCUUGAUUUGUCAUAUAACAAUUUGGUUUCCCGAAUCCCUCAAUGCUUGGGAAACUUCAGCCAGAAGCUCUCCGUUUUGGAUUUGGGAAAUAAUGGACUUUUUGGCACCAUUCCCACAACUUUUUCACAAGGUAACUCUCUGAAUAUUCUUAUGCUGAAUGACAAUCAACAAGAUUGAUGAUAGAUUUCCAAUUUGGUUGGAAUCUCUACCUAAUCUACAGGUUUUCAUAAUCGAUUUCACGGAGGAAUUGGUAAUUUUCAAACUGAAAGCCCAUUUCCGCAGCUGAGAAUCAUCGAUGCAUCCUGCAAUGAGCUCACUGGUGUUCUACCUACAGAACUCUUCAAAAGCUUAGAAGCUAUGAGAAGCUUAAAGGAUCACCCUGGGCAAUAUAGGUCAGAAACUGGCUAUGAGCUUGAUUAUUACAUCCAUUCCUUGACUUUAGUAAUCAAAGGGACGGAGUAUAGUCUUGAAAGAGUCCUGAUAGAUCGAACAGCCAUUGAUUUCUCAAGCAACAGAUUUGAAGGACAAAUUCCAGAAAUUAUCGGAACCCUUCAUUCUCUUCUUAUACUCAAUUUCUCUCAUAACAAUCUCAGUGGUCAUACUCCCCGGGCAUUAGGGAAUUUGAAUAAGCUUGAAUGUCUAGACCUCUCUUGGAACCAGCUUGAGGGAACUAUUCCUGUGGAGCUUCUGAAUCUGACAUUCCUUGAAUUCUUACACCUUUCAGAAAAUCAUCUGAUUGGACCCAUUCCUCGAGGAAGACAUUUUGAUACAUUUGGGAAUGAUUCAUGCAGAGGGAACUCGGCCUUGUGUGGAUCACCAUUGACUAAAGAUUGUGGAAAUACAGGGGCACCACCACCAGCCUCGCCAUUCGGAUCUGAGCAACAAUAUGAUCCAGAGUUCUUUGAUGGAUUCACCUGGAGAGCUGUUGUUCUGGGAUAUGGUUGCGGAUUAGUGCUCGGACUAACCAUGGGAAGUCUCGUGUUCUUAACUGAAAAACGAAGAUGGUUCAUAUAGAUUGUUGAAGAGUCGUACAAUCUGUGAAAAAGAUCGAGGAAAUAUGUCCACAUACGAACUUGAGAACAGCAAUGCAAUUUACAAAAUUGGUGGGCAAAACAUACUCUCUUCUGCAGCUGUUGUCUAAUAAUUUUACUUCCUCUGCAUAAUUUCCAUUUUCAUAAUCAAAUAUCCUUGGAAAUGAUAACUUUUUUCUAUGGCUAAUCACCAGAAAAUUUGACUUUUUAUGUCCAGGCCUCCCAUUGGAGUCGUAACUAGGAAGGAUCAGCAGUAAAACUGGCUUUGUUUCAGUUCCAGUUGUAUGUAUCUGCUAUGCACGUUUUAAGGUUCUAAUAGUUGCUUCUUUUUAUGAUUGUCAAGUUCCAGGUGCAAAGAGAUUCUGAUUCCUUGCAACUUUAUCUUUUGCUUCAUGGUUAAAAAUGAAAUCAAGAACAUGUUCAGAAAAUAUGAAAAAAGGGUAUAUCCCAGUUUGGUUUGCACAUUGAAAGUUGUUCGAUGAAAAUUAUGACAAUAAUUCUCUUCAUUAUUCCCCACCUGCCAAAGAAGUUAUCUUUGAGACUACAAACUAGGCUAGUGUGCUUUAAAAUGCUUUACAUUGACUAAUCAACAACGAAGAUGUUCUUCAACUUGCACCUUUGUGGGACUUGAUUUGGAACAGCUUUGCACCAUUCGAACUUCAAUCGUUUACUGCCACAGCUGGUAUGUGUGAACAGAGAGAGACUAAUCCAAGCCACUUUUCUUGACUUUGUGGAAAAGAACAAGUCAUCCUCAGUCUUUUGCAAUAAAUUAUAGAUAAGUGAAGCCUAGUCUUCAUCCAAAAUUGUCAAAAGUGAAAUUCAUGGAUGCAACUUGAACAUAACUUAUUCUUCACUGGACCUGAAAAUUAGAGCACCAGCGACCAGCUUAAUCUUAAUUGGCUUUGGAGCUUCCACGCCAAAUGGUACGACAAUUUUGAGAAAAGGGAAGGGAGAGUUAUAGAUUUCAAGAGAAUGAUCUUUUUUCACACUACCAAAUUAGGGUCUACUAACAAAAUUUAUAGUGAAGUUCUUCAAAUCAAAUGAUCAAUCCACGAGACAAAAUCUAAUAGCAUGAACUAACUCGAAAAUAAGGUUGAGAUCUCUAUUUUAAAUACAAAAGACAAUUCACAUAUCCGAGAUAAUGAGUCAAGGAUAACCAUAUAAUAAAGCACAUACAACCACAAACUUCAAACAGCAACAAGUAACCAUGAAAUGCUUCAUGAUCCAAUUAACACAAGAAAAGCAAGAUAGUUAAGUAAUCUUAACAGAAUGCUUAUUGACUUUCUACAUCUCUUUAAUCAUUUCUUUUUCCAAUUUUUUUUUUUGUUUUACAACAAAACAAAAGUGAAUUCCAGAUAUGACCCCAUUACAGGUUCAAAAGUACAGAUAAUACUCAUGAACGAAAAGGAAUGAGAUGGGUAGGCCACUUUGGCCCCAUAGCUGUGACAAUUAGUGGACUCGUUGAUCCAAAGGCAUUUAUGGUGGAAAUGAAUUUAGAACGUAAAUGUAGUUUCUUGGCAUUACAAGUCUUUACAAGCCUAAUGAAGAUAGCAAAUAAUUCAUAUGGAUGCUACGACUUUUCAGAGGAGCUAAGGCCCAUUCUAAUUAGCCAUUACUCAUGAAAGGGAUAGUUAGAUAGGAAUUUAGUAACAUAGUGAUAGAAGCCAUCCAAAGAGAACCGGUCCAUUUGUGCACAAAGCAAAGUGAGUUUAGGAUAUAUAUGCUACACCAACAAUCUGCACAUACAAAAUUUGAUCAAGCAAAAUGAGGAAUCUAAUAGUUUAUACACUAGUGCUCCUUUCUUUGCAAUCUCGAGAAAUUACCAGUUUGUCUUCCUUUUUACCUCAUUUGUGUCACCAUGAUGAGAGUCUUGCUCUACUUCAGCUUAAGCAAAUGUUUCAAAAAUCAACAGAUGCUUCUGCCUACUGUGAAAAUGCAUAUCCAAAGAUGAUAUCAUGGAGCAAAACUUCUGAUUGCUGCACCUGGGAUGGGGUAACAUGCCAUAGAGUUACAGGUCAUGUAAUUGGCAUAGACCUUAGUUGCUGCCAACUUCAAGGAUCCAUCUAUGCUAAUAGUAGCCUGUUCAAUCUUUCUCGCCUCCAAAAGCUUAAUCUAGCUUACAAUGACUUCAAGAAUUCACCAAUUUCUCAUGGCAUUGGUGGCUUGACUAGUUUAACAAACCUCAAUCUCUCCAAUUCCAAUUUCUACGCUCAAAUUCCAUCCCAAAUAUCUUUACUGUCAAAUUUAGUUUCACUCGAUCUCUCCCAAAAUCCUAUUGAGUUUGAACAUCAGGAUUUCCAACUGCUUCUUCAAAACUUAACUCAGGUUAGAAUACUUUCUCUUUCUGACGUUAGUAUCUUCUCCGAGUUCCCUAAGAACUUUUCUUCAUCUUUGACAAUUGUGGAUCUUGGUCAAACUCAAGUUUAUGGUAAGCUACCAGACCAUAUUUUCUAUCUAGCAAAAUUGCAACAACUCAUACUAAAUGGAACUCAAGUCACUGGAAGUUUACCGAACUUGAACUGCACUGCUUCAUACAUGUUGUCGUACUUAGAUCUUGCUUACACAAAUUUUUCUGGGGAACUUCCCAACACAUUUGGCUGCUUGAAGUCCUUGAACGCCAUGUUGCUCGAUGGAUGUCAGUUCACUGGUCGCCUUCCUGAGUCAAUUGGAAACCUUUCUCAGCUCACUACGAUGUCUCUGACUCAAAACAGUUUCAGUGGGCCUCUUCCAUCGGUGAUCUCAAACCUUGUCCAACUGGAAGUUUUAGACCUUACAGGCAACCAAGUGCAAGGCCAAAUACCAGAUUGUUUCACAAAUCUCCAAAAAUUAACUCAAUUGUCAUUGCGAGACAACCAUUUGGUUGGGCCUUUCCCAUCCACCAUUGCGAACCUUACCAAUCUCCAGACGCUAGAUCUACAAUCCAAUUCGAUAACAGGUCCUCUUCCAUCAAACGUGAGUGGCCUUCAGGAAUUGUCUUUUCUAUAUCUUUAAAACAACUUGCUCCAUGGCACAGCACCGACAUGGUUAUUUAGCCUGCAGUUACUCACAACUUUGCUUCUCAAAAACAAUCUCCUAACAGGACAAAUCGAAGAGCUCAAUGGAAUGUCACUGAUGAAAAUUGAUUUGAGUAAUAACCAAUUAUAUGGUCAAAUUCCUAAAUCAAUUUCAACACUCCCAUUUUUAGAUUUCCUUGACCUCUCAUCAAAUAAUUUGAGUGGCGUGCUUGAACUAUCCAGUGAUGGUCUUGAGUACCUUGUUCUCUCUAAUAAUCGAAUAUCAUGGAGCACCAGCGGAAAUGUCAGCAACUCUUUACCAAACCUUUAUCGUUUAGAGCUAUCUUCUUGUGAGAUGAAGGCUUUCCCAGAAUUUCUCAGAAGCUCAAAGAAGUUAGAAGUUCUACAGCUCUCUGACAAUAAGAUUCAAGGUCAGAUUCCCAGCUGGGUGACAUCCAUGCCUUGGGAUUCACUUCUGUAUCUAAAUCUAUCUUAUGACCACCUUUCUGGGAUGGAUGCAUUACCUUGGAAGAAUCUAAGGGUUCUAGAUGUUCGAUUCAACCAAAUCCAAGGACAAUGGCCUUUUUUCAUUUGCAAUUUGAAAGCUCUAGCAAUUCUUGAUUUGUCAAGGAACAAAUUUACUGGUGCAAACCUCGGUGUUUUGGGAACUUUUCUAGUUUUGUGGUCCUGAAUUUGGAAGGAAAUGGCCUGCAAAGGACCAUUAAUUCAAUGGUAUUUGCAAAAGAUAUCAGAUUGAGAUAUCUUGGUCUGAAUAGAAAUUUCUUGGAAGGGCCGCUGCCAGAAACUUUGGCCAACUGCAAGUCCUUGAUGUGGGGAACAACCGUCUGAAAGAUAUAUUUCCUGCAUGGUUACAAAAUCUUACGGAGCUCCAAGUUCUUGUGUUGAGUUCUAACAGAUUCUUUGGACCCAUAAGCAUUUUCAAGGCUAAGAGUCCAUUCCAAAAGUUGCAAAUCUUCGCCCUCUCUUGCAAUGAGUUCAGUGGUGUUCUAUCUACAGAACUUUGGAAAGCUUCAGGGCUAUGAUGAGCUUACAAAGCAACAAAUCAGAAUCUAAAUACUUGCAUGCAACCGGUAAUACAACAAAUUAUCUAUACUCUGUCAGCAUGACAUCCAAAGGCCAUGAGAUUGAGUUCACCAAAAUCAUUAGAACUCUCACAACCAUUGAUCUGUCAAGCAACAUGUUUCAUGGGAGGAUCCCAGACGUCAUUGGAAAUCUCUACUCCCUCAAGUUGUUGAACUUAUCCAACAAUAACUUUUCUGGCCACAUUCCACCAGCUAUUGGGAACCUGAAAUUUCUUGAAACAUUAGACCUUUCAAGAAACCAAAUUGGAGGAGAGAUUCCAAUGCAGCUAACGAAUCUUACAUCUCUUGAAGUCCUAAACUUAUCAUGCAAUCAUCUUAUUGGGCAAUUCCUCAAGGCAAUCAAUUGCGCACACUUGGUGAAGAUUCAUACAGCGGAAACUCAGGAUUAUGUGGAUUCCCAAUAACAAAAAGCUGUGAAGAAAUGCAUGUGCCACAAGCGCCCCCAGAUGAGGCAUUGGAACAAGGCGAGGAUUCGAGUUUCAUGGGUGGAUUUACAAGGAAAUCAGUGCUCAUAGGAUAUGGUUGUGGACUUGUUCUUGGCAUAGCUUCUGGUUUUCUAAUGUUUGCUACUGGAAAACCAAGAAGAUUGGUAAGAUUCAUUGAAGAAGAAGCAUAUAGUAAUAGUGUACUCUUGUUUGGAAAGAGAAAAACUGUAUAAUCAGCUGAAAAAACCAAUAACAUGUCACGAGCGCAUGGAAGAAGAAACUAAAUAUCCAGAUAAAUGAGGUAACUAGAACAUACAUUCUGUGAUUUUAUAUUGUUUCCUUGUACAACUUUGUUAUCUAUAUCAUCAAAUGUUUACAUUCUUAAGAUAAACUGUACUUCUUACAGUUGCCCAAUUUAUAUUCAAGCACUUACUAUCUUUGUGCUUAAUAAGCUAUUAUUCAUACAGCGGGUCUGGUUUUAUAUUUGUAUAGCUGAUAUCAAAUUUUUGGAGCAUGUCUCGUUGCCCCAUUAUUCAAAAAUAACAGCUUUAAGAUCUCCAGUCUAUGAACCAAGAUAUCACUCAAGGCCAUAACCAAAAGGAUGACCUCACAGGAUCCAAAGCCAUUUCUGAUAAUUAGUGAGACUGAUAGUUUCUUGGGUUUUCACUGAAUUUCUGAUUCAAUGAAUUAGAAUAGACAGCUUUAAGGAUAUGAUACCUUUCUUUUUAUUAUUCUCAUUUAUUGAUUUGAUCAAUUCAUCUAAGCAAUCACCAUUGUUGUAGUUUAAUGUGCUUACCUUUCAUUUUUGUAGGUGGAGAAAUUUGGGAAAGAGAACUUUUCAUUCCACGUUAGAUGUCUUAAGUAUUUGUGUUAGACCUAUUAACCUUUCACGGUUCUUCAAGUGCUGUCAAUUACUAAACUCAUAGAAAUCAAAAUCCGCUUCAAAAUUUCUCAUAUUAUGUCCUUUGUUCUUUUCAUGUGUGAAUCUUAGUGUGGUUUUGUAACACUUUGUAGAAGCUCAACAAUUGAUUACUAGAUUCAGGUUUCUAAAAGAUAGUCUCCAUUAAUUAUAUGAUUUAGGAAACCCAAAUUAAUGGUGAAAAUAAUAAUUACAUUUUUCAGAAGCUCCUAAAGGUAGGAACUAAUAUUGAAAUUCACCUUUAUGAGACGGUACAGACUCUAUACAUUGGCACAUCCCAAAAUUAUUCUGAAAAUGAUCCAGCUUUGUGUCAAAGUUCAUUAAGGGUACACAAGAAUGUCCAACCACAAGCUAAAAAUUAGUUUUACUAGAACUAAUUUUUAUUAAACUUCAAAACAUAAGCUAAAUUAUUUAACAACAAAAUAGCAAUGAAUUGAGAACAUAGGAUUUGUAAUUCAACAAAAAAGAGGAAAUUAAGGAUUAUGUGGAUUUGCACAAGUACAUGUAACUUGAUGUUACUGUUGGAUCUUUUAAUUGGAAAUAAAGGAUGGCUUACCUAAUUAAAUUUACCACUACCAGGUCAACCUUCUUGCAGUUUCAGCAUUGUUUUUUCAAUAACUCAGCUUCCCCAUGGAUUUUGCUGCAUUCAAAUAAUUUUGUCCUCAGCGUCAGAGAGAAGUCAUAGACAAGUAAUUUGAUUGAUAAGAAACCAACAUGUCAGGCCAUUCAAUUAACUUCUUAAUCAUGUAACUCACCGUUGUGCACAGAAAUAUGAGACUCUAAAAGACAAACCUUGAAAUAGCAUUUCUCCAUUCACGUUUAGUUUGAUUUUAUGAUCUAAAGUAACUGCUGGUGUACUUGCAACACAAAAUGAGAAGACUAACGUGCUUUGUGCAUCAGUUGAAUGAAGCUAAAGGAAAGCACCAACAAAGUGCCCUGCGUCUGGUGAACAAAAGCCACAUAUGGCAACACGAUGAACAUCUCCAGCUCCACGACAAACCUAGUUGCAAAGUUACCCAUUAAAGAACAUAAAAACGAAAGUUGAAAACUUUCUGAUCGAACAUCUUUAAAACCAACAGAACAAUCUUCCAGAAGGAGCAAGUCAUUCUGAUUCUUGUGCAAUCUUUUAUCAAUCCCACAAGGGUGGAACAAAACCUAGAAGUGGAUUCAAUUAAUAACUCUAUGGUGACAAAUUGUCAUCAAAAGAUUUAAGCUCUGAAGGAAACAACUAUAACCAAAAUUUUAAUUGUGGUAUAUACAUCUAAAUGAAAGCAAUUUCAAAGUUUGAGGAGCCAAAAACAUCAGCAAGAAUGAUGAUUGCUACCCAUAAAAGGAAAAAGAAAAAAAAGGAUAAGAUCAGCAGCUCUACUCAGCCACCACUCAAACUGAUUGCAACAUAGCUAGAACAUGUUGACACUCUGCCUAAUCUAAUUAACGAGAAACUGGCAUGUCAUACAAAUGCACUUCUGGACACGCAAUUGCGAGAAACUGGCAUGUCAUACAAAUGCAAUUGAUAUAAAUUUCUGCUGACAUGGGAACAAAAUGUUGAUCUCAGCAUCCUGGCAGUAUACUUCAUGGAUGGAAUAGUUGGAAAAUUGUAUUCAGCAAGUCAUGGAGCCUGAUGUUUCCAAGUCACUCUCUUCACUCCCAGCAAAUUUAAUAGAUCUGCCAAAAAGAGCCAUCUUCUCUGACAAAUUACGAAGAGCAUCCUGCCUAUUAGCCAAUUCCAUAAGCACCUUAAUCCUCCUAAAUGAAACAUUACUUGGUUUUUGCCCUUUCUCCACCAUCUGCAAGAAAGACCUCUCAGCCUCAUCCAACUUCCCCAUGUCACAAAGCAAAUCAAACAAAACGUCAGAGACCAAUAUAUAAGAGCCAUACCCCAUCUCCACCAUAUCAUUCCAUAGCUCAAGUCCCAUUUCAACCUUCUCGUGCCUUCUCAACAACCUGAUCAAAAACAUACAAGAUUGAGUGUUUGGUAGACACCCUGUUUCCCUCAUUCUCAGGUACAAGUUCCAUGAACUUAUCAAAUCAUUCCACCAAUAAAAGUCCUCAACAAAAUAUUUUAAGUAGUUGCAUUUGGGCUCAACACCUUCUUUACCAUCUCAUUCAUCAAACCAUAGGCAUCCCCAAUCCUCUUUGCAAUACAGAAAUUUCUAAUAGCAGCAUUGUAAGCUGCCACAUCAGGAUAGCAUCCAUACUCUCUCAUCUCUUCCAAAACAUCCCUUGCCUUAUCAGGUUGCCCCACAAGCCCCAAACCACCAAUCAAACUCGUAUAUGUAAUCACAUCUGGACUAAUAUCCCUCUCCCUCAUCUCCUCCACCACCCUAUACGCCUUAUCCAUUUCUCUCGUCUUACAAUACACAUCCACCAAACACUAUCAGGUUCAACCCCCAUUUCCCUCGUCUCCUCAAAAAAGCCCUCGGCCUCAUCAGUUGACUUCCAACCAGCCAACAAUAUAUUAAAAGUCUGCAAAUUCGGCCUAAAUUCAUGCUUCAAGUUAUGAUACACAUUCCUGGCAUCACUCAUCCUCUUCUCUUGACACAAUGUCCUAAACAGUGCAUUGUAACAACUAGUAUCAAACUCCAAAACAAGCCUUCGAAACCGCUUAAACGAAAUCACAGUCUGCUUAACUGAACAAACCUUAGCAAUCCUAGCUAAGACAACUUGAACAGUUCUUGAAGUGAUCGAAGAUUGAUCCUUUUUCUUCGCUUCCACCAAAACCUCCCAAAUAUUAUCAAAUUUUCUGCUCCUACCCAAAACAUACAGCAUUGUAUCCAAAGAAAAUGCAGAAUGCAAAAACCCCUUUUUCCUAGAUGUAAACUUAAAGAAUUCCAAAGCCUGUAAUGGAUUAGAAUGAGAAAAUCUGACCCUUUUCAGAACAUUAUCAAUUAAGUCAUUUGAGAAAGGGAUUGAAGCUGCUGCUGAUCUCAGUGACUGUCUGAGUUCAACUGAGGUUCUUGAACUUGUUAGUAUCCGAAAAACAGUCUCAACAUCGUCGUUUACAGCAGGGGAGGAAGAAGUAAAAGGCGGGAUUUUUUCAAUUUGGGGAAUGGAACUAAAGAAAAGAAGUGAAUUUAAACAGGCAUACCUUACUGUUGCCGUUGAUGAUGUACAAGAGUGAAGAAAAAUGGGAUUUCUGAUAAAAAGAUGGAGCAAUUUUUUUGGGAUGAAAUCUGAAUGAAGACAAGAACCAAAUAUUCAGACUCUAUGCUACUGCUGCUCCUGCAGGUUUUCCCUCAAGUAUUCGAAUGCAUGAAAUUUUUGGGAUUUUUGUGAUUUUGGGGUCAUUUUUUAUGCUGUGGUUUUGCCGCAAAGCGAUUCUUCCAGCUGAAUUGAAGUGAAAGUUACACUUCAGGGAUGCACCUCUGUAUUCUUUUGUUUUCCUCUUUUUUGCCUUUUUUUUUCCAUCGGCGAAAUAAAAAGAGAAAAAAAAAGUAGGCUAAUACCAUAAAAAUGACCAUAGUUUUAGAACCAUCAGAUCCAAUUACUUUUAAAGGUCAAACUAGGAGGGGAACACCGCGCGAUGCGCGGUGUAAUUUUCAAGUUUGCCCAGAAACGUUCAAUUAUUCAAACUGGGAUAUUCAAUAUAAAAAGUUACAUGAAGGUGCAUCCAAAUGUUUGUGAUUAUUUUUUAUAAUUUUAUUAUGCAAUGAAGAGAGCCACAAUUUCAGUCUAGUUGCUAAAUGACAGUCAUUUUUGGUAUGCUGACUAAUUGGACAGCAAUGGCAAUGUCAUUAGUUUGAAAAUAAUAUAACACUGUGUAAUGCUGCCUUAUAUUUUUUAUGUACACCAAAAUCUGUGACUUUGUAGCUAAAAAAAAAAAAGAGAGAGCAGUGUAGUAUUGCAGCAAGGCUUAGCCUUAUUUUUAGACUCUGAUACAACCAAUCCACUAUUUUCGUAAUUGCAUCAAAUUAACCCAAAGACUGAAAGAAAGACCUAUUACUUUGUAGUACAAUAACCAAAAUGGCUUCAUUAGCUUGUAACUUCAAGAAAUCUACGGAAAGCAAAAGAAUUGUGCUCACAUAUCAACCGUAGUGAGAUAAACUGCAUUUGACCAAAAACGGAGGAGGAUUACCUAAUGCAGGUGUAUCUUCUCAAUACAUCAAUAGUAUAGGGGAUGGUCAAGUACUCAAUACACAAAAAAAAAAGAAAAAAGGAAGUUUCACAGGCCUCGAUGCAAUUCUACCUUUGAUCAUUUGAUGCAUGUCAACAACCAGAAUCCCGUAAAAGGAAAGACAAGUACAUGAGAUAAUGUAAAAGCCUGCAUUUAUGAAACUUACUACCAGUAGACUGCAUUCCAGAGGUUCUCAUUACACAUCAAAGCUGUUCCAGCUCAAAAAGGAAUAUAAGAAAAAGAAGAAAAAAGAAAUGCACAGUGUGCAUCAAGCCUUUUCCUUGUUAUUAGAAUCAUACACUUCAAAAUAACCGAAAGACCGAAAAAUGCAUUACUUUGUAGUACAAUAACUAAAAAGGUUUUUAUUAGCAUAUAACUUCAAGAAAUCUAAUGAAAAGUGUGAAUUUCAGAGGAAGAGAAUAAAUUCCCCAUAUUUUUAUUCAUCAAUGGUAAGGGUAUAUAUACAGGUAUAGACAUCUUAUAAUAUGAAGAUAUCCUAUUACAAUAAAUCAGUCCUCUAAUUCCUAUAAUUUAGGCUACAAACUAGCCUACAUUUGUUAGCUAUCUAAUCCCUACAAAUCAGCCUAUAUCAAUCUGUGACAGCUAUCUAAUCCCUACAAAUCAGCCUGCAUAUAAUCUGUAACACUCCCCCUCAAGCUGGAGCAUAGAUAUUAAUCAUGCCCAGCUUGUUACAUAGAUAAUCAAUCCGGACCCCGUUAAGAGCUUUUGUGAAUAUAUCACCUAAUUGUUCUCCAGUCUUCACAUAACCUGUAGUGAUCAAACCUUGUUGGAUCUUUUCACGAACAAAAUGACAAUCAAUCUCAAUGUGUUUCGUUCGUUCAUGAAAGACUGGAUUGGAAGCAAUGUGAAGUGCAGCUUGAUUAUCACACCAUAGCUUGGCAGGUACUGAGACCUUAAUUCCUACUUCACUAAGGAGCUGAUAUACCCAUAUGACUUCACACACAGACUUGGCCAUAGCUCUAUAUUCAGCUUCCGCACUGGAUCGUGAGACGACAUUCUGUUUCUUACUCUUCCAUGAGACCAAAUUUCCCCCAACAAAAACACAAUAUCCUGAAGUAGAUCUCCUAUCUUCCUUACACCCUGCCCAAUCUGAAUCUGAAAAACAUUCAAUCCUAGUAUGACCAUGAUUGCCAUAUAGGAUUCCACGUCCAGGAGCACAUUUUAAAUAGUGCAAAACUUGUUCGACUGCUUUCCAAUGGUCAACAGUUGGUGAGGACAUAUAUUGGCUUAACACACUCACUGAAUAAGCAAUAUCAGGACGUGUCACAGUAAGAUAAUUCAACUUUCCGAUUAGUCUUCUGUACCUCUCAGGAUCUGCACACAAUUCACCUUCUUUGGUUAAUUGUAAAUUAGGAACCAUUGGGGUACUACAUGGUUUAGCACCCAACUUUCCCGACUCCGACAGUAAAUCAAGUACAUACUUUCUCUGUGAUAGAAAGAUUCCCUUCUUACUCCUGCUAACUUCAACUCCCAAGAAAUACUUUAACAUCCCCAAGUCUUUGGUAUAGAACUGAGUAUGAAGAAAGGACUUUAGAGACGAAAUUCCGCUAGAGUCGCUACCUGUGAUUACAAUAUCAUCCACAUAUACAACUAACAGAAUAAUACCUCCAUUAGAGUGUCUAUAGAAAAUAGAAUGAUCUGACUUGCUUUUCUGCAUCCCAAAUUUCUCAAUAGCUUGGCUAAAUUUUCCAAACCAAGCCCGAGGACUCUGUUUCAAGCCAUAUAGAGAUUUUUGCAGACGACAGACUUUCCCUUUCCCAUACCCCCCUUGAGCAACAAAACCAGGUGGUUGCUCCAUAUAUACCUCCUCCUGAAGAUCACCAUGAAGAAAGGCAUUCUUGAUGUCUAACUGAUGCAGAGGCCAGUCAUAAGCUGCAGCAAGGGAGAUAAACAACCUGACCGAAGCAAGUUUAGCAACAGGAGAAAAAGUAUCAUGAUAAUCCACCCCAUAAAUUUGAGCAUAUCCUUUAGCAACAAGUCGAGCUUUCAAUCGAGAAAUGGAGCCAUCAGAAUUCAUUUUGACAGUAAACACCCAUUUACAUCCAAUGGCUUGUUUACCUGCAGGUAAGGUAACCAAAGUCCAUGUACCAUUGACAUCUAGAGCAUUCAUUUCCUCAAUCAUAGCAGUCCGCCAUCCGGGAUGAGCUAAUGCCUCUCGAACAGUCUUAGGUACAGAAACAGUGUCUAGGGAUGUAAGAAAAGCACAAGAAGAGGAAGACAAAUGAUGGUAGGAAACAACUGAAGAGAUUGGAUAAGUACAUGCACGUUUACCUUUUCUGUGAGCAAUAGGGAGAUCAAGAUCAUCGUUGGCAGCCGGAUCUGAUGACAAAGAGACUGGUUCAUCAGGACAUGAUUCUGGAGACUCAAGGACCAAGUCAGAACUGGGCUGAUGUGCCCGACGUGAGUAGGUAUAUUUGAUGGGAGGCUUAACCGGUGUAGAAGGAGGCGGACCCAAAUUUGGUAUGACACUAUAGAUUAACAAAUCAUCAUCCUCCCCUGGACUCACAGAACUUGAAGAGCCUGAAGAUGAAGAUAAAGGUGUUUGUUCCAAAAAAGUAACAUCAGCAGACACAAGAUACUUACCAAGACUAGGACAAUAACAACGAUACCCUUUUUGCAUGCGAGAAUAACCCAGAAACAUACACUUUAAGGACUUAGGAUCAAGUUUUGUAACUUGAGGACGAACAUCCCGAACAAAACAAGUACAACCGAAUAUCUUUGGUUCUAUAGGAAACAACUGUUUAUUUGGAAAUAGAGUGUGGAAAGGAGUAUUACCAGACAAAACAGAGGAAGGCAUACGAUUGAUUAGAAAACAAGCAGUAGAUAGAGCAUCAGCCCAGAAACAUUUAGGAACCUUCAUUUGAAAUAACAAAGCUCGAGCAGUUUCAAGAAGGUGUCUAUUCUUUCUCUCGGCAACCCCAUUUUGAGAAGGGGUGUCAACACAAGAGGUCUGAUGAAGAAUACCCUGCUCAAGCAUGUAUUUCUGAAAACUGCUUGAAACAUAUUCUUUUGCAUUAUCACUUCGCAAAAUUUGUACAGGUUUACCAAAUUGGGUUCGAAUUUCAGCACAAAAGGAAGAAAAGUGAAGAAAUAGUUCUGAGCGACUUUGCAUCAAAUAAAGCCAUGUCAUUCUAGAAUAAUCAUCCACAAAGGUAACAAAAUAUCUGAAACCAGUUUUAGAGGUAACUGGACAAGGACCCCAAACAUCAGAAUGUACUAACUCGAAGGGAGCAGUAGCUCGCUUAUUGAUUCUAGGACUAGAACUAAGACGAUGAUGUUUAGCAAACUGACAAGACUCACAAUCUAAGGAAGUAAUGUUUGAAAACUGAGGACAAAGUUUCUUCAACAUAGAAAGCGAAGGAUGACCCAAUCGACAAUGUGCUUCAAAAGGAGAGAUUGUUCCAGCACAAGCUAUAGACCCUGGUUUCGGUGUAUCAAGAAUGUAGAGACCGUCAGACUCAUGUCCCUCACCAAUAAUCUUCUUCGUCAUGAGAUCCUGAAAUGAACAAUAACCAGGAAAAAAUGAGACACAACAAUUAAGAGCACGAGUAAGUUUGCUGACAGAAAUCAGAUUAAAAGAUAGUUGUGGUAGACUCAGAACAGAUGAUAAAUGGAGAGAUGAUGUGGGCUGAGUGGUUCCAGACCCAAUAACACUGGAUGUUGAACCAUCGGCUAAAGUAACAGGAGUGAUAGAUUUAUGUGGCUGAAAGUUAGAAAGUAAACUAGGAUUACCUGUCAUGUGAUCAGUAGCACCAGAAUCAAUGACCCAUUUUGGAGAAGAGGAAACAAGACAUGCAUUGGGUUUACCUGUCUCGACAGGAGCAGUAACAUGACCAGAUGGCUGUUUCACUGUUUCUUGAAACUGAGUCAAUCUAGCAUACUUAUCCGCAGAUAUUGUAACAUGCUUGUCAGAGGUGGCACAACUAGAUGCAAUAUGGGCAGAGUGAGCCUUCUUAUACUGCAGCUUCCGACAGUCUCGCUUGAUAUGACCUGGUUUAUGACAGUAGUGACAUACAAUCUCUCCUUGCUCCUGUCCAUGAUUGCUAGUAUUCUUAUCAGAGUGGUUGGGCCCCGACCCCAUGCUCGUACUGUUGCCAUUACUCUUGUAGUGUUGUCUUCCUGAAUCAGCUGUGGUAGUUCGGCUAAGAAGAACACUGUUAGGCUGAGUAGAUAGAACAGGUAACGUAUUCUCUGUACGGAGAACCCUUCGAAAAGCAUCUUCUAGACUGGAAAUUUCUGAACCGGAAAGAAUUUGAGAUUUAGCAGUCUCAAAUUCAGACGGAAGACCGGCUAGAAAACUCAUAACCGCCAUCUUCGCUCGCUGAUUUCGUUGUUCCUCCACAUCACAACUGAAGGGAAGCAGCAUAUUGAGCUCUUCAUAUGUUUUCUUGAAGUCCAUAAAAUAACUGGUGAGAGACUUGUCUCCUUUAUCUGCCCUGUAAAAAUCCUUGCAAACAUCAUAGAUACGAGAGAAAUUUCCUUUUCCAGAAUAUAAGAACUGUAAAUAGUUCAUUAAUUGUUUUACUGUCUUACAAUGAGUCACCAGACCAACCACCUCACUAUCAAUAGAAUUACGGAUCUGUAUAUACAAGCGAGCAUCCUCUCUCAUCCAAGACAAUUUAGAGUCAUCCGUAGGUGGAUCAUCAGUCAGAUGGCCAUCCAUAGAAAUACUGAGCAGAUAUAAUUCAAUAGUAUUGUUCCAAUCAAGAAAAUUAAUUCCAGUUAACUUAUGUUCCGUGAUUUUUGAAACCAGCGGAACUAUAUCAGAAACAACUCCAGGCUUUUUGUCAGACAUAAUUGCUAAGAAAAUUCAACAAGAUAACAGAUUACCCACAAGAAAAACCUGUUGUAGCCAAGUCCCACACCUAGAUCGAUGUUGACCCACAAACAGGUAUGCAAAUAGCGUCGAGAGACAGAGGAGAGGUGCUGGGUUCUGACCAAUCGGUACUACGUACCUCCCUGAGUUGGCGGUGUCUAUAAAGGAACCUCUAAAGCCUGUACCUUGAAUAUGGCAGCAGCUUCCCUCACACCCAACAACCCAGAAAAAAAAAAUUUAUGAACAAACCUUGCUCUGAUACCAUGUGAAUUUCAGAGGAAGAGAAUAAAUUCCCCAUAUUUUUAUUCAUCAAUGGUAAGGGUAUAUAUACAGGUAUAGACAUCUUAUAAUAUGAAGAUAUCCUAUUACAAUAAAUCAGUCCUCUAAUUCCUAUAAUUUAGGCUACAAACUAGCCUACAUUUGUUAGCUAUCUAAUCCCUACAAAUCAGCCUAUAUCAAUCUGUGACAGCUAUCUAAUCCCUACAAAUCAGCCUGCAUAUAAUCUGUAACAAAAAGAAACUGUGUUUACGUAUCAACCUUAGUGGGAUAAAUUGCAUUUGAUCAAAAAAGGAGGAGGAUUAUUAAUAUAGGCCAUACUUCUAUCCUCUCAAUACAUCAGUAGCAAAAGGGAUGGUCAAACUCUUGGCACAAAAUAACUCAUCCAGUUACACAAGAUUUUAAACCAAAUAAAAAUAUUAUGAUAACACCAUCCGCGUGAGAUAUAAUGCAUCAAGAGCUGACAUACAUAUAUAGCAGGUAAUGCAAAGAUCAGAUAGCUACAGUUAGUGCAAAAUCUAGUAUCCAGGGUCAUACGCUUCAAGGCUUUGAUCUUGAUAAAGCUUCAAGGGUGGCCGAUUCUGCUUCCCACAUAAAUAAACACGUAGUUUUGUUAAUCAAAUGGCAGAGGCAUUCUUGAGUGGUACUGCAAAAAUCCACUUCGUAUAGUUAAAUAUUAGUAACAAUUACCAUAUUCUCCAAAAAUAUAUCAUAGAUUUUUUUCUUUUAUCAUUGUCACUUCCAUUUUAAUCUAACUUUUUUCACUUACAGGAACAUCAUAAUUAGCGCCUAUCUAUGCAAUUACCUAUAUGGCAGACAAGUUUUUUCCAUAUAAUUAUCCCUGAAGGCAAAAGUAUGGGGCAAAGGAUUUUGUACAAUUCAUAGGUUAGGGCAUACUGCACCAGUGUGGCCAAAGAAUAAACGAACAAUCUUCAAUUACAAUAUAAAACAUGCAAUAACUACAAAUGAACAAUUUUCCAUUACAUUAUUAUAUACACAAUAUACACACUGUUGUAAAAAAAAAUUCCAUUCAUAGAGAUGGUUACAUUAAACCGAAAGGUGAAAGAAAAAAGGUUAGAAUCAGCACCUUAAAAGUAGUAGAAGGCCAUUAUUUGCUUUAUUAUAUGCCGAUAAUUUUAAUACCUAAUUCCAUCAUGAAGAGCCAGGUAGCCAUCUAAUUUAACGCCAAAUAAGGACACAAAGAAAUGGUUCGCAAGCUAAAUAGCAGAAAAGAUAAUUAACAGAAACUUAAUCAUUUUCUCAUAAUUAACAGAAACAUAAUCAACAAAGACAUCUACUAAUUAUUAGUAUACAAGCACAUCAAUUUGACUAAGAUAUUUUUUUAAAUAAAGUGUAAACAGCUUACUUGUCUAAAGCUGAACUAUGCUAAAAGGCCAAAGCUUGGGCUUAGACUGACUGGUACUAAACGAAGCAUUACCCCUAUAAAAUUCAACCCAAAAGUUAACAAAAAUAAACAGGAGCAAAAAUAAAUUGUUCAUAUGCAAAAUGGAAACAAGUAGCAAAAAAGAAGGCUGUAAAAUGUUACACAAAGAUAAUCACCAAGUUUUUAGCCAAAGACAUUGUGCUAAGAUUUAAACAACCCAUGAAUCCAAAACUAUAUGGUCAAAGAAGGAAAAGAGAUCUAGGGAUUUUUUCUUCUAAAUAAUAGGUUUUUUGGUAAACAUACACCUUUCAUAACAGCAUUUGUGGCCAAAGUGUUAUCUACCAACCAAUCUAACAAAUUUUGCCACUUUAACCUCCUUUCCCACAAUUAGUUGAAAAUUAUUCAAAACUAUAAUUAAAAACUUCAAACUAAAGUCAUCAAAAGAUGAAAUAAGUUCAAUUCCAUUGGAAAUUGACAAUGGCGGAGACAUGAAAAAGAAACAAAGAAAAUUGACAAUUUAAGUUAUUUCGAAAAUCCCAAGCAACAACUAAACAAGAGCUGGGAAAUUUGAGCAUAUAACAUCUCGAGUGAUAACCAAUGCAAUCUUGAUUUUGAGCUCCAAGACUCCAAAUGAUCAAGUAGUAUAGUACAGCAUAAACUGAAAAGCAUGAAACUUUUGCACUAAAAACCAAAGCCAACAGAUGAGAUAACUUAUUUAUGGCUUGGUUCCUAAGCUUAAAUGACACCACAAAUACAGCAAUAAUAAAAAAUCAACUUUAAUGUGCUCAAACUUCAAAGCUUGCGACGUCUGUGCAAUCACUCAGUUGAAAUUUUAGCUCAAAACACUAUACAACGGAAAAGGAAUAAGCAAAAGCACAAAAACACAUAAAAUCCGACAUUUUAAAAGCAAAAAAAAAAGAAUCCAUGGAAUUAAUGUUUGGAACCUUUUUUACGGCAUGCAGUGCAGCUCCAUGACCACUGACGCCAGCGCCAAUAAUGAUGAGAUCGUAAUCAAAGGAUUUGGGAGCGCUUCCAUUAUCAUCCGAAGAUGCAGAAACCUUCGUCGGACUCGCCUGCGCUUUUCUCGGAAAAAUUAGCCUCUUUGCUCGAAUAAACUGGCCGCGCUUCAGCUGCGAGGGAACUGAAAACCCAGAGAUUUCUAAUAUUUCACCUGCAAGAUCUAAGCAGAAGAAAAUAAAAAACAUACUACGGGUAGGAAAGCAGAUUUCUAAUAUUUCACCUACAAACUCAAAAGCAUACUCAACAAGAAAAUAAAAAACAGCAGAUCUCUGGGUUUAUAAAUACUUCUGACUUUCACUGCUUUUGGAUGAAGAUUUUACUACAGCUUUCUUUGUUUGCUCAAAGAAGGAGAUGAAAAAAUAGUAUUUCAGACCUCUAGGUUAUUAAUCGAAAGAUUAACAAAUCUUAGCAAGAAAAAUGUCUUUCUUUCUUGAAUAAAGGAAACUGUAAAACUUUGGGGAAAUAUUGGAGCUUACCAAUUAAGAUGAUUUCUGUGUCUCAUGCGUUCAGUAGCUUCAUAUCCAGACCAAUUCUAACAAGGGAAAAAAAUCAGUUAGAAUCAUAUAAUUGAAAAAAAAGGAAAGAGAAGAAAGGAAAAAGGGGGGAGGGGGGAAACGGGAAGGAAAAACAGAGAAAAAAGGACCAAAUAAAAACAACAAAAAGGAACAAAGAAAAGAAAAGAAAAGAAAAAUGGAAGGGGAGAGGAGAGGAGCUCUGGAGAGCAACGAAGCGGCGGACAUGAAUGAGGGGAAAGAAAACAAGGGAAGCCCUAAAACAAAAUUUUUGGCACGCGAGUCCCACGUGAUUGACGACCAAAUUCCAGCCAAUAAAACCCAGCCACGUCAGCAAAACAACAACCACCCUUAACAAUCCCAUUCGCGCUUUUACUAUAUAGGUAGAUUAGCAUUAUUCUUGUUCGGCUGGUUCUAGUUUCGAUUUCAGUUUCUAUCAUUUUCAAUUUUAGUAUUUUUCUAGGUAUAGUUUUCAGAUUUUCUAGUACAUUUAAUUACUUAUGAUUAUAAAAUUAAUUUUAAGAAAAUAUAAUAAUGAAUUUAGAGUAACGAGAAACUAAAGAAAAUGAAUGUAAAAAAAAAUAAGGCUUUUAUUGUAUUAUUAGCUUACAAGGAAGAGAAAGAUGAUAAAAAAAAAAUUUAUGUAAAACAUAUCUCAUAUUUAUUGAAUGUUUUAAAUAAAACAAAAGAUACAUAAUUUUCUAUCAAACUUGAAAAAAGAAAAAGAGAAAAACAUCUCAAUUUUCUCACUAACUUGCGCAUUGUUUUUCUUUUGACUCAACAUUUUAGAACUAGCUUAAUGCUGUUGAACUUUCGGUGAACCUCAACCAAAACCUUUAACCAUGGUUCCAACACCGAUUUAAAAUUUCCAAAUUAGUUAUAAUUUUUUUUUAACAAAUUGCUGAUUCAAUUCCGAUUUGAUUCCAAUUUGAACCUGAACUAUGGCCAUGGUUAUUACUAUUACGUAGAGGUGGCAAUUUGUCCCAAAUCCCAAUGAACUACCCAUACCCAAAAAGACUUUGGCGGGAUGGGUAUUGUAAUUUGAUAUUAGGUUUAAAAUGGGAUGCAUCCCAAUUAUACUCAUUAUUUGAUGGAAAAUGUUGGAAAAUACUUGGGUACCUAUUGAGCCCAAAUAUCUUCCCAAAAAAUUUCAUUUUAUCCAAAAAUUCAUCAUUAUUUUUUUUUUUUUGCAAAAAUCUGAUUUUUUUUCACUUCCAUUUUCUUUCAUUUCCUUUCUUCACUUUCCUACAAAAGAAAACCAGUUAAGUAAAAAUGAUUUCAUUUAAACAACUUUAAAAAAAUUAAAGAUAACAAUAAAAAUAAAAUAAAUUGGUAAAAUUUUGGUGUCUACAAGAUCAAUACUUUACUAACAACUGUUGGUACCCUAUAUGUUAAUUUUAUGCUAAUUGUUGAACUAUCUACAUAGAUUUCUAUAUGCAACCCUGUUAUCAAUUUUUAAUCAGCUUCUUCGUUUCUGUGCUAGCUUUAUUCAGCAUUUAAUGUGAAUUUCUUUUGUAUCAAAUUUUGAAAAUUUUAAGAAUGUCAGUAAGAAUGAAUGUGGUGUUAAAAAACUUGUUUCUAGUCCUUGUGUCAGACAACAUUAUGGGUAAGGUUGGAAUAUGGUUGUAUAUCUAUCUUUUCCUUUUUUUGUUAAUCCAAUUUUUGGUUUAAUCCAGGGAGAAGAUAUGUUCAUUCUUACCAAAAUAUUAUGUCUUUUAAAAGUAACUGCUGAUCGUUCUAAAGUGUAAAUGAAUUCAGGAAAAUAUAAAUUCACAAUAAGAUCAAAAGAAAUUUAAUAAAUAAAAAUAUUAAAGUUAUAUAAAAAAUAAAAAAGAAUUAAAGGAAAAAUAUAGAAAAUAGAUUUGGGUAUUGGACGGGAUCAAUCUAAACCUAUCCCAAAGUGAUCCCGCCCAAGUUAGUCCCAAAAUAUAUAUGGGUAAGAUUAGACCCAAACCCAUAUGAUUCGGUUCUAUUUCGAAUUCAAGCAAAUCACGUCCAUCCCGCCCAUUUUGCCACCUCUACUAUUACGAACCAAAUAGUGAAAAACUUGGGUUUUUUUUUUAUGGAAAUGAAACAACUUUGGUGCGAAGGAAGCUCAAGGGCUCAUGCAUCAAAAACAGAAACUGUUUCGUUGAAGCCCUUUUGGAUAGUGGAUAUUGCCGGCUCAGGCCAUUGAAUUUGAAUUGAAGAAGGAUUGCAUCGUGAUAUAAAUAAUUAGAUUGUAAACGAAUUGAAUCGAAUACAAAAUCUAUUCCCAGAUUGAAUUCUGGAUAUUAAGUCACACAACAAGUAGGAAAAAAUAAUAAAGUUAAAAUUGCCAUGUAUUGCCAAUUUUUCAUGUAAAUCCGAACUUUUUUUCAGUUUUCAUAUAAUGUUUUUAAAAAUUGAAGCCAAAAUCACUAUAUGUACUCGAAUUGUUAAUUAGGCAUUUUAUGACUAAUUUGAUUUAGCAAGUGCUCUAAGUUUUACUCAUCGUUAGCUUAAUUUCUUAAGAUUAUACUCGAAUGCCCAAAUGCACGUAAUUAGAAUGGUAUCUUAUGUACAUAUUAUUAAAAUGAUGUCUUAUGAAAUUAUUGCAGGUAUCAUGCAACAAAAUUUUAUCAAGUCCUAAAAAUGAUGUGAGUUCUUGGAAAAUAUUUUAAAAAGAAAAAAUGCAUGCAUUAUUAUUUUGGUAGUCCACUUAUAUUAAUUGCAUGAGCAAUUGAAGGCAGUCCAAAAUUUUUUCAACAAUCUUUACAAGUGCAAAGUGUUCAUUGUUCACAAUAACAAACAAGGGUGAAACUAUAAAAACUAUUCUUCCUUGGAAAAAUGUGAAAUGUGGGCAAAGAUAUUAUGAAAAUAACACAAAAGACUCGAUGAUCAUAAAAUCAAAUGUUCAAAACAACAUAGAAUAGUUCAUGAUCUUUGUAUACUUUAUACAUAAAUGCAUAAUUAAUGAGUUUUCUAUUAAAUUCCAUAAACUGCAUGGAGGAUAUUAUCAGUUUCAUAUGAGAUUAACUUGGGGUCAACUGGUCAUGGGUAGACCAUGAGAUGCCCUAAAACAUGACAUGGAGAAGAGAAUCUGCAUAUUAAGUGGCUCUUAGAGUCUCUUGCUACUAAUACUCUUGUUUAUGCCUUGGCUAAAAAGCUUGAGCUGCAGGUUAAAUGGCCUUAAUUUUAAGUACUCUUGUAACUUAGCUUAAUUUUGAAUUUGGCCCUGAACAAAUAAUUCAACUCUUGAUUCGAGUUCGAACAAGAAAUAUGAUUUGAUUAAAGUAUCAAAUAAAAUUCGAGUUGAAUAUUCGACUCGUACAUAUUCAAUUGAUUAAAGUUCAAUGCAACUCAACUAAUUUUUUAUAUUUUUAAGUUUCUUAAUAUUUUUUAUAAAAUUAUGCAUUUCCUAUUUUAUUAUUAAAAAAUUAAAUAAAAUUCCAAGCUCCGAAUUGAGCUCGAGCCUAGUGAGUACUAAAUUGAAUCAAACUCAACCUUAAAUUUUAAACUCGUUUAGGAUUCGAAUUGAGCUUUCGUUUGAGUCCAAAAAUUCAAAUCAAGUCGAAAAAUUAGAAUUGGAAUCUGAGUCUAACAGCUAAGAAGUUCGAGUAAAUUCGUUUGCUGCCCUAGCUUUAUGGAUUUGAAAUCCACGAAAUACAAGUUGAAAAGCCAAACAAUUAAUCAAGAAACCAGAGCAUCAAAAACUAUUCAAAAGUUUCCUUUCCUUUCUUCCUCAAUCUCCAUCCCUUGACCAAGACAAAAAAGGUUUUCACUAGUAACGACAUACAAGAAAGGUCUAUCAAUCCUUUAAAGGGCUAAGGGAAAGAGGAAAUGAAACCCCAACUCAAGGGAAGAACAACAGGGACAAUAAUUACAAAAACCUUUACAACUAUACAAAAUUCCUGUAGAAUUGAGGGAUUAUUUCCUCACCUCAAAAUUAGGGAAUGCUUUCUCUAUAACAUGAGUUGGCACUAUGUACUGUUAUGAUUUUUCUUUGUGUAUGUCAAAUAUGGAUCCUGAGCAAUGGUCAAAACAUCUGGCCUCUCUGCCUGAUUAUAUGUAAGACAACGACGAAUAAAAUCCUGCAAAACAUAAAAGGAGUUGCUACUUCAGCAUACAGGACAAAGGUGAUGAAAGAAAAGUUUAGCGCAGUCUAUAUACCAGUAUUCUUCAGCUUUUUGUCAGCAAAUGUCCUUUAACCACAUGUUAACAUCAUUCAUCGCAGAAAAUCCAAAAACUAAAAUAAACAUUGUAAUAAAGAAUCCAAGCUAAACAAGGAAACAUCCUAAAGGUAUAAAUUUUGCACCUUUGCCAAGCAAAUAAUUUAGAAAUCCAUCAACAGUAUUGUUAUCAAUUUUCAUGAGAAUCAGCAAUGGCAGUUUUAUUUAUAAAUCAUCAUCAUAGUUUCUUCAUUUUUGACAUACCUAGCAAGUUUCUCUAUUUCGUUUUGUUCCUUCAUCAAUCAUUUCCAUAUUAUGACUUGCAAUAUGAGUAAAAGGAAGCAUGAACAUUAUGUCUGAGCCAGUCAGCCAGAUGUUAAUCUGUCUCAGAAACUGCUAUAAAACAUUGAUACAAAUGAGAUUUUCAAAUUUGCAGCACAUCUGGCUUGGAGAAUUGCCAGAGACGAGUGGGGGGUGGGGGUGGGGGAAUAGAUUGACAUGUUUGUAAAUGGACACCCUCGAUUGAAUUUCAUACAGAAUACUUCCGCUAACAGAAAGUAUAGACAUUGACGAGUCAAAACCCAUUUACUGAAAUAAAUUUUGAAGCACUUCAAUACCACACAAAAAUUGACUCCACUAUGUUGGAAACAAUAACCAUUAUGAAACAAACAAGAGGAUAUCAAGAAUAAACUCAGUAGCAUCCACAUGAUUGGCAUGCUUAUCCAUUACAGAUAAAUUAAAGAGAUAAUUGUUGAAACUUUUGUCAAAUAAGAUUUACACAAGUGAAAACACAUCAAAUUGUAAAGUAUAAGAAAGAUGAUCGAUUUCACACCCCACUUUUACUGUUAUCAAAUUGUGGUAAUAAACACUAGCAAUUAGUGCUGGUGAUGGUGAUAGUGGUGGUGGUGGUGGUCAUAGUAACAAUGAUAUAGUCUCUCCUACGCAGACUCUCUUAGAGAAUUUACCCUACAUAAGGAUGUCGAAGAUUAUCACCCCAAGAAACAUUAGCAAAGAAGUUUACACACAAAUGAUUAGUGAACCUGCCUUUGCCUCGUUCGACACAGCUGGCCUUGAAGGAAAAUCCACCUUCCGGGCUUUAAUGAUGGUAUCUUCGCGUAAAACAAACAAAACAGACAGAAUUCAACCAAGAUCAAUCUAGCAAACGUCCGUGAUCUAUCCCCCAUUCUAACAACAACUCCCAAUUUUCCUUACUACGAGGAGCUUUAGCCCAUAAGAGACAAGUCAAGUUGAACAAUUUUAACCACUGUUGAUUUAAUAAAAUUUGGAGUGAAGCCCUCCAACGUGUACAGGGCUUGUCUUUCCAAAAAAACAAAAAACAAAAAACAAAACCGCUGCUGCAACUACUUCCAUUAUCAGUAUUCUGUAUUCGAAAAUCAACAUUUAGUCUUUCCCAAAUUUAGUAUAUUUUAGUGCAUAAUUGAAAAAUUCUCUUGGCGCAAGUGGAAAAUUAUAGAUUUGCAAUCAAUUACAAAUUUUCCUCGAAAAUAGAUGCCCAGUGAUCAACUAUGGCGCUUCAUAGUUCACCUUUUCCAGUCUUAUACUUAGGAGUUGGUCUUAAUAGUGCAUUAAUUUUUUCAUAGUUAAUCAGAAUUUUCUAUGACAAAAAAAAGAAGAAGAUUCAUGAAGAAAAAUAAUCUAUUGGCUGUACUUUUUUUCGAUUUAGACAUCAAUAGUGCAAUGGCAAAAGGACUUUGUAGAUGAAGCUAGUUGAUGUAAUGAAUUUAUGAUGAUUUAAUUAACUAAAAAGGCAAUCAAUUCGGUCUACUAAAUGUCAUACUCAAGAGGUCAUCAUCUUUGUCAAAGGGUCUAUACAUUCCAUACAUUAGUAGUAAAAGUUAGUGGAUUUGUUAGUAUUGAUGACCAUGUUAGCCACUGAUUUCUAUUAAAUCAUGUCUUCAGCUUCUUAUAAGCUUCUCUAUACCCUACCUAAUCUCAUACCAUUUUACUUUCUCUUGGAUUAUGUGGAAUGCCUACUUGACUGCCUGCAAUGCCUAUAUUUUAAUGAUUCCGGUGCAUUUUCAAAAUCUUCAAUUUAUUUUGUAAAGUAUCGAAGUUCAGUUCACUAAUUGGCCAUAAAAACAGAUCAAUAGCAAAGUUGAAAUAUGCCACUUAUCCUGAGACUUUGCAGAAAGUUUGGAAUGUUAAUGUUGUCCCUUGUAAUCCGAAUUAUCCGAUUAUGUGAAACUGAAGUUGUUGAAGGGUGAGAUGAGUUUUUCACUUGUAUACAAGCUGUUUAAUGGGGUUUUCAAUAAAAAACUUUAUCAUUUGCUCCAAAAAAAAAAAAAAAAAAGAAGAAGAAGGGUGAGUUGAGGAAGCUGAAUGCUAAGCAAUAUAGUUCUAUUAGUGAUAGAAUAAACAGGUGUGUAUGGCCAGUUAUGUGAAGUGCAAUCCUUUUCCUUCAUUCACCUUUUGAUAUCUCUUUGCAAUUUCAAGAACAAUCUCAGAGUAGUUGUCUCAACUAGGAGGCGACCAGCUAGGAUUUAUGUUUACUUUACGGGCCAAAGAUACUGGCCUGGCCACGUCUUCUUCUUCUUGGUUUUUUUUUUAAUUCUUCUUAUAGAUCUUUCAGGCGAGUAAGCAACCUUUUGGGGAAAUAAUGUGGUAUAUUUGGACAUUGGGAUAAUUUAACAAAUCUCCUCUGAGUUUAUAACAAAUUCAUCAUAGCUCCCCUCAAAUUAUGACAUGACGCUUGUGUCUAUUAGCUAUUGAUUUCCAAGGCAAAUACUGAAGUUUACCUCUAUGUUUACCAUUGACACUUUCUAUACAAAGCGAUACAAAUUAUAUAUAAGAGAUUUGUGAAAAUGUUAUACUUCCGAGCUAUAACUCAUAAACAAAGGCAUUCGUAAAACCCUUUUGAUUCAAAUAUAUAGAUAUACUCAACUAUACACUUAACAAUUUAAUGUGUGCUAAAGUGAGUAGAAUAGGCUUUUGAAAAAAGUACUCAAAAGUAUGCUACUUCCAUCAUUACCUUCUAGCACGCAUUGUGCAAACUCUUUUCAAAUAGAAAAAAGGGAACGGAAAGGAGAUACAAAAAAGGGUUACAAAUUCUUUAAAAUAUGGCAAGGGUAAGCAUGGAAGUAACAUAUAACAUGAAACAAACAUGUUAAGGAAACCUUAAAUCAAGAGAGGUAACAGUAAGUUUGAAAACUUUGGUGCAGCUAAAUGAAGUCAAAAACCUAAAACAAGGUUGAUGGAAUUAUCCUUUGUAAACUUUAUGUGUCCGUGGCCAAGUGAAAAAAUACUGUUCAAAAUUCUUAUUUCUAUCGGAACCAUUUCGAGGAACUCCAAUUUGGAUGUCAAUACUAAAAGAAAUUUUCCCUAUGGUACAACUGAUUUUGAAAUUUACUAAUUAUUUAUAUUUUUUUUCGGAGACGACAACUGUUAUAUAAUCUAAUCUAUCCUACACUAAAGGGGAGGGGGCGGACCUAAAGAGGCCCAGGGGUAUAUAGGAAGCAAAUGCAUUGUAUAUAGGAAGCUGAAAACCAAACAAGACUUUAUUAUUAGGUUAUCAGUAUUAUUAGUCGUAUCCAAGUGUCAUCAUGUUUUUUUUAUUCAAGUGUCAUAACGUUAUUGAUAGUAUAAUUGGGUUGCAUGAUUAUGGUUGAAAGUGUGGACUAUGCGAUUAAACUCCGUCUUAGGUGAUAGGGUGUUAAUUGUUAGUAAUUUUAUUGUUAAUUUUCCCUUUUAUCCUUGUCAAAUAUUAUUUUAAUUAUUAAUAUUUACUUAUAUUUGGUAUUUGGACUCAAUUUCAGGGAAUGGAGCAGAAAACUACAAAAAAUGAAGGACUUUCUGAAAACAAUGGAGACUUCAAACAAUCGGGCCCACAUGGUGCCACAAACGGAUGGCAUUUCCUUUUUGCUGAUUAGGAGUUGAAGUCUUUGAUGGGCAACAGGAAACGAAAAGUAGAGAAAAAUUCGGCAGAGCCUUCUUUUUGUACUUGGACUCCCAAUUCGUUGGGGACCACAGAGAGCAUUAAGGAGUCAUACUUUUGCUUGGAAUAAAAAGAACGUACAGAGGCUAGGGAUAGUUUUUAGCAAUAGUUUAGUUUUCUUGCUUUUUCCUUUUCAUGCACGCCUACUGUUAUCAAUGGUUGUACCUUGGUUAUCAAUAAAUUAAAGAAAAAUUGGUCGUUAGAGUUCGUCGGCGACUAUAACUAGUCUAUUAAUAAAUUAAGUGAACCUCCCUUACAUCAAUGAUCGGGUAAGUGGACUAUGUUUGAAUAGUUGUAUUCUUGGUUAGAAUUUAUCUAUUCUUGAAUUAAUUCCUGUGUAUAUUUGUGUUAGUUAAUUAUUCGUUUUAUUUGAAUUGCUUAAUUAUUUGUAGUUUUAUUCUGAUGAAACACCCCUUUUACCAAUUGGAAUCUCAAAGAGACAAAUAUCCUCAAUUCCUGAGGAGACGUGUGAGAACCCGUAUUUUCCCUAAUAAUUUUCCUAGGGUUUUUCCCCUUUAAUGGCAUGUUUUUUGCAUUUUCUGGCUUAGAAAAUUUUCCUGGUGAAUUUUAUGAGUAAUUAUAGUUUUUAGAUGAUUUUUCUAGCAUUGGAUAGUUUUUGAAAAAUUACGGAUAUAUAACGGACGUGGGGCCCACUAGUGCGAAAAGUUCGGAAAAAUUCGGCCAAUAAGGUUAAGUUUCGGAUACUGAGUGAAAUUUAUCGGGUGUUAAGAGAUAAGUAUAGGAUGUGAUGUGAUUGAUGUGAGAGGAAAACAAAAGGAUAGAAAUGCAUUAAUGAAGUGACACUUGUCAUGUUGGGAUUGGUUUCACUUGUUGACAACUAUUCAUUUUUUUUGACUUUUCUUACCAAUUGAUUAAAUAUCUCAAAAAUCACAAAAAAAAUCACUCUUGUCUUCACCUUCUUGGCCGGCCACCUUGAGCUUAAGAAGGAAGAAAACUCUUCAAAAUCUUGGCUACCAUCUAGCUCAAAUCCUCCAAAACAAUUGCUUGAUCUUGUUUCUACUCCAUAAAAUCUCUCCAUUUGGUACUAGUAAGUGAUUUGGUGAAGUGUUUAAGGAAGCUAAGGUGUCCAACAACUCUCCCUCUCUUGUUUACUAGGUGAGUGGUGAUUGAACUUCCUCCUACACUUAAUGAAGCUUAAGUUGUGCUUAGUGGUAGCUAAAGUGCUGAAAUUUGUGGUUUAUUUCUUGGUUUGAGAUGAAAUGAUGAAGUUUUCAAUUUAAUGGUGUAUUUUCUGGUUUAAUGUGAUCAUGAUGUUGUGGUUAUCUAUGAUGGUUGGUAAUGAAGGGUAAUGACUCUAGUAGGUGUACAUGAUUGGUAAUUGCAAGCAAUUUUGGGUUUGGAAGGAAUUUGAGAAAGUUAGGGUUUUAUAUCCCCAAUUCUGUCCGAUUUUGUAUCUCAUGGUUAGAGGCCGAAUUGGCCUUGUCUUAAAACAUGAAAGUUGUAGGUAUUGAUGUGUUUGAGGUGCCUGUAAAAUUUCAGGUUCAUCGGAGUUGUGUAGAGUGAGAAAAGUCGAUUUUACUGUUGCUGUUCUGGGUUCUUCAGGAUGGCCGAACUGCGUCUGUAAUUGGUGGUUUUGGCUGGAAUUGCUUUGGAUUUGGUUGUUGAGGCCUUCUGAUGAAAUGUAGCUUGAUGUCUUAGCUACCGCAUGCCUUUGGUAUGAAUGAAUUUGGACUUGUAUAGACUGAGUUGGACUAAUUACAGCAUAGUGUAUUUUGUAAACCUGCAAUUAAGGUUCUGGUUUGGUAUUUUGCAUAUUUGACCUAGUUGUGCUAGGAAUUGGACUGAGUGACCUUCUACAUUGUUGUAGCCCUGUUUCUUAGCUUCGAAACGGUGGGUCUUACACCCUCAUCCGAUAAGCGUAGUGCAAUUUGUGCCAUUACCGCAAACUGAGGACAAAACUGUUUUUUUUUCAGGGCCAAGUUAGUUACAUUUCCUGAUUUUCUGGUUUGCUAUAAUGCUUAUAUAUGAAUAUGAAACCCUAUUGGGGUUGUGAUUGGCAUGGCUUUAUGACUCGUUAUCGAGUCUCAUUGUAUUUGUUUACGUGUUUUAGGACGUGACGAGGGUUCACGACGACCUUUUAACGACGGUGCAUGAAACAUCACCUACUUGAGUAGUGAGUAUACUACUCACUUGAAUGUUUAUAAUGUGGCUUUGCUAUAUGUGAUUGUGAUGCCUUGAAGGCUUGUUUGGCUAUUGGACAUGGUUAAGGUGAGGGUGUACUUGACCGCCCUCAUCCUUUUUAUCUUGUUAAUGACUGUUUACCGUUUCACUGUAAUACUGCACUUGCUAUAUGAGAUAUUGAAUUCCAUUCAUGGGAAACUGUUUGGGUGUCGGUUGGACGAGUAUCCAACGGCCCUACUGCAUUACUGAGCUCGACCCCGUUGGUAGUUACUUGAAUCGAGCCAGCGAGGGCUUGGUCGUGAAAAUUGACUAGCCACGGGGACUGAAAUGGGAAUCUUGUGGUAAUGAGACCCUUGGUUCCGGUGUACUCGAGUAUCACCUAAAGCUACUGCUUGGAGUGCGGGCCCGGUUGGGGUAUGUUGGGUGGAAGGAAUGGAAGUGAAGUGAGGUCUACGGUCGGGUAUUCUUAAACAUUGACGGAGGGUCAAUGAGGUUGGAUCAAGAAUGUAAGCGUGGAAAUGGGCUCUUGAGAGCCGUCCGUAUCCUUUUACCGACUUGUUUUAUUUCUUAAUUGCGUACUUGAGAUGAAAGUUAAGUGAUCUUUGUUGAUUAUGUGAUAGUUGCUCACUGAGCUUUAGCUCACUCCGUUCCAUUUGUUUUCCUUACAGGAAAAAUGACUAUUUUGGGAAAGGUUGUGCUAGUUGGUUGUCAAGUUGAGCUCAUGUAAAUGUAUAUUUUGAAUAGCUCCUUGAGGGUGAAAACCCUAAGUGUUUUGUUUCAACCAAUGGUUGGUUUGUAAUUGGCCAAUUGCACAUGUGUGAACUUGUUGGAUAUUUUGGUAUACCGCUUUGGCUUGUAAAUGUUAAAUUUCGAUGUAUAUAUGUUGGAUUGAUGUUUGGUUGAACUCCGGAUUCUGACAUGGCCGGUACUGUUCAUCAUCGGCUUCGAUUUUCAUAUUUUUUUUAUUUUGUGAUUUUGACUUGUUUGCGCGCGUUGGUGUGUUCCGGAAUGUAGUAGAUCGACGUAAACUGAUCCGUUAGUCCUGGCGAGAGCUGGGCAGGCAGUCCGCUAACCCCUUUGGUUCGCCUUAGGGGAAGGUGGGGCUGUUACAAGACGACCCUACUUGCCACUGUCUGCCAAUUAGUAAAUUUUGUCAAAUAAUUAAUUCUGGUAUAUCGGAUUAAGCAAACUCUUCGAGAACAGGGUGAAUCAAGUAACCCAUUGCACACCUAGAGUCUCUGCUCCAGUACUUAGAAUUGAUUAUUGACUACUUUUGACGGGCGUAGGGUAUACAUAUAACAUUAAGCUCAUCCUAAUCAAGUUUUACAUUUAUAAACUCCUAAAUACCCUACACGCGAUUUAUCGCAAGUAUACGAAUCGUGAGCGAGUAUAGGGUAUUAAAAGUCGAUCUCACAAGGAAGAUUGCAAUUACCGGCACUACUAAAGCUUCUCUAUUAUUUAGACUAUCAAUGAAUUAUAACAAAUUUAACCUACUGAACUUAUGCAAGAAAAUAACAAAUGAAAGCUCCUUAAGUUGUGGUAUCCCUAACUACUCAUGCAAGUGCUAUAUUUGGAUCAUUGAAUACUACUAUCUAGGCUAGUUAUGGUGUAAUUUCCUUAAACAUGUGAAACCUACUUUCGUAGUGAAUCAACUAUAUUCAUAACUAAUCCAUACAUAUUCUCAUGGUUAUGAAAUUAGCUACAAGUUCAUUUCUUCAAUGAAAUUAAUCACUAAAAUCACAUAGGUGCACCUCUACUCUCGUGAGCGUACUCCCUAUGUUUAGCACUUCUUAAACUAGUGUUAAAUCUCAAUUUUCAUUGCAGAAACAACACCUUAAAUAAUCACAAUCAAUGGUACCAGAUUAAUCAUGAUUUAAAGAGCCAAAGUACUAAAUAACUUGCUCAAAUCAUAGCAAUCAAAUAACCAAAUAAUAAAUACUAACAAUUAUAGAAAGUUCAACCAAACCCAAGGCAUAAACGUUAGAGACACAUAUUAAACACAAAAUCCAGAACUUGCAUAUCAACUAAACUUAGAAUCCAAUACAAAAGAUAAAGAGUUGGAAAAGAGAUAACCAUUGUCACAUGAGCUUCAACUCCUCCUUUUUCAUCUCCAUUUUCAUCCUAAUCUAGCUAAUAUACAAGAAUGGAAGAGCUAUACUAUUCUAAACUAAACUAUCCUACUACUCAGAAAGUGCAAGAGCUACAUCUCUGCACUCCAAGUUUCUCCUGUAUGUCUCUCUAUUCUCCCUUCAAUCUUGCAAGCUUUGGCUAUAUAAAGGUGAAAGUUGGUCAAGAAGUGAGGUUUACACCUCCCUUUUACAGCUGGGAAUGUUUCUCACAUGUCUAGCAUCACCUGUGACUUAGUGGAGGUGAAAUUGAGUUUCCCACGUAAAGAGCAGCCUUCUCUGACCACAAUCCGGCCAGAAAUCUGGCCAAGUUCCGGCCGGAUUGCUACAGUGACAUUUUGGUGCACUUUUGUUCAAUUUCCAGCUCUGCUCCAAUUUUGUGUCAAUUUCAACUGAACUUUUGUUGAUGAUAAAAGCUGAUUUAGCUCUUGAUCAACAUAAAACUUGUAGCCCUUUGAGUUAGCUUUCCAAUGCAUCAAGAAUCACCUCAUUUGGAUCUGUGUAGGCUGAGAAAUGACCGAAAUACCUUUGACUGCUCACUGCCCUAUUUCAGCUUCGACCAAUAGAAAUUAGCUACUGUAAUUCGGCUUUUUAACCUGGAAAACCUUCAAAAUAGAUUCAGAUGUCUUCACCAAAGUUGUAGAUCUAUCUCUUAUCUUCAAAUUGGUUUAAGAAUCAUCUCAAUCCGAUCAUUAUAGCUCAAGUUAUAGCCAAAAUACGAAAAUGUGUCAAAACUGUCAAAAUGCACAAAAUCCAAGUAAAAAGUGAUAAAAACCUCAUUUAAUUACUUAAAAGCAUUUUUCACCAAUUAUAGCCAAAAUGAAUCAUUUUCUUCCAAUAAUGUAACCAAAGUGACUAACAAUAAUAUAAAAUAUCAUACAAUUAUUACAUAAAUUAGUCACUUAUCAGCUUUUAUUGGCAAUUAGGUUUAUUUUUAUUAUUGCACAGGUUCGGCACCUGUCAUUAGGAGUACUGGUUUUGCUGUGGGAUUUUUCGUUUUCUUUGUCAGCUGCGUCAGCUGCAUGGUGCUUUAGAGCAUAAGCCUUUGUUUUGUAUCGAAACAUCACGGCCAAAAUUGCCAAAAGCAUAUCGAAACAUGAACACAAAAUGAAAGAUGUGAGGAAACUUUAAUGAAGAUAUGCCUUGAGAUUUAAACACCAAAGACAAAAGCUCAAAAAAUAUUAUCAACGGAUCAAAAUAAGAACUUGAUUAUUGGUAAAACACUCCAACAAGUUAAGUCGAACCAAGAUCAACAUAAUCAAUUAUUUGAUUUCAAGAGUCAUAACUUUUGCUUGUAAAGAACAAAUAAAGUUAAACAAUUUAUUGCUUUUUUCCCCCCAGUCAGCUGUGUACCUCAACAUUAUUUCACGUCAAAAACUUGUUUUUCCUCGGAUUAAAUACCCUAGCAUCUGAGGUUAUCACCAGUCUCGACACCCAAUUGUCUACAAUAUUCAGUAUAAUACUCAACUCGAGCACUAACUGUGUUUGGAUUUGCACCAUCACAUUCAAGCCGACCAUUAAUGGCACGAAUUGUAGCCCCAAAACCCUGGCCAGAAGUGAUAAGAUCAUGACAAUGGUUCAUCCAAUACCACAAGCCAGUUUUGAAUGAAAUAACAUUAUUUGUAGCUACAGUUUCAGGUUGGCUGAGUCCAUUGAAUCCAAUGCUUUCACCUGCUGGUCCAUAGUUAGAGUUCCAUGAUAACUGUAUUGGACCCCUGCCGUAAUAUCCCUUGCCUGGCACACAUGGAUACUGAGUGUUGCUCUCAUCACAGUAAUCUCUGGAGGGGCCGUCUAUCUCUUCUAUGUAGCACAAAUCUGCGCAAUAUAAAGAAAUUUUGUCACUCAAUUGAAAUGAUUGAUAAAGGGUUAGAAUCAAAGAAAAUCAGGAGGUCUGGAAUUUUUUGUAAAUUUUUAGAUUUGAUUGUUUUACUAAUGAAUUCAAUUGGUGAGAAAAGACUUUAUCCCAUUUUGUAAAAAUUGGGUUGGACAGACCUAAAGUAAACACUCUUUUUAUGAGGUAAAAUUUUAGAAUGAUUUAACAUUAUAGGGUUAUACGAUAGAUAAAUAAAAAUUGGCAAUAGCAAGAUUAAGAAGGGACCAACAGUGAUAUAAAAAUUACAAAGGUAUCAUGGACGUCUAAAAUAUAUUUGGCUAAUAAAUUUGAACUAAUUUACGGCCAAAUUUAGGUGAAAUAGUUAAUUCUACUUGGUAAAUUGGAAGUUCGGAAACGUGUAUCUGUCAGUUGUCAUACUCAUGAGCGAGCCAAUCUUAACUUAAAAAAGAAAAAGAAAAAAAGAAAAAGAAAAAAGGAAUCCAAAAGAUAAAAGUAGAAAAGGCAUGAAUUUUAAAACGUAAUCGUAAUACCUUGUACCCGAAACAAAUAUGUGCAAUACUUAUUAAGCUAAGCAAAGCCACAUGAUCUACUCUUAGAUGCAGCAAAAUAUACAACCACCUUAAGCUUGGAAUGUAAAGGCAGAAAAACUUGCUUAUGUAGAUAUAAAAGUGACCACUACAAGAAAAGUAAAAAGAAUAUGGAGAUAAUAAUCCUUCUGUUCAUCAUGAUAAAUUAUUUAACAGUAAUAAAUCUUUCAUAUUCAAGUUUUAUUUUUUGAAGAAAAAAUUCUUGGAUAAUAGUGCACAGGAGAUUCCAAGAUAUACUAUCUAGAAAUUCACAGGAGCUACUAAAAAAGUAGAAAAUAUCUUCAAAAUUUAAUUUCCAAGCUAGUGUUAUUCAAAACUUACGUCCAGUCUCAUGAGUGACAUGAGCAAAGAAAGCAGCAAUCUCCCUUUUAGAAUCAUCAACAGAACCAGCGGUUCCAAACUGGGGAUACGAGUUCAGAGCUUCAAGAAAAGCUGAUCGAGUAUAGAACCCUUUUCCAGCACAGCUUGAAGCAGCUUGAUCAGCAAUCCCAUUAAAGAAAGCGUCCGUCACAAUAUCAGCAACUGAAACGCCACUAUUACCACUGCUCGGAGCAGCGGUGCAAGGGCCGGAUUGACAGCCAGAGCCGCAGUAGUCGUUGCCGGUACCGCAAUAGCCGAAUUUGCUGCAGCACAAGUCUGGUGCACAGCCGCAGUUUUGGCUUGAAAUCAGCUGUGGAAAGGCUCCUACAAGAACUACAAUGGAGAAAAUGAUGGUUGGAAAACUCUUCAUUUUUGGAUUUGAUAAAGGAGAGAAGCUUGUGGGCAGCAGUUGUAUCAGAAAAAAGGGUAUAUGUAGGGAAGAGAACUGAAAACUGAUCAGCUUGUGUGAAGCAUGCACAGCUGCUAUUGUUGAAAAUAUUGAAUUUGAGCAAUUAAAGAAAACAGAACAGAAGACGAAAGCGUGAAUGGUUGACUUCUAUCGAGAGUAUUGACUUUGACAUUGUCAAUGAAGCGGAAACUUUCUUUCUUGGCUUCUAGAAUGGGAAAGGUCAAAAAGAAAGAUUUUGGCCAAUUCGUAUGAACAAUUGUGAGAAUAAGGCAUGUAGACUCACAAGUCCCCACUAGAAUGUGUGCAAAAAUAUAAUUUGAAGUUGCCUAAAUCAUUUAAUUUCAUGCUUGUUAUUGAGUUUAUUUGCCUAACUGUGUUUUAGUAAUACUUCAAAAUUGUGUUUGAGUUAGAACGGAAAAAAAUAUGAGACAUUUUUUUUUUAAUUGCAAUUCCAGAAAUAAAAUCUUAUAAAACAUGUAUUAGAAAAAUUUUGAGGGUAAAUGAUAUGAAAAAAAAAAAGAAGAAAUAGUUCUAUAAAUUGACAUAAGUGUUCAUCGGCUUUUGGAAAAAUUAAGAAAGAAUAAAGCAGCCGACAUAUCUAUCAUGCAUAACAACAUUAUGUGGCUUUUGUUAGUACACGCUAUGACCAUAUAUGUUUCAUUUGAGAUGCUUGUCGGACGUGUUGAAUUGUUGGCAAUGAAAUGCUCCAAAAUGUCAGCACUAUAGUUUAUAAAUAGUAUUAGGUCAUAGUGAAUUAUCGACAUAUCGUUACAUGCAGAGUCGUGAAAAUAUACAAGUCUUUCCCUAUCAUUAAUUAGUUGGUCAAAUGACAAUUUUAGAGUGGCUGCUGACUAUGUCAAGAAACAUCUUGCAGUAAAUUGGGCGAUUUAAUGUACUUUUCUUUUUCUAAAUAUUUGCACUUAAACUCUCAAAUCGACCAUAGUUUUAACUAAUUUUGCUCUGGCUUUAUUCUUGAUUCGCAAAAUUCAGAAAAACCAAAACAAACCCUUGUUACUGAAGAUAUCAAAAUGGUAACCCAACUAAGUAAUUGAUUUUGAAAAACAUUCUGAACCAAAUUUCAAGUUUUGGUUUCUUUGCUCUUUUUCUACUGAAAGGCAACUUCCCCGGGCCAAGAAAUUGAAACAAAUAGUACGAUGCUUAAGUUUUCUAUGCUCUUAUGAUCAAGUCAAACCAUGCUUAUAAUCAAUUACAUAAAAAAUUACGGGCAAUUUCGUCAUUAUUUGGGAGGAGGAGGAAUAUUAAGCAAAAAAAAAAGUUCUAUUAAGAAAACGAUUAAGCAUAUUAUUUUCCAGGAAUAAAAAAGAACGAGCAGAGAAAUACAUUAGUUUGGAUGACAUUACAACAUUUAGCAACAUGAUUAGGGAUGCAAUGGGAUGGGUGCCAAUUGGGAAUCAAUGGGAUGGGAGAAAAUGCAGGAGGGGAUGGAGGGAUUGAAGAAUAUUUCUCCUCCAACAUUAAAUGGAUACCUCCAUCCCAUCCCCUAAAACCCCUUGUUGCUAUUCCUAAACAGGAUGCUACUUAUAUCCUCUCUCUAUGAGCAUGUGUGGCUAGUGAGGAAUGCAGGAUUUUGAUUUUGGCGGGGGGAGGGUGGGGCAAAUUGACAAUCAAGAAACAAUAGAAAAAAAACCUUAGCAAAUAAAGCACACAAACUUAAAAUGAAAGUUUAAUAUACGAUAAAUAAAAUAUAAAUAUUUUUAAUAAUAAAAUACACCAUAUAAAUAAAAUGAUAGAGCAAUAAUUGGGCACCAUAAGUGCUGUUAUUUGGUCAUAAUGUUGGCUACUUAUCAUGCUAAGUAGUGCAGCUUUGCUCAUAUUUGAUAUUUGUGUAAAUUACAGGCGGUUGGUGUUGAAACUGAUCUCUCGAGGCAAAUUUUCAGAAGACUUUUUAUUUCAGAGCGUGCCGACGCCAGAAACUAUAGAGAGACUCCUCAAAGGUGGACCGCGGGACUAAUUAACUAAACUUACCUUUAUUCCUGCUUGACGCUGCUGGAAGUGCGUUAAAACAAAAAGGCAAUAAUUUCCAGCGAAUUGGGUAACAACCAAUAAGGAGGAAAAUUAGGGGCACUAGCCUACAAAGCCGGACCCCGCGAGACUGGUAGACAAAGUGGGGAAUUAGGAAGUCUUCAAAGCGGCUAUUUUCUCGUGGGCUGCAGAGGUGAAAAGGACAAGUAGUUUGAGUCUUGCAGAGAGCUUUUGAGUUCUCUUACGUUUUGUCUUGCGGUAGCCACCCGGGGGAGGAUUGAAAAAGCCAUAUUCACGUGGGAUUAGGAGAUUAGCUUUAGUUUCUUGUAUCCCUGGGUAGACGAUCUGCUCUCUGCUUUGCUUUUGGCGACUUUCUUUAGACCUUUUUCUUUACUUUUCUCCGGCACGAACACGGAACCAAAAAAGAAGCAAGACUUUUCGUUUGUCUCGUCGUUAUUUCAUCUUUCCCAACUUUUUGGUAAUUAAGUGGAUGGAAUCAAUCAAAUCACGCGAGAUUGAUGUGAUGAGGAGUGGCUAGGUUUCUCUGCUACCCAAAGGUCGACGCGAAGGCGCGGUCCAUAACAUCUGUGAGAUCUAAUCGAACUUUCACUAUUUCUUCCAAUCCGUUACUAUUCGUGCGUUUUCUGGAUUAACUGUUUAUGAUUAUUUUAUUAAUUGAGUAUCAACAGCCGGAUAUUUAAUUUAAUCUAAUAGCCUACUGUCACGUUAACUAAAUUGAAUCCGUAAUUAUUCGUUUAGUUGAUAAUUAGUGACAACCAUCAUAAUUGGCUUUAUGUUGGGAAAAACGUAAGAUCUAAUUUAGAUAAACCCUCUUAUAGCGUGUUUAUUGGUUAGGGUUGGAUUUUUCUAGCGUUAAUGCAACUGAAUAAUUAAAUUCCUACGGUCGUAUCUAGGGUUAUUUUCUGGUUAGAGAAACAGUCAACGGUCGUACCUUGGCUAUCGAAAAAGUAAGAAAAAACUAGCAGUCAGAGCUUGUUGAUCGCUAUAACCAACCUAGUGACGAAUGAGUGAAAUAUCUUUGCAUCGAUGAUCAUUUAAUUGGACCGUGCCUGAAAAGUUGAUCCUUUGGAUAGAAUUUUGCUAAUUGCUAUUUUCAGUGAAUUGUACUUGGCGAGUUAGCUUUUGAAUUUUGUUUAUUUUAUUUUCAUUUUCAUUCCAUUAAAUAUCCCCCAAUUUUGUUCUAUUGACUUGGAAAGAAACAACUUCUUACCCGUUACUUGUGGAAUCGACCCUACUUGCCAUUUUCAGAAACAACUUCUUAAAUUUUAAUCCUUAUGAAACCCAGCUUCUCUCUCAAUUUUCAGAGGUUUCUUUUCCUUCAUCAUGUCAAAGUUGCUAUUAUAAUCACUGUAAUUAGACAGCUAAACCUGUCAUUCCAAUUAUACCCUUGGUCCGCCGUGGGAAAUACAUAAAAUGUGGUAGCGCUGCCCAAUAAGUCCCACAUUGGACCAUAUAAAAUUGUUUAAGGACUAAAUUGGUAAAAAAAAUCGUAAAUGAUGAAAUUGAUUUAAGUGAAAAAGUUCAAGGACCAAAUUGGCAAUUUUUCCUUAUUAUGAUUAUGAUUAUGAUUAUUAUUAUUAUUAUUAUUAUUAGUCUGAGAUGCCGAACAAGUUGUGGAGACUUAUUUCACCUUUACAAGGUCAUUGGAGGGCUUGACGAGGUGCGAUGUGGUAAGGAAAGGCACAAAAAACUCUUUUUUCUUUAUUAAAAAACAUACAAAUUGCACUAAUAAUGGCUGAAAAUGCAUCCAACAUGCAAUAGUGAAAAAUCGUUAGAUGCAAGAUAUAUAAAAGUUAACAAAAAUUAUCUUAGUACCUCUGAUAUAUUCCAAAUUCAGAUAAAUCAUCUGCCCCCAAUGAAUAUAUGUGCAUAUCAUCAUUGUCAAAAAAUAUUUAUGCAUAUCAUUGCCGUUAGAUUUUAUAUUGAAGUGGUUAAAGCUCCAAAUCUAGUAGAGAAGAAAUUCAACACUUGAGAAAAUAAGUUAAGAAAUUCAAGAUUUGACAUACAAAUCUGAAAAGCUCUCAAAUCUAACAAAACAAGAUAUAAAAUUAUCUGAAUAAAACUCUCACUAGAAUAUCUUAGUAGAGAAGAAAAUUCUCACUAGAUAGUCUCACUAUACUUUAUUAGACAUAAAAAAAAAAAAAAGAGAAGUCAAACAGAGGGAGGAAGGCAAUCCUCCAUGGAGGAAAUAAUAAUUGUCUUGAAGGUUGUGUAGAGAGAUGGUGGAGAAACUUCUUUUGUUUUAUCUAUUGGUUAUCUUUCUAAUUGCUAGUUAACGAACAAUAAACUCUAAAUGAAACUACUAAAUUUGCAACCGAAGACAUUUUUGGGCUUGUAUCUUAGUAUCGUAAUCGUCACCCAAUUAGAGCCGCCCAUGACGGCUUCAUUAAAUAUAUAAUUUGGGGGAACCAGGAUUUAAGGCCAAAUUUCGGCAACCUUCAAGGCACUUCAUUGUUUUCUCACAAAUUUUGUUUAUUUAUUGUAAAAGAUUAACUUUAAAGUGUCCUCAAAUUUCUUCCCUAUCUUCUCUCAAACUUUACCAGUGAAAAUUGUUUGUCUUCGGGUUCGUUUGUUUCGGGUGAAAAUGUUUUCCAGAAAAAGUAUUUUCCUAAUUUCCCGUGUUUGAUUGCACAAAAGUUACUGAAAACAUUUUACAUAAAUUUUCACUCAUCUUAUGGAAAACAACUUCCCUUCCAAACUUACUGAAGUUGUUUUCCGAAAUGCAUGCAUCCCGCCUGUAGUAUGUUCCAAACUUACUGAAACCAUCUUGUAGUAUGUUCUUUUUUUUUUUUAGUGUAAACAGGAGGACUCGAACCAAGACCUCUUCCUUACACUCCCUCCCCCGUACCAUCCAACCCAACCCAACCCUCCCCCUAGUAUAUUCAAAAUAAAAAAAAACCUCAUCCUACUCAUCCUAUUCUAGUAAUUAAUUAUGUAUAAUAGGGACAUUCUUUUCUAGAGAAACUUUCAGCAAUGAUAGUGCAAGAUAUAUGUCACAAUAAGCAUUGCAUGUGAUUGAUAUUUGACACUAAAUGGCCAGCAAUUUGUUUAUUGCUUAAGGAGAUAUUUUUUAUUCAUAUAUACAUUUCUCCAAGAUUUUUUAAAGUUAAACAAUGAGAUAAAUUUUCUUAUUUUGCAUGGGAAGAAGUAUGUAGUUAUAAUGUGUAGAAAGUAAAGAUAGAGAUAAAAGUGAAAAUAUUUCAAAAGUUAAACAAACACCAAAAAAAUGAAGUAAGAAAAUAUUUUCAAUAAACUAACCAAACACCUGAAAAUGAUGAAAGAGAAAUGAUUUUCAUGGAAAAUUACUUCCACGGAAAAUAUUUUCCCAAGAAAAACAUUUUACUUCCAACCAAACAGACCCUUCAUCUCGUUGAUUGUCUCCCCCAGUGCAUACAAAUGUAUUAUGGGCAUUUUGGUGAAAGAAAGGCAUAAACUGAGUUCUGCACAACUAAAUUUUGCCAAUAGCAUAUGAAAAUAUGAAGAAGAAUAAUAAUAAAUGAAGGGUCUGUCUAAUAAGUAUUCAUAGGGAACCAUUGAAAUAUAUCUCAAGUGUCAUGUUUUUGGAAAUGUAAAAUUAAUAGAAAAAAUAAAUAAAUACAAGAGAGAGUAGAUAAAAUUAAAUAAGAAAAGUUAAUAAUUGUUAAUAGAUAUAUAUACAUAAUAGAUUAGAUGAACGUUAAAUAUGUUAACAAGUACCUUAUUAGCACCCGUUAAAAAAAGCUAUAAAUGAAAGAUGUGAUCACCAAAUCAUUGACAAAGAAAUGUGUUGAAAAUGAAACAAGAAAGUCAAACAUGAUAAGGGAUCAAAAAUGGAAUUUAAUAAUUGCAGAUACUCCAAGAAGUUGAGUUGAAAUCAGUUAUCCGAUUUCAAAUUCACAACUUCUGCUGUCAAAGAACUACAAAGGGACUCAACUUCUGCUAAUUUAUAUUAGUUUCGAAACUCUUACAAGUACCCUAGCAUCUGAGAUUAUCACCGGGAUCAACACCCAACUGGUUACAAUAUUCAGCAUAAUACUCAACACGAGCACUAACAGUGUCCGGAUUUGCACCAUCACAUUCAAGCUGUCCGUUAACGGCACGAAUUGUAGCCCCAAAACCCUGGCCAGAAGUGAUAAGAUCAUGACAAUUGUUCAUCCAGAACCACAAGGCAGUUUUGAAUGAAAUAACAUUAUCUGUGGCCACAGUUUCAGGUUCAGUUAGUCCAUCGAACCCUAUGCUUUCACCUGCUGGUCCAUAGUUAAAGUUCCAAGAUAUUUGUAUUGGACCCCUGCCGUAAUAUCCCUUGCCUGGCACACAAGGGUACUGAGUGUUGCGCUCAUCACAAUAGUCUUUGGAAGGGCCGUCUAUCUCUUCUAUAUAGCACAUAUCUGCACAAUAUAGAGAAGUCUGUAUCAAUUAUCACUGCAUUCAAUUGCUUAUAUGAAAGCCACUCAUUGAUACAUUAUGGAUUUUAGAUAUUUUUACUAUUAAAAAACCUAUAAUCUAAAUACAAAAUAAAUGAGAACAUAAAAAAAAUUAAUUAUUUAAAAUCAGAAUCUAUAGUCAGUUAUAAUAAUCAAUCAAGAACAACCCCAAAAAAUGUCAUCAAUAUUUAAGAAGGGACCAUAUGUGAUAAAGAAAUUAUAAAGUUAUAAGUAAUCACAGACUAAAUAAAUAACCAAUACAACAAAGUAGAAAAAAUUAACGUCAAAGUGGGACGGAGGGAGUAUAUGUUUUUCUUGGUAUCCUAGCAAUAUGAUAGUUGGAGCAAUAACCAUUGUCAAAUUUUGGUGUUUGAUUGUUGCUCUCAUGCUUGAGGGCAAGCAUGGUUCAGGUGUGAGGAGAAUUGAUAGGGUGUUAAUUGUUAGUAAUUUUAUUGUUAAUUUUCCCUUUUAUCCUUGCCAAAUAUUGUUUUAAUUAUUAAUAUUUACUUAUAUUUGGUAUUUGGACUCAAUUUCAGGGAAUAGAGUAGAAAACUACAAAAAAGGAGGGACUUUAUGGAGACAAUGGAGACUUCAAACAACCGGGGCCACAUGGUGCCACAAACGGAUGGCAUUUCCUUUUUACUGAUUAGGAGUUGAAGUCUUUGAUGGGCAACAGGAAACGAAAAGUAGAGAAAAAUUCGGCAGAGCUUUCUUUUUGUACUUGGACUCCCAAUUCGUUGGGGACCACAGAGAGCAUUAAGGAGUCAUACUUUUGCUUGGAAUAAAAAGAACGUAUAGAGGCUAGGGAUAGUUUUUAGCAAUAGUUUAGUUUUCUUCCUUUUUCCUUUUCAUGCAUGCCUACUGUUCGACAAAAGUCCCAACUGGAGAAAUAUCUUUCACCUCUUGAUUAUUUAGUGAAAAACCCGAUGCCUUUGCAAUCAAUUAAUUUGCGUGGAAAUUUAUUUAUGCGGCGUGGCUAAACUUUUCAUCUAGUCAAGGAUCAACUCGACGGCGCAGUCCCGAAUAUCUGUGAGAUCUAAUUAGUUUUCACGCGUUCUUAAUUUGUUAAUAAUUGCGCGUUGUCUAUUCGAAUUUCCAUGGGAUUAUUUUGUUAAUUGGAUGUCAAGGGAUCGAUGUUCAAUGUGACUUAUUAAUCUCCUGCCAAAUUAGUCAAUUAAAUCCAUAAUUGUUUGAUUGGUUAAUAUUAGUGGCAACUGGCGUGUUUACACACCAGGGGAACGUGCAAUCUAAUUUAAAUAACCCUCGUAGCGUGUUAUUGAUUGGGGUUAGGUUUUUCUAGUUAUUAAUGCAAUUGAAAAAUUAAUUCCUACGGUCGUACCUAGGAGUAUUUUCUGGUUAGGGGUAAUCAAUGGUUGUACCUUGGUUAUCAAUAAAUUAAAGAAAAAUUGGUCGUUAGAGUUCGUCGGCGACUAUAACUAGUCUAUUAAUAAAUUAAGUGAACCUCCCUUACAUCAAUGAUCGGGUAAGUGGACUAUGUUUGAAUAGUUGUAUUCUUGGUUAGAAUUUAUCUAUUCUUGAAUUAAUUCCUGUGUAUAUUCGUGUUAGUUAAUUAUUCGUUUUAUUUGAAUUGCUUAAUUAUUUGUAGUUUUAUUCUGAUGAAACACCCAUUUUACCAAUUGGAAUCUCAAAGAGACAAAUAUCCUCAAUUCCUGAGGAGACGUGUGAGAACCCGUAUUUUCCCUAAUAAUUUUCCUAGGGUUUUUCCCCUUUAAUGGCAUGUUUUCUGCAUUUUCUGGCUUAGAAAAUUUUCCUGGUGAAUUUUAUGAGUAAUUAUAGUUUUUAGAUGAUUUUUCUAGCAUUGGAUAGUUUUUGAAAAAUUACGGAUAUAUAACGGACGUGGGGCCCACUAGUGCGAAAAGUUCGGAAAAAUUCGGUCAAUAAGGUUAAGUUCCGGAUACUGAGUGAAAUUUAUCGGGUGUUAAGAGAUAAGUAUAGGAUGUGAUGUGAUUGAUGUGAGAGGAAAACAAAAGGAUAGAAAUGCAUUAAUGAAGUGACACUUGUCAUGUUGGGAUUGGUUUCACUUGUUGACAACUAUUCAUUUUUUUUGACUUUUCUUACCAAUUGAUUAAAUAUCUCAAAAAUCACAAAAAAAUUCACUCUUGUCUUCACCUUCUUGGCCGGCCACCUUGAGCUUAAGAAGGAAGAAAACUCUUCAAAAUCUUGGCUACCAUCUAGCUCAAAUCCUCCAAAACAAUUGCUUGAUCUUGUUUCUACUCCAUAAAAUCUCUCCAUUUGGUACUAGUAAGUGAUUUGGUGAAGUGUUUAAGGAAGCUAAGGUGUCCAACAACUCUCCCUCUCUUGUUUACUAGGUGAGUGGUGAUUGAACUUCCUCCUACACUUAAUGAAGCUUAAGUUGUGCUUAGUGGUAGCUAAAGUGCUGAAAUUUGUGGUUUAUUUCUUGGUUUGAGAUGAAAUGAUGAAGUUUUCAAUUUAAUGGUGUAUUUUCUGGUUUAAUGUGAUCAUGAUGUUGUGGUUAUCUAUGAUGGUUGGUAAUGAAGGGUAAUGACUCUAGUAGGUGUACAUGAUUGGUAAUUGCAAGCAAUUUUGGGUUUGGAAGGAAUUUGAGAAAGUUAGGGUUUUAUAUCCCCAAUUCUGUCCGAUUUUGUAUCUCAUGGUUAGAGGCCGAAUUGGCCUUGUCUUAAAACAUGAAAGUUGUAGGUAUUGAUGUGUUUGAGGUGCCUGUAAAAUUUCAGGUUCAUCGGAGUUGUGUAGAGUGAGAAAAGUCGAUUUUACUGUUGCUGUUCUGGGUUCUUCAGGAUGGCCGAACUGCGUCUGUAAUUGGUGGUUUUGGCUGGAAUUGCUUUGGAUUUGGUUGUUGAGGCCUUCUGAUGAAAUGUAGCUUGAUGUCUUAGCUACCGCAUGCCUUUGGUAUGAAUGAAUUUGGACUUGUAUAGACUGAGUUGGACUAAUUACAGCAUAGUGUAUUUUGUAAACCUGCAAUUAAGGUUCUGGUUUGGUAUUUUGCAUAUUUGACCUAGUUGUGCUAGGAAUUGGACUGAGUGACCUUCUACAUUGUUGUAGCCCUGUUUCUUAGCUUCGAAACGGUGGGUCUUACACCCUCAUCCGAUAAGCGUAGUGCAAUUUGUGCCAUUACCGCAAACUGAGGACAAAACUGUUUUUUUUUCAGGGCCAAGUUAGUUACAUUUCCUGAUUUUCUGGUUUGCUAUAAUGCUUAUAUAUGAAUAUGAAACCCUAUUGGGGUUGUGAUUGGCAUGGCUUUAUGACUCGUUAUCGAGUCUCAUUGUAUUUGUUUACGUGUUUUAGGACGUGACGAGGGUUCACGACGACCUUUUAACGACGGUGCAUGAAACAUCACCUACUUGAGUAGUGAGUAUACUACUCACUUGAAUGUUUAUAAUGUGGCUUUGCUAUAUGUGAUUGUGAUGCCUUGAAGGCUUGUUUGGCUAUUGGACAUGGUUAAGGUGAGGGUGUACUUGACCGCCCUCAUCCUUUUUAUCUUGUUAAUGACUGUUUACCGUUUCACUGUAAUACUGCACUUGCUAUAUGAGAUAUUGAAUUCCAUUCAUGGGAAACUGUUUGGGUGUCGGUUGGACGAGUAUCCAACGGCCCUACUGCAUUACUGAGCUCGACCCCGUUGGUAGUUACUUGAAUCGAGCCAGCGAGGGCUUGGUCGUGAAAAUUGACUAGCCACGGGGACUGAAAUGGGAAUCUUGUGGUAAUGAGACCCUUGGUUCCGGUGUACUCGAGUAUCACCUAAAGCUACUGCUUGGAGUGCGGGCCCGGUUGGGGUAUGUUGGGUGGAAGGAAUGGAAGUGAAGUGAGGUCUACGGUCGGGUAUUCUUAAACAUUGACGGAGGGUCAAUGAGGUUGGAUCAAGAAUGUAAGCGUGGAAAUGGGCUCUUGAGAGCCGUCCGUAUCCUUUUACCGACUUGUUUUAUUUCUUAAUUGCGUACUUGAGAUGAAAGUUAAGUGAUCUUUGUUGAUUAUGUGAUAGUUGCUCACUGAGCUUUAGCUCACUCCGUUCCAUUUGUUUUCCUUACAGGAAAAAUGACUAUUUUGGGAAAGGUUGUGCUAGUUGGUUGUCAAGUUGAGCUCAUGUAAAUGUAUAUUUUGAAUAGCUCCUUGAGGGUGAAAACCCUAAGUGUUUUGUUUCAACCAAUGGUUGGUUUGUAAUUGGCCAAUUGCACAUGUGUGAACUUGUUGGAUAUUUUGGUAUACCGCUUUGGCUUGUAAAUGUUAAAUUUCGAUGUAUAUAUGUUGGAUUGAUGUUUGGUUGAACUCCGGAUUCUGACAUGGCCGGUACUGUUCAUCAUCGGCUUCGAUUUUCAUAUUUUUUUUAUUUUGUGAUUUUGACUUGUUUGCGCGCGUUGGUGUGUUCCGGAACGUAGUAGAUCGACGUAAACUGAUCCGUUAGUCCUGGCGAGAGCUGGGCAGCCAGUCCGCUAACCCCUUUGGUUCGCCUUAGGGGAAGGUGGGGCUGUUACAAGACGACCCUACUUGCCACUGUCUGCCAAUUAGUAAAUUUUGUCAAAUAAUUAAUUCUGGUAUAUCGGAUUAAGCAAACUCUUCGAGAACAGGGUGAAUCAAGUAACCCAUUGCACACCUAGAGUCCCUGCUCCAGUACUUAGAAUUGAUUAUCGACUACUUUUGACGGGCGUAGGGUAUACAUAUAACAUUAAGCUCAUCCUAAUCAAGUUUUACAUUUAUAAACUCCUAAAUACCCUACACGCGAUUUAUCGCAAGUAUACGAAUCGUGAGCGAGUAUAGGGUAUUAAAAGUCGAUCUCACAAUGAAGAUUGCAAUUACCGGCACUACUAAAGCUUCUCUAUUAUUUAGACUAUCAAUGAAUUAUAACAAAUUUAACCUACUGAACUUAUGCAAGAAAAUAACAAAUGAAAGCUCCUUAAGUUGUGGUAUCCCUAACUACUCAUGCAAGUGCUAUAUUUGGAUCAUUGAAUACUACUAUCUAGGCUAGUUAUGGUGUAAUUUCCUUAAACAUGUGAAACCUACUUUCGUAGUGAAUCAACUAUAUUCAUAACUAAUCCAUACAUAUUCUCAUGGUUAUGAAAUUAGCUACAAGUUCAUUUCUUCAAUGAAAUUAAUCACUAAAAUCACAUAGGUGCACCUCUACUCUCGUGAGCGUACUCCCUAUGUUUAGCACUUCUUAAACUAGUGUUAAAUCUCAAUUUUCAUUGCAGAAACAACACCUUAAAUAAUCACAAUCAAUGGUACCAGAUUAAUCAUGAUUUAAAGAGCCAAAGUACUAAAUAACUUGCUCAAAUCAUAGCAAUCAAAUAACCAAAUAAUAAAUACUAACAAUUAUAGAAAGUUCAACCAAACCCAAGGCAUAAACGUUAGAGACACAUAUUAAACACAAAAUCCAGAACUUGCAUAUCAACUAAACUUAGAAUCCAAUACAAAAGAUAAAGAGUUGGAAAAGAGAUAACCAUUGUCACAUGAGCUUCAACUCCUCCUUUUUCAUCUCCAUUUUCAUCCUAAUCUAGCUAAUAUACAAGAAUGGAAGAGCUAUACUAUUCUAAACUAAACUAUCCUACUACUCAGAAAGUGCAAGAGCUACAUCUCUGCACUCCAAGUUUCUCCUGUAUGUCUCUCUAUUCUCCCUUCAAUCUUGCAAGCUUUGGCUAUAUAAAGGUGAAAGUUGGUCAAGAAGUGAGGUUUACACCUCCCUUUUACAGCUGGGAAUGUUUCUCACAUGUCUAGCAUCACCUGUGACUUAGUGGAGGUGAAAUUGAGUUUCCCACGUAAAGAGCAGCCUUCUCUGACCACAAUCCGGCCAGAAAUCUGGCCAAGUUCCGGCCGGAUUGCUACAGUGACAUUUUGGUGCACUUUUGUUCAAUUUCCAGCUCUGCUCCAAUUUUGUGUCAAUUUCAACUGAACUUUUGUUGAUGAUAAAAGCUGAUUUAGCUCUUGAUCAACAUAAAACUUGUAGCCCUUUGAGUUAGCUUUCCAAUGCAUCAAGAAUCACCUCAUUUGGAUCUGUGUAGGCUGAGAAAUGACCGAAAUACCUUUGACUGCUCACUGCCCUAUUUCAGCUUCGACCAAUAGAAAUUAGCUACUGUAAUUCGGCUUUUUAACCUGGAAAACCUUCAAAAUAGAUUCAGAUGUCUUCACCAAAGUUGUAGAUCUAUCUCUUAUCUUCAAAUUGGUUUAAGAAUCAUCUCAAUCCGAUCAUUAUAGCUCAAGUUAUAGCCAAAAUACGAAAAUGUGUCAAAACUGUCAAAAUGCACAAAAUCCAAGUAAAAAGUGAUAAAAACCUCAUUUAAUUACUUAAAAGCAUUUUUCACCAAUUAUAGCCAAAAUGAAUCAUUUUCUUCCAAUAAUGUAACCAAAGUGACUAACAAUAAUAUAAAAUAUCAUACAAUUAUUACAUAAAUUAGUCACUUAUCAGCUUUUAUUGGCAAUUAGGUUUAUUUUUAUUAUUGCACAGGUUCGGCACCUGUCAUUAGGAGUACUGGUUUUGCUGUGGGAUUUUUCGUUUUCUUUGUCAGCUGCGUCAGCUGCAUGGUGCUUUAGAGCAUAAGCCUUUGUUUUGUAUCGAAACAUCACGGCCAAAAUUGCCAAAAGCAUAUCGAAACAUGAACACAAAAUGAAAGAUGUGAGGAAACUUUAAUGAAGAUAUGCCUUGAGAUUUAAACACCAAAGACAAAAGCUCAAAAAAUAUUAUCAACGGAUCAAAAUAAGAACUUGAUUAUUGGUAAAACACUCCAACAAGUUAAGUCGAACCAAGAUCAACAUAAUCAAUUAUUUGAUUUCAAGAGUCAUAACUUUUGCUUGUAAAGAACAAAUAAAGUUAAACAAUUUAUUGCUUUUUUCCCCCCAGUCAGCUGUGUACCUCAACAUUAUUUCACGUCAAAAACUUGUUUUUCCUCGGAUUAAAUACCCUAGCAUCUGAGGUUAUCACCAGUCUCGACACCCAAUUGUCUACAAUAUUCAGUAUAAUACUCAACUCGAGCACUAACUGUGUUUGGAUUUGCACCAUCACAUUCAAGCCGACCAUUAAUGGCACGAAUUGUAGCCCCAAAACCCUGGCCAGAAGUGAUAAGAUCAUGACAAUGGUUCAUCCAAUACCACAAGCCAGUUUUGAAUGAAAUAACAUUAUUUGUAGCUACAGUUUCAGGUUGGCUGAGUCCAUUGAAUCCAAUGCUUUCACCUGCUGGUCCAUAGUUAGAGUUCCAUGAUAACUGUAUUGGACCCCUGCCGUAAUAUCCCUUGCCUGGCACACAUGGAUACUGAGUGUUGCUCUCAUCACAGUAAUCUCUGGAGGGGCCGUCUAUCUCUUCUAUGUAGCACAAAUCUGCGCAAUAUAAAGAAAUUUUGUCACUCAAUUGAAAUGAUUGAUAAAGGGUUAGAAUCAAAGAAAAUCAGGAGGUCUGGAAUUUUUUGUAAAUUUUUAGAUUUGAUUGUUUUACUAAUGAAUUCAAUUGGUGAGAAAAGACUUUAUCCCAUUUUGUAAAAAUUGGGUUGGACAGACCUAAAGUAAACACUCUUUUUAUGAGGUAAAAUUUUAGAAUGAUUUAACAUUAUAGGGUUAUACGAUAGAUAAAUAAAAAUUGGCAAUAGCAAGAUUAAGAAGGGACCAACAGUGAUAUAAAAAUUACAAAGGUAUCAUGGACGUCUAAAAUAUAUUUGGCUAAUAAAUUUGAACUAAUUUACGGCCAAAUUUAGGUGAAAUAGUUAAUUCUACUUGGUAAAUUGGAAGUUCGGAAACGUGUAUCUGUCAGUUGUCAUACUCAUGAGCGAGCCAAUCUUAACUUAAAAAAGAAAAAGAAAAAAAGAAAAAGAAAAAAGGAAUCCAAAAGAUAAAAGUAGAAAAGGCAUGAAUUUUAAAACGUAAUCGUAAUACCUUGUACCCGAAACAAAUAUGUGCAAUACUUAUUAAGCUAAGCAAAGCCACAUGAUCUACUCUUAGAUGCAGCAAAAUAUACAACCACCUUAAGCUUGGAAUGUAAAGGCAGAAAAACUUGCUUAUGUAGAUAUAAAAGUGACCACUACAAGAAAAGUAAAAAGAAUAUGGAGAUAAUAAUCCUUCUGUUCAUCAUGAUAAAUUAUUUAACAGUAAUAAAUCUUUCAUAUUCAAGUUUUAUUUUUUGAAGAAAAAAUUCUUGGAUAAUAGUGCACAGGAGAUUCCAAGAUAUACUAUCUAGAAAUUCACAGGAGCUACUAAAAAAGUAGAAAAUAUCUUCAAAAUUUAAUUUCCAAGCUAGUGUUAUUCAAAACUUACGUCCAGUCUCAUGAGUGACAUGAGCAAAGAAAGCAGCAAUCUCCCUUUUAGAAUCAUCAACAGAACCAGCGGUUCCAAACUGGGGAUACGAGUUCAGAGCUUCAAGAAAAGCUGAUCGAGUAUAGAACCCUUUUCCAGCACAGCUUGAAGCAGCUUGAUCAGCAAUCCCAUUAAAGAAAGCGUCCGUCACAAUAUCAGCAACUGAAACGCCACUAUUACCACUGCUCGGAGCAGCGGUGCAAGGGCCGGAUUGACAGCCAGAGCCGCAGUAGUCGUUGCCGGUACCGCAAUAGCCGAAUUUGCUGCAGCACAAGUCUGGUGCACAGCCGCAGUUUUGGCUUGAAAUCAGCUGUGGAAAGGCUCCUACAAGAACUACAAUGGAGAAAAUGAUGGUUGGAAAACUCUUCAUUUUUGGAUUUGAUAAAGGAGAGAAGCUUGUGGGCAGCAGUUGUAUCAGAAAAAAGGGUAUAUGUAGGGAAGAGAACUGAAAACUGAUCAGCUUGUGUGAAGCAUGCACAGCUGCUAUUGUUGAAAAUAUUGAAUUUGAGCAAUUAAAGAAAACAGAACAGAAGACGAAAGCGUGAAUGGUUGACUUCUAUCGAGAGUAUUGACUUUGACAUUGUCAAUGAAGCGGAAACUUUCUUUCUUGGCUUCUAGAAUGGGAAAGGUCAAAAAGAAAGAUUUUGGCCAAUUCGUAUGAACAAUUGUGAGAAUAAGGCAUGUAGACUCACAAGUCCCCACUAGAAUGUGUGCAAAAAUAUAAUUUGAAGUUGCCUAAAUCAUUUAAUUUCAUGCUUGUUAUUGAGUUUAUUUGCCUAACUGUGUUUUAGUAAUACUUCAAAAUUGUGUUUGAGUUAGAACGGAAAAAAAUAUGAGACAUUUUUUUUUUAAUUGCAAUUCCAGAAAUAAAAUCUUAUAAAACAUGUAUUAGAAAAAUUUUGAGGGUAAAUGAUAUGAAAAAAAAAAAGAAGAAAUAGUUCUAUAAAUUGACAUAAGUGUUCAUCGGCUUUUGGAAAAAUUAAGAAAGAAUAAAGCAGCCGACAUAUCUAUCAUGCAUAACAACAUUAUGUGGCUUUUGUUAGUACACGCUAUGACCAUAUAUGUUUCAUUUGAGAUGCUUGUCGGACGUGUUGAAUUGUUGGCAAUGAAAUGCUCCAAAAUGUCAGCACUAUAGUUUAUAAAUAGUAUUAGGUCAUACUGAAUUAUCGACAUAUCGUUACAUGCAGAGUCGUGAAAAUAUACAAGUCUUUCCCUAUCAUUAAUUAGUUGGUCAAAUGACAAUUUUAGAGUGGCUGCUGACUAUGUCAAGAAACAUCUUGCAGUAAAUUGGGCGAGUUAAUGUACUUUUCUUUUUCUAAAUAUUUGCACUUAAACUCUCAAAUCGACCAUAGUUUUAACUAAUUUUGCUCUGGCUUUAUUCUUGAUUCGCAAAAUUCAGAAAAACCAAAACAAACCCUUGUUACUGAAGAUAUCAAAAUGGUAACCCAACUAAGUAAUUGAUUUUGAAAAACAUUCUGAACCAAAUUUCAAGUUUUGGUUUCUUUGCUCUUUUUCUACUGAAAGGCAACUUCCCCGGGCCAAGAAAUUGAAACAAAUAGUACGAUGCUUAAGUUUUCUAUGCUCUUAUGAUCAAGUCAAACCAUGCUUAUAAUCAAUUACAUAAAAAAUUACGGGCAAUUUCGUCAUUAUUUGGGAGGAGGAGGAAUAUUAAGCAAAAAAAAAAGUUCUAUUAAGAAAACGAUUAAGCAUAUUAUUUUCCAGGAAUAAAAAAGAACGAGCAGAGAAAUACAUUAGUUUGGAUGACAUUACAACAUUUAGCAACAUGAUUAGGGAUGCAAUGGGAUGGGUGCCAAUUGGGAAUCAAUGGGAUGGGAGAAAAUGCAGGAGGGGAUGGAGGGAUUGAAGAAUAUUUCUCCUCCAACAUUAAAUGGAUACCUCCAUCCCAUCCCCUAAAACCCCUUGUUGCUAUUCCUAAACAGGAUGCUACUUAUAUCCUCUCUCUAUGAGCAUGUGUGGCUAGUGAGGAAUGCAGGAUUUUGAUUUUGGCGGGGGGAGGGUGGGGCAAAUUGACAAUCAAGAAACAAUAGAAAAAAAACCUUAGCAAAUAAAGCACACAAACUUAAAAUGAAAGUUUAAUAUACGAUAAAUAAAAUAUAAAUAUUUUUAAUAAUAAAAUACACCAUAUAAAUAAAAUGAUAGAGCAAUAAUUGGGCACCAUAAGUGCUGUUAUUUGGUCAUAAUGUUGGCUACUUAUCAUGCUAAGUAGUGCAGCUUUGCUCAUAUUUGAUAUUUGUGUAAAUUACAGGCGGUUGGUGUUGAAACUGAUCUCUCGAGGCAAAUUUUCAGAAGACUUUUUAUUUCAGAGCGUGCCGACGCCAGAAACUAUAGAGAGACUCCUCAAAGGUGGACCGCGGGACUAAUUAACUAAACUUACCUUUAUUCCUGCUUGACGCUGCUGGAAGUGCGUUAAAACAAAAAGGCAAUAAUUUCCAGCGAAUUGGGUAACAACCAAUAAGGAGGAAAAUUAGGGGCACUAGCCUACAAAGCCGGACCCGCGAGACUGGUAGACAAAGUGGGGAAUUAGGAAGUCUUCAAAGCGGCUAUUUUCUCGUGGGCUGCAGAGGUGAAAAGGACAAGUAGUUUGAGUCUUGCAGAGAGCUUUUGAGUUCUCUUACGUUUUGUCUUGCGGUAGCCACCCGGGGGAGGAUUGAAAAAGCCAUAUUCACGUGGGAUUAGGAGAUUAGCUUUAGUUUCUUGUAUCCCUGGGUAGACGAUCUGCUCUCUGCUUUGCUUUUGGCGACUUUCUUUAGACCUUUUUCUUUACUUUUCUCCGGCACGAACAGGGAACCAAAAAAGAAGCAAGACUUUUCGUUUGUCUCGUCGUUAUUUCAUCUUUCCCAACUUUUUGGUAAUUAAGUGGAUGGAAUCAAUCAAAUCACGCGAGAUUGAUGUGAUGAGGAGUGGCUAGGUUUCUCUGCUACCCAAAGGUCGACGCGAAGGCGCGGUCCAUAACAUCUGUGAGAUCUAAUCGAACUUUCACUAUUUCUUCCAAUCCGUUACUAUUCGUGCGUUUUCUGGAUUAACUGUUUAUGGUUAUUUUAUUAAUUGAGUAUCAACAGCCGGAUAUUUAAUUUAAUCUAAUAGCCUACUGUCACGUUAACUAAAUUGAAUCCGUAAUUAUUCGUUUAGUUGAUAAUUAGUGACAACCAUCAUAAUUGGCUUUAUGUUGGGAAAAACGUAAGAUCUAAUUUAGAUAAACCCUCUUAUAGCGUGUUUAUUGGUUAGGGUUGGAUUUUUCUAGCGUUAAUGCAACUGAAUAAUUAAAUUCCUACGGUCGUAUCUAGGGUUAUUUUCUGGUUAGAGAAACAGUCAACGGUCGUACCUUGGCUAUCGAAAAAGUAAGAAAAAACUAGCAGUCAGAGCUUGUUGAUCGCUAUAACCAACCUAGUGACGAAUGAGUGAAAUAUCUUUGCAUCGAUGAUCAUUUAAUUGGACCGUGCCUGAAAAGUUGAUCCUUUGGAUAGAAUUUUGCUAAUUGCUAUUUUCAGUGAAUUGUACUUGGCGAGUUAGCUUUUGAAUUUUGUUUAUUUUAUUUUCAUUUUCAUUCCAUUAAAUAUCCCCCAAUUUUGUUCUAUUGACUUGGAAAGAAACAACUUCUUACCCGUUACUUGUGGAAUCGACCCUACUUGCCAUUUUCAGAAACAACUUCUUAAUUUUAAUCCUUAUGAAACCCAGCUUCUCUCUCAAUUUUCAGAGGUUUCUUUUCCUUCAUCAUGUCAAAGUUGCUAUUAUAAUCACUGUAAUUAGACAGCUAAACCUGUCAUUCCAAUUAUACCCUUGGUCCGCCGUGGGAAAUACAUAAAAUGUGGUAGCGCUGCCCAAUAAGUCCCACAUUGGACCAUAUAAAAUUGUUUAAGGACUAAAUUGGUAAAAAAAAUCGUAAAUGAUGAAAUUGAUUUAAGUGAAAAAGUUCAAGGACCAAAUUGGCAAUUUUUCCUUAUUAUGAUUAUGAUUAUGAUUAUUAUUAUUAUUAUUAUUAUUAGUCUGAGAUGCCGAACAAGUUGUGGAGACUUAUUUCACCUUUACAAGGUCAUUGGAGGGCUUGACGAGGUGCGAUGUGGUAAGGAAAGGCACAAAAAACUCUUUUUUCUUUAUUAAAAAACAUACAAAUUGCACUAAUAAUGGCUGAAAAUGCAUCCAACAUGCAAUAGUGAAAAAUCGUUAGAUGCAAGAUAUAUAAAAGUUAACAAAAAUUAUCUUAGUACCUCUGAUAUAUUCCAAAUUCAGAUAAAUCAUCUGCCCCCAAUGAAUAUAUGUGCAUAUCAUCAUUGUCAAAAAAUAUUUAUGCAUAUCAUUGCCGUUAGAUUUUAUAUUGAAGUGGUUAAAGCUCCAAAUCUAGUAGAGAAGAAAUUCAACACUUGAGAAAAUAAGUUAAGAAAUUCAAGAUUUGACAUACAAAUCUGAAAAGCUCUCAAAUCUAACAAAACAAGAUAUAAAAUUAUCUGAAUAAAACUCUCACUAGAAUAUCUUAGUAGAGAAGAAAAUUCUCACUAGAUAGUCUCACUAUACUUUAUUAGACAUAAAAAAAAAAAAAAGAGAAGUCAAACAGAGGGAGGAAGGCAAUCCUCCAUGGAGGAAAUAAUAAUUGUCUUGAAGGUUGUGUAGAGAGAUGGUGGAGAAACUUCUUUUGUUUUAUCUAUUGGUUAUCUUUCUAAUUGCUAGUUAACGAACAAUAAACUCUAAAUGAAACUACUAAAUUUGCAACCGAAGACAUUUUUGGGCUUGUAUCUUAGUAUCGUAAUCGUCACCCAAUUAGAGCCGCCCAUGACGGCUUCAUUAAAUAUAUAAUUUGGGGGAACCAGGAUUUAAGGCCAAAUUUCGGCAACCUUCAAGGCACUUCAUUGUUUUCUCACAAAUUUUGUUUAUUUAUUGUAAAAGAUUAACUUUAAAGUGUCCUCAAAUUUCUUCCCUAUCUUCUCUCAAACUUUACCAGUGAAAAUUGUUUGUCUUCGGGUUCGUUUGUUUCGGGUGAAAAUGUUUUCCAGAAAAAGUAUUUUCCUAAUUUCCCGUGUUUGAUUGCACAAAAGUUACUGAAAACAUUUUACAUAAAUUUUCACUCAUCUUAUGGAAAACAACUUCCCUUCCAAACUUACUGAAGUUGUUUUCCGAAAUGCAUGCAUCCCGCCUGUAGUAUGUUCCAAACUUACUGAAACCAUCUUGUAGUAUGUUCUUUUUUUUUUUUAGUGUAAACAGGAGGACUCGAACCAAGACCUCUUCCUUACACUCCCUCCCCCGUACCAUCCAACCCAACCCAACCCUCCCCCUAGUAUAUUCAAAAUAAAAAAAAACCUCAUCCUACUCAUCCUAUUCUAGUAAUUAAUUAUGUAUAAUAGGGACAUUCUUUUCUAGAGAAACUUUCAGCAAUGAUAGUGCAAGAUAUAUGUCACAAUAAGCAUUGCAUGUGAUUGAUAUUUGACACUAAAUGGCCAGCAAUUUGUUUAUUGCUUAAGGAGAUAUUUUUUAUUCAUAUAUACAUUUCUCCAAGAUUUUUUAAAGUUAAACAAUGAGAUAAAUUUUCUUAUUUUGCAUGGGAAGAAGUAUGUAGUUAUAAUGUGUAGAAAGUAAAGAUAGAGAUAAAAGUGAAAAUAUUUCAAAAGUUAAACAAACACCAAAAAAAUGAAGUAAGAAAAUAUUUUCAAUAAACUAACCAAACACCUGAAAAUGAUGAAAGAGAAAUGAUUUUCAUGGAAAAUUACUUCCACGGAAAAUAUUUUCCCAAGAAAAAUAUUUUACUUCCAACCAAACAGACCCUUCAUCUCGUUGAUUGUCUCCCCCAGUGCAUACAAAUGUAUUAUGGGCAUUUUGGUGAAAGAAAGGCAUAAACCGAGUUCUGCACAACUAAAUUUUGCCAAUAGCAUAUGAAAAUAUGAAGAAGAAUAAUAAUAAAUGAAGGGUCUGUCUAAUAAGUAUUCAUAGGGAACCAUUGAAAUAUAUCUCAAGUGUCAUGUUUUUGGAAAUGUAAAAUUAAUAGAAAAAAUAAAUAAAUACAAGAGAGAGUAGAUAAAAUUAAAUAAGAAAAGUUAAUAAUUGUUAAUAGAUAUAUAUACAUAAUAGAUUAGAUGAACGUUAAAUAUGUUAACAAGUACCUUAUUAGCACCCGUUAAAAAAACCUAUAAAUGAAAGAUGUGAUCACCAAAUCAUUGACAAAGAAAUGUGUUGAAAAUGAAACAAGAAAGUCAAACAUGAUAAGGGAUCAAAAAUGGAAUUUAAUAAUUGCAGAUACUCCAAGAAGUUGAGUUGAAAUCAGUUAUCCGAUUUCAAAUUCACAACUUCUGCUGUCAAAGAACUACAAAGGGACUCAACUUCUGCUAAUUUAUAUUAGUUUCGAAACUCUUACAAGUACCCUAGCAUCUGAGAUUAUCACCGGGAUCAACACCCAACUGGUUACAAUAUUCAGCAUAAUACUCAACACGAGCACUAACAGUGUCCGGAUUUGCACCAUCACAUUCAAGCUGUCCGUUAACGGCACGAAUUGUAGCCCCAAAACCCUGGCCAGAAGUGAUAAGAUCAUGACAAUUGUUCAUCCAGAACCACAAGGCAGUUUUGAAUGAAAUAACAUUAUCUGUGGCCACAGUUUCAGGUUCAGUUAGUCCAUCGAACCCUAUGCUUUCACCUGCUGGUCCAUAGUUAAAGUUCCAAGAUAUUUGUAUUGGACCCCUGCCGUAAUAUCCCUUGCCUGGCACACAAGGGUACUGAGUGUUGCGCUCAUCACAAUAGUCUUUGGAAGGGCCGUCUAUCUCUUCUAUAUAGCACAUAUCUGCACAAUAUAGAGAAGUCUGUAUCAAUUAUCACUGCAUUCAAUUGCUUAUAUGAAAGCCACUCAUUGAUACAUUAUGGAUUUUAGAUAUUUUUACUAUUAAAAAAUCUAUAAUCUAAAUACAAAAUAAAUGAGAACAUAAAAAAAAUUAAUUAUUUAAAAUCAGAAUCUAUAGUCAGUUAUAAUAAUCAAUCAAGAACAACCCCAAAAAAUGUCAUCAAUAUUUAAGAAGGGACCAUAUGUGAUAAAGAAAUUAUAAAGUUAUAAGUAAUCACAGACUAAAUAAAUAACCAAUACAACAAAGUAGAAAAAAAAAAGGAAAACAAUAAUCCCUCUGCCCAGUUAUAAGAGACACACCCUCAUGAUAAAUUUCUUUUUUUUCUUUUUCAGUUAUGUCAUUUUAAGUUAUUUGACAAUAGAAAGUAUUUCAUAUUAAUGUCGUUAUCUUUGAAGAAAGUUCUUGGACAAUAGUGCACAGGACAACAUCCUACGUAGAACUGUACAAAGAUUUAGUAAAUAGGAUCUAAGACGUAGAAAAGUUGCUAAAAAUUUCAAAAAAACUAAAUCUCCUUGGUGGAGUUGUUCAAAGCUUACGUCCAGUCUCAUGAGUGACAUGAGCAAAGAAGGCGGCAAUCUCCCUUUUGGAAUCAUCAACUGAACCAACUGUUCCAAACUCAGAAUACAAAUUCUGAGCUUCAAGAAACGCCGAUCGAGUAUAGAACCCUUUUCCAGCACAGCUUGAACCAGCUUGAUCAGAAAUCCAGCUAAAGAAAGCGUCUGUCACAACAUCAGCAACUGAAACACCAUUAUUACCACCAUCUGAUGAAGCGGUGCAAGGGCCGGACUGGCAGCCUUUGCCACAAUAGUCGUCGCUGGUGCCACAAUAGCCCCACUGGCUGCAGCAUAAAUCUGGUUCACAGUCACAGUUUUGGCUUGAAAUCAGCUGGGAAAAGGACCCUACAAGAACUGCAAUGGAGAAAAUGAUGAUUCGAAAAUUCUUCAUUUCUGUACUUGAAGAAGGAGAAAAGGAUGUGGACAGAAAUUGUUUGAGUAAGAAGGAUAUUUAUAGCAUGGAGAACUGGAAAAGUGAUCAGCUUGUGUGAAGUAUGGAGAACUGCUAUUGUUGGAAAUCUUGAAGUUGAGCACUGAAUGGAAUGGAUAUAAAAUGCAAUAUUAGUGCUUGACUUUCAAUUAAUCUAUUGACUUUGGCACUGUCAAAAAGUAGCAACCUUCUUUCUUGGCAUUCGGAAUGGGAAUUGUGGAAAAGAAAAAUUUUGGCCAAUUGAUAUCAACAAUUGUGAGUACAAGUCACAAGUCACAAAUAUAAUGCGUGCAAAAAAGAUAACUUGAUGUUGUCUGUAUCAUCUGAUGUUAAUAAAGCCUAACUCUGUUGUAGUCCUAUUUCAGUCUCGUAUUUGAGUCAGAACACAGAUGAUAUUUGUACCAUUCUAGAUCCACGGGCUGCCCUACUACAAAUACUUUUCAUUUGGCUUAAAAAAAACAUUUUAAAGGGUGUAAGCUUUACAAUUAAAGCACGAUCUUUACCUUAUCAUGCAAAGUAUUGGACAUAUAAAAUUUUAUCAAACUGUUGUAGUGAAAAGAACUCAAAUGAUCAAAUUUUAUCCAGUUGAUAAAUAUAGAAUCCUAAAUAAAAUGCAUAGUCCUUUUUUUUUCCUUUAGAGUUCUUAUUGCAUACUAUAUGAAUUAAUUGGUAAAAUUUUGGUAGCGUAUAGGAAAUGAUACCAAUAUAAAAACUACAUUUACUACUCGAGGGCUUAUUAUGCUGCCCAAUUUUUUGGUUUCUACCAUGAGCUGAAAAAAAAUCUUUUCGAAGCAUAAGUUUCCCCAAAUUCUCAUAGACUUUACAAAUGAAAGUUAUUUGUUUCUUGUCGUUCAUUGACUCACCAUGCGUGUGCAGAUGAAUUAUUGAUUGGCCUUUUUGUGGCAGAAAGAUAAAACAGAAUUGAACCAAAGACCUCAUAAUUCCCUAAUUAGUCACUUCAGCCAGUUGAAUUAGAUCUUAUUCACAAGUUUUUUGUACUUCGGUAUAAUAGCGCUCCUGUUCCUUAGUCUCUUAUGCUUCGGUUUACUCCCAAUCUUAAUUGCCUUAACAUUGGUGCAUUUAGACCCUUGCAUUUGGUAAUUCAUAAUCUUAGUAUAGUUAUGAUCCUCAAAUAUCAUACCUUGAGAAACAUCACGGCUAAAAUUACCAACAGCAUAUUGAAACAUGAAAAGUAAAUGAAAGACGUGCAGAAACUUCAAUGGAGAGGCUUGUUGAGAGUGGAAACACCAAAGUCGAAAGCUCGACGAAUACGAUCAAGGGUUCAAAACUGGAACAUGCCUAUUCGUAAAUAGUCCAAGAAAUCGAAACAAGACCAACAAAAUCAAUUAUAUGAUUUCAAAACUUAACAACUUUCGCUUGUAAAGAGCAAGAAAGGUAAACACCUUUUGCUAAUUUUUAUUAAUUUCCAAUCAGUUUUAAGCCUUUAUAGCUCAACAUAUUACUCCCUUCCGAGCACUUUCGGCUCUCCAGAAGUACCCUAGCAUCUGAGAUUCGGACCAGGAUCAACACCCAGUUGGCGACAAUAUUGAGUAUAAUACCCAACACGAGCACUAACAGUGUUUGGAUUUGCACCGUCACAUUCAAGCCGACCAUUAAUGGCACGAAUUGUAGCCCCGAAACCCUGGCCGGAAAUGAUAAGAGAAUGACAAUGGUUCAUCCAAAACCACAAGGCAGUUUUGAAUGAAAUAACAUUAUUCCUGGCUACAAGUUCAGGUUGACUUAGUCCAUUGAACCCAAUGCUUUGUCCUGCUGGUCCAUAGUUGUAGUUCCAUGAUAUUUGUAGUGGACCGCGGCCGUAAUACCCCUUGCCUGGCACACAUGGAUACUGAGUGUUGCUCUUGUCACAGUAGUUUCUGGACGGGCCGCUUAUCUCUUCUAUAUAGCACAUAUCUGCAUGAUAUAGAGAAGUGGUAUUAGUUAUCAUUCCGUCGAAUUGCCAAAAAAGGAAAAAAUGAACGUUAGGUAAGACAAGGAUUGUCGGAUGAUAUGAUAAUGAAAAAUGUAGCAAAAUUUUAUGAGUUCUAAUAACAAUUAAUUGCAAAAUUAUAGAAUUGAAAGGAUUUAAGAAUCACAAACAAAAAUAUUUAUGUGGGAGAAAAGAGAAUAAAUAACUUAACUCAAAAUGUCAUUAAUAUUUCAAACAAAGAAGAAAAUCUCACCACAAUAAAAAUCUAAUAAAUUUUCUAUAGACUAUUUUAGGCUCUCUUAAAUUUUUAGAAAAUACUCCACCUAAUACUCUAGUGCUAAUUUAUGAGAAUCAUUGAAUAAGAAACAACACGAUUAAUUAUGAAAUAAAACACCAAUCACUAAAUAAUAAAAUUACUAGAAAUUGACUUCAAUAAAACUAAUGAUAAUUAAAUAGAAAAUUUUUGAAGCUUGGUUUAUUUUGCCAAAAAAAGAAAAGAAAAGAAGAGCCAUCAAUAUUUAUGAAUAGACCACAAGUGAUUUAAAAUUUACAAAGUUGUAAGUAAUGAUUUAAAAUUUACAAAGUUGUAAGUAAUCACAUGCUUACUAAAUUAUAAAGUUGACUACUACAACAAAGUGAAAAGAACGGAAAAUAAUAAUUUCUCUAUCCAAUUAUAAGUGGCACCCAUAUUCAUGAUAAAUUAUUACAAUAAUAAGUAUUUCUUGUUAAAAUUUUAGUUUUUGAAGAAAGUUCUUGGAUAAUAUUGCAAAGAAAAAUAGUCAAAACUUGGGGACAUCCGGUUUUCAAAAAUCCAAUAGACCAAAGUGUGCUAUACUUUCUCACCAAGUGGUUUAACACAAUUUGGACUAUUGAAUUUUUGAACAUGGGACUUACCCAAGUGUGAGUCCAGAAAAAUAAUCUAUAUAUUACUGUACCAACAUUUAGAAAAGUUACUAAAAAUAUUUUAUAGAAAGUUCCAAAGUAAUUCUCUUUGGUAGAGUUGUUGAAAACACUUACGUCCAGUCUCAUGAGUGACAUGAGCAAAGAAAGCAGCAACCUCCCUUUUAGAAUCAGCAGCAGAACCAGCAGUUCCAAACUUAGAAUACGACUUCUGAGCUUCAAGAAAUGCCGAUCGAGUAUAGAACCCUUUUCCAGCACAACCCGAAGCAGCUUGGUUAGCAAUUCCAUUAAAGAAAGCGUCUGUGACAAUACCAGCAACUGAAGCACCAUUAUUACCACCGCUGGGUGCAGCAGUGCAAGGGCCGGAUCGGCAGCCGGGGCCACAGUAGUCGUUGCUGGUGCCGCAAUAGCCGAAUUUGCUGCAGCAUAAGUUUGGUGCACAGCCACAGUUUUGACUUGAAAUCAGCUGUGGGAAGGCUCCGACAAGAACCAUAAUGGAGAAAAUGAUGGUUGGAAAAUUCUUCAUUUUUGUGCUUGAAGGAAGAGAAAUGGAUGUGGGCAGAAGCUGUUUGAGAAAAAAGGGUAUAUAUAGGGAGGAGAACUGGAAAAUGGAUCAGCUUGUGUGAAGAAGGGAGAGCUGUUAUUGUUGAAAAAAUUUAAGUUGACUAAUGAAUGAAAACAGAAAUCACGUUUGACUUUAAUUCGUGCAUUGACUUUGACAGUGUCAAUAAGUGGGAAUUUUUGUUCUUGGUUUCUAGAAUGGUAUUUGUGAAAGAUUGAUUUUGAUCAAUUGAUAUCAAUAAUUUUGGAAUUGAAUAAUGUAGACUCACAAGUCGCAACUACUGUGUGUAUUUUUAUGACUUGAAGUUGUCUACAGCAUUUAAUUUAGUGCUCAUUAAUUCAUUAACUUGCCUAACUAUGUUUUAGUCAUACUUCACAUUUGCAUUUGAGUUUAAGCACUCAAAAAUAUGAGACAGAUCAAUUUGUCAGUUACAAUUCAUGAAAUAAAAUAGUGUAGAACCUGUGUUAGAAUAAUUUUAGGUUAAAUGGUAAAGAAAAGCAACACUUUUACAUAGCAAUAUAAGUGGUAGUCAGUUUUGGAAAAGCUAAGAAAGGAUUAAAGCCCCGCUUGAUAACCUAAUUCAACACUUAAAUUUAUUGAAUUCAAAUUUUAAUAUAUUCAGACCAUUUGAUAACCAAAGAUUGAACAUCUGAAUUAAUUAAUUCGCACUGAAUUUUCUAGGUAAAACUUAUUUCCAAAAUUAAGUGAUAAGCUAUUCACUUAUCAUUGAAUAUGAUAUGCACUCAAAUAUAUUAGAUUUAAUACUUAACAACUCAAUAAUUUAACGGAUUUAAAUUUAAAUUUUCAAUUUUCAAAUUUGAGACUUCAAUUUUCACGCUUAACUUUUGUCAAACGCAUCCUAAUUAGGCCACUUGCAUAUCACGAAUGACAAAACCAUGUGGCUUCUGCUAGUACACGUUUCGACAGUAUUCCACUUCACGUGUUUGUUGGGCAUACUGGCAUGUCCAUUUGCAUCAUGUCCUAUUUCAUAACAAAAUAUUAUAUUCUAAAUAUAUAUGAAAUAUUUAAUUUAUAUAUGUUAAUUUUUUAAUACAAUAAUAUAAUGUACUUGUAAAUCAAAUAGUAUUAAGUAAAAUAACUACAUAGAAGCAGAUAAAAAUAUAACUGCAGUGCCCCUGUUAGAUUGAAUCUUUAACAAAUUGAAUGCUUUGAACUUUUUUCAUUCAGGAUUUCAGUGCUAUAAUUUAUAAACAGUAUUUCCAAAAAAGAAUUGUUAGUGAAGAUAUCAAAUUGGUGCCCCUAGUAAGUAAUUGUGUUCAGAAAACAACUAGAGUCAAAAGUCAAAUUUUCGUUUCUUUCCUGUUCUUGUCUAAAGACAAUUCUGCAGACAAAGAAGUUGGAAAAAAAAAUAUGCUCACAAUUUGGCAGGGCAAACCUCCUUGCCUAAAAAUUAAGAAAAAUCCACGCCUAAAAAUUAAGAUAAGAAAAAAAAAUCAGUUCAUUUUCUCCUCAUGUUCACUAUUAUCUUAUUAAAUUAAAGGAAACCACGCUUAUAAAUUAUAAUCACUUGCAUCAAAAUCCAACGGCAAUUUUCUCCAUUUUUUGGAAAGAAGAGGAAGGGGGAAAAAGGAAGAAGCUUCCGUAGAAAAGGAAAGAAUUGAGAAAUGUGAUAGGUACUCUGUCUCCCUCUCGGCAAGUGCGGCUUAAGCCAAGCACAGCUCACAGAAGUCCAUUGUUGAAUUAGUCUCCCUGAAAAUUUCUAGCCAUAAAAAUUUUAACUUUUCCUUUUAGUAUAAAUGGAAGAUCUCGAAGUGGGGACCUCUUAUUUACAUUUUCUCUCCUCAUAUCAUUCAACUCAUUUUUUCCCCGAAUUUCAACUUGCUACUCCAUAACUUAGCUUCAUGGAUCUAUAUUUAUGUUCUCAGAAAUGUGAUGUCAUACUUCUAGAUACAUUCAAAAGCGAUGAAUAGUCGAUCAUUUGGACAAUUGUAGUUUAAAGAACUAAGAAUUAGUGCAAAUAUCUAGUUCAUUGAAAACGUAUGGCCCUUAAUUUUUGUAUUUUGACGAUAUACAAGUCUGAAAUUCUAGAAAACAAAGAAAACUGCCAUCCUUGAACAAUUCUUUAGAGAUUUUUUGUUCUUUUUAUUUUUUGAGCAAAUGAAACAUCUUCCCGUUUAUCAUUGGAACAUAAGCUUUACAAAGGAGCAAAACCUCUUACUACAACAAAAAAUCUGGAGCGAGCUAUACCCAUUAUACAAUACUAUGCAUGUGAAAACAAACAAAACAGACAGAAUUCAACCAAGAUCAAUCUAGCAAACGUCCGUGAUCUAUCCCCCAUUCUAACAACAACUCCCAAUUUUCCUUACUACCAGGAGCUUUAGCCCAUAAGAGACAAGUCAAGUUGAACAAUUUUAACCACUGCCGAUUUAAUAAAAUUUGGAGUGAAACCCUCCAACGUGUACAGGGUUUGUCUUUCCAAAAAAACAAAAAACAAAAAACAAAACCGCUGCUGCAACUACUUCCAUUAUCAGUAUUCUGUAUACGAAAAUCAACAUUUAGUCUUUCCCAAAUUUAGUAUAUUUUAGUGCAUAAUUGAAAAAAAUUCUCUUGGCACAAGUGGAAAAUUAUAGAUUUGAAAUCAAUUACAAAAUUUCCUAGAAAAUAGACGCCCACUGAUCAACUAUGGCGCUUCGUAGUUCAGCUUUUCCAGUCUCAUACGUAGAAGUUGGUCCUAAUAGUGCAUUAAUGUUUCAUAGUUAAUCAGAAUUUUCUAUGACAAAAAAAAAGAAGAAGAUUCAUGAAGAAAAAUAAUCUAUUGGCUGUACUUUAUUUCGAUUUAGACAUCAAUAGUGCAAUGGCAAAAGGACUUUGUAGAUGAACCUAGUUGAUGUAAUGAAUUUAUGAUGAUUUAAUUAACUAAAAAGGCAAUCAAUUCGGUCUGCUUAAUGUCAUACUCAAGAGGUCAUCAUCUUUGUCAAAGGGUCUAUACAUUCCAUACAUUAGUAGUAAAUGUUAGUGGAUUUGUUACUAUUGCUGACCAUGUUAGCCACUGAUUUCUAUUAAAUCAUGUCUUUAGCUUCUUAUAAGCUUCUCUAUACCCUACCUAAUCUCAUACCAUUUUACUUUCUCUUGGAUUAUGUGGAAUGCCUACUUGACCGCAAUGUCUAUAUUUUAAUGAUACCAGUACAUUUUCAAAUCUUCAAUUAGCUUUUAAAGUAUCGAAGUUCAGUUCACUAAUUGGCCAUAAAGACAGAUCAAUAGCAAAGUUGAAAUAUGCCACUUAUCCUGAGACGUUGUAGAAAGUUGGAAUGUUAAUGUCGUCCCUUGUAAUCCGAAUAUGUGAAACUGAAGUUGUUGAAGGGUGGGGGAGAGUUGGGUUGGGUGGUACGGGGCAGGAAGUAUAAGCAAGAGGUCUCGAGUUCAAGUCCUCCCGCUUACACUAAAAAAAAUUAAAAAAAAAAAGAAGCUGUUGAAGGGUGAAUGAGUUUUUCAGUUGUAUACAAGCUGUAUAAUGGGGUUUUCAAUAAAAAGUUUAUCAUUUUCUCAAAAAAAGAAAAAAAAAAGAAGAAGGGUGAAUUGAGGAAGCUGAAUGCUAAGCGAUAUAGUUCUAUUAGUGAUAGAAUAUAACAGGUGUGUAUGGCCAGUUAUGUGAAGUGCAAUCGUUCUCCUUCAUUCACCUUUUGAUAUUACUUUACGGGCCAAAUAUAAGAAUGAGAUCUCUUGGGCUGGCCACGUCUUCUUCUUCUUCGUUUUUUUUUUCCAUUCUUCUUAUAGAUCUUUAGGCGAAUAAGCAAUCUUUGGGGAAAUAAUGUAGUAUAUUUGGACAUUGGGAUAAUUUAACAAAUCUCCAUUGAGUUUUAUGACAAAUUCAUCAUAGUUCCCCCUCAAAUUAUUGCAUUACACUUGUGUCUAUUAGCUAUUGAUUUCCAAGGUAAAUGCUGAAUUUCCCCUCUAGGUUUACCAUUGACACUUUCUAUACAAAGCGAUACAAAUUAUAUAUAAGAGAUUUGUGAAAGUGUCAUACUUCCGAGCUAUAACUCAUAAACAAAGGCAUUCGUAAAACCCUUUUGAUUCAAAUAUAUAGAUUUUUUUUUAUCCAACACCAAAAUUAUAUUGCCCAAUAAAAAAAGAAAACCUUUUUUUUUGGUUAAACCAAACUAUUAUUAUUGCAGCCCCAAAAAAGUACAAAGUUCGGGACCAGCCCUUCCCUAAGAAUACAAGCUCACACACCCUGCCCCACCUCUAAUUAACCCCUACCGCCGGCAUCUACGAAAAUUUGGAUACCCACACACAUCUAAUAUAUAGAUAUACUCACCUAUACACUUAACAAUUUAAUGUAUGCUAAAGUGAGUAGAAUAGGGUUUUGAAAAAGUACUCAAAAGUAUGCUACUUCCAUCAUUACCUUCUAGCACGCAUUGUGCAAACUCUUUUCAAAUAGAAAAAAGGGAAUGAAGAGGAGAUACAAAAAAGGGUUGCAAAUUCUUUAAAAUAUGGCAAGGGUAAGCAUGCAAGUAACAUAUAACAUGAAACAAACAUGUUAAGGAAACCUUAAAACAAGAGAGGUAACAGUAAGUUUGAAAACUUUGGUGCAGCUAAAUGAAGUCAAAAACCUAAAACAAGGUUGAUGGAAUUAUCCCUAGUAAACUCUAUGUGUCCUUCACCAAGUGAAAAAAUACUGUUCAAAAUUCUUAUUUCUAUCGGAACCAUUUCGAGGAACUCCAAUUCGGAUGUCAAUACUAAAAGAAAUUUUCCCUAUGGUACCCCUGAUUUUGAAAUUCACUAAUUAUUUGUAUAAUUGUAUCAUAUAUAUGCUUUUAUGUAUUGUGUAAUGAUUCACAUCAAAUUCAUGAGAAAUUUCGCAUCCCUCUCACAAAAGUUAGCAAAUGCAUUGUAUAUAGGAAGCUGAAAACCAAACAAGACUUUAUUAUUAGGUUAUCGAUCAGUAUUAUUGGUCCUAUCCAAGUGUCAUCACGUUUUGUUUAUUCAAGUGUCAUAAUGUUAUUGAUAGUAUAAUUGGGUUGCAUGAUUAUGGUUGAAAGUGUGGAAUAUGCGAUUAAACUCCGUGUUAGGAGUACUGGUUUUGCUGUGGGUUUUUUCGUUUUCUUUGUCAGCUGCGUGGGGGCUUUAGAGCAUAAGCCUUUGUUUUGUUUCUAAACAUCACCGCCAAAAUUGCCAAUAGCAUAUCGAAACAUGGACACUAAAUGAAAAGAUGUGAGGAAACUUUAAUGAAGAUAUGCCAAAGACAAAAGCUCGAAAAAAUAUGAUCAAGGGAUCAAAAUAGGAACAGGCGAACACCAACAAGUUAAGUCGAACCAAGAUCAACAUAAUCAAUUAUUUGAUUUCAAGAGUCAUAACUUUGCUUGUAAAGAACAAUUAAAGGUAAACAAUUUGUUGCUUUCCCCCCCUCCCCAAUCAGGUGUGUACCUCAACAUUAUUUCACGUCAUGAACUUGUUUUUCCUGGGAUAAAUACCCUAGCAUCUGAGGUUAUCACCAGGCUCGACACCCAAUUGUCUACAAUAUUCAGUAUAAUACUCAACUCGAGCACUAACUGUGUUUGGAUUUGCACCAUCACAUUCAAGCCGACCAUUAAUGGCACGAAUUGUAGCCCCAAAACCCUGGCCAGAAGUGAUAAGAUCAUGACAAUGGUUCAUCCAAUACCACAAGCCAGUUUUGAAUGAAAUAACAUUAUUUGUAGCUACAGUUUCAGGUUGGCUGAGUCCAUUGAAUCCAAUGCUUUCACCUGCUGGUCCAUAGUUAAAGUUCCAUGAUAACUGUAUUGGACCCCUGCCGUAAUAUCCCUUGCCUGGCACACAUGGAUACUGAGUGUUGCUCUCAUCACAGUAAUCUCUGGAGGGGCCGUCUAUCUCUUCUAUGUAGCACAAAUCUGCGCAAUAUAAAGAAAUUUUGUCACUCAAUUGAAAUGAUUGAUAAAGGGUUAGAAUCAAAGAAAAUCAGCAGGUCUGGAAUUUUUUGUAAAUUUUUAGAUUUGAUUGUUUUACUGAUGAAUUCAAUUGGUGAGAAAAGAAUUUAUCCCAUUUUGUAAAAAUUGGAUUGGACAGACUUAAAGUAAACACUUCUUUUAUGAGGUAAAAUUUUAGAAUGAUUUAACAUUAUAGGGUUAUACGAUAGAUAAAUAAAAAUUGGCAAUAGCAAGAUUAAGAUGGGACUAAAAUAUAUUUGGUUAAUAAAUUUGAAUUAAUUUACGGCCAAAUUUAGGUGAAAUAGUUAAUUCUACUUGGUAAAUUGGAAGUUCGGAAAUGUGUAUCUGUCAGUUGUCAUACUCAUGAGUAAGCCAAUCUUCACUUAAAAAAAAAAGUAAUCCAAAAGAUAAAGCCGCAUGAUCAUCUACUUUUACAUGCAGCAAAAUACACAAUCACCAUAAGCUUAGAAUGUAAAGGCAGAAAAACUUGCUUCUGUAGAUAUAAAAGUGACCACUACAAGAAAAGUAAAAAGAAGAUGGAGAUAAUAAUCCUUCUAUCCCCUUAUAAGGAUUAAACCUUCGUCAUGAUAAAUUAUUUGACAGUAAAAACUCUUUCAUAUUCAAGUUUUAUUUUUUGAAGAAAAAAUUCUUGGAUAAUAGUGCACAGGAUAAUUUAGAUUCCAAGAUAUACUAUCUAGAAAUUUACAGGAGCUACUAAAAUAGUAGAAAAUAUCUUCAAAAUUUAAUUUCCAAGCUAGUGUUAUUCAAAACUUACGUCCAGUCUCAUGAGUGACAUGAGCAAAGAAAGCAGCAAUCUCCCUUUUAGAAUCAUCAACAGAGCCAACGGUUCCAAACUGGGGAUACGAAUUCAGAGCUUCAAGAAAAGCUGAUCGAGUAUAGAACCCUUUUCCAGCACAGCUUGAAGCAGCUUGAUCAGCAAUUCCAUUAAAGAAAGCGUCCGUCACAAUAUCAGCAACUGAAACGCCACUAUUACCACUGCUCGGAGCAGCGGUGCAAGGGCCGGAUUGACAGCCAGAGCCACAGUAGUCAUUGCCGGUACCGCAAUAGCCGAAUUUGCUGCAGCACAAGUCUGGUGCACAGCCGCAGUUUUGGCUUGAAAUCAGCUGUGGAAAGGCUCCUACAAGAACUACAAUGGAGAAAAUGAUGGUUGGAAAACUCUUCAUUUUUGGAUUUGAUAAAGUAGAGAAGCUUGUGGGCAGAAGUUGUAUCAGAAAGAAGGAUAUAUAUAGGGAAGAGAACUGAAAACCGAUCAGCUUGUGUGAAGCAUGCACCGCUGUUAUUGUUGAAAAUAUUGAAUUUGAGCAAUUAAAGAAAACGGAAGACGAAAGCGUGAAUGGUUGACUUCUAUCGAGUGUAUUGACUUUGACAUUGUCAAUGAAGCGGAAACUUUCUUUCUUGGCUUCUAGAAUGGAAAAGGUCAAACGGGAAGAUUUUGGCCAAUCAUAUAAACAAUUGUGAGAAUAAGUCACGUAGACUAACAAGUCCCCACUAUAAUGUGUGCAAAAAUAUAAUUUGAAGUUGCCUAAAUCAUUUAAUUUGAUGCUUAUUAUUGAGUUUACUUGCCCAACUAUGUUUUAAUAAUAUUUCAAAAUUGUGUUUGAAUUAGAACAAAAAAAUAUGAGACAUACUUAUUUAUUUAAUUGCAAUUCCAGAAAUAAAAUCGUAUACAACAUGUAUUAGAAUAAUUUUUAGGGUAAAUGAUAAAGAAAAGAAAUACUUCUACAAAUUGACGUAAGUGAUCAUCAGCUUUUCGAGAAGUUCAGAAAGAAUAAAGUGGCCGAUAUAUAUAUCAUGCAUGGCAAACUAUGUGGCUUUUGUUAGUACACGUUAUGACUAUAUGUAUGUUUCAUUUGACAUGUUUGUUGGACGUGUUGAAUUGUUAGCAAUGAAAUGCUCCAAAAUGUUUUCAUGCAAGAUUUCAGCACUGUGGUUUAUAAGCAGUAUGAGGUCAUAGUGAAUUAUCGACAUAUCGUCACAUGCAGAGUCGUGAAAAUAUACAAGUCUUUCCCUAUCAUUAAUUAGUUGGUUAAAUGACAAUUUCUAGAAUGGAGCUUCAUGGUUGGCCAUGUCAAGAAACAUCUCGCAGUAAAUUGGGCGAGUUAAUAUGGUCCUCUUGUUUUACACAGGAUGUACUUUUCUUUUUCUAAAUAUUUCCCCUUAAACUCUCAAAUUGAUCAUAGUGUUAACUAAUUUUGCUCUGGUUUUAUUCUUGGUUCGCAAAAUUCAGUAAAACCAAAACAAACCCUUGUUACUGAAGAUAUCAAAAUGGUACCCCAACUAAGUAAUUGAUUUCGAAAAACACUCUGAACCAAAUUUCAAGUUUUGGUUUCUUUGCUCUUUUUCUACUGAAAGGCAACAUCCCCGGGCCAAGAACUUGAAACAAAUAGUAUGAUGCUCAAGUUUUCUAUGCUCUUAUGAUCAAGUCAAACCAUGCUUAUAAUCAAUUACAUAAAAAAAAAAAAAUCACGGGCAAUUUUGUUACUAUUUGGGAGGAGGAGGAAUAUUAAGCAAAAAAAUAUUCUAUUAAGAAAACGAUGAAGCAUAUUAUUUUCCAGGAAUAAAAAAUAACGAGCAGAAAAAAACAAAUAGUAUGAUGCUCAAGUUUUCUAUGCUCUUAUGAUCAAGUCAAACCAUGCUUAUAAUCAAUUACAUAAAAAAAAAAAUCACGGGCAAUUUCGUCACUAUUUGGGAGGAGGAGGAAUAUUAAGCAAAAAAAUAUUCUAUUAAGAAAACGAUGAAGCAUAUUAUUUUCCAGGAAUAAAAAAUAAAGAGCAGAAAAAUACAUUAGUUUGGAUGACAUUAGAACAUUUAGCAACAGGAUUAGGGAUGCAAUGGGAAGAGUGCCAACUGGGAAUCAACAGGAUGGGAAAAAAUACAGGGCGGGGUGGGGGGGAUUGGAGAUAUAAUAAAUCUAAAAUUUUGUUUCUUUAGGAAACUUACAUAAGUGAACUUAAUAUUUCCUAAAAUAAUAUUUAAAAGUUAUAUUUAUUGUAAGGAAAAUAGAUUUGCUUUAUUUUGAGAUACUUUUUAACUUAAGGAAACUAGAGUUAAUUUAUUUUAGGACACUCUUGUUAAGGAGAAAUUAAAGGAAAUUAACAAUCUAACUAAUGAUAAAUAUGUUUUUUUUAGGGCAUUCGGUUGGUGCUUGAGAACACACCCGAGUACUGCAGCGUCUGCUGGAGAUUAGAGCAUUCGGUGGAGGAGUGCAGGAAGGAUACUCAUAACGGUGCAGGAGCCUUGGUUAAGGGCAACCAACCGCAAUUUGUAUCGCAGAGUGAUACUGUUGGGGCUGUCAUGGAGGCAAAAGGCAGUUCGGUUGGUGCGUCGAAGCCGCCCGGGGGGGGGAACACUCCCAGCAGCGCUGAUGGAGGCUCCGCUCUCCAUCCCUGGUCGAGAUGGCAAAAGCCCAGCGGCAGCAGCUGCGGUAACAGGGGUGGUGCCCAGGGAGGCAGAGCUGACCCACGAGCAUCAGCCUACUCGGGUUGCUGGUGUGAGUGUGGAGCUCCUUGAGGGAAGCGGGCAGGAUGAUGGCGCGCCAGAGGGGGAGCGUUCCACAGCAAGGGAAGGAGCCUCGCUUGCGCAGGUGAAUGCUAGAGCGGAGAUAAUGGUGGAGGGGCGACGUGCGGCUGAGCUUCCAGUGGCAGCAGGCUCGAAGGACAGUGGGCAAGCUGUUGGCGCACCAGAAUGGGAUCAGGCUGAGCAGGUGGAUGCUAGAGUAGAGAUCAUUUUGGAGGGGUGCAGUGCGGAUGUCCAGACUGCAACGGGCAAUCUGUCUCCGCGGCCCAGCGCCUAUUAUGGGGAGUUGGCAGCUUCUCCCUUGGAGGCGAUGAAUGUAGAUCAGUCACGGGCAUUGGAGCCGGCUAUAAAACUCGGAAAAUCAAAGGGAAUAAGAGCGAUUUUCCCUUCCGACAGGUAGCUGCGUUCCACUUCAACAUCCUCCAAAAACGGAUUCCAGGUUCUUUCCCAUGAUUAAUAGCAUAUUUUGGAACAUUAUGGGGGUUUCCAAACCUCCUAAUUUGAGACGGUUGAAAAACCUUAUUCGAUUACAUAAAGUUCAGCUGGUAGCUAUAUGUGAACCGAAACUUGAUGUCACAAAUAUUGAGAGCAUCCGCUUAAAUUUAUCGUUUGAUGCUGCUGUUGUUAACUUGUCAGCAGAUGUUUGGGUCUUGUAUAAUUUUCCGUUAGUAUGCUCUAUAGCUGGGAAUUCUCAGCAACAUAUCUCCUUGAAUGUCCAUCAUCCAUGGCUACCUCGCUCCUUGCGAUUUUCUUUUGUGCAUGCCAGGUGUACAUUGGAAGAACGACGGGGGUUGUGGCAAGCACUUUUGGUGGACAAACCACGCGACCAGCCAUGGUGCAUCUGUGGGGAUUUCAAUGUGAUCAUAUCCCCUAGCGAAAAAAAAGGAGAUCGGCCUUUUCGUGUCUCGGAGAGGUUAGAGCUUCUGACCUUCAUGGAGGAGGCGGAAGUUUUUUAUGUGGGUUUUUCCGGCUCGAGUUUCACUUGGUGCAACAAUAGCCAUGGCCGGGCUCGGAUAUGGAAGCGAUUGGAUAGGCUAUUGGUUAAUGGAGAAUGUUCUGAAUUACCGUCAGCCGUGUCGAUCACUCACUUGGCUAGACAUCCAUCCGACCAUGCACCGCUACGAGUUUCUUUCACAUCCUGUGUAGAGAUAAACCUCAUGCGUUCCGCUUCCUGAAUGUGUGGACAUCCAGAGCAUCUUUACUUGAUGUUAUUUGAACGACUUGGCAACAGGAGUGUCGGGGUUCUCCCUUAAGGAUCUUAUGCUCCAAGUUGCUAGCAGCAAGGAGAGCUAUCCAAGAGUGAAAUAAGUCCUCCUUUGGGAAUAUAUUUGCAGUGUCUCGCGAAGCAGAGGCUUCGGUGCUUAGGGCGGAAGCACGGGUGGAAACUGAGGCAUCGGAGAAUGCUCAGAUAGAGCUUCAUAGGUCUCAAGCACAGCUCAACCGUGCUUUGUCAGUGGAGGAGGAGUUUUGGAAGCAGAAGGCUCGUGUCAAGUGGCUCCGACAUGGCGACUGUAACUCAAAGUUCUUCCAUGCCACCCUGAGACAGAGGAGGAUGCAAGGGCAAAUCCACAGGAUUAAAGAUGAGACUGGCAUAUGGGUGAAGACGGAUGAAGAUAUAUCACGUGAAGCGAUACGGUAUUUUUCUGAUUUAUUCUCUGCUCCGGCGGAAUCCUCAUCAGACUUGCUGCAUGUUAUCCCUGCCAACGUCACGGCGGAGGAAAACAUGAGCUUAGAGGCCGAUCCGUCUUUCGAUGAAGUAAAAAGAACUAUCUUUGCAAUGGACGGUGAUAGUGCAGCAAGCCCCGAUGGUUUCAUGGGUAAGCUUUUUACUUUUGCUUGGGAGGUGAUUGGUCAAGAUGUCUAUAAUGCAGUUUUGAGCUUUUUCUGUAGGGCUGAGCUCCCUCAUUUUAUUACAUCUACUUCUAUUGUCCUUCUCCCGAAGGGACCGAACCCUCAGGAUUUUUUGAUGUUCAGACCGAUUAACCUCUGCAAUUUCUUUAAUAAAGUAUUGUCCAAGAUCUUGGCUGAUAGGUUGGCUAAUAUUCUGCCAAGAAUCGUCUCACCCCAACAUACAGGCUUUGUUAAGGGCAGGAAUAUAUCAGAGAAUUAUUUUCUCGCCCAGGAAAUAAUGUCAGGGAUGCGUAGAUCGUACAGGGGUGGGAAUGUAGCAUUGAAGUUAGACAUGUCCAAGGCAUAUGAUCAUGUAUCGUGGGUAUUUCUCAUGAACGUAAUGCGGCAGUUUGGGUUUGGAGAAAGGUUUCUUGACAUGGUGUGGAGGUUGAUUUCUAAUGCUUGGUUUUCGGUUAUAAUUAAUGAAGCGUCUUAUGGCUUUUUCAAGUCGGGUAGGGGAUUACGGCAGGGGGAUCCGAUAUCCCCCGCGUUAUUCGUAAUUGGGGCGGAGCUUCUCUCACAGGCUUUAAACAAUCUCGUGUUACAUUGUGGCUAUAGGGGUUUUAAGGUCCCACGGGGGUGUCCCCAAGUCACGUACUUGGCCUUCGCUGACGAUGUAUUGAUUUUCGCUAAUGGGUUUGCUCGAGCUUUGCAGGAUAUUGUGCGGGUAUUGGAGCUUUACCAACAAUCCUCGGGUCAGUUGGUGAAUAGGCAAAAAAAUGGGUAUAUCGUCCAUCUCUCCGCCUCGAUUGCUAGACGGAGGGUGAUUGAGCAUCUCACUGGCUUUUCUAGGCAACAGGCGCCUAUUCGAUACUUGGGCUUCCCAUUGUACUUGGGCCAAAGUAAGGCUUAUUAUUACGGUGAGGUGAGUCAAGCAAUAAUCGGAAGAAUCCUCUCAUGGAAGUCCAAGUUUUUGUCUCAGGGGGGUAAGAUCAUCCUCAUCAAACAUGUUCUCUCUUCUAUCCCACUGCACUUACUAUCUGCUGCAGUAAUGCCGACUUCGGUGUUCAGGGUAAUUAAAAAGGUUUGUUCUGACUUUCUAUGGAGUUCGACGGAGAGGGGGGCCAGGUAUUACUGGAUCCACUGGGAGUUGUGCUUUUCAAAGGAGGAGAAGGGAGUAGGCUUCAGGCUUCUAAAGGAUGUUUACACAGCUUUAUCUCAUAAACCCUAGUGGAAAUUCCGCACGGGGACGUCUUUAUGGGCAAGGUUCUUACGUGCUAAGUAUUAUGGGGCUUGCCACCCUUGUCAAGUGGAGCUUAAAGUGGGCGUAUCAGCAACUUGGAAACGGAUAAUCAAUGUCAGCAGGGAGGCGGAGUUGUCUAUGCGAUGGUUGGUGAAUGCUGGGACCUGUGACUUCUGGUAUGAUAACUGGCUAGGGAAUGGAGCUCUUUUCCUUAAAGCUCCUGUUCAGGGGGAUUUAUCGUUCAGAGACUUUAUUGUUGACGGGAAGUGGAACUCGGUGGGACUUGCAGAAUACCUCCCAAGGGACAUCACAACUAUGAUCCUGCAACACUCGACCCCAGAGGGUGAGAGGCCCGAUGAGGUGGUAUGGGUGUCAACAACUUCAGGAUCAUUUUCGUUAUCCUCUGCUUUUCGUGAGGUAAGGCAAGCUCGGAAUCCCUCUUGGAUAUUUUCCCACAUUUGGCUCCCCCAACUCCCUGUAAAAGUUUCUUUAUUUAUGCUCCGUCUUUUGAUGCGGAGGCUCCCCCUGGAUGAUAUCUUGGGUAAGUUUGGCUUUCAAUUACCUUCCAAAUGUUUUUGUUCUUCCAUGGCAGCGGCGGCGGGAGAAUCUAUUGAACACAUUUUCUCAACGGGACAACUAGCGGUAGAGAUUUGGGGUGUCUUUGGAUCCUCGUGCGGUAUAUGUCUGCCGGCCGUAUCAUUGCGAGAGCGACUGGUCGCUUGGUGGUUGUCCCCGCACUCAGAUGCUCAAAGACGUCAUGUUGUUUCCAUCCUGCCAAGUUUCAUCUGUUGGCAUAUCUGGAAGGCACGGAACAAAGCAAUCUUUGAAGGGGUUGAACUGACUAGGGGGGAGAUUUGCCAUGGCAUUCUCCGGGAUAUUUUCGCAACGGUUGAGAUUAAAUUUCGUCAUGGGAUUGUAGCGCAAACAUUUGAUCAGUUUUGUGAAAGACUCUCUUAGCCGCCGCUAGUACUUCGGGUCCAGUUGGUCAAGUGGUAGGCAUCUGGAAGGGGGGUUUUCUCCCUUAAUACGGAUGGGUGCUCAAAGGGGAAUCCAGGGAUGAGUGGUGGUGGAGGAAUAUUACGGGAUUCAAAUGGUCAGGUGCUAGUAGCAUUCUCAGCCUCCCUGGGGGUCAAUACAAGCUUGCACGCUGAAGCAUUGGCACUUUUAACGAGGCUUCGCGUAUGCUUCCAGCAAGGGUUUGUACAGGUGCGAGUGCAGACAGAUUCACUGGUUCUAGUAGAUAUAUUACAACGGAGGUUCCAGUGUCCAUGGCUCAUUCGAAGAGAGGUACACCAAAUAUGGCAGCUAGUCGCGAAUCCUACACACUUUUCGCAUUGUUUUAGGGAAGCCAACAAAGUGGCUGACAUCUUAGCUAAUGUAGGUAUCUUGCAUCCGCAGGAUCAUGUAAGGGUGUAUCACCAACUCUGCUCUCUUUCACAGCUAGCAAGGGGGGAAGUUAGGUUGAAUAUGCUAGACUUUCCUUCUAUUAGACUUAUCAAAGGAUCGUCGUGAUGACCGGUCCUGGUCUCGGCUUGUAAUCUUCUGAUUGGGCAAUAAAAGUUUUUUCAAUAAAAUAAAUAAAUAAAUAAAUGUUUUUUUUGGGAGGGGGAUUGAUAAAUUUUUAAUCUGAAACAAAACUCUAUAUUGUUGUUUUGGGUGAGGGGAGGGAGGAGGGGGGACUGCCCCCACAAUAGAUCUUUUGUUUCAUUCUCUGUGUUAUUUUCUGUUUCACUUUUUAUUAUAUCAUUAUUUUUUCUUCAUAGACAUCAUAUUUUAUUUUCUUUAUUUCUUUAAGAUCUAAUAACUAUUAACUAAGUAAAAAAUAAAUACAACAAUCUAAAAAUAUAUAUAUAAUAGAAAAUUAGAAAAUAUAGCAAAAAAUUUAUUAAAAAAUCUCAUUUUUCAUGCAUUUUAAUUUUUUGAAUUUGUUAAAUUUGGUGUAUUACUCAGUUAAUAGUUAUUGGAUCCUAAGGAAAUUAAAAAAAAAAACUAAAAUAUGAUGUUUAUGAAGGAAAAAUAAUAAUAUAUUAAAAAAUGAGACGGAGAGUGGCACAAGGUGUGAGACAGAAAAUCCAUUGCAGGCUGCCCUGCUGGCCCUUUCUUAUGUCCGUCACUAUAUGGCUAGAAACAAGUACCUAUUGCUGAAUUAGUCUCUCCCUUCUAACUUCUAAGAAUUCCAAGGUUUUGUAAUGAUUCCGCAGGAAAUAAGACAAAAAUAGUUAGCCAACUAUUACCUUGCUGGAAUUGUUAUAACGGCUACCACUUGCAGAAAGAAGGUUACUGAUUAGUUAGUGGGGAAGCUUUCUAUUAAUAGGCCAAUACUAAUGUAAAGGGGCAUGCAAAUUCUGAUCAUUGAGAAUACAACUUUCCCGCUUCUUUCCCAUUCAUUCUGCUCCCUCUCUUUUCUCUCAACCUUUUUCUCUCUAUUCCUUUCUAUAUUUUUGUUCCUUAGUUGAAUCAACCAAUUCCCAACCAUUACAGUUUUUUUUUCUUGUCAAUCGACAACUUCUACAUUUAUCCUACUCCUACUCCUACUUUUUCUCCUAUUCUAACCUAUCUAAAGAAUGGCCUAACAGGGCCAAAAAUCCUAUUCCUAGUUCUAUUUCCACUCCCAUUCUAACCUAUUUAAGGGAGGGUCUAGCUGGAUCAAGGGGACCUAGAGAGAGUAGUCCCCAUCUCUAGACCAACGUCUGGAUUUGGAGGAAACUACAUACUAGUCACAAUUGCUAGAAAGUAAGAAUUGAAUUCUUGAUCUCUUACUCCAAGGCCUUUGACAAGUGACUAAUUUACACUAUAUUUGAAUGAUAUCUUAUGUUAUUUUUAGUCACUUUGGCUAUAUUAUUGGAAGAAAAUGGAUCAUUCUGGCUAUAAUUAGUUUAAAAUGCUCUUAAGUGAUUAAAUGAGAUUUUUGUCACUUUUACUUGCAUUUUGUCCAUAAUUUGUAUAGGAGUUGGAAAUAUAUUUCCUUUGGAUGAAGAGGAAGUUGACAGCUUUGACACAACUUCGUAUUUCGGCUAUAACUUGAGUUACAAUGAUCGGAUUGAGAUGAUUCUAGAACCAUUUUUAAGAUAAGAGAUAGAUGUACAAAUCUUAUGAAGACAUUGAAAUACAGUUUGAAGGUUUUCCCUAUCAAAAAUCUGAAUUAUAGUGCCAAUUUCUAUUGGUCGAAGCUGAAACAAGGCAGUGAGCAGUCAAGGGUAUUUCUGUCAUUUCUCCAUCUACACAAAUCCAAAUGAGGUGAUUCUUGAUGCAUUGGAAACAUAACUAAAAGGGUUACAAGUUUCAUGUUUUGGUCAAGAGUUAAUUCAACUUCUAUCAUCAAGAAAAGUUCAGUUGAAGUUGAGGCAAAAUUGGAGCAACAUUGAAGACUGGACAGAAAUUGCUAAGAAUGGCAGGGGAGCAAUCCGGCUGAAAAUCCGUCCGGAUUCUGGCCGGAUUCUAGUCAGAAAUAGCUGCUCUCCACUUGCACAACUUAUUUCCUCCUCCAAUAUUCAUAGCUAUUGAUGGACGUGUAACAACAACUUUGCAGCUGUAAAAGUGAUAUUUGAAGCCUUAUUUCUUGACUAAAUUAUCUAUAAAUAGCCAUGGACUUAUAAGGAUAAGGAGAGCUUGGGGGAGUGCAAGAAACACCACAAAAAUGUAGUUCCUUGGUUCUUUAGUGUAGAGUAGUGUAGGAUAGUUUAGUUUUAGAUAGUUUAUCCUUUCUUGUAUGUUAGCUAAAUGAAGAUGAAGAUGGAGAUGAAGAAGGCAAGGAAAGAGCUCAUGUGACAAGGAUUACUUUACCUUUCCAACUCUUUAUCUUUUGUACUUGAUUCUAAGUUUAGUUAAUAUAUAAGUUUUGGAUUCUAUGUUUAUUAUGUGUUUCUAAAGUUUAUGCCUUGGGCUUGGUUGAACUUUCUAUGAUUGUUAGUGUUUAUUAUUUGGUUAUUUGAUGCUAUUAUUUUGAGCAAGUUAUUGAGUACUUUACCUCUUUUAAAUCAUGAUUAACUUGGUACCAUUAAUUGUAAUUAUCUAAAGGUGUUGUUUCUUCAAUGAAAAUUGAGAUUUAACAGUAAUUCAAGAAGUGCUAAACCUAGAGAAUACACUCACGAGAGUAGAGGUUCACCUAUGUGGCUUUAGUGAUUCAUUUCAUGUAAUUUCAUAGAAGAAAUGAACUUGUAGCUAAUUUCUUAACCACGAGAGUAGGUAUGGAUUAGUUAUAAGUAUAGUUGAUUCACUACGAAAGUUGGUUUCACAUACAUAAGGAAAUUUCGCCAUAACUAGCCAAAAUAGUAGUACUCAAUGAUCCAAAAAUAACACUUGCAUGAGUAGUUAGGAAUACCAUAGACUAAGGAGCUUUCAUUUGUUAUUAUCUUGCAUAAGGUUAGCAUAGUUUUAUCUCUUUUAAUUCAUUGAUCGUCUAAAUAAUGGAGAAGCUUUAGUAGUGUCGGUAAUUGUCCAAUAUCAUUUGCAAGGGUAGUGAGGAAUUCCAUAUCUCUAGAAGCUUUCUAGUACUGAUUUUCAUUACUUUUAUAUUUAUGGUAAUCUAGAUAAUAAAGGAGUUCGAAAAACACCGGUAAUUGCAAUCUUCCUUGUGGGAUCGACCCUUAAUACCCUAUACUCGCUCACGAUUCGUAUACUUACGAUAAAUCGCGUGUGGGAUAUUUAAGAAUUAUAAAUGUAAAACUUGAUUGUGGAUAAACUUAUUGUAUAUGUAUACCCUGCGCACGUCAGCCUUUAUGGUGGCCAACAGCCCAAUAGGACAUUGGUUACAUGACAUCAUACUUCUAGUACAUGAGAAUACAUUAAAAAUCAAUCGCUUUCACAGUUCCACUUCAGACAAUUAAGAAUUACUAUCCAUUGGAUAAAACUAGUUUUAACCUUCAAAUAUCUUAUUGCAAGUAAGCCUUCUAAAAUAUGCUCACGAUUACUAUAUUUUUAGCAUUUUCACUAUGUAUAAGUCUAGAAUUGUAUGAUGAAAAGAAUUUCCAUCAAUCAAUAACUACUUAAGACUUUAUUGAGCCCAAUGACUAGCUUCUGAUAUAUUUUUGAAAGUGUACACUUUAGGUCGUUAAACCAUCAUUUUCAAGUAAAAUUACAGACCUAUUAAGCAACAGUUAAGAAAUUAUAGAUUGCACAAUACUAAAUUCACAGAAAAAUGAAAGAUUACUAAAUGAGGAUAAAUAUAUAGUUGGGAGGUGGAGCUAGAAACAAAAUUCAGUACGGAUAAACAUACUGUUAAAUUAUACUACUUUCAGUGUAUAAAAAAAGUUACAAUAACUUUUCAAAUGAAUUUCUUGUGUGUUGGGAGCACAUCAAUGAUGGAUCUAAGGGGGGGCUGGGGCCCCCCUCGACCCAUGUUUUGAAAAGUUUAAUUCAUAGUGUGUAAAUAUAUAUAUAAAAUAAUGUUGGCCCCCCUUAAUUUUUUCCAAUUUUAAUUUAUAUUAUGAGAGUUUAUAUUUAUAUAUAUAUAGUCACCUUUGAAUUAAUUUUUUUAUUCAAAAAAGUUAUUUAUUUUUUACUAAUUACUUAACUUUCAAAAAAUUAAACAUACUAUUUGAUGAUCCAUAGUAAAUUGAUCCAAUUUGACAUAUUAUAAUAAAAAGACCCAAUUCACAAUAUCAAUGGGUUAAAACAAAAAUAAUAAUUUUAUUGGCCCAUAUGCAAAUAUACAACUUAACCCAAUUGAAUGAUUGUCUAAGUAUAUACAUAGAUAGGGGUGGCAAUGGGGCGGGGAUGGGGCAGGGGACACCUCCCCCAACCCCCGCCCCCGGCUUCCCCCGCCCCGCCCCGCUUCCCCCCACGGGGGCACUCGUAGGGUUAAAAAAAUUUUAUUAUGUAAUUUCAUUAUAAUUAAAUUUGAGCAAAUAAUCAAAUAUUAAAAUAUCAACACAUCACCAAAUUAUUAUUCAUUGUAACUUCACAAUUGAAACUCAUAAAAAUAAUUAAACAAAAGUUAUUUGAAUACAAUCUAAUAUGAUAAAACAAAUAUAACUAAAAUAAUCAAGUUUUCACUUUUGAUACAAAUACAAUCACUAAAUUAUUAUUGUGUUUUUUUUAGAAAAAAGUGUUAUUGUAUUAAGUGUAGUUAGAAAUUUAACAUAAAUGUAUUAAUAAAUUUAGUAUAAAUAAUUAAUAAUUUUUAUUAAUAGACAUGUAUAAUUAGUAGUAUAAUUGAUAAUAUCAUUAUAUAUAUAAUUAUGUACAUAUAUAUAUAUAUAUAUUUUUCAAACAGGUGGCGGGGCAGGGGUGGGGCGUACUCCCCUGCCCCCCGCCCCGUUUCUAAACGGGGGGAAAAAUUCCCCCCCCCGGCCUUCGCCCCAACCCCCACCCCACUAAUCCCCCGCGGGGCGGCUGUCCGCCCCCGUUGCUAUCCGUAUACAUAGAAAAGAAAAUUGCUGAAAAAUUUAUCAUUGAUUCAAUCAUAGAUGAAUUUAGUUCUAUGAAAGAAUGUAAAGCUCAAUUUACUUUAAAAUAAAAGGUUCAAAUUUUAAGUUAUAUUAACAUAACUUUUAUCUUGUUUUAAUUGAAAAUAGAUAUAUUUAUAUUGCAUAGUUAUAUGCUUUCUUUUCUUUUUGCAUAGGUGACAUAUUGGAGUUUAUGUUCAUAAUGUGCAUCUUGGAUGGUUUGCAAUGCUAUAAGACAUUUAAUCUAAUGUUAUUUCUUGUCUUAAUUUUCGUUAUGACUAUAUUGCAUAUUUAUGAAAUAGACAUACACUUAUAAUUAAAGUUAAUAUUGGAUAUUUUUAGAUAAUAUAUAUUUAAAUAGUUGAAAUUUAUUUUGAACAUAACAUAUUAAGAUAAUUUUGUUAGAAAAUCCCCCCCCCCUCACGAAGAAAAAAAUCCUAGCUCCAUCACUGGAGCAGAGAAAAAGAAGGAAAAGAGGAAUAAACAUAAAGUUGAGUUUUUGUUAGUUAUUUUUUAUUUAUUUGUAAGAGGUGAAAUGAGUUGUUUUUUAUUUUUAAUCUAUUGAAAUGGUGAGGACAAAGUGAUAAACAAAGGAUAAUAUUAGAUACAUAUUUUAUUAGAACAUAGUGGGGAAAAUAUUAUCUAACAACGACAUGAAUUGUAUAUAAGUUAUAUGCUUUUGGUGGGUCAGUGGAGGUUAUUGUCUCCAUUGUAUCGUUUCCUAGAAUCAGUAUAUUCUAGUAAAUGAUUCUAGUUAUAUGUAAGUGAUUUAUAUUACUAAUUUUUUGUUACAAUUUUUAGAGAAUAGUUGGUUGAUUCUUAAAAAUAGAGCGAAGUCAACAACUAAUGCGCUUCAUAGUUAAUAGAAGUUUCCAAGAGGGCACCAAGUAAUAUUUUCAUAAUUGAUUAGCUUGGUUUUCAAGUGCAUAUAAAAAGAUAUCCAUGAAGACCUCCCCACCCAAGGGAAGACUGUAAGUUACGAAAACGUUUACUUUACUCUCAACAAAAUGUUGAGCAUACUUUAUUUUACUUUCGACAUCAUGCAAUGAUUAAAGGAUUUUGUAUAGGGACCUAGUUAAUUCAAUAAGCUUUAUGAUGGUUUAAUUGACUAACGGAGGAAUUUGCUCAGCCUAGUAACUCUGGUACUCAAGUAAUCAUGACCUUUAUCUAAAGAUCUACACAUUCCAUAUUGAAGUAAAUGAUAAUGGAUUUAUUACUUUUGUUGACCAAGUCAAGCAAAAAGCUGUUAUCAAAUCAUGGUUUUAGCGACUUAUAAGUUUCUUGAUAUCCCAACUAACCUCAUAGGAGGGCUACUUUAUUUCUUUUUGGUUACUUUCUAAUGCCUAGUUGCCUGUCGGAUAAAAUAUUGCCUUCACGGAUUGAUUCCAAAACUUGCUCAAAAACAUCUAUUUAUUUUUAAAAUAUUGCUUAUACUAUAUUUUGAACCAUUCAAUUGCAAAACACAAACAAUUUUUCUUAUGGUGCCUUCUUGUCGUUGAAACUAGGAAGCUAACCAAACAUUUGAAGCAAAGUGAUAAACAAUUAAUAGCAAACUAUAUUGGAUCUUCGAAAGGAAAAUUGAGGCCUCAUCUAUGAAUUUAACAUUUUCCGUUGUGAUGACAUCCGAAAUUGAUUGUGAGAAGAUUUUACAAACGCUAAAAGAGUAUCUCCAUUUAAUUGUGGAAAGGAAUUUGAUUUUGUCAAAUGCACAGAUAAUGGAAAUGACAAAAUAGCAGCACUAUCCUUGUCAUUAGGAAGCACUCAAAAGUUACGUAUUAAAUGGGAGUCUAACGUACAAGCAAUGAAACACUAUUGUAUUUGCGAUAGUAUUGAUAAAAAUUAAGAUUCUAUAGUCUUUGGAUCAUAAUGAAUUCAACGUUGGAUGACACAAUAAGUAUUCUGAAUUCUUAAAUUAUAAUAAUGUUAAAUAUUUAAAAUAGAAGCUGAUAUCGUUAUUAAGAAAUACACAUUGAAGGAAUAGUUCUCUAAGCGAUAAAAAUUUUCCAAAAGUAAAAGAAUGAAUGAUCAAAGUUUUCCAUCUUUGCCCGAUGACUCGUCUCUUUCCAUUUUACUUUCCCAAAGGAUAGCAUUUAAUAGCCUCGUGCCUGCUCUCAUUUUAAUCCUAAAAUAAGUGAUCAUGGGCUUCUUUGAGAAUGGGCUUGGUCUAAAUAUUGAACGCUCAAAACAGACUUCUUUUGUUGGAGGCGGCUUUCACUAGAGAGCGUGGGACUGAUUCAGAGUUCUUUUUUUUUUUGUAGGAAAAGGGAGACUGAUUCAGACUUCUUGCUAUCAUAGUUAUUAAACCUACCUUGGAGAGGAAUCCGGUGAAGGAGGUGGGUCAACGGAUUAUUGGUUCAAUCAGUGGAUGAGUAGUUGAAUUGGUGGGUUACUAAAUAUAUUUAAAUAUUAUGUCUCAUAAUUUUUUCAUAUAGGGUAUCUGGUUUAAACUACAAUGAACUAUACCAAGCAAAUGGUUAUUUAGGGUGUGUUUAAUAAAAUUAAAAUUUGAAAUUAAAAUCUGAAAUGUGAAUCUAUUAAGUUAUUAAAUUGUUAAGUGCUAAAUCUGAUACAUUUGUGUGUGUGUAUAUAUAUAUAUAUAUAUCAUAUUAAGUAAUAAGUGAAUAGUUUAUCACUUAUUUUUAGGAAUAAAUUUUGCCUAGAAAAUUCAUUACUAUUUAAUUAAUUCAGAUGUUCAAUUUUUUAAUAUGUUAAGAUCUGAAUCCAUUAAAUUAAAGUGUUGAAUUGGAUUAUCAAACAGGGUUUUAGUCUAAUUCAUUAUAGUCUAAUUCAUUAUAGAAUGAUUAAUUAUUAUAAAAAUCUAUAAAAUCAAAAUUAAAUUAGUAAUCCACCAAAUUUCAAGUGCAAAUAUUUACCUAUAUUUAGUGUAAUUAUUUAGUUUAUUUAUGAAUUUUAAGUGCAAGAGGUUAUUAGGAACAAUAUUUGCCUUUAAAUGAAUUGUAUACUAUGUUAUUUUUGAAAUCCAUUUCAGAACUUAUAGAGUUUGAGAAAUAAUAAAUUUUAUUAAAAUAUCCCAAAUAAUUUUUAUUUUAGAGAAAUUAUAAAAAUAAAGAAACAAUUGACUAACAUAUAAUAUAAGACAGGUGAAUAACUAGCAUGUCAGCUGUUCACCUAGCGGUAAGUACUCGUUGUUUAUAUGCAUGAGGUUUUGAGUUUGAACCAUUAAAAAAACACAAUCUUGUCUAAUUUUUCCAAUAGCAACUAAUGUUCUACCUGAUUCAACCGGUCGGAUUUUCGAUUUAAUCCGGUUGAACCAUUGAUUUGUUGACAAGUCAAUGAGACUUGUUCACAUUCAAUCCAAUUAGAGACCCGAUGUUGUUUACUGAUCAGGCUUAAUAACUAUGCUUGCUGUGUUUCCUAGGUUUGCAAGAUUGAAUUCAAGGUUAAUUGUAUUCAUCUCCUUUUUGGUUAAACCAAAUUACAAAAAUCUUUUAUAUUGUUUGACCAAAUUAAGAGUACAGGCAAAGCCCUUGACCAAAUUACAAAAAUCUACCAUAUUGUCUGACCAAAUUAAGAGUACAGGCAAAGCCCUUGAUGGCAAAACAUUUAUCAAAUGCGCCCUUAUAUCAAUAGCUGUUAAAAUUGAUGCUUACAUUAACAAAAACCACAUAUUUGAAAGCCCCAAAAUAACCUUUUACACCUUGAGUUAAUUACACUUAUCUUUAUAUUUGGCAAUUGGGUGGGUUGAACGGAUUUUGGGCGGGUUAAUAUUGGAUUUUCACUUAAAUGGAUUAUACCCAACCCGUCCAACUUUAGAUUUGGUUGAUUUUGGGUUGGGUCAUAUUGGGUUAUUUCAAACCCAUGACCCAAAAAUAACCUAUUAUAUUAAUUAAUACAUAACCUUUUUUCACAUUCAUUUUAACAUACAAAAAAGAUUUUUUUCACACAUAUAAACACAUUUUCACAUACAUAAAUGUAUUUUCAUACACACUCACUUCUUAAGUUCCUUGAAAACACAUCAUAAAUAGAAUAAUAUUUUAUAUUACUUGUAUUGUAAAUUUUAGAUAAUAAAUGAUGGGGGUUGGGUUCUGCAGCAGGUUGCGUGAUGAAGUCGUAGAUGAUGUUGGGAGUACUGGGAAAGGAUGGAUGAUGAUGAUGGAGGUGAUGAGGAGGUGGCUCCGCCAUUAUACACACAGAGUAUACAUGAAUGAGGAUGGCGCCGAUGAUGACUGCACUCACUUCUUAUUAUAUGUAUCCACAUUAAUAAUUCCUAUGUACACAUGAAACUCUGUGUGUGUGUGUAGAUACAAUAUAUAUAUAUAUAUAUGUAUGUGGCGGGACUUAAAUUAUAUAUAUAUGGGACAUAGAGCCACUGCUACUGGUCUAUAGUAUAGUUCAACAACAACAGCAGCAACGGCAUUCGACUACUCUGUUAGUGCAGUGUAUCAGCAGCUUGAGGUUAAAAAAGGUUAAAAAAGAAAUUUGUACAAUAUUAUAUGUACACGAAAUAUUGACAAACAAAAGCAAUCAUGAAAUAUUAAAAAAGAAUGCAAUUAGAAUAAAUUUAAAACUCUAUUUUACGUACACGAAAUAUUAACAAACAAAAGCAAGUAGCAACUUGAGAACAACCACAAAAAAAAAAAGAAAAAAAGAAGGAGGAAAAUAACAUACUCUUAAAAGGCAUAAUAAAUUAUUAUAAAAGUUGAGUAAGUUUAACUACUGUUAUAAAAGUAAAAUAGCUAUGAGUUUUUAUUUCAAGUUUCUUUUUUCUUUUAAAUAAAAAUUAAAAAAAUUGAUUGAAAAAAAAAAAUAUAUAUAUAUAUAUAUAUAUAUAUAUAUAUAUAUAUAUAUAUAUGAGAAUUUUGAAUACAAAUUAAUCAAUGAAUUAUUAACACAUGUCCAAAUGCAAAUAGUUAGAUAUAUGUGUAUUGAAUCUUGUAUUUAUUAUUUUCAAUUACUUUUAAACAAGUUAGAUAUUGAGUACCCAAAUAAAAAAUUCAACCCGUCCAAUGAAUAAAUUGGAUUGUUCUUACCCAACCCAAUAAAACCCAUAACCCAAUUAACCCAACCCAUCAUUUAAAAUUAAUGGACGGAUUUUGGGCUUUUUUGCUAGCUCCACUUAUCUUCCUUGGAUUUUGUCCAAACUACUUUCAUCUCUCGUGAGGGUUGUACAAAUGACAAGUAAAGCCUAUUAUUGUCCAAAUCAAUUCAAAGCUAUAAAUAACCCAAUACUUUUCAAAUACACCAUAGUCAACUUAAUUAGUUGCAACAAACUUCUAAAACAAUUCUCAAAUACCGAUUAGUUACUACCUUUUUCUUUUACCAUUUUUUCUCCUCGUAGGUUAUAGUGUUACUCCACCUAAAAACUUGAAUUCGAUUUUCGCACAUCGUUGGGCCUUGCAUGAUGUCAAAUAUCAACAGUAUUUUCGGCAAUUGAUUCUUUAGUCGCAACUGCUAUGUACAAAAUUGAAACUUUUCUCCUUGUUAGCAUGCAAAUUAUCAAAAUCCAUUUUUCAAAUAAAAGACAGUAUAAACUUAAAUCCACCUUAGCACUAAAAUUUAAGGUUUCUAUAUAAACGAUAUUUUGGAAUUCAUUAGUAAAAGUCCAAGAAAAAAUUAUCUAGAAAUUUUAGAAUAAAAGCUUAACAUCUUAAUAUGGAUAAAAAGAAGACAAUCUAAAAAGAAAGUUCCGUCUAAGCUAAGUCAAUCCUUGCUGAUGGUUCAUGAUUUUGGAGGAAAUUGCUCCAAAUGCGAGACCUGGCAAGAUGAUAUAUUCAGGCUGUAGUAGGCAGUGGGCGCGCUAUACAUAUGUGGCAGGAUUCAUGGCAUCCACAUGGACCUCUGUUACAAUACUAUGGGUAUGAUAUUGUUAAGGGUAAAAAACAAAAAAAAAAAAUUCUCCUGUAGCAAACCUAAUACAUAGAAAAGCUCUCCGUAAUUUUAAAACGUACAACAUGACACCUCAUGUUUUGAACUAAAUUGUAAAGGUGAAUGCCUUAUUGGAACCUAAAAAAAAUUUUAUACCUAAUUUUUAACAAAUAUACAUGUUCUCCCUCUUAACCCUCAAUUCUCUUUAUAUAGAAAAUAAAACGAAUGAUUUUUUUGAACUGUUUUUUACUUAAUUAUAUGAAGGCAUUUUGGUCACUUCAUCCAUUUCUGUUAAGUUUAACGGAUUCCGUCACUUUUACAAUUUAGUUCAAAGUAUGGAGUGUUGUGUUGUACAUUUUGAAAUUACGGGGAUUUUUCUAUAAAUUAGAUUUACCACGGGGGCUCUUUUGUUUUUUACCCUAUUGUUAAACAAUUUAAUAGGUUUGAGAAUGCAAGACUGGCUUCAAUUGUGAACACAAGUGCUUGGUGUUGGCCACAUGGUAGAAGAAGAACCUCUCAAGCGGAGGAUUUGAUCCAUAAACUUCCCUCUGCUUGUGUACCUCUCUACCCAGGGAAGAUGAUACCUUCUCAUGGUUAUGAGAUAAAACUGGAAUGUUACUACAAAGUCUGUUAUUGCUUCUUUGAGAGAACAUUGUAUGAAUGUCGAGUGGUAUAAACUGGGGUGGUUUAAGCAACAUAUCCUAGACAUACAUUUAUCGCUUGGCAACAUAUUCCUAGACAUGCAUUUACAAACAAGCAACAUAUUGUUUGUAAAAAUAGUUUGGCUACAAAAGAUAGGUUACUUAAAUGGGGUAUGCCAGCUUAUGUUUGGAGUAGGAUACAACAGUGCUAUUUGCUUUAUGGAGGCGUAUAUGGUUGGUCUGUAGGAUUGGCAUUGUGGGUUGGUUUCCUGUAGAAUGAUGAAUUUGUUACCUCAGUCAAAAGAUUGGCUCUUGGGGGUUUUUAUUUAUUUCCUUUGGCAUGAGCGCAAUCAAAGGCAGUUCAAUAGUAAGGUGUCGAAUGCUGAUUAUGUGAUACAGCAUAUAAUUACUACUGUUAGGCAAACUAUAAUAGGCUGGCGAAGGGUGCAAAGGACACAUAGCAGCUGGGAGUUUGGCAUUGGCUGGAAUUUUGAAUAGCAGUUUUUUUUCUUAGAUUAAUAUUUCAUGGUUAUAAUAUUUGUUUUCAUUAUAGUAUGGUGUCUUGUUCCGUUAAGCUUGUAUAGGGCAGCUUUUCUUGUUGUUGGAACCAUUCCUUGCUUAUCUAAUGAAAAGAGUUAUUUUGCCUAAAAAUAUAUAUAAUAUUCUUCUUUAUUUUUCUUACUUGCCCAACCCUUCUCACACCCUUCCCAUCCCCAAGUGCUAGGUUAUACUAUUCACUUAGGCCCUGUUUAAUAACUAAUUCAGUACUUAAUAUUAAUUGAUUCAGAUCUUAAUAUGUUCAAAUGCAUUUGAUAACAAAAUAUUGAACAUUUGAAUUAAUUAAGUGGCAUUGAAUUUUCUAAGCAAAACUUGCUUUUAAGAAUAAGUGAUAAGGUAUUCACUUAUCAUUGAACGUGAUAUACACUACAAUGUAUUUAAUUUCAUACUUAACAAUUCAAUAAUUUAAUGGAUUCAGACUUUAGAUUUCAGAUUUCAGUUUUCAAAUUUUAGUUUUAUCAAACACACCCUUAAUCUAAAUAAAUUUAUUUUUUUGAAACCAAAUUAUAUAUCUAAAAUGUAGCGGACACUUGUCAUAUGGAGAAAUUGGGUUAGGUGAGCUUCGUAGCGGCCACAAUGAGCUGUAGCAAAGAAAAAGGGGAAGAGGUUUUUUUUAAAAAAAAAAUUUUAUCUUUUAUUUGUCAUUUCUUAGUAUUGAGCAAUUAAUUAUUUUCUUUUAAUUUGGGAUUCAAUUUUUCUUGGAUGAUAUCAUGAGUUUUCUUAUGAAUUGUUUGCUAUUCAAAUGAUUAAAUUUAUAUGGCCAAACUAUAUGGUAACUCUUGUAAUAUAGACAAACGUCAAGACAAGAAAAUGUUGGUUUUUCAAAAGGCAUUUUUUGUCAUUUCGCUCAUUUUGUUGGCUGAGUUUAGACGCUGUCACUCAUGGGUAAAUGUAGAUGCAUCACGUGCAAUUUUAAGUUGACCAUAACAAAUAAAGAAAUCCAAAAACAUGAAGUUUCAAAUAUUAAUGAAGCUUUUUGAAAAUAUAAAUAUGAACCGUCACAAAAUAAUUAUUAAUACCCAUAAUACUUCAAAUACUAAUAAUUUUGGCACUCAACAAUAAGGUUUCAGCCAAUCCUCCACUAUUUUUUACUCCAUGAAAAUGACUUUAAUGAUAGACAUUUGUGUUUUUUUUAACCUCCCACCCCUCUCCACGCUCUUCCCACCCCCAACUAUCAGGGCCAAAAUUCGAACUCUCAACUUGACACAUAUGUUUAUGUAUUUGUUAAGUAUAUGGUUUACUGCCUUGGCAAAGAAAUAUAUGAACUAAUGCACAUGUCAUGAUUUUCUAAGUUAAAUUAUCUUGGCGUUUUAAAUUCUUUAAGCAAUGUGAUAAAAUACAAUUUUAUUGGUUUAAAAUAUAUAUAUUUCUUACAUAUCUGUUAUCACUUGUUGUUCAAGAUUAUUUUUAAUGGAAAUAGUUUAUUCAAGUUUUUUUCUUCCUCGUCUCUUUGGCCAGGUUUGGCAUAUAAAUUAUGAGAAAACAUAGAUUAUGUAUCUUAGUUAUUUUGGUGAAGGCAAAGUACGAAUUGAGUGUCUCAAAGUCAAUUUGGAGUUCCAAAUUCAUUGGUUCAUUGGUUCCAAGUUCCAUUAUUUUUUGGACUCUUCUAGGAUCACAUACUUUAUGCAUGAUUUUGGAACUUGCAAGUAUAAACAAAAAGUGUUACUCUCAAAUGCAAAAGAUUUUCAUAUAUAUAAUAGCCCAAGUGUCUAAAAAAUAACUUGUGGAUAUGUCUAAAUUGUAAGAAAAGGAACGAAAAAAGCAUUUAGUUUGGGAGGUUGGAAGUACUUCCAAAUCACAUGUUUGAGAAUAUGUUAUUGCCCCUCUUUUCCUACAUGAAAUUCAUAUUGGAAUUGAUAUAUCAUUUUUCCGGUGCGAUGUUUAAAUUAUUGUUCAUGCAUGCUGAUGCGUGGAACCAAAGAAGAAAUUAACAAAAAUAGCAAAAGAAACAAACUCAAACUUAAUCCAUAGUACAAUACGUUCAUAGAUAGGAUGUCAUAGAUUACACAUCUUGGUUUACAGAUCCACUCAAACUCAAGCAUAAUUACAAUACAUCAGACUUUUAUUCCCACCAUCUUGGUUGAUAAAAGCACACACAAACCAAAUAGAAACACAUGAACACUUAAUUAAGCAGAGAAUAACAGCUUCUGCAAUCUGCGUAUCGCAGCUUGAUAGUCUGAUUAGUUCUUUCCUUGAGAAAUGAAAAUGAGAUCACUUUGAGACAUCCAAUGGCAUGCUUCACUUUGGCCAGGAGAAGUUUUCAAUAUCUUCAAGGCCACAUGAUCAGGGGACCAGCCUGAAGUAUCCAUAUGACAUACCACCGUGACUGUAUUAACUGGAACUUUGGUCCUAGGUUCAACAACAUCUACUGCAUAGACUUCAAUAUUGGACAGCAAAUGGCAGAAAUAUGUUGCAAAAGGAAGAAAUAAUUGAUGACAUGCCACAGUUUUUCCAUAUUUAAGCUUUUCCACGCGUCCAACCAUCAAUUCUUUUCUAGAACCCUCUGUGUUUUUCGAUGCCAAUGCCACCAAAUUCUUGUCACCUAUGGCAGUUUUUGAAAAUUCAAUCAUUUCCUCAAGGGAUUUUGCACAGCUCUGAGGCUCUUCCUUAAGAGCAGGAGUAUUGCAAUAAAUAAGGGUGUAUUGAAUGGCAUCUUUUGUUUGCGGGCUUUCAAAGGAUUGAGGAAAUAAUUUUCGUAGGUCAUUUUCCGUAACAGAGAUCUUUGAUGCCGUUUGAGAAGGAAGAAAUGACUGUUGGGGCAAUUGGUUUUCCAAGCUUGAGAGAUGCACCAUGUUUCCUUGUUUGAGAAGUGAGAGUCUGAAGAAAGAAAAAGGAUCAACAUGUAGGACAACAUUUGGGCUAAUUCUGCCAUAGCC